rnacentral:lncRNA from 1 species
GAUUAUCAUCAUCAAUAUUAUCAUCAUGUGGAGAAGGAGGCAGCAAAUGUCUAGCAGCAUUAAUGAGGACCUCCGCCACUUCUGUGUGUCCUUGAGACGAAGCCAAGUGAAGUGCAGUCUGUUUAUAUUUGUUAAGCUUGACCAGAAGGUUUUUGUCUGCAAACUCCCUUAAUAUAAAUCGCACGUGUUCUGUAUUUCCGUUUUCGGACUCUGUGUGAAGAAUAGUUUCUUCGUAUCCGUUCAAUUUAUCAGCAUGCAUUUCCAUUGCAGCUAUGGCAUCAGCAUCUCUAGCAAUGGCAGCCGCAUACAGAGCAUCUUUAUCCAUAAUCUUGUAGAGGCUUCCACCAGGGCUCUUAGCUAUAAAAUAAAAAAGUGUCAAAUUAAAUAGCGAAGAAGAUUUUAACAAAUACACUAUUGGAUUUAGCUUCAAUAACAAAAAGAAGUAUAUAUGCCUAUAGAUAGUAUAUUAUGUUUAAACAAAGAGUGUUUAAAGAGCAUACCUUGGUCCAGAUUUUUAAUACGCACAACAGUACUACAAUCAGGUCCGAGCAAAGAUGGAGCAGUGCAAGUUGUAGAGAUAAUCUCUGCUAUAUCGUGGAGACCUUUUUCCACAGCUAUGUACAUUGGUGUUUUACCGUUGUCGUUUUGAAUAUGUGUAUCAGUCCGAUCGGCCUCUACUAGUAGCUUAACGAUAGUAAAAUUUCCUCUCAAGACUGCUGCAUGUAAGGCAGUGUCCAAAUCUUUAUCACCUUGCCUGAGAAAAGCUUGAAAAGAAGUGACUUCGGGAUUACCAUCAUCAUCUGAAUGAGGCAAAUGGCGAGCUGCAUCAAUGAGGACCUCGGCCACUUCAGUUCGUCCUUCGUAUAUAGCCAAGUGAAGUGCUGAAUGCUUAUAUCUACUAAACUUUGCUAAAAGAUUUUUGUGUGCAAAUUCCCUCAAAAUGAAUCUCACACGUUCAAUAUUCCCCUCCUCUGAUUGCAGGUGAAGGAUAGUUUCUUGAUAUCGGUGCAGUCUAUCAGCUUCCAUCUCCAAUUUGGCAAUAGCUUCAGCAUCUCCGGCCAUGGCAGCAUCGAACAGAGUAUCCAGAUCCAUAACUAUAUUUUACUCUACCACUGCUCUGCCUGGUGGAAUUUCACGGAUUAUAUACAAGAAACUUGCUAGCAUCCAGGAGCUAGUUAUAUAAAUAGAAGCUUGGUGUAUGGCUGUAUAUUAACAAGAUGUUGACCAACCAAAAUGCUACGUCAUGCUCAUGUAAAUUGGUUGUUGGGCUUGGUAAUGAUGAUGCGUUAUAAUUUUGAGAACUAAAAAGUAAAUAAUGGUUAAAUUGGUUGCCGCUUUAAACCAUGAAAAUAAUAUAGAUUUAUCUUAGACGAUCUCGAUCUUUAGAUUCUUAAUCAAAAUAUGUUUUCAUUAAGUAGAGUAUGACUAGAUUAUAAGGGUAAACUUUUCUAUUUUUAGAUGUAGGAAACUUUUCUAUUUCUAGAUGGAGUUUUAUUUCAAAAAAUAAAAAAGAAUUUUAAGAAAGAUAAAAAAGAAAUAAAUAUCAAGAACCAAUUGUGUUAUUUUAUUUAUAUAGAUAGAUGGUAUAAUAUGAUUACCUCUUGCUUCGUUAAUACCCUGAAUUAUGAUUGUUUUAGGAUAUCAUAAUCCAAGUAAUUUAAUUCACUAAAAUGGCAGCAACAUCUCCUUUCAGUGUUUCAGCUCCAUAUCCAAUGCAGUUAUGGCAGCAGCAUCUCUGGCAAUGGCAGCUGCAUACAAAGCAUCUUUAUCCAUAAUUAUAUAUAUCUUAUCUUCUAACAGAGUUCUUGGCUAUAUAUGUGUAUGUAUAAAAAUGUCGGGUUAAAUCUCUCGGUUAAUUCAGUAAAAUGUGGUGCUAGUUAUCCAAAAUUACUUGUCUUUCUAAAAUGAUACAAAGUAAUAAAGUCUAAACACUGAAUUAUACAAUCAACUAGACCCAUUAACAAUACUCAUCUAAUCAAGAAUCCACAUGCUACAAGUGGCCAGGUUUGUAAGAGAAGGACGUCAGAAUAAACAACAACAAUUUGCAAGAAUCACAGGUGCUAAAAAACACUUAAAAAGUCACUAUAAUUUCUAACAACUUAUUAGUUGACCUGAGUGACCUCAAAAAUUUUACUUAUUACUUUUUUUCUAUAUCACACAUCAGAAUGCUUAUUGUACACCAGUAUAAACUCAAGCUCAUAUCAAUUAUUAUAUCAAACGCGUAAUUAUCAAUACUUCUCUGAUAAAGAAGUUUAAACUUCAGCUUAUAGUCUACUAGAGUCUUAGGUUUGUACUUGCUUCAAAAAGAAUAUAAACUCCAAGCAGUAUUGGAACUGGGUGCAUUUUAUAAAAUUAUUUCAUAUAUAUACUAACUUCAAAAUAAUUCUCCAAUAUUCUUUCAGAUUGGUGGAAAGUCAAACAAGCGGAGCACUAGAAUCCAAAUGCUGCAUGUGGCUAGUUCUGCAUGAGGACAUUGAAGUAAACAAAGCCAGUUUGUAUCAGUUACAGGCAAAAAUACAUAGAAAAAUGCCACUAUGAUUUCUAACAACCAAAUGGUUGACCUUUAUAAGUUAAACCAACAGUGUAAAAUUUUAGAAAUCCUGAUAAAUAAGUCCGAACUUCAACUUAUAGUCCAGUAAAAUGGAGCUAGCUAGGAAGACUUGUAGAUCAGUAAAAACUAGAAAGUCUUUGUAUAAUCAUAUAUGUCAUAAUUGUGAUGUAUGAUUUGAGCCUUAAAGAUGUCAACUGUGUAAUAAUUUAAUAACAACACAAUUCUUUAAUUUACACUCUACAUUUAUGUCUACUUAAUUAAGUAAUCUACAACUGUGAUCUCUUAACAGCUCCAUAGUUUCAACAAAUUAUACUCAAGAUGAUAAGUUUCAACCUACCCUUAAACCUCACACUUUCUUUAAUUUAAAAUGUUUAUGCCUAGUUGUAUGCUAUAACUAUAUUCAUAGACCCUCCUCCUCUCUUACUCUUCUCCAAAGUUUUGGUAUCUGUAUUAUAAGUCCUGAAUUAUGUCAAUUUGUAAGCUGAAUGUGAACUUUAUUUCUUAAUUAAAAUCAAGUACUGGAACACGGAUUCGGGACAAAUUAACCACUGAUAUGUAAAGCUGAGUCGGGAGACCAUUACCAGAUCAUUUUGUGGGUAAAUUCCCAUCAGAUUGGCCUAAAAAGGAGCGAGUUCAUCCUAAAUACAUACUGAUGUAAUAUAGUCAACAGUUAAAUUAAUGUGAGGCAUGGUAGAUAGGCUUCUAAGUUUCAGUGAAUCUAAAAUUAAGAACUCAGAUGUUAGCUAAAUAUGAAAGAUAAGAUAAUAAUUACCCUGUUCUAUCGUGAAGUACAGCGAAGCCCAAACAAACUCGAGGGUUUUUACACUUCACCUAAUUGUCAAGAUCUUUAGCACUAGACUCUAAUGGGAUGUAGUUAGGUACGAAGGUCUAGUACAUUAUAUUUAAUCACUCCAAAUAAACAACAACAACAACAUGGCCUAAUAAAUACCACCCCUCCCGAAUCCAAAGGACCAACAUAAGCUUCCUUUACUUGAUCAGAAUUAUAUAUUAUAAUAUAAACUCUCACACAUCAGCACGGUCAUAUACGACAACAUAAUCAAAGGUCAUUUGCACAAGAAUUCACCUGUAUCUAGACAUCUGAUUGCACGUUUGCUGAAGAAGAGGAGCGGAGCAUUAUCGAAAAUCCAGAAUUUGAAGUGAUGUUCUUUCGUCACUUGAUUAAUUCCCAACUCCAUUUACAGAUGAUUGUAAUCUAUACUCUGUUUUGGUUUGAUUUGAUAUACCCAAACAAAGCGAAUAGAAAUAGCAUUGUCUUGUGUUAACCUCAACUCCGCAUGAUAAAUCACUUGAUUCACCACGCCUUACUUGAUUACAUAACAAUUCUUGAGACACACGAAUUCUAUCAAACACUUACAUGCACUCUCAGGUAAACCCCAAGUACUUAAAACGAUGUUGUUGCAUCGUUUUUGAAGGAGCUUGUUGCGAAGAAUGGAUUAAAAGUUUGAAUAUUUGGGUCAGGAGAUGAAUAGCGGUGAGUGUGUAGACUAGUUGCUGUCAGUGGGAGUGAUGAGGUGGAAGACGAGAUGGGUGCAGGGGUGUGAAGGGGUUGUCCAAACAGUUUAACCCGACCCAAAAUGACCCUAUUUUCAGUCGAACCAAAUCGAAGAUUUUAAAACGUUAUUCAAUUGGGUUGAAUCGGCUCCAACCCGGUUUUAAUGGGUUGGGUAUGGUUUUAGAUUUUAUUUGACCAACCCAAUCCAACCCGAAUGUAUUUUAAUAAAAAUAUAUUGUAUUGUAUAUAUAUAUAAUAUGGGAUGAUCAAAUACAAACCAACUUUAUCAUACAAACCUAAAAACUAGUUUCAAAAUUAACAACUAUCCCCUCAAACUUUUAAAAACUAACAAAAUCCCCCCCCCCUAGUUUUGUCAUCAACUUCCCAAAACUUACACUUUCCACUCUGUCACGUCACCCUGCCACAUCACCCUCCACGUCAGCAGUGGGGUCACCCACUGCUGACGUGACAGAUGACGUCAGCAGUGGGCCCCCAGAAAAUUUUAAGAAAAAAUAAAAAAUAAAAAGAUUGGAGUGCUCAUAGCAAAAAUAGGAGUGAAAAUAAUGGUUUUUAGGUUUGUAUGGUAGUGUGGUUUGUAGUGGAAUAGCCCCCUAUAUAAUAUAGUUACCGAAUGAAAUUAUAGUGUGAUAUAAUUGAAUUAUAAAAUUGGUAUCUUUACUAGAGUUUCCUUCAAAAUAUCUUUCCUCUAGAUGGGUGGGUCAAGAAACGGACUACAAUGUAAUGGUAGUAAUCUUCAGAAAUGCAUAAAAAUAUACCUUCACUUUUUAAUUUUUAAAUUCAUUUUUAACUUUUUCUUCAUUCAACUUCUUUCAAAAAUUAAACUAAAAUAGUUUAUUUAACUUAAACUAGUCAUAAGAAAUAAAAACAAUUGCUAGAUGAUAACAGUCAAGUUGUUCAACAAUAAAAUAAUUACACAAAAUAAAAUUAAAUAUAAUAUUUGUUAUUUUAUAAGGCAAACAAUAAGUUAGGGCUCAUUUGUUUGCUGCUGAUUAGUGCUUAAUGAGUAAUGAGCUGACCGCGUCAGCAAUUCAGCUUGUUUGUCACUAAAUUUAGGGAAGCAUAAUGAAUCAGUUCCUGUUGAGCGGCUCCGUUUUGAGUUUAUAACCCAAUGAUUCAGCACAGCGUUUACAUAUAACCCACAUGUAUAAAAAAUUAGUCUAAUCUAUAACCAAUUAUUUUUGGAUAUUCAUAUUAAUUUAUGCUUGCAAUAAAAUAUUGUUAUACUUUAAAUAAGCUCAGAUAUCAAAAAAUUUAAGACGUAGAAUUCGGUAUAAAAUUUCUAAUUCUGAUAUGAUUUAUAAUAUUGUAAUAUCAAACAUUAAUUUAUUGGAGUUAAUUUUUUUGGCUUGAAACUAAUUAAAAUACAAUGUUCUAUUUAAAUAUAAUAUUAUUAAAUUAUAGAAAUGUUUUAUGUUAAAUAAUUUUUUUUUGAUAAGAUUAUUGUAAAUUGAAUUCAUUAUUUCAAAACCUAUUUGUCGAAUGAUAUUAUUCAUUCUGGGAUUCAGAUAACUUACCAGCUCAGCUCAUUCAGAUAGGAUAACGAAUCAGAUAUUUUUAAUUCAGAUUUUCCAAAUGACCCCUUAGAUCAUAGAAGAAGGGUUGAAUAUAAUCUACAAAAAUUCCAAACUAUUUUUGCUAAACCAAUAAUAUUCAAAACACAAGAGAUCAAAAUCUAAACAGAAAUUUAAAAGAAAAGGGAUCUUAAAAAUUUCAGGUGGAUUGUUUUCUCCACCUGAGAUAUUUUUAUAUUAAGAACCUCCCGAGUAAAAAAUUUACUUGGCUGCUUACAAAAGAAUGAAGAGCUAAAGCUUACAAUUUCUGUCUUGCUAUCUCUACUGCUUUGUUUUUCAGUUCUUGAUGUGUUGGAUACAUUGAAAUAAAAAUUACAAUGCAAAUAUAUACUACGGAAUGGCUAUCAUGUGCCCUUCGGACACAUGAUAAGUAGUAAUUAAUAUAGUCAACUACUUUUAUAUGUACAUAGUUAUCAGUGUAUUUGUACAGAAAAUCAUUCAAAAAUUCAUUAACUAUGAACUACUUUUAUAUUUACUCCCUCUGUUUUUUUUAUAUGACGCUUUGACUUUUGACACACACUUUUAAGUGCUUUGACCGGAUAGUUGAAAAUAUUAUUUUUUGAAUUUUUUUUUCUGAAUAAAAAUUUUGAGUAUAUAUUAUUAUUCAGAAAAGGAAAAUUUAAAAAAAUAAUAUUUUCAACUACCCAGUCAAAGCACUUAAAAGUGUGUGCCAAAAGUCAAAGCGUCAUAUAAAAAAAACAGAGGGAGUACAUAGUUAUCAGUAUAUAUUUAUUUUUAAUUUGUCUUCUAAAUUUUAUAUUUAUAAUAAAAUAUUAUUUUAUUUCAAAAAAUGUGAGAACGUACAAUAAUUCUUUUGUCAUAUUUUAUAUGACAAUUUUUAAUUCACUACAAGAAAUUCAGCUUUUACCUACCAAUAUUAUGUGUAAGUAAAACUACUCUAUUGGUAAAUACAUAUCAUUUUUCUACUAAUAAAGUAUUGGUAGCGAGUGGUAGAUAAAGGUUAGUAGCCAAACACUAUUUACUUACACAUAUAUAAAUUGGUAAGUAAAAUAUUAUGUAGGCUCCACAUGGUAUUGAGUCAUCAGCUUAUGUGUCCAUGACACAUGUCAUGAUUAGGACUAUCCAUGUGGCGCCAUAUCAGUGGGCCAUGUGGCACCUGGUCAACAGGACAUGUGGCACCCGGUCAUCAUGCCACGUGUAUUGGGUCAUAUGUGACAACUUGGAGUGGUGCCUUGUCAUCAUACACGUGGCGCCUUUUUCGUAAUGCCACUUGGCGCCUUAUAUAUGGCCCAAAUUACAACAACUGAAUUACCACGUGUUAUUUUGCUAAUUUUUAAUUAAUAAUAUAUAAUAAUUUUUCAAUUAGUUAUUUUUUGCUUUAUUUACUCACAAAUAUGAUACUUUUAGGUGAAAAAAAUUAGAUAAAUUCUAAAAUAUCUAAUAAAAAGUGAAAUGUAACAACAUAAAAGCCUAGAUAUUUCAACAAGAAAAAAAUUAUUACAUGUUCAAAUAAUAACAGAAAAACUAGAAAGGAAUACUAAAUCAUCCUGAAUUUUCUAAAUUAGCAUGAGAGACUUCAUCUUUGGGAGAUGAUGUUUGCUGUGGCAUAAGAUUAUUCUUCUGUAGUAUGUCAACAACUUCAUUGAGACGUUCUUUCGCUUCAUUAAGUUGUUCAACUAUUUCCUGAUAGGUUGGUUGGUUUGCCUGACUGCUAGUACCAUGACCUGUUUUGGGAAUUUUAGCACUAGCAGAACGCCCCCAUCCUCGCAAGUAUACUGAACAACGACCAAGUACCGUUUCCAAGAUUUCUUUGUCUGACAAUUCUUCUGGAGAAUAUAUUUCUCUAAGAUUCAUCAUAUCCCCCUAAUAACAUAAUAUUUGAAAUUAAAAAAUAAAACAUAAAGAAGAAUUAGAAUCAUUCAGAUUGCAGAAAUAUAAGGAUAAUAGUUAUAUAAGAAACAUAUUAUGUUAGUUUAGUACAUUUGAAGUCUAUAACAAAAUACUUACAUAUAAAUCUUCAAGUCCUGGUCCAGUCCAUCCAUCUUUAUCAUGAUGAUUUUGACGCCAUGUCUCAAUGUGUCCAGUUAAAGAGGUUAAUGUCAUUCCACGUCUAAUAUGAUGUCGUGGUGUAGAAACUGACCCGUUUUCAGAAUUCCACCUUCUUUUAGAUCGAUUUAUGAUAUUCUUUGAUGCCCUUUCCUACAUAAAUAUGAUAGUAUCAUUAUAUAAUAACAUGAUAAAGCAAUAAAAUAACUAUUUAUUUUUAAAAAAGAAACCUGAAAUUUAGGAGAACACCAACGAUCACAAAGCAUCUCCCAAUCCUCUUGUUGGUAAUCUUUAAAGUCUGGAUGCCACUUCCGCUUAGCUAGUAACACAUCAUUUUGACCUCCAAUGCUUUUGAAGUAUUUAUGUAACUUGUACUUAUAGCCCUUCCAUGCUUUCCUCAUUUGUUCAUCGAUGCAUAACUUAGUUGUCUCAUCACGUAAGUCGAUAUCAAAAUUUUCCUAUAAAGCAUAAGAUAUUAUAUGAAUUCAAAAAAAUUGAUGUGUGCUGGUAAAAUAUAAAAUGAAGCAUUAUACAAUUUGAUGCAGAAAGUCCUAGAAAAAGCUCUAACACAAUAUAUUUCAUAAACAGCAUGGAAAAAAAUAAACAACUUGGGUGAUAGAAGUGGAAUCCGAAAAUAAAAAGAUGUUUGUCUAGUUAUGAACAUCAUUUGAAUUUAACAUAUGAGUUAAUUGCUGAUCUAGUAAAUAAUUUUAUAAAGCUAUAUAUUAUGUGUACUUAUUUCAUAGUCUAUUAACUGAAAUUUGGCUACUGAAAUUUGGCUGAUUAAAUUCUAAAGUCUACGACUAGCUUGUUUCAACCUCCUUUACAUUUAAACAAGCCUGGGAAAUUACACAAGAACCAGUAUAAUGGAACUGACCAGCACAUAUAUUAUAGUAAUACUAAUCAAGCAAGUUACACACGUGAUCCAGAUAAAUAAGAGCUUUGUAUUGAAACAAAAUAAUUAACAAAAAGCUUGCACUUGUGAAAAUACGUAAAGACUUUGACAUUAAGGAAGCUAGAUGAUAUCAAACUAGACAGGGGACCCCAACUUGAUAUACACCGGAGACACGUGUAAUGAUUUAGGCAAGUUAAAUUUCAACACUUAAACAAAGAAAUAACUAAGGUAAAAGAUGGAAGAUCCUGUCCAGUAGUAUAUAUUCUAAACAACAAUUAUAUACUUGUAAAUAUAUUAAAAAGAAGGAACAAGCUCGAUAUGCUGGUGUACACGCACAUAAAAACUAGCAAGUGUAUAAGAAUUUACCAGAAGAUAAUUUCGCAAUGGUGCUCUGACCUCCUCUGGAACUAGUCUCCACUCCUUGUAAUAAAAUAUACCAUGAUUUCGAACAAUAAAUCCGAUCUCAUUAUUAAACCUCUCAGCAUUGCUACAGAUUGGUUGCCGGCAGUUGUCAUCAUAUUUUUGUGAGGUUCUUUCGAUUAAAAUUACUUGUUGCAAAAAUGAAAAAUUAAAUCAUGUACUUGUAUAUUGAAUUCAAAAUAAAAUUUAAAAAAUUAAUACAUAAAUUUAGUAUAAGCUGAACGCAAAUUGGGUUUUCUAUUUAAAGAAUAUUCUUGAAAAUAAUAUUGGGAAAUGUUUCUGGAAUCCGUGAUAGUAAAAACAAUGAAAUACUGAAAAAAUAAAAUAAAUAAUGUUCAAGCUCUAAAUUGAUCACAAAAAAAAACUGAUGAGCAUCCCUCGUCAGGACCAUCCAGCUUUGUUUCAUGCUCCUGCCAUCCAGCUAAAUAUUGGUGUCGUCCGUUAAGUUUUUGUUUCGUCAGGCUAAAUAUUAAUUUGACAAAUGAUAGAUAUCGUUCGUUUGUUACCAUUCCUCUGUUAACAAACGAGGUCUAUUUACAUUUUAAGCUCAUGGAAUAGUGGGUUAUACCAUUCCUGAUUCUUUUUAAAAGGAAGUUGUUCUCUAUUUAUAAAAAUAUAAAUAUUAAAAAGCAUUUAAUUAGUUUUUAAUUUAUAUAAGUUAUUUUAAUAAUGUAUCAAUUCCCAUCUUAGUCGUUAAUUUUAAUUUAAUUGAUCCGAAUUAUCAUAAUUUUAAUUAUUCAUUCUUUUUGUGAAUUGAAUAAACAUAUUCAUAAAUACGAACUAGGUAUAUAUAUUUAAUUUAAUUUUUAUUCAUGAAAUUAAAAUCUUUCAAUAUUCCGAUUAAUUUACUUGUUUGUGAGUUAUUACAAUGCAUCACUUGUACAUAUUAUCUUUUUCAUAAUUUUCCUUCUGUAUAAAAUAAAAAGUUCAACCUUUUUUUUGCAUAAAAGAAAUCGCAAAAAAUAUAUCAUAUAAAAAUAUCUCUUUUAGAUUACUAAAAAACCUACAAAAUAUGAUAGCGUUACAUGGAAUGAGAUGGACUGUGUAUAUAAUUAUACACCUUUUAAUAUAAUUAUCUCCAUCUUAAUUAAUUUUGAUAUAUAAUUUUAAUUAAUGUAUUAUCUAUUAAAGAACAGUUAAUUAGUUUUUUAAUUUAAAUAAAUUAUUUCAAUAAAUUAUUUUAAUGUAUAUAAAAAUUGUUCGACAACUUUUAAAAUAAGACAAUAUGUGCCUAAAUUAUUAGAUCAUUCAUAGAGUAAAAUUUGACUAAAACUCAAUUAAAUAAACUCAAAAUUAACAUGUAAAAGUGAUUACAUAAGAGAAUUUGCAAGUUACAAGGAAUCAAAAGUGAUUGCAGCACCGGAGACUUGGUUGGAUUUGAGGAUCCGUGGAUCACAACUCAGCCAGUACUUCAGAAGGAAGAGUAAGCACACUCCAAAGGGUCUAUUUUCGUAUCCAGCUGAUGUAGAUGGCACCAAAUACUCUAUGCAUUGGGUUUAUGAAGUACAUAGGAAUUCCUGGCAUGUUCUGCUUGAUGCCACUGCACUAAACAUGGGGGAGGAACGAAUGACCCUGACUCUCCACAGUCCAGAUUUUGUUCUGUGCAAGCCUGACAAUACUAAUGCUCACCCUUCAGAUAUCACAUGUCUGCUAAUCAGAAGAUCUUUCGAUACAGGAGCUUCAGUUUAAGCAUACGAGCAAGCAGAUCACAUCUCACAAGGAACAUUAGUAUGAAUUAGUCAUGUGUCUGCCAGACAGCAUCAUGCAUGAAACACUUCAGCCAUAAACUAUACAUUGUGAAAUAUAAUCCAGAGCAUUGUCAUGGACAAAAAGAAUAUAGGCAGGAAGAGCCUAUGACAAAAAAAAAUCAUGAAGAGCCAAAACAUGUAAAAUAAUGUUAGUUCCCGAUUAAAAACAGAGCAUGUUAAAUAAUAUAAACCUAUGUGAAUAAUACAUGUUUCGCUACCUGUAUUUCUAGAGGUUAAAAUCAUUGCAGUCGUGCCUAUCAAUAGCUCUGUAACCAUUUUAUUUUGAUGGUCCAGAUCUGCAGCAAAGUUCAAUGUCUUUGAUAAACAGAACAAGUGUUAUAAAUACAGAACUCAAAGUUUUGCUGAAAUACAUUAUAAACUACCUGAUUCCUUUUAGUAUCAGGCAUCUGAUUCAUUUUCAGAAGAGGCUUCACUGUCAUGGUCACUUGAAACAAUUUCUUCACUGUCUAUAAAUAUCUCUCCAUCAUCAAACAGUUCAUUUUGUUCAGCUUCAUCUAGAUCAUCUUCAUCGCAUGUAGUUUGCUUUUUAUCGUUGGAAAACAAAUCAGCAACAAGUCCCCUUGAAAGACUUAAAGAUGUAACGUCUCUUCGAACUAAAGAUGAACUUUCAAUUAAAUCCUCACUCGGUUGAAAAGAUGGCAGGUGAACUGAUUCUUCUUCUUGAAAUACAUCAUUGUUUGAUAAAUCAUUAACCACCUCACAUGUUUCAGGAAUGUCAUAUAUAGAACGGUGAUUUACUCUUUGAACAAACCUCCAAUUUGAACCACGUUUCACGUCAAGCAGAUAAAAAACUUGUUGAGCUUGUGUUGCUAAAAAUAAAUGGUUCAUUAGGAUACCAAUCAACUGAUGUAUUAAUGGAUGUAAGAUUAUUAUCCAUGCAGAUCGAUCUGCCCCUAGGACUAGAGUUAUACCACUUACACCGGAAUAAGAAAACUUUUCGAUCAAAAAGAAAUGAUAAUUCCAAAAUCUCAGUCAAAACUCCAUAGUAAAUAAGGUUCUCAUUAUCAUGAUCACCUUAGUGCAAACUCCAGAACAUUGUGUUUUAAGAGUAUCAUCAUGCUCUUUGCAACGAAAUCGAACACCAUUUACCACACAACUUGUAUAACUAUGAUAUCGCUCUAGUGGACCUUGAGAUAAAGAGUACAAAUCCUCAUUGAUACUAGUUGAGUUUUGGACUUGCAUUUGGGAUAUCUACAAAAGCAUAUAACAUAUAUGAAGGGCAGGACACCAAAGUUAAGAAAAAAUUAAAUACAAAUUCUCACCUUUUUCUUAAACCAUGAUGGGAAUUCUUCUCUUUGUCUCACUUCAGUGGCUGAAUAUGGCAGGCCUCCCUCGAGCAAUAUUGUUCUGUGCUCACUGCAUGAAAAAUAUUUAUUUGACAAAGUGAUGUAAAUAUACAAGUCAUAUAAAUAUAUAAGGGAUAUAAGUAUGAUGCACCAAUAAUAAUAAAAAGUAAAGUACUUGCUCAAGAUAUGUUUGAAUAUCAUCUGCAGAAUUGUUUAAUAUAUACCAUUGAAUUGCAUUCUUCCAAUUUUGGAGCAAUCGAAUACAAGAUGCCCCUAAUGGACGUGUAUUAGACUUAAACACAUCCAUAUGAUGAUUUGGAAGAGGUAAAUCCCAAUUGCGUUCAGGUCUGGUAAAUCUUGUUUCUAUAUUCGGAACAUAUCUGGCUAAAAAACUCACAGCUUCAUCUACAAUAUAAGCUUCUGCAAUUGAACCAUCUGGUCUAGCCAUAUUUUUCACAUAUUUCUUAUAUAAACCCAUUUGACGUUCUGUCUCAAACAUCCAUCUCGGAGCAACCGGGCCACCUAACAACACUUGAUCAGGCAAGUGUACACAAAGAUGUAGCAUUAUGGUAAAAAAAGACAGAGGAAAUAUCUUCUCCAGCUUGCACAAAAUUAUUACAAUUCCCUGCCUUAAUUCUUCAAUGUCAGAAAUACGUAUAGUUUUGGCACAAAUUUUUUGAAAAAACUGGCAUAACUCUAUCAAAGUACCACGAAUGUUUUUCGUCAAAUAAGGGAGUAAUGCAACUGGCAAUAUCUUUUGAAGUAAAACAUGACAGUCAUGUGUUUUCAUUCCUUUCAGCUUGUUAUUAUCUGUAACACAUCGACUAAUAUUUGAAGCAUACCCAUCUGGUACUCUUACACUACGAAUAAAUUGGCAAAAACUCUUGCAUUCUUCUUUUGUAAGAGUAUAACUGGCAUGGGGUUUUUCAUAUUUAUUAUUAGUUUUCUGUCUUAACCAAAGCUCUUCACGGAUAUUUAAAUCUUGCAAAUCUUUACGAGCUUUCAAAUUGUCUUUUGAUUUACCUUCAAUAUCUAAAAGUGUGCCAAUAAUAUUAUCACAGACAUUCUUCUCUAUAUGCAUCACAUCAAGAUUAUGUCGCAAUAAGAGUUUUGACCAAUAUGGCAAGUCGAACAAAAUACUUCUUUUACUCCAGUUUAACUCUUUGGCUCCACGCUUACGUUUUCUAGAAGAAUUAUUUGGGGCUUUACCAGUUGUACGUGUAGGAACCUCCUCUAACUGUUUUAAAAUGUCUUCACCUGUAAAAGUUCUAGGGGGACCACGUAACUCGUUAGAUCCAUCAUAUUCUUUACUUCUUCUCCAAGGAUGUUUGGCAUCUAAAUAACACCUAUGUCCUAUAAAACAUUGUUUGUCGGUUAUUCUUCUAGAUCUAGUGUCCUCCAAACAAACUGGACAAGCCAAUUUUCCAGCAGUGCUCCAGCCAGAUAGGUAUGCAUAAGCGGGGAAAUCACUAAUUGUCCAUAAUACUACAGCUCUUAGUUUAAACAUGCAAUUAGUGUAUGAAUCAUAUGCAUCUAUUCCAUCCCACAACUCCUUAAGUUCUUCAAUUAAUGGCUGCAAGAACACAUCAAAGUCCUUCCCAGGAGAUUUUGGACCUGGUAUUAAUAAAGCCAUGAGAUUAUUGGUACCAUUCGGAGAAGCCCAAGGUGGCAUGUUAUAAGGAAUUAAUAUCACCGGCCACAAACUAUAGGUUGAUGAAAGGUUUGAGAAAGGGUUAAACCCAUCAGAUGCCAACCCCAUUCGAAUACUCCUGGAAUCUUUAGCAAAGUCAGGAUAUGUAUUAUCAAAAUGCUUCCAGGCCAUCCCAUCAGCCGGAUGUCGUAAUAUACCAUUUUCAGUUUUACGCACUUCUUUAUGCCAUCUCAUGUCUUUUGAAGUAUGUUUGGAGUUAAAAAAUCUCUUAAGUCGAGCCUUUACUGGAAACCAUCUAAGCCGCUUAUGGGGGAUUUUAUUCCUUACAUAACGACUAGAUUGACAGAUGACGUCAGCAGUGGGCCCCCCAGAAAAUUUAAAAAAAAAUAAAAAAUAAAAAGAUUGGAGUGCUCAUAGCAAAAAUAGGAGUGGAAAUAGUGGUUUUUAGGUUUGUAUGGUAGUGUGAUUUGUAGUGGAAUAGCCCCCUAUAGGGCUGAGCAGAACCGAACCGAAACCGAAAAACCGGACCGGACCGAAUAAUUUCGGUCCGGUUCGGUCCUAAUUUUCUGAAAAUUCGGUCCGUUCGGGUAUUUCGGUCCGGACCGAAAUAAAAUACGGUCCGGUCCGGUCCCCAUCGAAAAAUUUCGGUCCUGGACCGAAUGGACCGAACUUUUAUAUAUAAUAUAAAUAAUAUUUUUAUUUUAUAUUUUAAAUACCAUAUUAUAAUUAUACUAUCUAAUAUCUAUAGACUAUAUUCACCGUCGAGACUCUCUAUACCUAAUCUAAUCGAGCAUACGUAUACCUAAUCGAGCAUGACAGCAUGAGUUAGUUCCAUGAACAUGAGCAGCAGAGCAUCAGCGGACAAACAAAAUGAUGAAGAGUUGAAGACUAGUAGUAGCAGACUAUUUAUUUUAUUUUUGAACUAGCAGACUUGAGACUACUGUGGUGGUUUUUAAAAUUUAUAAACUUAUGACUAUUUUGGACUAUCUUUUUUCUCUUUUAUCAUGCUUGCUGAUUUUUUUUGUAAAUACAGAUUAAUUUUUUUUUAAUUCGGUUCUGGCGGACCGGACCGGACCGACCGAAUUAUUUCGGUUCGGUCCCGGUUCGGUCCAUAUGCAAACUUCGGUCCGGUCCGGUCCAGAAAAUUUUCAAAGUUCGGUCCUCGGUCCGUUCGGUCCGGUCCGGUUCUGGACCGAACCGACCGAAUGCUCAGCCCUAGCCCCCUAUAUAAUAUAGUUACCGAAUGAAAUUAUAAAGUUAGUGUGAUAUAAUUGAAUUAUAAUAUUGGUAUCUUUACUAGAGUUUCCUUCAAAAUAUCUUUCCUGCACAUUUGUCACUCUUUUGCUUGUCUUUUGAGAGCUGGAUAGUGAAGCUACUAUUCUUCAAAAAUUCCAGCUUAUUUUAAUGCUCUAUAAAUUGUAAGCAAUUUUAAAACUUCUAAAUAUGCAAUUUAGCGGCUGGUAACCCGUCCAAAUCGGCCCAAACCAACCCAACCUGAAGCAUGACAAAUUGGGUUGGGUUAUAAAAUAAUUUUAAUGGGUUGGGUUCGAAAAUUAGGAAACCAAUAUUAAUGGGUUAGGUCGAUAAAAAAUUUAAACCGGGCCAACCCGGCCCGCGUACACCUCUAGAUGGGUGGGUCAAGAAACGGACUACAAUGUAAUGGUAGUAAUCUUCAGAAAUGCAUAAAAAUAUACCUUCACUUUUUAAUUUUUAAAUUCAUUUUUAACUUUUUCUUCAUUCAACUUCUUUCAAAAAUUAAACUAAAAUAGUUUAUUUAACUUAAACUAGUCAUAAGAAAUAAAAACAAUUGCUAGAUGAUAACAGUCAAGUUGUUCAACAAUAAAAUAAUUACACAAAAUAAAAUUAAAUAUAAUAUUUGUUAUUUUAUAAGGCAAACAAUAAGUUAGGGUUCAUUUGUUUGCUGCUGAUUAGUGCUUAAUGAGUAAUGAGCUGACCGCGUCAGCAAUUCAGCUUGUUUGUCACUAAAUUUUAGGGAAGCAUAAUGAAUCUGUUCCUGUUGAGCGGCUCCGUUUUGAGUUUAUAACCCAAUGAUUCAGCACAGCGUUUACAUAUAACCCACAUGUAUAAAAAAAUUAGUCUAAUCUAUAACCAAUUAUUUUUGGAUAUUCAUAUUAAUUUAUGCUUGCAAUAAUAUUGUUAUACUUUAAAUAAGCUCAGAUAUCAAAAAAUUUAAGACGUAGAAUUCUGUAUAAAAUUUCUAAUUCUGAUAUGAUUUAUAAUAUUGUAAUAUCAAAUAUUAAUUUAUUGGAGUUAAUUUUUUUGGCUUAAAACUAAUUAAAAUACAAUGUUCUAUUUAAAUAUAAUAUUAUUAAAUUAUAGAAAUGUUUUAUGUUAAAUAAAAUUUUUUUUGAUAAGAUUAUUGUAAAUUGAAUUCAUUAUUUCAAAACCUAUUUGUCGAAUGAUAUUAUUCAUUUUGGGAUUCAGAUAACUUACCAGCUCAGCUCAUUCAGAUAGGAUAACGAAUCAGAUAUUUUUAAUUCAGAUUUUCCAAAUGACCCCUUAGAUCAUAGAAGAAGGGUUGAAUAUAAUCUACAAAAAUUCCAAACUAUUUUUGCUAAACCAAUAAUAUUCAAAACACAAGAGAUCAAAAUCUAAACAGAAAUUUAAAAGAAAAAGGAUAUUAAAAAUUUCAGGUGGAUUGUUUUCUCCACCUGAGAUAUUUUUAUAUUUAGAACCUCCCAAGUAAAAAAUUUACUUGGCUGCUUACAAAAGAAUGAAGAGCUAAAGCCUACAAUUUCUUUCUUGCUAUCUCUACUGCUUUGUUUUUCAGUUCUUGAUGUGUUGGAUACAUUGAAAUAAAAAUUACAAUGCAAAUAUAUACUACGGAAUGGCUAUCAUGUGCCCUUCGGACACAUGAUAAGUAGUAAUUAAUAUAGUCAACUACUUUUAUAUGUACAUAGUUAUCAGUGUAUUUGUACAGAAAAUCAUUCAAAAAUUCAUUAACUAUGAACUACUUUUAUAUUUACUCCCUCUGUUUUUUUUAUAUGACGCUUUGACUUUUGACACACACUUUUAAGUGCUUUGACCGGGUAGUUGAAAAUAUUAUUUUUUGAAUUUUUUUUUCUGAAUAAAAAUUUUGAGUAUAUAUUAUUAUUCAGAAAAAGAAAAUUUAAAAAAAUAAUAUUUUUAACUACCCAGUCAAAGCACUUAAAAGUGUGUGCCAAAAGUCAAAGCGUCAUAUAAAAAAAACAGAGGGAGUACAUAGUUAUCAGUAUAUAUUUAUUUUUAAUUUGUCUUCUAAAUUUUAUAUUUAUAAUAAAAUAUUAUUUUAUUUCAAAAAAUGUGAGAACGUAUAAUAAUUCUUUUGUCAUAUUUUAUAUGACAAUUUUUAAUUGUUUUCAUCCACAAAUAAUAACGAGGCUCCCCUACUCUUUUUCUAAUAGUUACAAAUAUAGAAUUUCUUUGACUUGAUAAUACUUUUGGCAGCUUGAAAUUCUUUUUUUCUUUGCUAGAAAUAGAAGGCUUCGAGGUUCUCAAUAUUUGACUAAACUCAUUUUGGUUUAGCUUCCAAAAGUGGUGCACCACCUUUCACAUCAACCCGUGUGACUUUUGUCCUUUACUUGAUUUGUAACUGUCAAUUGAUAGUCAUCAACUGCUAGAAAGUAUGUAGCCGAUGAUAGCUUCUUGAAUCAUCAAUUGAUAACUCUACUUGUUAGGCGUUGAUGGAUUGAUGCAGCUUUUGAUGAUGUACUUUAUUCAGCCGUUGAUGUCUUGACUAGCCAUUGAUCUUCACUUCACUUGUAAAGAUUACAUGAUUUCAAAUAUUUACAAUUAUGUCACCCUAUAUAUAGGGCUGAGCAAAACUGAAUCGGAACCGAAGAACCGAACUUAACUGUGAAAAUUCAGUCCGGUUCGGUUUUUUUUUCAGAAUUUCGAUCUUUUCGGUUUUUCGGUCCGGAUUGAAUUAAAUUUCGGUCCGGUCCUUUUGAAAAAAUUUUGGUUCCGGACCGAAUAGACCGAACUAUUUAUAUUAAUUAUUUAAUAUAUCAAAUAUAAUAUAUGUUAUAUGUUUUAGUUGUAACUUGCAAGCCACAGACACAGACUUCUCACUCCCAGUUCAGCCAGGAACGGUGCAUCAUUACAGAUUCAAAGUUAUUCACUAAAGAAAACAAACGUAGGAUAAACCAGCAGGCAACAGCUAUCCACCAACCCUCACGACCUUGGGCCACUGUACAGAUUCAGACACACAAUUAGCAGUACACUAGUCUCUAGGUCUGCAAGUAUAUUCUAAUGCACACUUGUACCAGGAAGUGAUUAACAGAAAUAGACUAACAAACUAAGCUUGUGAUUUUCAUAUUUUUGAUAAAAAAAUUCGGUUAUUAUGGAAAGAACCUAACCGAACCGGAAUAUUUCGGUUCGGUUUUGGUUCAGUCCAUAUGCUAAUUUUGGUCCGGUUUGGUCCGGGAAAAAUUUCAAACUCGGUUUUCGGUUCCUUCGGUUCGGUCACGAACCGACCGAAUGCUCAACCCUACCUAUAUAUACAUUCACUGAUAGAACAAUUGCUAUAUCAGUUGAUCACUAUAACAUGUAUCAACUGCUAGGAUACCUACAGUUUUGUUACAGUACCACAUCAGCCGUUGAUCAAUGGCUGCUACAAUAAGUAUGCUAGCCAUUGAUCAGCUACAUUAAAAAAUUACUAAGUACAAAAACUAAGUGUUUUGUAUCAUUAAGUAUAACAUAUUCCUAACAAUCUCCCCCUAUAUAUAUUUGGUGGAAAUUCAGAUAUAAAUUAUGGGUACUUGAUAAUAACAAAACACUAUACAAAGAAAAUUACAAAGAAGAAUCAUUGAGUUGAAGAAUAUGUAAGAUUGUCAGUAUGUAAAAUACAAGAGUUAAAGAGAAUACAGUACAGAUGAAGUGCUCCUCUAGACGGAGCAAAUUAGAGUCAUUUCUUUUCUCUUGCUUUGUCUUCACUCCUUUUGUUGAACCUCUCUUCCCUUGCUUUUCCAACUUAAUAUGAUCUCUCUUUGCCGAGCUGCAAUAAAGUCAGCUUCUUCAGAAAUCUUUUGAUUGAGUAGUUUCUUCAUGUGCCUAUGAGUAUCAAUAUCGCCUUCUUAGCAUAGUCCUCCAGCCUAAAAAAUCUUUUGAUUCUUUGUUUAUCCCUAAAAGUUAUCAGCUUAGAAGGUUGAUCAUGAACAACUUUGCCAAUAUUAGGGAUGGACAAUCUCAAUGGUAGGCCUGUAGGAUUACUCCAUCUUCUUUGAAUAAUGCUUCACACCACUUGCAAAUCCGCUUCUUGUAUCCAUCUUCAUAUAGAUAGUCUUGAGAGCAUAGUAAUCUUGAUCAAGUAUUCUUUAUAAUGGCUAAGUGAUCUUGGGUACAGCUUUGUAGAUGAAUUCCAACCUUUCAGGAUAUUUGUGAGUUGCUGCCAAAGCCCUUACUUUCUCAAAUUCAUUUAGAUAUAGCUUAAUGUGAGGCUGUUCACUAAGAUAAAUGACAUAAGAAAAAUUUGUCUUGGGAACUUUGACAAUCUCAGACACAGGUGGAAUUACAACUUCUCUAGAUGGAGAUUUUACUUUAACUGGCCCAACUGGAUCAAAUCUCUUAAGAUUACCUUGUUUCUUCUCAAUUUGCACAGGCUUAGAGAUUUUUCUUCUUAAAAAAGAUUUACCUUUCUUAGAUCCAAGAGAAUCAGCCUUCUCAUCUUCUUUGGAGAUAAAGAUUUUCUCAUCUUCUUUGGAGAAAAAUUAAGAGAAGGACGUGAAAAUUAUACCUUAAUAGAAGUUGUUUAUGUUCAAGAUCUUGGCUAGUUUUAUGUUUGGAAGAUUUUUAUGUCGUCGUAGCGGAUGUUGAAGAUUCUGCCAUGUAUAAUUUUUUUGGUUGAUUUGUAUUUGUAUGACGGGGUUUUUGUAACAAUCGUUAAAUUUCACAAGUACGUAAAAUAUAGUUAUUUAAUUAUUUACCGUGUAAAAAAAUAUAUAUUUUAUUAGUCUCGGAUUUAAUAAAAAUUUAUAGUGCGAGAAGUCUAUAUCAAAAUAGUGUAGCCACGAAAAGGCUAGAAGACACGUAAUAUUAUUUGGUAUGGAUCAGUCUUUUAAUCUAAAUAUAUACGUUAACCAGAAAGCUGCGUUUAUACAAAAAAUAGAAUAGACACGAAUAUUUAUUUAUUGACCGACUCAUAAAUAAAUAUUGCGUCUUGGUCGAGAUGAUUAUUUUAUUCUUAUUAUUUUAUAAUUUUGGGGUUGGCCAGAAAAUAUUAAAAUAAUUAGUAAUAUAUUUAUUUAAGUAUUUUGUAUGAUUUUGAAUUGUUUAAUAUUCACGUUUAAUUAAAAACUGAAACGAAAAUAAUCCGAGCGGGAUCGAGUAAAUUAAUAAUUAAAAGUUUCUUGGGGCGUAAGAAAAAAAACUUCUAGCCCAAGUCUUUUUCCUUGGCGCCCAAGUAAGCUAAUAAUUAGGAAUAAAUUAAGAGUGGAUUAGUGAGAUAAUUACAAUUAAAAAUUUAGUAUAAAAGCGACAAGCCAAGACACCUACAUUUUCAGUGGUGCAAAAAUUAUAGAGUUUUUUUUUUUUUGAAACGCAAGAACUUUUAUUGAUAACCAAUCUCCAACAAGAGAAAGGUGGGAACAGUACACUAAGGUUGAAACUGAGACUUCCUAGGUCUGCACAUUGGCUAAACAUCCGAAACUGAAAUUAGAACUGAAACUACCGGAACUGAAACUAGAACUGAAGUACUAUCCUAACUUUAUUAGGCUACAACAUAUAACUACAGUUGUAGCUUGCUCUAAUAUUACUAGUGCCCACAAGCAAGCAUUUUCUUAGUCAAUAUCCUCCAUGGGAGGGACACCUUGAGAUGUUGUAAUUCACCAGAGAUCUCAUGAUGGAAGAUCUUCAUCUACAUGCAUUGGCCCAAGGAGUUGACCUGAUUCUUUAAUGCUCACACCAGCCUGCAAUCAUUUUCCUCCUGCGAGCUCCAUCUUUGGAGAAUUGAUCUGCCAGGACAUUUAAAUGCCUAGGAAUAUAAAGAAGGGUGACUUUGUGGACAAAAAUAUUAUUAUGCAGUUCCUGUAAAUGUGUAUCCCAGUAAACUCCCCGUUUGAACUUCAGGAAAUUAUUUACCAAAGUAGUUGAAUCAGUAAGGAUAAUACAGGAGCGAAUACCCAGACAAUUAUGCUGUAAAUGGUCCAUCAUGAUCACUAAAGCUUUAACUUCUGCGUCAUAAUUAGACUGAACUUCCACAGGGCCUGAAAAAACUAACUUGCAUAAUCUUUUAUUAUUUAUUAUCACUCCUCCCACACCAGCCAGUAUAUUUCCGUCAAGCCUUUAAUUGAAACGAUCCAUCAAUAAAGCCCGCAUAUUGAUAGAUGGACAACCAGUUUGUGAGCCAGGAAUUCAGAUUUUUCCGAGAAUAUAUGUGGACUGAAUGGGCUGGAGAUAUCGCCCAGCUGCUCAUCAAACUCUGAGAGAUUAACUUCGCUGCACGGGCCCAUAAGAAUGCUCUGUAUUUAAUUGCUAGUUCCAGACUUUUAGGUGAAAUUCUGAAACCCCUAAAAAUUAAUUCGUUGCGAGCAAUCCAUAUUGACCAGAACAUAGAGGCUAAACAUAUGCUUCCACUUACAUGUUUGUAGAGAACGCGUAUCCGUUGGAAACUCCCUGAGAAACUUGUGACUCCAUCCUGCCAACUGCUUACUUCGAGCCAUUUGUUUAAACAUUCCCACCCCAUCUUAGCCAACGAACACUGAAAAAAUAAGUGUGCUUGUGUUUCUUCCUCAGCAUUGCACCACUUACAUAAAUUCUCAAAUCUGACUGAUCUACGCUUUAGAAGGUCGUAAGUGGGAAGUCUAUUGUGUUCUGCUUGCCAUAAGAAAACCUUAAUACGUGGAGGUCAUACACCAGAUUUGAGACCAUGAUCUAUUGUUAUGUGAAAAUUCCGUUAACCUUUGAUAAACUGCAGCUGAAGUUAGAGAAUUAUUGUUUGCAACCCAUAUUAUUCUGUCUUCCUUGUCUUGCAGGACCACCUCGUUGACAAUUUGCUUGAGAUAUUCUAGCUGACUGAUUUCUUCACGGGAAGACAAAGAACUAACAUCUAUUAUUUCUUCCCAGGAAGAACAAUUGACUAUUUGGGAGACAGACAGUGAUGGAUCUCUAAGUCGCGUAAAUAGCAAAUUCAACCGCCCUUUAAGAACACCCUGUCGAUGCCAGUUAUCAAGCCAAAAUUCUAUUGUUACACCAUUACCUAAUUCCCACUUGAUAUUUUGCCAGGAACAGCAGCUGCUAAAACAUGCGUCAGAAAUCAUGAUCACACUCUUAAUAACUGGAGAGGCAUUAAUUUUUAAUUUAUUUUUCCAAGCCUCGCGCAAAGUGUUGAGACAGUCAGCCCCAUAUUUUCCUACCAGAAUUUUCCUCCAUAAACCAUUUUUCUCUUUGUAGAAUCUCCACCACCAUUUUGCCAAUAAUGCCUCAUUUUUAGUAUCUAAAAAUCCUAUUCCUAAACCCCCUUCCUUCUUAGGUUGACAGAUAGUGGACCAUCCAAUCAAAUGCAUCUUCCUGCAGUGAUUAUCUCGCUCAUCUAAUUCUUUCCAGAAAAAACCUCUCCUUAUUUUGUCUAUUGCAUCAUUGAUUUCUUUGGAGGUUUUGAAGACACUAAACCAAUAUAUUGGCAAAUUGUUCAGUGUUGAUUUAAUCAACGUAGCUCGGCCUGCCUUAUUAAGAAUAUGACUCUUCCAAGAGCUUAACCUGGUCUUGACCUUAGUUAGGAUAGGUUUCCAAAAGGUCCGUCUUUUCGGAGAAACUCCCACUUGGAAGCCAACAUAUGGGAAUGGCCAUGAACCACUUUGACAACCUAAAAUCUGCGCACAUUGUUUUACCAAGUCUGAGCCUGGUUCAUGUGCAUAGAGUACGCUUUUUCUAAAAUUAAUUUUUAGACCUGAUAAUAUUUGAAACAGGAGUAAUAUUAACUUCACACCCUGGCAAUCCAAAAUUGAGUUCUCGGAAAAAAGAAUUGUAUCAUCUGCAUACUGGACAUGCGAGAUAGGAGGACUACUUCCCAAAAUCAGCCCCUUAAAAAAACCAAGCUCCAUUGCUUUGUCUAAUAGUAAAUGAAGAAGGUCUGCUACCAAAUUAAAGAGCAUAGGUGACAUAGGGUCACCCUGUCGUAACCCUCUAGACAUUCCAAAUUCGCGUGUUGGGCUACCAUUAACUAAAAUUGACAUCCGAGUACUUUCCAAAAUUACUUUGAUCCAUUGAAUCCACUUAUUUCCAAAUCCGAAUGCAUUAAGGGCUUUGAAGAGAAAAUUCCAGUUAACCGAAUCAAACGCUUUCUCGAAAUCUAAUUUCAAAAUGAAGCCUUUGACUCGUUUCGAUUGCACACUAUGCACCACUUCCUGAGUAACUAGGAAACUGUCUGUGAUAUUACGGCUUUUGAUAAAUCCAGACUGGACCUCUGAUACUAAAGAUGGGAUGUGUUGUCCUAGACGUAACGAGAGUGCCUUUAAUAGUAUCUUUAACACACAGUUUAUCAAGCUUAUUGGACGGAAGUCGCACACUGAAGUUGGAGUCUCUUUUUUGGGAAUUAAGCAAAUAAAUGAGGAAUUGAGGCCAUUAGGAAGCUUACCUUGAUAACAAAACUCCUGGACCAUUUUCAGGACAUCCGGAUGAAUGCUUGUCCACAUCUUUUUAAGGUACUCAACAGAGAUACCAUCAGGUCCUGGAGAUUUGUUAGAGUCCAUGCUCAUCAAGGCUCCAAAUAAUUCUUCAAGAGUAAAUUCUCGCUCCAACUGGAGCGUCUCAUCUGCACUUAAUUGUUUAGUUAUAAGCCCUUGUAUGUCAAAAUUGAUUUCAGGCUGCUCUCUGUUGAAAAAACCUUCAAAAUGAUCCAGAAAUAGAUUCUUAAUUUGAUCCGGUCUGUGAUACCAUAUUCCAUCGUGCAAAAUUCCACGAAUGUGAUUUUGCUUUCUUCUAUACUGAACCAAUCUGUGAAAGUACUUCGAGUUGCUAUCUCCAUGUAACUCCCAGUUAAGUUUGGCUUGCUGACGUAGAAUCUGUUCUUGCUCGCGAUAUAACUCCCAAAGUUGCUCUUCUGUUGCCUGCAAUUCUGGCUCACUAUCUGAUUUUCCCAACAAUGUAUUUCUUCGAUUUUCAAGACGUGAAAUGACAUCUGAGGGUUUUUCAUUAACCCUGUACCAUUCUUUAAUAGUCCAACGAAGAGAUUUUAGUUUUCCGUGCAAGUUUAAGUUGGACUCUGACAUCCGACCCCAAUGAUCUGUAACCAUCUUAAGAAAAUCAUCUUUUGCCAACCAAGCAUUGUAUACCUUGAAAGGUUUAUAUCCCCAAUCCAUACGGCCUUGACUGAGUAAAAUUGCAGCGUGAUCUGAGCUCAUCUUUCCUUGAGACUCUAACAACCAUUCUCCUUUCUCUUCCCAUACAUGAUUAAUAAUGGCCCGGUCCAGUCUGCUGCAUUUACUACCUGGUCCAAACCAAGUAUACUCUCCCUUGUGGAUUGGAACGUCCCAUAGGCCGGCCCUUGCUAGAAAUUCCUUCAGCUCCUCUGUAUCAGACUUUCUAUACUGACAAUUGUAUCUAUCUUGUUUAGAUAGAAUACAAUUAAAGUCUCCAAUUAUGCAUAUAGGUAAUGAAGAAAAACGAUCAAGCAGCAAAUUUAAAUUUUGCCACACUUGUCUUCUACGCUUUCUUUUAUGGGGCAUAUAAAGAUUUACACAACAAAAUUCUUCAUGAGGUUGUGACUUGAGCGAUCCGUGAAACCAAAUCCAGUUUUGAUCACUGUAUUGACUAAUUUUCGUCAUCAUGGUUGCAUCCCACGAUAUAGCUAAUCCCCCCGAUAAGCCUUGCGAAUUCACUGUGAUCCAUUCAUGCAACUUGCUGUCCCAAAUGGCUUCUUUUUGAAAUACUGUCCAAUUAUCACAUUUCGUCUCUUGUAAACAUAAUAUAUUUGCUUGCGUUGACCUGCUUAUUUGUCUGACUUUCCGCCUAGUAAGCGAAUUAUUUAUACCUCUACAAUUCCAACUAAUAAUUCGGAUGUGAUUCAUUGAUAACCUUAAGAUAUCUGAAAAGAAUGGAACUAAGAUUCUAGUACCAUUUUCUGAAUUUUUUCAUAUGCUUGUUGCCUGUCCUCUUGGAGAACCAGUCCCAUCAUUUCAGCUGUCUCUAGGAUUUGAGAUGUCAUGUCCUUCCCACUUUCCAACAGCUGGACUCCUCCUGGUUUAUGUGAAGGCUCCUGGGCCAUCUUUCUUUUCCCACGUUUGUCGGGACUUUUAAAUGCCUUAACCAAUUUAUCUGACUGAACUUUGGUGUUCUUCCUUUUUCGCUUCUUGAAACUCUUAAUAUCGAACACAUUUCUGAACUCUACCUUUUUCCUUGGUCGUCCUACUUUCUUGCCUAAAUUGACUUGAGACAUGCUUGUUACAAAUUGAGUAUCAAGUUGUUCCUGCGGGCCAAAAAAAUAUAUUUCAUCUCCACGUACCUCUUCUACUUCUGCAAGAUCAUAUGCUUUAUUCAUACAUGCAGAAAACAGGCCAUCCUGCCUCUUAGAGGAGUCCGAAGAGGAGUUGUCAGCUGGUUCUCGCAAGUUCCAUUUACCAUACUCCCAUUGGUCUAAGUGUAAGAUAUGAUCUCGGGCUGACAAAUCAUUGCUCUGGCUCUUUGGACGUCGAUUAUCUUGCAUGUCAAGGAUGUAACUUGAUUGUUCCUCAGGGUGAAAACUAUUCUCUAUACUUUGAUUACUACUUCUGGAGACCUCUUUCUCCGACUCUGGAAGUUGUGAUGAGGUCUGAGAAGCAGACUCUGGCUCUUUAUGUCGCUGUCCUAAAUCAUGCCCCCACACCACAAUAUUUGUUUCUUUUAUCUUCACCCAGUAGCCUAAACCCCUCACCAUUACUUUGAGGGUUUCCUCAAUUGGUAUAACCUUCCAUGUUGUAAUACAAACCAUUCUGUUAUGCUUGUUGAACAUCUCCAUAUUUUCCGGAAAUGUAGAGACUAGCGAACCCCAAUCUCCCAAUAUGAGCUCCCAUGUUUCCUUGUUCCAUGCAGAUAAUGGUAAUCCAUCGCACAGAAUCCAUGUAGUUCUAGGAAGAACUAAAUCAGAGUCCUCCACCUUUUUGAAACUCGUGAACAUGUCCUUAAUGCCAUCUAUUUCUAGGUCUUUGUCCUCGUCUAGAAUAUACGAGAUUAAAAAGGUCUUGUCUGACAGGUGUCUGACUUGAAUAAAAGUGAACCCUCUGUUUAGGAUUUUCUCUUGUAGCACAUCCUCUUGUACAGUUUCUGCUGUUGUUCCAAUGAAGCUUCUAUUAAGAAGCUUGCUGCAAUUAGGUGUGAUCGUGCCCUGGACCGUGCGGAAACUUGGUUGCUUGACCAAAUCAACCUUUUCUUUAUCAAUGUUGGGUACCCUAUUUGAUUUGACCUCCUUGACGUAGUGCUUGUUUUGGGAUAGUUUCCCAUCGACGCUUUCGAGUUCCUGCCUGCCUGACCAUUUCCAAGUUGGAGAUGCUUGGACUCGUCGAUGGGAGUCUCGAGCCAAGUACACAACCAACUUGUUGCUCCCCAUCCAUCUUCCAUUAAAAUCUGUAAUUAACUCCUGGGCUUCACUCAGCUUCGCCACUAUUAAAAAACCAAAUCUUUUGUUAAACUUGUCCUUCUUCCGAGGAAGGACAUUUUUUUUGAUGUAUCGCUUGCCAUUGAAGCGAAGCCACAUCUCUCUAAUGUUUGUGUGCUCUGGCAGAUUAUUUAUCAUCACCGACAAACAUCCAUUCCUAGUGAUCUUCUGUUUGAUGGGAUCUUCUGAGCAGGGUUCCUUUCUCCUUGCCGGUACAGAACCUGUUAGUACCUGUGCGUAUGUUUGCUCGCGUCCAUAGUCUCCAUAAGCUGUAUGUUGUUGGCCUGAUGUAGCACCGUUGUCAGGUACAAUGACUCGUUUUCCGGUAGUCGGAUGACGGGAGAUCCGGAACCACUGACCUUCCCUGGAGUUUCGAUCAUCUCCUGGUUGUUCAUUUGAAAUUUUGAAAUUUGAAUUUCUAAACUCACUUUUCUCUCUCCUCAUAUUCUCUUUUUAAGACGUGUUUUUGGUGGACAAAAAGUUAACAAACGUUAACGUCAAUACUAGUAAUUACCUAGUCAAUACUCUGUUCUAAAAGUCGGUAAAAAAUUAUAGAGUUGGAAAAGCAGAGAAGUAAAGUAAGUAUCAGUAAAAUUGGAAAGGAAGGUGAUUUUUCGUCGCAAAAUCCGGAUUAACAAGGUAAAUAUACUAAUUUUUUCCAUUAAUAUGAAAUCAAGUCUCUUUAUAGCUUUUGAUGGUGAAAUGACUGAAAUCCUAUUCAUGUGGACCCAUCCUCCUAUUUUAUUCUCUUUUACACUACUGAGUUUAUAAACAAAUUAGUAACCUUAUAAACAAUAACUAGCAUUAAAGCCCCGUGCUUGCACGGGGCUGUGGUUUAUAUUGUAUUUUAUUUUUGACAAAAUAAAGAAUAUGAAAAUGUAAAUUUGCAACCUAUAACAUUAUUAUUAAUAAUAAUAAUAACGAUAAUAAUAAUAAUAAUGAUAAUAAUAAUAAUAAUAAUAAUAAUAAUAAUAAUAAUAAUAAUAAUAAUAAAUACUACAUUUUUGAGAAAUUUAUGCAUCAAAAACUAUAUUUAAAUUGACCUUUUUAUAUUCAAAUUCGUUAGGAUAUAAAGGUUAUUAUCAUAUUACUUAAAUGUUCAAAAUUAUAUUCGAAAUGAAUACUGAAACUUUUAGAUUUUAAAUAUAUUAAUAUGAUUUUGAUAAAAAUUUGUUCUUGAUAUGUGAAUUACGAUAUCUUAAAUCGUGAUCAGAUAAAGAUGUGUGGCAUGUGUUGUUUUAUAUUUCUUCCUUUCAUUUUUGAGCAUAGAUUUGACGUCAUUCCUAAGUGAUGUAUGAUGAGGCAGAUCAUCAACACAAUCUUUCUUAGCAUUUGUUAUGCACACUUUGGAUAAAUAGAAAUCGUAACAUAUAUGUUGUAUGUAAAAGACCCAUACAUUAUUUCAUCAUAAAAGUAUCAAUUGAACUACUAACCUUAUAAUUGUACCCAAAAAAAUUAUGACACCCAUGAUGUGGUUUGCCCUUUUAAUUUUCUUAUCAACUAUAUAGUACUUCCAUGGCUUAGAUUUCAUUGCUAAUUUAAAAUAUUAGAAGAUUAUUACAUUGAUAUAGUAUGUUAUAACAUCGACUCGUUAUAAAAUUUUAAUUUUUUAUCAUUAGUUUUCUAAGCCAGAUGAGUAAGACUUUUAAUUAAUUUUCAUUUUAUUGUUAUAAACCAGAUCUCAAACAAAUAAUUUUCUGGUAUUUCAAAUGAAAAAAAAAGAGUAGAUAUGACUUAUGCCUCCUGAAGUUCGUAAAGACAUGAAAUAUUGAGCCCCAUUAGUUGUGUAGUUAUUUUUUUAGCUUUGUGCGAAGUCACAUUCUUAAAUAUUUUGAUACUCGUAUUUAUUAGUGGUAAGCAAAACAGUAUAUCAUGUUUAGUUGUUAAUGAUCAGACUUAAUAAUCUAUAUUGUGGAUUCUAGAAAAGUAUUCUGGUUCCAGUUCCGACUAAACAGAUAUUUUUUUUAACCUAAUCACGUCAGAUUAUCUAGUUCCAAAUUAGUUAAUAUUUUUUAGUUUAAUUUGUAAGUCGUUAAUCAAUUUAAUUGUAUUUUCUCAUUAUAUUUAAUUUUAUAAAUUAUGUAUUGAUUACUGGUACACUAAGAUAAAAUAACUUAUUCCUCAAUUUUUUAUUUUAUUUUAGCCAGAUAAAAUUACAAUUCAAUUGUUUUUACUAAGUCUCAUAACGCAUUUUGCUAUUAUCUAGUUUUUUUUUUUUUUACAAUAUAAAAUUUUCCCGAAUUUACAUGUAUUCACAAGUUAUGAUAUUUUAAAUCCAUGUAUCAUCAACAUUAUAUCAUUUAGAUAUACUUUUUAAUAAAAUAAAAAUGGAUCGAAUUCGGAUUAGCGAGUGCAUAAGCAGUUGUGAUCAGGAUCGGAUUCAGAUUUAUUGAUAAAAUCCCGAAUGAAGGUCCAGUUUGACAAUUUUUAUGUUAACCCCUAGUUUUUGGGCAUGUUCCUCGCAUUCAUUAUAUAAAAAUUUUCUGGGUGACCUUUAUCUAGAUUGUAAUAUUGUUAAAAAUAUUUUUCUGAAUCUGCAGUCUAUUUGUUAGAAAUUGCAUAUGAGAAAUAAUAUAUUGUAUAAGCAAGUAUGUGAUAUGAUAGUAUAGUGAAAAAAAUUAUUCGUUAAAAUAUUAUGAGCUCAUAAUAGAGAUUUUUUUAAAAAAACAUUUGUCACAAUAUCGUGAUGUGUAUUUUCUUCUAAAUUUUUAAAUUAAUAAAUAUGUAAAUUAGAUUCGUCUCUUACAGUAAUUGACAUUGGAUCCUGCCUUAGAGCUCUUUUCAGUGAAUGUGAUGCACACCCUUAAAAUUAUUUUUAUUUUAUUUAAUUUUAGGAUAUACAUAAAUAUAGAAAUACUUCAAAUAUGUUUGAUCAAAUAUUAAUGUUGUAAGAUCAAUCUUGAUACUCGUUUAAACUAUUAAGUUAGAUUUGAAUUCGUUCAUUUUUAUUCGAAUAUAAAUUAUAUCUACUUUUAGCAAUCUAAAUCAUGGUUCGAGCAACAUUAUUCAUAUUCAUUUUUAAUUUUAAAUUCACUUACAUAAAUAAUUAAUUAACAUAUAUUAAUCUAUCUUGUAAACAAUAUAUGAAACUUGGGUGAAAUAACAACUUAUCUCAGAUAAAUAAGAUAUUGAAUAGAAUAUAAAUACAACAAUUUUAAUGUAUGUGCUUAAUGCAUUUCAAUAAAAACACAAAAUGCUAGUGUAGUUCAAGUGGUUUGGAUUGUUUAUAUAUAUUUGAGAGGUCUUGGGUUCGAGUCUUAAAAACAACAUUUUUUUUAAUAUGUGAGGAGGAGUUAGGUUCGGAGUUAGGCUCAGGUUCGGAGCUAGGUAAUUUAUUUGCUCAGGAGGGAGGUUUGACAAGUACCUAUUCUGCUAUAAUAUAUAUACUAGCGUAGAAGCCCGUGCGAGGCACGGGCCCAUUAUUUUUAAAUUAUAUUUCAUAUCGUUUAUUUUUAUUAAUAGCUUAGUUUGAACUUUUAUAAUAUAUUAAUUUUAUUAAAUUUUUAAAUAUAGUUCUCUUUAAAAAAAUAAAAAACUAAUAAUAUCCAUGAAAACUGAUUCCGCACACCAAACAAAUUUUCAUAUAACUCGAAUUAGCCCAAUAUAUUUCGCACGUGAAAGAUGUUUAUACAACUAUUUUUCAGUGUGUUAUUCAAUCAAAACACGGUUGAACGUGUCUAUAGAUGAUAGAAAUUAUAGGAAUGAUUCGCAUGAAUCAUACAAUUGACCAAUGAAAUGGUAGGAUAAUUAAAAUUGAUUUAAUAUGUUCAUGUGCUAUGAUCAUCAAAAGAGAUAAGAUCGAAUAUCGAGGGACAUGCACAUAUAAAAACAUAUUUAUAUGACUCAGUUCAUAUACUAAAGAUACACAUAAUACUUAUUAUCUCUCCCUCCCUCUCUCUUUUUCUCUUUCUUUCUCUCCUACUCCUAUCUUACUUUGAUAAAUUUUUAUGUAUUUAUAUAUCUUACCCAUCAGUGUAUUUUACAAAUUAUACACCAAUUAUCAGUUAAUGAUACAUUGAUUAUUACUCGAUCAAUAGAUUAUCAAUCACUCUAUUGUUACCUUAUUACAGGAGUUUAUCGAUAUUUAACAAAUUGAUCUAUUUUUUUCGUAUUUUAUAUGUGAUAAUUUAUUUAAUAGUCAUCAGUUAAGUAUAUUGUCUAAAAUUUGACCGAGUUGAUCCGUGACUCAGUCGAGCACCUGCGCUCCAAGUUAGAUAUAUUAGUUGGAUGAUAACUCACUUUUGAGCUUAACUCCAAUAAAUCUCGACAUAACUCUAGUCAAAAUUGGAACAACUUGGAAUAUACAUUAAACAACCGAAAAAUGAAAAAUAGGUUAAGAAAAGGAAAAGAUCCAACAUAAUAACCUAAUUAUUUAACACUUUUAAAUAGGGGUGUUCACCGACCCGCACAAACCGCACAAACCGCCCACCCCGCACCGCUCCGCACGGUUUAAAUUUCACGUGGUGCGGUCGUGGUUUGAAUUUUAUCAAACCGCGCGGUGUGGUGCGGUUUGUGGUUUGACAUUUUAUUCUCGCGGUUCAAACCGCACCGCACCGCAUAUUAUUAAAUAUUAUAUAUAUGAGUAUAUAUAUAUUUAUAUAUAUAAUUAUUUAUUUAUUUAUAAUUGUAAUAUAUAUAAUAAUAUUAGUAAGUUUUGGACCAGCCCAUUCCUAUUAUGAAUUGGGCAGUUGCUCAUUAACCUAAUCUUAAGUGUAGUCAAUGGUCAGUACUGUACAUAUAUAUAGAUCUAUUUAUUGAUAUAUAAAAUACGUAAACCGCCCGCCCCGCACCACACCGCACCGCUUUUUUGCGGUGUGGUUUGUGUGGUUUGAAUGCUUCGCGGUGUGGGUGUGGUUUGUAAAAAUGGUCAAACCGCAUAUGCGGGUUGGUUUGUAGUUUUAUGAAAAAUCCGCACCGCCCGCACCGCGAACACCCCUACUUUUAAAAUUUUAUAUAGUAUUAUAACAUUAACUACAAUUUAUAAUAUAAUACACAUGUAUUCUUUAAUUUCUAAAAUCAAUUUACAAAUACAUCCAGAAUUUUUAACUAAGUACUUCUCUGCUUACCAAGUCAAAUCGAAAUUCGAUUUUCAAAAUAUUAGUUAGUAUUCAAUUGACUUGCCAUUUUAACGUUAGGACUUCAUUAAACACCAUCACCGAAAAUAAUUUUUGGAUCACAAAACAUACGUCUAUAUUUUCUGUACUCCUACUGUUUGAACGUAAGAUGUAUCAAAUGUUCGAUUUUUUAUAAAAUUUAAUGAUAACAAAUUAAUGUAAAAUUUCACUUUAACAAAUAUGGUGGUAAACUAUUAUACAUACAUGUAACUAAAAACAUGAUUAUUAAAAAAAAAUCACUCCGCAAAUAAGUAUGAAAAGUGAUUAUUAUUACAUCUAAACUAACACCAAGUUAAACCGAAAAUAAUUUGAGGUAUCCGCACAUGUAACAAAAAUUAUAAUUUUUUAUAUAAAAUAGGAUUGAAGAGAUCUUAAUUUAGUACCAUGAUUGUAGAGUUUACAUGAGGUUUAAUUAAAUGUCCCAAGUUAAUCUUAAAUUAAAUCGUAAAUAAUUUGAGAUAUCCGCAUAUGUAAAAAAGUUUGAUAACUUUUUCUUAAUAAAGUGGGGAUUAAAAAAAUUUCAGUUUAGUAUUAUAAUUGGAAAAUUUUCAUGAGAUUUAACUAAAUGUCCCAAGUUCAAUUCACUUAAAUUUAUUUUGCAUAAAUUAACCAACUACAUUAGAAUUUAAUAUUUUAAUUAUUUUAUAAUGAGUGGUCAUAAAUAAGUGAUAAGUGUGAUUAAAAUAGCAAUUACUAUGUAAGUACAUUAAUUACUAAUACUUAAUAUUUUAAAUGUAAUAAAUGAGCUAUUUAAUGGUAAUUUUGUAAUUACUUGUAAUAUAAGGGUAUAAUGGANAUAUAUAUAUAUAUAUAUAUAUAUAUAUAUAUAUAUAUAUAUAUAUAUAUAUAUAUAUAUAUAUAUAUAUAUAUAUAUAUAUAAAGGAGGAUGCAGACGUCUCUGGAAUUACUCGAUUCAGUCUUCUAAUUUUUCUUAAAUUUCGGAGAGAAAAUCAAUAUACUUAUAUAAAGGAGAAGCGAGGGGCGUGUAGGUGGCGCCUCUCACAUCACUCCAUUCUAUUUUUCUAAUUUUCUAGAAUUUUUGAAUAAAAAAUAUCAAAAAUUAGAACUAUCUUUUUAAGUUUCGGGUAUAUUAGAAGCAAGUUUCAGAAUCUGAUUUUGUUACAGAUUAUUUAUGGAAUAUAGUAGUUUGAAAGUUUUAAUCUGAUUUUGUUUCAGAUUAUUUAAUUAUGGGAAAUAGCACACAAGUCUCUCUGCACCUAUAAAUACCCCUAUAGAUUGUAGGUUUUAGAUCAUCUAAACACAACCUCCUCUCUUUCAAUACCACAACCCUACCUCUAGGGAUGGGUAUUCACCCCGCCCCGCUCGAUCCCGAUCCGAUUCCCGCCCCGUUCGGGUCGGGGAUUUGGGGAAUUUUUCGGGGUCGGGGCGGGGAUCGGAGAAAGUUUUAUAAAAAAUUCGGGGAUCGGGGCGGGGGCGGGGAUUUGUGUAUNGGAAUAUACAUUAAACAACCGAAAAAUGAAAAAUAGGUUAAGAAAAGAAAAAGAUCCAACAUAAUAACCUAAUUAUUUAACACUUUUAAAUAGGGGUGUUCACCGACCCGCACAAACCGCACAAACCGCCCGCCCCGCACCGCUCCGCACGGUUUAAAUUUCACGUGGUGCGGUCGUGGUUUGAAUUUUAUCAAACCGCGCGGUGUGGUGCGGUUUGUGGUUUGACAUUUUAUUCUCGCGGUUCAAACCGCACCGCACCGCAUAUUAUUAAAUAUUAUAUAUAUGAGUAUAUAUAUAUUUAUAUAUAUAAUUAUUUAUUUAUUUAUAAUUGUAAUAUAUAUAAUAAUAUUAGUAAGUUUUGGACCAGCCCAUUCCUAUUAUGAAUUGGGCAGUUGCUCAUUAACCUAAUCUUAAGUGUAGUCAAUGGUCAGUACUGUACAUAUAUAUAGAUCUAUUUAUUGAUAUAUAAAAUACGUAAACCGCCCGCCCCGCACCACACCGCACCGCUUUUUUGCGGUGUGGUUUGUGUGGUUUGAAUGCUUCGCGGUGUGGGUGUGGUUUGUAAAAAUGGUCAAACCGCAUAUGCGGGUUGGUUUGUAGUUUUAUGAAAAAUCCGCACCGCCCGCACCGCGAACACCCCUACUUUUAAAAUUUUAUAUAGUAUUAUAACAUUAACUACAAUUUAUAAUAUAAUACACAUGUAUUCUUUAAUUUCUAAAAUCAAUUUACAAAUACAUCCAGAAUUUUUAACUAAGUACUUCUCUGCUUACCAAGUCAAAUCGAAAUUCGAUUUUCAAAAUAUUAGUUAGUAUUCAAUUGACUUGCCAUUUUAACGUUAGGACUUCAUUAAACACCAUCACCGAAAAUAAUUUUUGGAUCACAAAACAUACGUCUAUAUUUUCUGUACUCCUACUGUUUGAACGUAAGAUGUAUCAAAUGUUCGAUUUUUUAUAAAAUUUAAUGAUAACAAAUUAAUGUAAAAUUUCACUUUAACAAAUAUGGUGGUAAACUAUUAUACAUACAUGUAACUAAAAACAUGAUUAUUAAAAAAAAAUCACUCCGCAAAUAAGUAUGAAAAGUGAUUAUUAUUACAUCUAAACUAACACCAAGUUAAACCGAAAAUAAUUUGAGGUAUCCGCACAUGUAACAAAAAUUAUAAUUUUUUAUAUAAAAUAGGAUUGAAGAGAUCUUAAUUUAGUACCAUGAUUGUAGAGUUUACAUGAGGUUUAAUUAAAUGUCCCAAGUUAAUCUUAAAUUAAAUCGUAAAUAAUUUGAGAUAUCCGCAUAUGUAAAAAAGUUUGAUAACUUUUUCUUAAUAAAGUGGGGAUUAAAAAAAUNCCGACCCCGAUUAUAUAUAUAUAAAUAAUAAUAUAUUUAUAUAUAUUAUACUAAAUAUAUUAUUAAAAAUAGAUAACCUUUAUAAUAUAAUUAAAAAAUAAUCUUUAUUUUUAUUGAUUGAUUAUCAAUAUAUUGUAAUAUAAUAUAUUUUAUAAUUUUAAAUUGUCGUUAUUUAUAUUAUAAAUCAAUUUUAAUAUGAUUUAAUGUUGAAAAUAUAAGAUAAUAUUAUUUUAUUAGUAUAUUAGGAGUUAGUAGUUUGUUUUUUUAAUUAAAAAGUAUAAUACAUAUAUUAUAAAGUUAUUAUGUUUUUAUUAAAAAAUAAAAUUCCCCGAAUCCCCGCGGGAUCCCCGUUCCCCGUUCGGAGCGGGGAUCGGGGAGAAAAAUAAUCCCCGUUCGGGGUUCGGGGCGGGGAGGAGUAAUAAAUUCGGAGAUCGGGGUCGGGAAUAGCACUUCCCGCCCCCGAAGUACCCCCGCGCCCAUCCCUACCUACCUCACUUAUAUAAAGGAGAAGCGAGGGGCGUGUAGGUGGCGCCUCUCGCAUCGCUCCGUUCUAUUUUUUUAAUUUUCUGGAAUUUUUGAAUAAAAAAUAUCAAAAAUUAGAACUAACUUUUUUAGUUUCGGGAAUAUUAGAAGAAAGUUUCAGAAUCUGAUUUUGUUUCAGAUUAUUUAUGGAAUAUAGUAACUUGAAAGUUUUAAUCUGAUUUUGUUUCAGAUUAUUUAAUUAUGGGAACGAGUAGCACACAAGUCUCUCUGCACCUAUAAAUACCCCUAUAGAUUGUAGACUUUUGGAUCAUCUAAACACAACCUCCUCUCUUUCAAUACCACAACCCUACCUCUCUCUGGCGAUAGUUCUCUUACUCGAUUUCUAACUCAGUGGUGCCGUUCUUCUGCAACGAUAAGUGAAGGCAUUUUAUACAGUAUUAAAAAAAUAAAGGUUGUUACAAGCAAAGGUAGUUAUAGACCGCUACGUGUGAGUCGACAGAUCCAAACACGGGAAAAGAAUAUAAUCUUGACAUGAUAUUGAUGGAUGAUGUCAAUAAAUUAACUAUUAGUGAUGUAUGUUUGUUGGCUAUUCUUUUAUAAUAUUUGUUUUGUUCAUCGGACAUGUUUGUUGUUAAUUUUUAUAUGAUUUAUUUUGUAUAUAUGAAAAAAUUAUUCAUGCAUAAUUUGUUUGCUUCGUUCAAGCAACUUUUAAGUGAAGGCUGUUUAUACAGUAUUAAAAAAUAAAGAUUGUUACAAGUAAGGGCAGUUAUAGACCACUAUCUCGUGGCUCUAAGUUAGAUGUUUUUGUGCACAAUCAAUCCAAAAAAAUUGGAGGAAGGUGACAAUGUAAGAACAUGAUUACUUUUAAAAAAACACAAAUAAAAUUAAGAUUCGUCGUGCUUUAAAUUGUUAAUUACGUGUAUAUAUUUAUUUUUAUUUUUUCACCAUGAAUUAUAGUCCAAUUUUGCAAUUUUAUAUAUUAGUAUUGGCAUUACAUCAAGAUUUUUAUAAUAUAAAAUUUAUUUUAUCCUACAAGUAUUAAUUUUGAAACAUUAAUAUACAUUUUAUAGACAGUCACAAAAUAUUUUUAUUAUACAAAUAUUAAUAUUGAAUCAUCAAUAUAAUUUUUAUAGGCCGCCGCAACGCGCGGCUUCUCAACUAGUAUAAUUAUAAUUCAAAAAAAUAGGUUCAAGAAUUCUAAAGAUCAUACAAUUCUUUUCUUAUUGAUAUUGAACUCUAAAUGUAACUCCAGAAUCUAGAAGAAGGGUUCUUAAUUUUUUUAUUUAGGAAUCAUAAAGGUAAUAUAAUUCUUAUUUUUUUAAUUCUUAUUUUUUUAUACAUUGAUAUACAAAUUAUUAAAGAAGUACAAUUCUUAUUUUUAAAAAUUGUAAAUUUUAUAAUUUUAUUUUAUUAAAGGUAAUACAAUUCUUUUCUUAUUUUUAAUUUUUUUUAUUUAGGAAUCAUAAAGGUAAUAUAAUUCUUAUUUUUUAUACAUUAAUAUAAAAAUUAUUAAAGAAGUACAAUUCUUAUUUUCAAAAAUUAUAAAUUUAUAGUUUUAUUUUAUUAAAGGUUACAAUUCUUAUUUUUUUAUACAUUAAUAUACAAAUUAUUAAAGAAAUACAAUUCUUAUUUUCAAAAAUUAUAAAAUUUACAAUUUUAUUUUAUUAAAUUUAAAAACAAAAUUUACAGUUUUAUUUUAUUAAUUUUUCCAAAUUGAUCACAUAAAUUUGUAUUAAACGUAUAUAAAAAAUCUACUUUUUACGGGGCUGGUCGCAUGAACUGAUAAGGAGACAUGAGUUUCUUUCACCACCUAUUCCUGCUAUGCUUCUAAUCUCGGAGAUCAUGAUCGUCUGCUGCAUAUUGCUCAACAUUAUACAACACGUGUAAAUUUUCUACUCAUUAUCUUCUUUAUGUUGAUUGCAGUGGAACUAUUUAUAACGCCUCCACAAACACUUCGUUUAAUUUUUCUAAUUUUUUGAGAAAAAAUAGUUAAAAUAACUAAGAAAUACUCCCUCCGUCCCCUUCAAUUGUUUACAUUGGAGGGGGACACGGAGACCAAGACAAUGUAUGAAAAAUAAGUAAAGUUAGAUGAAAAGUGGUGGGACGUACCAAUAUUUAAUAACAUAUUUGAGAUAGUGGAGGAAAGUAGUGGGUGUAAUAGUAGUUUUUAUUGUUAAAUAUGAGAUAGUAGGGGAAGAUAGUGGGUGUAAUGAUGAGAAAAACUUACUAUUUAUAGUAACGUAAAGAAAUGAGAGGGACAUCCCAAAAUAGUAACUGUAAAGAAAUGAGAGGGACAGAGGGAGUAGUAAUCAUAAAAGAGAUAUAAUUCUAAGUAGUUAAGAAAUAGGAAUCUUAAAAGAAAAGAGAGAUAAUUCUAAACAGUUAAGAAAUAGGAGUCUUUAAAAAAUAUAAUAGUUAAAAUAUAUAAAAUUCUAAGCAGUUAAGAAAAAUAUGAUAGCUAUAAUCUAUGAAAUUGAAUAUAUUUUUUCAAUUAUAAUUAUAAUUUUAUCAUAAUGUAAAUGAUUCUUGAUUAGUAUUGUGCUUGAGGGGAGGGCGGCCCAUAUUAAUUUUUAUCUAAAUAAUAAUAAAUUUUCUAUUAGCAUUAUGUUUGACGGGGAUACGGCUAAAACAAUUAUUUAUCUAAGUUAUAAUAUAUUUUUUUAUUAAAAUGGGACAUCGGCUUAAAAUAAUUUUCAUCCAAUUAUAAUCUUUCAUUUUAUCAUAAUUAUAAUAAUUUUUUUAUUAGUGCUGUGUGUUGGGGCGACUCAAACUAAUAUCUAUAUUAUAAUGUUUUGUUAUUUAUAUUGUAUUUGACAAAAGAGUGACUCAAACUAAUUUUUAUCUAUAUUAUUAUAUUUAAUUUUAUCAUAAUUAUUGAUUAAUAUUAUCUUUGAUGGAAGGACGGUUCAAACAGUUUUUUUUUAUUAGUAUUAAUGUGUUGACAGGGGCCACUUAAACAAAUUUUUAUAUUAAUUGUAAUAUUUUUUUAUUAGUGAUAUGUAUUAAUGGAAAGAUGACUAAAAAUAAUUUUUAUACAAUUGUAAUAGUGAUUCGUAUUAAAAUUUAUAAAAAAUCCAUAACGCCGCCGCGAAGCGCAGUAGAAAUCAGAACGACUACUCUGCUAGUGCUGGGUUAAAAAGUUUUGUUUUUCUCAAAACCAUACUCCUUCGGUCCCUAAAUACUUUUCCCAUUUGUCCUUUUCACGUUUGCCAAUACACAUUUUUGAUUAUAAAUAUCUUUAAUUUUAUAUUAGUUUUAAAUAUAAAACUUUCACCGUAUUAAAGUACUUAUAAAUACGAAUCCAAUAAGAUCACUCAUGACUAUAUUUUAUCUUAUAGAUUAUACGUAAAUUAGUAAUUUGUCUCGUGUUAUGAACAGUUCGACAUUUCAAACGGGAAAAGUAAUUAGAAUCAGAGGGAGUAUUAAUUAAGGUUUAUAUAAUUUGGGAGUAUUGAUUUUUGGUGGCUUAUUGAGUUGGCUAUUUGAAUUGAUUUUGUGUAAUUGUGCUGGAGGAUUGUUGAAUUGAGGGGAUGAGGAUGGAGGUUCGGCAGGGGGAAGCCGGAGCCGCGCCGGCAACGCCGACGGGCUCUCGGCGGCGACUGGUGUUGGAAAACAAGACUAUUAUUGCAACAUAGUGGCAGUUAUAUAUCAUAUUAUACAAGCCAAGGCCAAGCAAAUCGAAACAAAACGUGAAGGUAAAAAGCAUGCCUAUCAGUGAAUGCAAGAGGAAAGAAAGAAUAGAAUUUGUACCCGUAACCAUAGCUUGUGCAGACUGAUAACGAAGCAGAAGCCAACAACAGGUACAAAAAAGAACACAAAAGAUCAGCUGAGUCGUCAGGCCUUAUACGAAGACCUGACUGCUCUUGAAGAGAUAGUUGCCCCCACCUGCUGCGUUGGGAUGCUUGCAACACCUCCUCCAGGAUAAAACAGCUCCGAGCUUUGGCUAAGCAGCACCUCCAAAGCUCAACAACGACUGACUCCUCACUCGCCGGAAAACAACUACUGACUGACUUGUGUUUGGGAGAGAGAGCAGAGAGGAAGAAGAGAAGAGAAUGUAGGGUGUGGUGUGUAAAACUCAGCAGCUUAGUCCUCUAUUUAUACUAGAGGCUAAGUGUAACUGACCACCCCGAAUUUAAUAUAUGAAUUAAACUGCACAUUUAAAAUAAAUCAAAACUGACGAUUUAUUAUAAUGUAACAGCUGAUAUAUUAAUCCACACAUUAAACCAGCCGUUUUAUAUAUAUAUAUUUUAAUUUCUGAAUAUAUAUCAUCAGUUACAAGUCCAGGUUCAUUGUAUCUGACUUAGCCCAAUUAUGCAAUCCGACCCAGUCCAAUUGAGCCCAACAGACACAACCCAGCCCAACUGAUAAAUAAAUUCUAAUUAAAAUAUUAUAUUAAACCAAUACGAAAUAAAAUUCCCCGCCCAGGUCGCCUCGCGUACGCGAGACGCCGAGACAUUCGCCCAAAUCGCCCUUCGACCCGACCCGACCCGUCCCGUGACGUGACGUGCCGAGCCGAGGCGGCGCGCGCGUGGGCUCGUGAGAACACCACACACCAUAACACACCUUAGUAGUUAUGCACUACCCAUGUGUGUUAUACUAUAUAAAGCCAACACCCCUUUUAUUUCUUUCUAUGUGGGACAAACAACUUCUCAAAACAAGCUUUUCCAAGCUACUAACUUCAACUUCAUUUCUCUUAUGGAUUUCAUUAAGAAAAUUCUUAAACCCAUACAUGAAAGUUUAAGUCCCGAUAUCUAGAACCAACUUCCAAUCAUUAGAUUAUGGAAUUAACAACAAGAACAUAAUAAAAUUAUGAACUUAAUAACUCCAUUUUCUAACAAUCCCCCACAAAUCCAUACAGAAAUGCGUUUCAGGUUUCUCAUCAUGACUUGUUUUUCAGAGUCGGUACCCUUCCGGGUUUGAACCCUCCUAAGUUCUCUACUUCAAUGGCUACCGGAUUCAGAUGGAAUAUUGCACCUUGAAUCUUAAUCCGUUGGGUGUAACCACUUUCCAUAGACAACGACAAAUCAACGGCUAUGGAGCCAAUCUACGGCUUUGAGACAUUAAUGGUCAUGUCUCGAUCCUGUUCGUCGAAUGCUUCAAGGAAUAACCCUUUCCUCUAAUUGCGACCACACAAUUACAUUCGCUUAGCUGGGCAUCUCCAGAGAUAUACUGCUAAUAUCUCGUCUAACGACUUGAUCCCAUUCAGAGUUGUUACACUCUUACUAUCUUAGCAGUCACAGUACCUUCUAGGUUUACAAGGGAUAGACUCAGAUACAUGAGUAUCAUCUAUGUAGCAAAGGUACUACCAAUUCACCCUUACAGCUUGUUAUUACCACAUUGAAUACACUUCGAGGGAUCUCCUCUCAUGUGUAUUGGGUUCCCACUGUUGAUGAAUUAUGAUGGGUUGACAGUCCCAUCCCCAACCUUGACUUAAGGACUACUGCAGGUUCCAGUCCUUUAGUCAAAGGAUCAGCUAUAUUAUUCUGAGUUCCUAUGAACUCUAUAGCUAUAAUCCUGUCAGACACUAACCCCCUUAUAGACUUAAGUCUAACUUGGAUGUGUCUCUUUGUUUUAGCAUUAUGCUUUUUACUGCUAAUCUUGUCAAUAGUUGUUCGACUAUCACAAUGAAUAGCAAUCGCAGGAAGCGGUCUGCUUACUACAGGUAACGUGGACAUAAGCCCAUGUAGCCAUUCAGCCUCCGUCCCAGUGGCAUCAAGUGCACACAACUCAGCCUCAAAUGUCGACCGAGUCACAAUAGUCUGUCUAGUCGACUUCCAGGAUACUGCUCCACCCGCAAGGGUAAACACAUAUCCAGUCACUCCAUUGGAACCAGACUUCUUAGCUAUCCAACUUGCAUCACUGUACCCUUCAAGUACACCAGGAAACCUCCUGUAGUGUAAACUAAGGUACAUUGUGCCUUUCAGAUAUCUAAGUACUCUAUCAAGAGCAUCCCAAUGAGUUCUGUUUGGACAGCUUGUAUAUCUAGCCAACUUAGACACAGAAUAUGAGAUAUCUGGUCUAGUACAGUUAGCAAGAUACUGCAAGCUCCCAAUAAUCUGAGAAUACCUUAACUGAGACACAGGAACUCCAGAAGUAUUCUUUACAAGGGCAACUUUAGGAUCAUAGGGUGUACUAGCGAUUCUACACUGUGAAUAACCAUAUUUCUCAAGUAUAGAUUUCUCUAUAUAAUGAGAUUGAGUCAAGGUUAUUCCUUCAGUUGACUGAAUCAGUUUGAUUCCAAGAAUCACACUAGCCUCCCCCAUAUCCUUCAUUUCAAAGUGCCUUUUUAAGAAUGCUUUUGUCUCGUUAAUAAUCUCAAUAUUGGUUCCAAACAAUAAGAUGUCAUCCACAUAUAGGCAUAAGAUGACAUACUCACUGCCUUUAACUUUGAUGUAGACACACUUAUCGCUUUCAUUAACUUUAAAACUGAAUGGCAAUACAGUAUCAUCAAACUUUUUAUGCCAAUCCCUGGGAGCUUGUUUCAAGCCAUAGAUGGACUUGAUUAACUUACAUACUUUCCUUUCAUUGCCAGAUGCAACAAAUCCCUCAGGCUGAUCCAUACAAAUCUCUUCUUCAAGAUCACCAUGAAGAAAAGCCGUCUUUACAUCCAUCUGAUGGAUGAUAAGACCAUGGACCGAAGCCAAUGCUAUAAGCAUACGGAUUGUUACCAUCCUAGCAACCGGAGAGUAUGUGUCAAAGUAAUCAAUUCCUUCUUUCUGCUUAAAACCCUUUGCCACCAGUCUAGCUUUGUACUUAUCUAUUGAGCCAUCAGGGUUUAACUUCCUCUUGAAGACCCACUUGCACCCAAUAGUAGAGCACCCAGGAGGGAGAUCAACCAACUCCCAUGUUCCAUUAGAAACAAUAGAGUCAAUUUCACUCUUUACAGCGCCCUUCCAAUGCCUAGACUCCGAAGAGUCCAUAGCCUGUCGGAAAGUUAAAGGUUCGUCCUCGACAUUGUAAGUGAUAAAAUCACUUCCAAAAUCCUUGACUACCUUUGCACGCUUACUUCUCCUUGGUUCCUCUACUUCAUUAGGAGUAGAACUACUACCAGGUUCCGCCCCCACAUUUGUCAUCUUUUCCACAUGAUCGGGAAUAGAACUUGAUGUGUGAGUGGGAUCCUUAUCAUAGGUCUCUUGAGGUAUACCAGUCUUCAUAGGGUAGACAUCCUCAAAGAAUGUAGCAUCACGAAAUUCAACUAUCGUGUUAGCCACUAUACCAUCUAUGUCAGAUUUUAUUACUAAAAAUCUCAUAGCUGUAGUGGUCUCAGGAUAGCCCAGAAAGAUACAAUCAACAGUCUUUGGACCUAGUUUCUUUCUCUUGUGUUCAGGGACAAGUACCUUAGCAAGGCACCCCCCACACACGAAGAUACUUAAGACUAGUCAUCCUGCCUUUCCAUAACUCUAAAGGUGUCUUAUCCAUGUGUUUCAGAGGAACUCUAUUCAAAAUAUGGCAAGCCGUAUUUAGAGCCUCUUCCCACAUGUAUUUAGGCNNNNNNNNNNNNNNNNNNNNNNNNNNNNNNNNNNNNNNNNNNNNNNNNNNNNNNNNNNNNNNNNNNNNNNNNNNNNNNNNNNNNNNNNNNNNNNNNNNNNNNNNNNNNNNNNNNNNNNNNNNNNNNNNNNNNNNNNNNNNNNNNNNNNNNNNNNNNNNNNNNNNNNNNNNNNNNNNNNNNNNNNNNNNNNNNNNNNNNNNNNNNNNNNNNNNNNNNNNNNNNNNNNNNNNNNNNNNNNNNNNNNNNNNNNNNNNNNNNNNNNNNNNNNNNNNNNNNNNNNNNNNNNNNNNNNNNNNNNNNNNNNNNNNNNNNNNNNNNNNNNNNNNNNNNNNNNNNNNNNNNNNNNNNNNNNNNNNNNNNNNNNNNNNNNNNNNNNNNNNNNNNNNNNNNNNNNNNNNNNNNNNNNNNNNNNNNNNNNNNNNNNNNNNNNNNNNNNNNNNNNNNNNNNNNNNNNNNNNNNNNNNNNNNNNNNNNNNNNNNNNNNNNNNNNNNNNNNNNNNNNNNNNNNNNNNNNNNNNNNNNNNNNNNNNNNNNNNNNNNNNNNNNNNNNNNNNNNNNNNNNNNNNNNNNNNNNNNNNNNNNNNNNNNNNNNNNNNNNNNNNNNNNNNNNNNNNNNNNNNNNNNNNNNNNNNNNNNNNNNNNNNNNNNNNNNNNNNNNNNNNNNNNNNNNNNNNNNNNNNNNNNNNNNNNNNNNNNNNNNNNNNNNNNNNNNNNNNNNNNNNNNNNNNNNNNNNNNNNNNNNNNNNNNNNNNNNNNNNNNNNNNNNNNNNNNNNNNNNNNNNNNNNNNNNNNNNNNNNNNNNNNNNNNNNNNNNNNNNNNNNNNNNNNNNNNNNNNNNNNNNNNNNNNNNNNNNNNNNNNNNNNNNNNNNNNNNNNNNNNNNNNNNNNNNNNNNNNNNNNNNNNNNNNNNNNNNNNNNNNNNNNNNNNNNNNNNNNNNNNNNNNNNNNNNNNNNNNNNNNNNNNNNNNNNNNNNNNNNNNNNNNNNNNNNNNNNNNNNNNNNNNNNNNNNNNNNNNNNNNNNNNNNNNNNNNNNNNNNNNNNNNNNNNNNNNNNNNNNNNNNNNNNNNNNNNNNNNNNNNNNNNNNNNNNNNNNNNNNNNNNNNNNNNNNNNNNNNNNNNNNNNNNNNNNNNNNNNNNNNNNNNNNNNNNNNNNNNNNNNNNNNNNNNNNNNNNNNNNNNNNNNNNNNNNNNNNNNNNNNNNNNNNNNNNNNNNNNNNNNNNNNNNNNNNNNNNNNNNNNNNNNNNNNNNNNNNNNNNNNNNNNNNNNNNNNNNNNNNNNNNNNNNNNNNNNNNNNNNNNNNNNNNNNNNNNNNNNNNNNNNNNNNNNNNNNNNNNNNNNNNNNNNNNNNNNNNNNNNNNNNNNNNNNNNNNNNNNNNNNNNNNNNNNNNNNNNNNNNNNNNNNNNNNNNNNNNNNNNNNNNNNNNNNNNNNNNNNNNNNNNNNNNNNNNNNNNNNNNNNNNNNNNNNNNNNNNNNNNNNNNNNNNNNNNNNNNNNNNNNNNNNNNNNNNNNNNNNNNNNNNNNNNNNNNNNNNNNNNNNNNNNNNNNNNNNNNNNNNNNNNNNNNNNNNNNNNNNNNNNNNNNNNNNNNNNNNNNNNNNNNNNNNNNNNNNNNNNNNNNNNNNNNNNNNNNNNNNNNNNNNNNNNNNNNNNNNNNNNNNNNNNNNNNNNNNNNNNNNNNNNNNNNNNNNNNNNNNNNNNNNNNNNNNNNNNNNNNNNNNNNNNNNNNNNNNNNNNNNNNNNNNNNNNNNNNNNNNNNNNNNNNNNNNNNNNNNNNNNNNNNNNNNNNNNNNNNNNNNNNNNNNNNNNNNNNNNNNNNNNNNNNNNNNNNNNNNNNNNNNNNNNNNNNNNNNNNNNNNNNNNNNNNNNNNNNNNNNNNNNNNNNNNNNNNNNNNNNNNNNNNNNNNNNNNNNNNNNNNNNNNNNNNNNNNNNNNNNNNNNNNNNNNNNNNNNNNNNNNNNNNNNNNNNNNNNNNNNNNNNNNNNNNNNNNNNNNNNNNNNNNNNNNNNNNNNNAAUCGAAACAAAACGUGAAGGUAAAAAGCAUGCAUAUCAGUGACUGCAAGAGGAAAGAAAGAAUAGAAUAUAUACCCGUAACCAUAGCUUAUGCAGACUGAUAACGAAACAGAAGCCAACAACAGGUACAACAAAGAACACAAAAGAUCAGCUGAGUCGUCAGGCCUUAUACGAAGACCUGACUGCUCUUGAAGAGAUAGUUGCCCCCACCUGCUGUGUUGGGAUUCUUGCAACACCUCCUCCAGGAUAAAACAGCUCCGAGCUUUGGCUAAGCAGCACCUCCAAAGCUCAACAACGACUGACUCCUCACUCGCCGGAAAACAACUACUGACUGACUGUGUUUGGGAGAGAGAGCAGAGAGGAAGAAGAGAAGAGAAUGUAGGGUGUGGUGUGUAAAACUCAGCAGCUUAGUCCUCUAUUUAUACUAGAGGCUAAGUGUAACUGACCACCCCGAAUUUAAUAUAUGAAUUAAACUGCACAUUUAAAAUAAAUCAAAACUGACGAUUUAUUAUAAUGUAACAGCUGAUAUAUUAAUCCACACAUUAAACCACCCGUUUAUAUAUAUAUAUUUUUAAUUUCUGAAUAUAUAUCAUCAGUUACAAGUCCAUGUUCAUUGUGUCUGACUUAGCCCAAUUAUGCAAUCCGACCCAGUCCAAUUGAGCCCAACAGACACAACCCAGCCCAACUGAUAAAUAAAUUCUAAUUAAAAUAUUAUAUUAAACCACGCCCAGGUCGCCUCACGUACGCCGAGACAUUCGCCCAAAUCGCCCUUCGACCCGAGCCGAGGCGGCGCGCGCGUGGGCUCGUGAGAACACCAUGCACCAUAACACACCUUAGNNNNNNNNNNNNNNNNNNNNNNNNNNNNNNNNNNNNNNNNNNNNNNNNNNNNNNNNNNNNNNNNNNNNNNNNNNNNNNNNNNNNNNNNNNNNNNNNNNNNNNNNNNNNNNNNNNNNNNNNNNNNNNNNNNNNNNNNNNNNNNNNNNNNNNNNNNNNNNNNNNNNNNNNNNNNNNNNNNNNNNNNNNNNNNNNNNNNNNNNNNNNNNNNNNNNNNNNNNNNNNNNNNNCGAGGCGAGGCGAGGCGAGGCGGGGCGGGGCGGCGGCGGCGGCGCGCGCGUGGGCUCGUGAGAACACCACGCACCAUAACACACCUUAGUAGUUAUGCACUACCCAUGUGUGUUAUACUAUAUAAAGCCAACACCCCCCUUUAUUUCUUUCAAUGUGGGACAAACAACAUUCUCUUUCAAGCUCUUUCAAGCCACUAACUUCAACUUCAUUUCUCUUAUGGAUUUCAUUAAGAAAAUUCUUAAACCCAUACAUGAAAGUUUAAGUUCUAAUAUCUAGAAACAACUUCCAAUCAUUAGAUUAUGGAAUUAACAACAAGAACAUAAUAAAAUUAUGAACUUAAAACUCCAUUUUCUAACAACUGGAACGGGGAGAAGAGGGAGAUAGCAGGGGAGAGAGAGAUGAAGGAGGGAGGAAGAAGGAGAGUGGGAGCUGGUGUGCGAGGCCGUAAUCGGCGCGGCCGAUGGCCAUGGCGGCAGUGGUUUGUGCGAGAGAGAGAGAGAGAGAGAGAGAGAGACGGCGGCGGAGCCGCCGGAGACUUCCUGAGCAGUGGUGAUGGUAAGAUGAAAGAGAGGAAGAGAGAUGUUGGGGAGGGGCAAAGUGGUAAAUCCCAAGCCGAUUUAUUUUAAAUAAAUCUAAAAUAUAAUAAUUGGGUAGAUAAAAUGAUAACAUUAAUAAAAACAUGGGAGUUAAAUUUAUAAAGUUGGAUUUGGGUGGAAAAGAAAAUAAUAAUAUUGGGAUAUAAAUGUUUGACUUUUGAUGAUGGAGUUAAUAAAAAGAAGUUAAAUUAAAUGAUUGGGGUAAAUUAAUAAUAAUUAGUAAAAGAUUGAAAUUUAGAUUUAUAAAGGAUAUAAUAUGGUAAAGAGUUGCAUUAUAUAAAGAAUAAGGAAUUUUAUAUUAAAUAUCAAUUUGAUUAAUUUUGGAGGGAUUUAGAAGAUAAAUUCAAGGAUUUAGUGCUGUUAUUAAUUUUGGAAAAGAAUUUUGCCGGACUUGAUAAAAAUUGAGAGAGGUAGGAUCUUGUUUUUAUAAUUAUAAUAUAUACAUAUAUUCAUUGUCGAUUGGGUGGUUGGGCAAAAGUUUGGGGAUCUCGUAGUAACUGAUUAAAUAUUAUUUAAUUAAAGAGUGGGAUCAAUUAGCAUAUGAGAUAUCAUAUUAUAAAUGUUUGAGAUAACGAGGGAUCAUGGAAUAUGUGAGCUAAUAGCUACUAAUCUAUUUAUAUAAUAAAUCCUGAAUGAUGCCCAGUCACAAAAUCCACGUAAUUCGUUAAAACUCACGUAAAUGCCACAUAAAAUCCAGCUCAAUAGUUACUUUAAAUAUGUAAUCUCAUAUUUUCAGCCUUGAUUUCUGCNNNNNNNNNNNNNNNNNNNNNNNNNNNNNNNNNNNNNNNNNNNNNNNNNNNNNNNNNNNNNNNNNNNNNNNNNNNNNNNNNNNNNNNNNNNNNNNNNNNNNNNNNNNNNNNNNNNNNNNNNNNNNNNNNNNNNNNNNNNNNNNNNNNNNNNNNNNNNNNNNNNNNNNNNNNNNNNNNNNNNNNNNNNNNNNNNNNNNNNNNNNNNNNNNNNNNNNNNNNNNNNNNNNNNNNNNNNNNNNNNNNNNNNNNNNNNNNNNNNNNNNNNNNNNNNNNNNNNNNNNNNNNNNNNNNNNNNNNNNNNNNNNNNNNNNNNNNNNNNNNNNNNNNNNNNNNNNNNNNNNNNNNNNNNNNNNNNNNNNNNNNNNNNNNNNNNNNNNNNNNNNNNNNNNNNNNNNNNNNNNNNNNNNNNNNNNNNNNNNNNNNNNNNNNNNNNNNNNNNNNNNNNNNNNNNNNNNNNNNNNNNNNNNNNNNNNNNNNNNNNNNNNNNNNNNNNNNNNNNNNNNNNNNNNNNNNNNNNNNNNNNNNNNNNNNNNNNNNNNNNNNNNNNNNNNNNNNNNNNNNNNNNNNNNNNNNNNNNNNNNNNNNNNNNNNNNNNNNNNNNNNNNNNNNNNNNNNNNNNNNNNNNNNNNNNNNNNNNNNNNNNNNNNNNNNNNNNNNNNNNNNNNNNNNNNNNNNNNNNNNNNNNNNNNNNNNNNNNNNNNNNNNNNNNNNNNNNNNNNNNNNNNNNNNNNNNNNNNNNNNNNNNNNNNNNNNNNNNNNNNNNNNNNNNNNNNNNNNNNNNNNNNNNNNNNNNNNNNNNNNNNNNNNNNNNNNNNNNNNNNNNNNNNNNNNNNNNNNNNNNNNNNNNNNNNNNNNNNNNNNNNNNNNNNNNNNNNNNNNNNNNNNNNNNNNNNNNNNNNNNNNNNNNNNNNNNNNNNNNNNNNNNNNNNNNNNNNNNNNNNNNNNNNNNNNNNNNNNNNNNNNNNNNNNNNNNNNNNNNNNNNNNNNNNNNNNNNNNNNNGAGAGAGAGAGAGAGAGAGAGAGAGAGACGGCGGCGGAGCCGCCGGAGACUUCCUGAGCAGUGGUGAUGGUAAGAUGAAAGAGAGGAAGAGAGAUGUUGGGGAGGGGCAAAGUGGUAAAUCCCAAGCCGAUUUAUUUUAAAUAAAUCUAAAAUAUAAUAAUUGGGUAGAUAAAAUGAUAACAUUAAUAAAAACAUGGGAGUUAAAUUUAUAAAGUUGGAUUUGGGUGGAAAAGAAAAUAAUAAUAUUGGGAUAUAAAUGUUUGACUUUUGAUGAUGGAGUUAAUAAAAAGAAGUUAAAUUAAAUGAUUGGGGUAAAUUAAUAAUAAUUAGUAAAAGAUUGAAAUUUAGAUUUAUAAAGGAUAUAAUAUGGUAAAGAGUUGCAUUAUAUAAAGAAUAAGGAAUUUUAUAUUAAAUAUCAAUUUGAUUAAUUUUGGAGGGAUUUAGAAGAUAAAUUCAAGGAUUUAGUGCUGUUAUUAAUUUUGGAAAAGAAUUUUGCCGGACUUGAUAAAAAUUGAGAGAGGUAGGAUCUUGUUUUUAUAAUUAUAAUAUAUACAUAUAUUCAUUGUCGAUUGGGUGGUUGGGCAAAAGUUUGGGGAUCUCGUAGUAACUGAUUAAAUAUUAUUUAAUUAAAGAGUGGGAUCAAUUAGCAUAUGAGAUAUCAUAUUAUAAAUGUUUGAGAUAACGAGGGAUCAUGGAAUAUGUGAGCUAAUAGCUACUAAUCUAUUUAUAUAAUAAAUCCUGAAUGAUGCCCAGUCACAAAAUCCACGUAAUUCGUUAAAACUCACGUAAAUGCCACAUAAAAUCCAGCUCAAUAGUUACUUUAAAUAUGUAAUCUCAUAUUUUCAGCCUUGAUUUCUGCUUCCUAUUCUUUGGAUGUUAUGAUACAAUUAAUUUCUGUUGAAUGGCUGUCAUUUUUGAUAUGUAUCCUAUUUUUUCUUUUCUUCUUUACAAUCAUUCUAGCUUUUAUUUUUAAUUGUCUUAACCAAUAUGUAAAACAUUGAUUGUUUUUCAAAAUCAAAUCAAUUCUUAUCAUCUAUUUUAAAAACUCAAAUCAUCGGUAUCUCUCUCAUCUUUUCUAUUUUUCUCCUCCGAUUUCAAGUAUGUUAAUUGAAUAAUUAGUAUAGCUUGCGCGGGAAGUUUACUGAUUGUAACAAACUUUAUUAUACUUAUUUUGAUUCUUUUAAUUGAUUUCAUAUGUGUGUGUAUAUUUAUAUAUUUGCGUAUCUAUAAUUGUAAUUAAUUACUUCCAAUUUCUCUUUGAUUAAAUAUUAGAAGACUUCCUAAGCACUCUGAAUACUUUAUUGUACAAUAUUGCAUGAAAAAUUAAAAAUUCAAAAAUUGAAUUAUCUCUUAAAUUGUUGAUCAUCUUAUCUUAAAAUAUUUAAAAUUAAAAUAUAGUUAAGAAAAUUUCAAACAAUAAUUUUCUUAUCUUUAUACAUUUAAUUUAUUUCACAUCGACAUAUAUAUUUUUGUAUAUUUAUCUAUUUUUAAUUGUAAUUUUUUUCUUAUCUCUUUCGAAUUAAAUUCGUAAAGACUUCCUAAGCACUUAAAAGAUUUUUGUAUGAUAUCGCAUUAAAAAUUCAAUAUCUUGAAAAAGUGAUUAUAUUAAAAAGAAUAAGGUAUUAAUGCAUGAAUAAAUAUGUUAUACUUUAAAAAAAUUAUGAUUUGACUAUUAUAUUGUUAAAUUUAUUUAUGUGUUAUUGUUUUAUUUAUUAUUUUAUUUUUUAGUUUUAAUAAAGUAAUUCUUAUUCUUAUAUAUAAAAAAUGUGAGAUGUGUCAUUAUAUAUGUUUUCCUUUCUUAAUUAUUAUUUUAAAAUAAAUAUGAAAUUAGUUCAAAAUUAUAUACUAAAGCACUAAAAGAGCGUCGUAAUGGUAGGGUGUGUGAAGCAGUAUUUAGUUGAUAUUUAAGCAUGCUCAAUCAGCUGCAUAAUCAAUGCUUUUUAUAUAUUUAAUUGGUUUGAUUUUUUUUUUAAUUUUAUUUGAAAAAUAAUAUCUUUUGAGGAUCAGAAAUUGUAAGCAAUUUAGAAGGCACAUGUGGUCAAUAUUUAGCUCUACUUGAUUAUAUGCAUGAUUGGUACUUCAGAAUAGGAAUGGAGUGAAUUUCAUUCGAUUCUUUCCAUUACCAUCUAAAAAUUUGGAAAAUUGGAAUCAUAUGGUUGUCUCUCUUCAAUUUUAGAUUCAAAUUUCCUUGAUUAUAACUUUCGUUAAACAAUAGUAUGACAAGAAUUAAAACAACGAUUUUAUUUAUUCUAAGUUGUUUGAUUGAUUUCAUAUCUAUGUAUUUUUUUUUUUUUUGAAAAGCAUCAUAUCUAUGUAUAUAUGUAUAUGUCUAUAUACCUAUAUAUUUGGUAGAGAGUGGAUAUACCAUUCUUUCUUCCAAGCCUCUUUGAUUUCAUAUCUAUGUAUUUUUUUUUUUUUUGAAAAGCAUCAUAUCUAUGUAUAUAUGUAUAUGUCUAUAUACCUAUAUAUUUGGUAGAGAGUGGAUAUAUAUAUAUAACCGUCAUCAAGACCUCAUAUCCUUGAUUGUUUGUAUUCAUCUUUAUUUUUAUUUUUCUUUUUUAAGGCUGAUAUGGUAAUUUCACAUGCUAUUGGAUCAACCCAUCAGGCUUCCGGUUCGACCCGCAUCUUCUUAUUCAAAUUAACACUGCGAUGAAACAUUUCGGAUCUUUAAGAAACCCGACCCGAGUAUCGUUAGAUCUGAGAGCACAUUCAAAUCAUAUCACGAUCAUCAUAUCAAGAUUAGAAUUUCAAAAUAGCAUUAAUCACGCAUUCUUGAAUCGUGCCACUGAUUAUGACGUCAGUUCAGAUUUAAGUUUUACUACUUAUUUGCAUAUGAUAUUCUUAUAAGAUCAAAGCAGAUAAUUUUAAUUUCACAUUCAAAACCAUUCUUUCUUCCAAGCCUCUAAUCAUGACGAGUAGGCUUUCUUGCUUAGCUUUCGAACUGAUUUGUGUCCUCGGUUGGAUUAUACUGCAGUACUACUGAUCUUGGGUUUCUUUUCACAUUAAUUUCUAUAUCUACGAACUUUGUUUUGCGCUUAUUUACUUUAUUUAAUAAUAGAAUUCUACUUAUCUUGCACAAAUCGCGUUGAUCCGUCUAUGCAUCAGGUAGUAUCCGUCAAAGUCCUUUUGUGAUGAUGCUUCGACAAGGGAUGACGUCUCGAAGUCAAAAAGAGAAUAACACCAUUGGUCGUGAAAUAGGUUUGCACUAUUUCCAGCUUAAUUUACAAUAUUUGCUCCAUUAUGUAUAUUUGUUUAUUCUAUUAUUGUUGAACGGGUUCUGAAGUUUGUUGUUUGAACACUGCAGGUAUCAUAAUCAGUAUAUGAUUUUGUAUUUAACGUGUUUGAUAAUUUGCUACAGAGAAAAGCUGAGAAAUCCGUCCUUACUAUUUUUAUUGAUUUCAUGUUCCAGGAAUUUGAAAUUAUUUUUGAUUUCUAAUGAUUAUUUUUGCAUAAUUUCCUUUCGUAUUGAUAGUGAUUAGGAUGCACAUAUGUACUCUAAUGCAUUUAUUGAGCCACAUUUUGUUAUUGAGUUUUCCUUGCAACUGCUGAAUAGAGAUGAUUCGUCCAUGCAACUAUCGGAUGCUCAUCGUGUGAAGAUUUAUAUUCACUUUUCCUCAACAUCUGCUUAUUGAUCUAGACUUUUUGUUUACAUCUUAUCGUGUGUCAUUGUUGUUUGACAAGAACCACCGAGAAUGAAUAUGACACAAUUUCUGUCCAGAUACAUGAAUCUAACCUGCUAUAACUUAUAUGUAUGUAACAUCUGGGAUUAUCCGUGUAAUUAUUUUGAUGAUUAAUGAAUAUUAUAUGAAUAUUAUGUGAAUAUUAUAUGAAUUUCUGUGAAUUAAUUGUUUCUUGUCCUAUUAAUAUGGCUGCUUGUUUACGAUCAAAUUUGAGGAAUAUCAAUUUUUAUAUGCUCAGUACAAAAUAUAGUUUAUUUAGAUAUUUUUAUAUUGAUUUAUGUAUUGUCGUAUGAUUUGAUAUUUGGUUUAUGGAUUUAAUUACGUAUAUUAUAUUUAAUUAUUAAUUAUUUUGAUUUUUCAAAAACCGUCAACCCGUAACGGUACCGAGAUUUUACUUCCCGAAAAUUUCGACAAAACUCAACUCUAGCUUAAUUUGAAUAUUCCGGACACUUUUCAUGUUUUGACUUUUUCGAUCCGGAGUACGGUUUUCCCCGGAGUCGGUCCGGCGGAGCUUUUCGGGCAUUUUAAUUACCGAUAAUUAUCUGGUUGUCUCAAUAUACGUGAAAACCAGAUAUUUUGAUUAUUAUAUUAUUUCUUUUAUCGUAAUACGUGCAAACGGGACCCGCAUACUAAUGAUUGAUUAAAAAGCCCCGUUUUAAUAAUUAUCUCGAAAACCAGUACCGAUUGGACCCGCUUUAUUAGUAUUAAGCUAUUAAAUAUCGUAUUUUCGUGUCACAUAUGAUCCAAAGGGGUAUUAAUUUCUCGUAACUAUAAAUAGUCUUAACCAUUUGGAAGCGUUAUCGGACUCGGAUUUUGGCGUUCAAGUACUCAAAUCGAAGGUUUUGAUGAGUAGAAUCCAUAUCUAGCAUCAGAAUCAGUGCAGCAACAACAGGUGGGCACAAAUUUUUGAGUUUUAAUUCGAAUUAAAUAAGCUUAAAUUAGGGCUUUUUGAUUUUGAAGUCGUUUGUGUGAUUUGAUGAUUUCAUGUUGUAGAUUAGUUUCUCCUGAUCAUUUUGGUUUAUUAUAUGUGUGAUUUCAAGUUCAAUAACAUAGUUAAAAGUGGGUUUGAUUCUGCUGUGUUCAAGAACUAGGGUUCUUCGUAGCUUUGGAUAUUUCUAAUUGAAAUUUGGGCUUUUCUUAUUUGUUAAUUGCAUGCUUAAUUGGUUUAUAUGGUUGGAUUGGUCGUGAGGAGAGGAAUUCAAACAUGUGAUUGGAAUUGACGGACGACCUCGGAAUCGGUCGCCGUGUUCUGAAAAACAACUCGCCAGCGGCGAGUUUGUUUCGAUCUUUUCCGGCCAAACGGCCUAUCUCCUGCAAAAUCUGAGGCCACCAAUCGAUUCCUGGUGGCUGAUAUAGCUAAUCUGGAAGUUUUGGUAGAUGUUUAAGGCCGGGAGACCAACCUCCGGUGACACAGACGGUGGCCGGCGGCAUUUAUGCUGUUUGGUCACUGUAGUUUUGAAGAUGGUGACGUUUAGUCACCGUCGUUUCUACACUUUCACAGAUCGCAUCAUAUUUUUAAAACCUGACAGUUUGCACCCCUGUGUAAACUUUUGAUUAUUUACAAAAUAAACCUUUUCAAUUUAUUUUCAAAAAUCAUUUUUAAAUUACUUAUUUUAAUUUCAAAAAUAGUUUUUAAUUAUUUAUUAGUUCAAAAAUAAAUCUGAUUUAAUUUAUUAAUUAAUUUCAAUUUGUAAUUAAUUAUUAUAAUUGGUCAAUUAAUUUAAAUAUUAAUUGAUUAAUUGUUUUAGUUAAUUAUUAAUUGAUUUUAAUUGAUUUAUUAAUUAGAUUUAAUUAUUUGAAAUAAUUUUAAAAUUCCGAAAAAUAGUUUCGAGCUUUGAAAUAUUUUUCUAAAAUAUGUUUGAAGUCUGUUAAUUGAUUUCAAAUGAUUUCGGACUUGAUUUCAAGUAUUCAAAAUUGAUGAUUUAUUUAUAAAAUGAUUCUCUUAUUCGUUUUAAUUCCGAAAAAUGUUCAAAAAUUCAUAAUAAAUGCCGAAAAUCCUUUUGACUUCAAACCUUCUUUGAAAAAUAAAUUUUAGUGAAUACCUUAUGUGAUACGUGUUAUGUGCUAUCUGAUCGAUGUGCUAUAUGCCUAUGUGAACGUUAUAUGGCUGUUUCUGGCAUAUUUUUCAAUCCGUAAAUCGGAUUUGGGUAAAACGAAGGGUAGAUUGAAGCUCGUUUCGAAUGUGCGAUAAUAAGAAUAGUAUGAGAUCAUAUAUUGAUAGAUAAUUGUUGUGAUUAGCAGAAGAAGNNNNNNNNNNNNNNNNNNNNNNNNNNNNNNNNNNNNNNNNNNNNNNNNNNNNNNNNNNNNNNNNNNNNNNNNNNNNNNNNNNNNNNNNNNNNNNNNNNNNNNNNNNNNNNNNNNNNNNNNNNNNNNNNNNNNNNNNNNNNNNNNNNNNNNNNNNNNNNNNNNNNNNNNNNNNNNNNNNNNNNNNNNNNNNNNNNNNNNNNNNNNNNNNNNNNNNNNNNNNNNNNNNNNNNNNNNNNNNNNNNNNNNNNNNNNNNNNNNNNNNNNNNNNNNNNNNNNNNNNNNNNNNNNNNNNNNNNNNNNNNNNNNNNNNNNNNNNNNNNNNNNNNNNNNNNNNNNNNNNNNNNNNNNNNNNNNNNNNNNNNNNNNNNNNNNNNNNNNNNNNNNNNNNNNNNNNNNNNNNNNNNNNNNNNNNNNNNNNNNNNNNNNNNNNNNNNNNNNNNNNNNNNNNNNNNNNNNNNNNNNNNNNNNNNNNNNNNNNNNNNNNNNNNNNNNNNNNNNNNNNNNNNNNNNNNNNNNNNNNNNNNNNNNNNNNNNNNNNNNNNNNNNNNNNNNNNNNNNNNNNNNNNNNNNNNNNNNNNNNNNNNNNNNNNNNNNNNNNNNNNNNNNNNNNNNNNNNNNNNNNNNNNNNNNNNNNNNNNNNNNNNNNNNNNNNNNNNNNNNNNNNNNNNNNNNNNNNNNNNNNNNNNNNNNNNNNNNNNNNNNNNNNNNNNNNNNNNNNNNNNNNNNNNNNNNNNNNNNNNNNNNNNNNNNNNNNNNNNNNNNNNNNNNNNNNNNNNNNNNNNNNNNNNNNNNNNNNNNNNNNNNNNNNNNNNNNNNNNNNNNNNNNNNNNNNNNNNNNNNNNNNNNNNNNNNNNNNNNNNNNNNNNNNNNNNNNNNNNNNNNNNNNNNNNNNNNNNNNNNNNNNNNNNNNNNNNNNNNNNNNNNNNNNNNNNNNNNNNNNNNNNNNNNNNNNNNNNNNNNNNNNNNNNNNNNNNNNNNNNNNNNNNNNNNNNNNNNNNNNNNNNNNNNNNNNNNNNNNNNNNNNNNNNNNNNNNNNNNNNNNNNNNNNNNNNNNNNNNNNNNNNNNNNNNNNNNNNNNNNNNNNNNNNNNNNNNNNNNNNNNNNNNNNNNNNNNNNNNNNNNNNNNNNNNNNNNNNNNNNNNNNNNNNNNNNNNNNNNNNNNNNNNNNNNNNNNNNNNNNNNNNNNNNNNNNNNNNNNNNNNNNNNNNNNNNNNNNNNNNNNNNNNNNNNNNNNNNNNNNNNNNNNNNNNNNNNNNNNNNNNNNNNNNNNNNNNNNNNNNNNNNNNNNNNNNNNNNNNNNNNNNNNNNNNNNNNNNNNNNNNNNNNNNNNNNNNNNNNNNNNNNNNNNNNNNNNNNNNNNNNNNNNNNNNNNNNNNNNNNNNNNNNNNNNNNNNNNNNNNNNNNNNNNNNNNNNNNNNNNNNNNNNNNNNNNNNNNNNNNNNNNNNNNNNNNNNNNNNNNNNNNNNNNNNNNNNNNNNNNNNNNNNNNNNNNNNNNNNNNNNNNNNNNNNNNNNNNNNNNNNNNNNNNNNNNNNNNNNNNNNNNNNNNNNNNNNNNNNNNNNNNNNNNNNNNNNNNNNNNNNNNNNNNNNNNNNNNNNNNNNNNNNNNNNNNNNNNNNNNNNNNNNNNNNNNNNNNNNNNNNNNNNNNNNNNNNNNNNNNNNNNNNNNNNNNNNNNNNNNNNNNNNNNNNNNNNNNNNNNNNNNNNNNNNNNNNNNNNNNNNNNNNNNNNNNNNNNNNNNNNNNNNNNNNNNNNNNNNNNNNNNNNNNNNNNNNNNNNNNNNNNNNNNNNNNNNNNNNNNNNNNNNNNNNNNNNNNNNNNNNNNNNNNNNNNNNNNNNNNNNNNNNNNNNNNNNNNNNNNNNNNNNNNNNNNNNNNNNNNNNNNNNNNNNNNNNNNNNNNNNNNNNNNNNNNNNNNNNNNNNNNNNNNNNNNNNNNNNNNNNNNNNNNNNNNNNNNNNNNNNNNNNNNNNNNNNNNNNNNNNNNNNNNNNNNNNNNNNNNNNNNNNNNNNNNNNNNNNNNNNNNNNNNNNNNNNNNNNNNNNNNNNNNNNNNNNNNNNNNNNNNNNNNNNNNNNNNNNNNNNNNNNNNNNNNNNNNNNNNNNNNNNNNNNNNNAUACCUAUCCUUAUCUUGUCAUAAUGACGGUGGGACCCGCAUAUUAAUGACGGAUUAAAAGCCCCGUUUGAUGAUUAUCUCGAAAACCGGUACCGAUUGGACCCGUUUUAUUAGUAUAAAGCUACUAAACAGUGUAUUUUCAUGCCAUAUAUGAUCCAAAGGGGUAUUAAUUAUUCUUAAGUAUAAAUAUACUUAACUGUACUUUAUUUUAUUACGAAAAUCAUAAAACCAGUUAAAACCGAGAAAUUCCCGAGAGAGUUCUUCGUGUUCUUGAGAUUCAAACGAGGAUUUGGACGCGUUAUCGGACUCAGAUUUUGGUGUUCAAGUAUCCAAAUCGAAGGUUUCGACGUGUAGAAUCCAUUUUCAUCAUCGAAAACACUCAGAAAUCAUCAGGUGGGUUUGGAUUUUUGAGUUUUAAUUCGAAUUAAAUAAGCUUAAAUUAGGGCUUUUUGAUUUUGAAGUCGUUUGUGUGAUUUGAUGAUUUCAUGUUGUAGAUUAGUUUCUCCUGAUCAUUUUGGUUUAUUAUAUGUGUGAUUUCAAGUUCAAUAACAUAGUUAAAAGUGGGUUUGAUUCUGCUGUGUUCAAGAACUAGGGUUCUUCGUAGCUUUGGAUAUUUCUAAUUGAAAUUUGGGCUUUUCUUAUUUGUUAAUUGCAUGCUUAAUUGGUUUAUAUGGUUGGAUUGGUCGUGAGGAGAGGAAUUCAAACAUGUGAUUGGAAUUGACGGACGACCUCGGAAUCGGUCGCCGUGUUCUGAAAAACAACUCGCCAGCGGCGAGUUUGUUUCGAUCUUUUCCGGCCAAACGGCCUAUCUCCUGCAAAAUCUGAGGCCACCAAUCGAUUCCUGGUGGCUGAUAUAGCUAAUCUGGAAGUUUUGGUAGAUGUUUAAGGCCGGGAGACCAACCUCCGGCGACUCAGACGGUGGCCGGCGGCAUUUAUGCUGUUUGGUCACCGUAGUUUUGAAGAUGGUGACGUUUAGUCACCGUCGUUUCUACACUUUCACAGAUCGCAUCAUAUUUUUAAAACCUGACAGUUUGCACCCCUGUGUAAACUUUUGAUUAUUUACAAAAUAAACCUUUUCAAUUUAUUUUCAAAAAUCAUUUUUAAAUUACUUAUUUUAAUUUCAAAAAUAGUUUUUAAUUAUUUAUUAGUUCAAAAAUAAAUCUGAUUUAAUUUAUUAAUUAAUUUCAAUUUGUAAUUAAUUAUUAUAAUUGGUCAAUUAAUUUAAAUAUUAAUUGAUUAAUUGUUUUAGUUAAUUAUUAAUUGAUUUUAAUUGAUUUAUUAAUUAGAUUUAAUUAUUUGAAAUAAUUUUAAAAUUCCGAAAAAUAGUUUCGAGCUUUGAAAUAUUUUUCUAAAAUAUGUUUGAAGUCUGUUAAUUGAUUUCAAAUGAUUUCGGACUUGAUUUCAAGUAUUCAAAAUUGAUGAUUUAUUUAUAAAAUGAUUCUCUUAUUCGUUUUAAUUCCGAAAAAUGUUCAAAAAUUCAUAAUAAAUGCCGAAAAUCCUUUUGACUUCAAACCUUCUUUGAAAAAUAAAUUUUAGUGAAUACCUUAUGUGAUACGUGUUAUGUGCUAUCUGAUCGAUGUGCUAUAUGCCUAUGUGAACGUUAUAUGGCUGUUUCUGGCAUAUUUUUCAAUCCGUAAAUCGGAUUUGGGUAAAACGAAGGGUAGAUUGAAGCUCGUUUCGAAUGUGCGAUAAUAAGAAUAGUAUGAGAUCAUAUAUUGAUAGAUAAUUGUUGUGAUUAGCAGAAGAAGAGAGACGUAGAAAAGGAAAGCAAGUGGUAAUAGAAUAGUAUAUCGAGCAAGUACAAUCAAAGCUUGAGAUCAGCUAUAUAAGGCAAGUUUCCCUGAUACUUUCUUUCAAAUAUAUAUGAUAAUUGAUGUGAUUACUUCGUGAGAUUUCUAAUUAAGCCCUGUUAUUUCUUAAGCUAUAGCAUGAAUUGGUUAUUCUAUUAAUUCAUGAACCUUCAACCAGAUUCUUUGAAUUACAACUUGGACUAUUCACUUCAUUGAUUCUUGAGCCUCCAACCAGAUUCUUGGGUAUUUGUUACGAAACCUAUUUCAAUUGCGAACCUCAUGUUCUUGAAACUUUUAAAGAAAUACCAUACGAACCUUAUUUCAUUUCAAUGACAAAUCCUUGACCCCUAAACCAAUUGAUUAAAAUCCAGUAAUACCUGAAAUGACAUAUACCUUACAAUUGUUCAUUUUCUUCCGAUAAACUAAUUUCUUUGGUCUUGAAGAUACCCAUUUAUAUUCGAAUCAUUUUGUAAAAGAAACUAGAAACCUUCUUUCCUAUAAACAGUGGCCUUUGAUAUACCUUACAAUCCAAUCAUGCUUUAUCUGAUUCCUUGAAUCAUAAAGUAUUCCUUAUUCCUAUUCUGAAGUAUCUUGAAGAUACUCUUGAAUUGCAUUCUACUUCUGCUUCAAAGUUAAAUCAUGAUAUUGAUGACUCUGUUUUAUUGAAUUAUAUUGUUGAUCAUCUUGAAUUAUGAUAGAGUUGGAUAGUUUUUCUUAAAUGGACCAAAUGAAUGGUCAGACCAGAUGAGUGGUCGCUUUAGGCCAAUGUGUGCCUUGGAUCCAGUAAACGAGCAUGGCGGGGCCUGCUCGGGGUUAGUGUCUGACUGAUCAGCAGCCUAACCUUUGGUUUUUAAAAUUAAAAUUUAAUAUCCAAUUCUAAUUGAUACUCUAAAAACAAAUCUUGAUAUUGAGAUUGAUUCCAUUAGACACUGGUUUCCCUCAGCUUAUGAUUAAUGUUUUAAAUUGAUAUUGCUAUACUUGCUGAGCUUGUUAAGCUCACUCUUGCGAUACUUUAUGUUCUUUCCAGUGAAGGCAGAGAAGGUUGGUAAUGAUGACCCUCAGGCUAGUGGUAAGGCCAGGAUUCCAGGCUGAGAGACGGAGGGAGCUAUCAGCAGCACUUGGCUUUUUAUAUAUAAACUAGUUUGAGUAGCGGAAAACAUUUGAGGUGUAAGCAUUGUAAGAUUUAAGUCUAUAUUUUGGGAUUUGGGUUUGUAAUAAUUAAAGUUAUGUUGUGGCUUGUUUUAUACUUUAACCUGUUGCAAUCCAUGGAUAGUGAAGGGUCACCACAUAUAUUAUGUUAAUUACAAGUUUAUAUUAUGUUGUGGACCCCAAACUUCUGACCCGGGUUUGGAGGGCGCCACAGGUUGGUAUCAGAGCGACAGGUUAUAAGUCAAUGAAACAAGCCUAGAUUGUUGGGUAGAGGGUUAGGAUUAGAAAUGAGUGAUAGGUAGAUAGAACGUUGAGAGGUGAGUAUUAGUGAGAAGUAGGCUCUUGUGCUAUCAAGGAUUCUUAUAUGCGUUCUGUUAUAUUGAUUUACAGAUAUUCAUGAUGUCAAACUCUAUUAUUCCUUCAUAUCCACAACAUUCAGACACCACAGUUAAUGGACCCCCACCUCCUCAGCGACCUGAGCCUCACCCUCAUGUUUCACCCUUUUUAGAGGAUGUUUUGGCCGCAGCAGCAAUGGUUCCUUCCAGAAAUAUACCCCCGACUUAUCAUGCUAGGCCUUUUAUACGUGGACCCCCACCCAUUACCCCAAGUUCCACCCGAAGUUCUUCUAUUCACACUUCUUUCUGUCCUACACCAGAUCCUGUUCCUUAUCAUGAGUUUGAGGCGAUGAGGAUGGAGCGUCAGUACUUGCUUUGACAAGUCAGAGAGAUGGAGUGUAUCAUACAGAUGAUGGACCCUAGUAGAGCUGAGCGAGAGUUGAGGCAGAGGAUUGUGGAUGUAAGGAUGAAUGCGAUGGAAAAGCUUAAUACAGUGGCUGAGGGUUAUGGUGACUUAGUAGACUGGGCUAUUUGGAUGAUGAGAGAGUUGGACACAUUUGGAGGUCCUACUUUUCCUGGGAGCUAGAUGAUAGUAGUUGUAGAGUGGAGGUGCCAUGUACAUUAGUGUGUAGUGUGUAGCAUGUAUCGGAUCAGCAGAUUUUGAAAUAUAUACAUAUAUAUAUAUACUAGCAUAGCUGACUAGUUGAUAGGGUUGUUGUUGCUGUUGUUGUAAUUUACAUUUGACGAAGCGCAUUGACGCUUGUAUCUCCAGCACUGACUUAUAUAUAUUGUUAGAUAUAAUUGAUGAUUACUAAUAUUCUUAAAGUCUGUUUUAGAACAGGAAUCAUCAGAGUUUAAUCUGGAAGCUGAUCAGAGUUUAGUAAAGUCUGACAGAGUUUGAUAAAGUCUGACAGAGUUUGAUAAAGUCUGACCAGAGUUUACAUAGUCAAGAUUCGACAGAGUUUACACGUGGAAAGAGCUCAGAAGCGGAUAUACUUCAAGGAAGGAUAGAAGCGGAGGAGUGAUUUACUGGCUAUGGAAACUAAACAGAAAACUGGAGCAAUCUUUGAUUGAUAGAAUUCAUAGCAGAUUUAUAGGAUAUCAAAUCAGAGAUUGAUUUUGUAACUGUGUCUAUAUAAACACAGAUUAGGGUUACUCUAUAUGAGUUGAGUUAUCGAGUACAUUGUUAAGAACCCUAGCAGCUCUUAGUGAUACAUUAUAAAUCACUGAGAGAGUUUUUGUAACCAUUAAAGCUUUGUGAAUAUAAGAGUUUAUUACUUUCAAUCUCUUAUAUUGUCUUACUGUGUUACAGAUUGUGAUCACUAUAUCAGAUUAUAUAGUGAGUUUAUAGGACCUAACAAGUGGUAUCAGAGCCAGCUCUGUUAAGAUUACUACAGUGAGAUCUUAAACACAAUCAUGUCUGAAAAAUCACAAGCUUCAUCCUUUAGAGUUCCAAUCCUUAAGGCAUCUGAAUAUCCAGUCUGGAAAGAAAGAAUGAUCAUAUUCUUAGACUCUGUUGAUCCAGAAUACCUUGACAGGAUUUUUGAUGGACCACAUAUGCCCACCAAGCUCUCUGUUGGGAUUGCAGAUGAACCUCAAAAGAUGGUUCCAAAAGAAAAGAAAGAUUAUACUCCAGAGGACAUCUCAUCUAUCAGUAAAGAUGCAAAGGUGAAGCAUCUGUUGCAUAGUGCCCUUGAUAAUGCAAUGUCUAAUAGGGUGAUUGGGUGCAAAACUGCUAAACAAAUCUGGGAUGCUCUGGAAACCAGAUGUCAAGGAACUCAGGCCAUUAAGAAAAACAGAAAAACAAUCCUUACACAGGAGUAUGAGCACUUUGACUCAAAAUCUGGUGAGUCCCUGACAGAUCUGUAUGACAGAUUUGUCAAACUGUUGAAUGACUUAUCUCUGGUGGACAAGGAAUAUGAUCUUGAAGACUCAAACCUCAAAUUCCUUCUAGCUCUUCCUGAAAAAUGGGAUUUGAAAGUCACUACAAUAAGAGACAAUCUUGAUCUUGGAGAAAUGUCUCUUGAUGAUGUUUAUGGAAGACUGAAGACUCAUGAACUUGAGAUGGAGCAAAGGAGCAAACGUCAUGGAGGAAAAUCAAAGUCUGUUGCUCUGAAAGUUCAAGAGGAAGCUGCUAAGAGCAAAGGAAAAGCUCAUGUCACAAAGUCUGACAUUGAGUCAUCAAACUCUGAUGACUCAAACUCUGAUGUUCCCUCAGACUCUGAAGAAAGUGAUGAUGAGAUGAUGCAGUUAGCAGCAUUGAUGGUGAAAAGCUUCAAGAAGUUGGCCUACAAAAAGUUCAACAAAGGCAAAAGUUUUUCAAGGAAAGACAGAAACUCUGACAGAGUUUAUGACAAGAAGAACUUUAAGAAGAAUGAGGGCAAAGAAGGGAAAGCUGGAAAAGCUGACAAGUAUACCUGUUUCAACUGUGGUGAAAAGGGACACUUUGCAUCUGAAUGCAAGAAAGCCAAGAAGGAAAAAGAAAAAGCCUUUAUCACCAAGAAAGGAAACUGGACAGAUACAUCUGAUUCAGAAGAAGAAGUCAAUUAUGCUCUGAUGGCAAACACUGACAACAACUCUGAAUCUCCUGCUAAGGUACCUCAUUCUACUCUUGCCUUUGAUACUGAAGAUAUAACUGAGUUAAGAUUGUUUCUUAAAACUUUGCAUAUCAGCUUUAGAGAUCAGACUUUAGAAAAUGAAAGAUUAAAAUCUGAAACUCUAAGUGUAAAGAAAAGGAAUGAUUAUCUAGAAAAAGAAUUAGUUCAGAUGUUGGAAGUUCAGAAAGAAAGAGAUGAUGCUGUCAUUGUCAAAGAUGAAUUAUUAAAGAGGUAUGCAUCUCUUCAAUCAGAACUUGCUAAGGAAAGGGAGAUCAUUAAGACAUGGACUAAUUCAGGCAAAACUACUCAGGAUAUCUUAGGUAGUGGAAACUGGAAGAAGGGACUAGGUUACACUGAUAACUCAGAAGCUGAGUCAUCAAAAACAGAGUUUGUUAAAACUCAAAAACCUAAGGUUAAACCUGUUAAAUUUGUUGCUGAAUCCUCUAAGUCUAAACAGAGUAGACCAAAAUCAGAGAUUAACAACAAUUUAAAAUCUGAUAAGCCCAAACAGGUUAACAUAGGACUGAUGACUCAGAAACAGCUUAAACAUAAGCUUAAAGAGGUAAAGUCUGAUGACAAAAACAAGGAGCCUAGGAAAAAUAGAAAUGGCAAGAUUGGAAUAGACAAGAGUAAUAACUACAUGCCUAUUCCAAAUGCACCUAGGAAGACAUGCCAUAACUGUGGGAAUACUAAUCAUCUUGCUAAUUUUUGCAGGAAGAACAAGGACAUUAACUCUUUACCUACAAAGUCUGGAGUUAGAAAAAGUAGUAUUAGAUAUAAACCACAAGAUCCAUGUUUUCAUUGUGGUAGUUUAUGGCAUUCUAUUUAUACUUGCAAAGAAUAUCAUAGUUUGUAUUAUGAUUAUUAUCAAUUGAAACCUUCUUUGAAGAAGUUUAAUAAAAGCUCUGCAAGUACAAAAUCUGUUUCUAGUACAAACUCUGUUGCAAAGUCUGUUAGCUCAAACUCUGAUAAUAAUAACUCCGCUGCAAAAGCUAACAAACUUAAUAAGGCCAAGGGAUCCAAGCAAGUCUGGGUCCUUAAAACUAACAAUUAGUGGUCUUUGUGAUUGCAGGGCAACAGGAAGAAUAUUCUAGUCUUGGACAGUGGAUGUUCAGGACACAUGACUGGAAAUAAGGCCCUGCUGUCAGAGUUUGUGGAGAAGGCUGGCCCAAGUGUUUCUUAUGGAGAUGGCAACAUAGGAAGGACUCUGGGAUAUGGCAACAUCAAUCUUGGAAAUGUCAUCAUAUCAAAUGUAGCUCUUGUUCAAGGGCUAAAACACAAUUUACUCUCUGUCAGUCAGAUCUGUGACAGAGGAUAUCAUGUUGAUUUCUAUGAAGAACACAGUGAGAUAGUAAGCAAGUCAACAGGCAAAGUGGCAGUGAUUGCUCACAGACAUGGAAAUAUUUAUGAAAUCCACUUGCCUACAAACUCUGAAGGAAAAGCAAUUUGCUUGUCUACAAGGAUCUCUGCAGAAGAAAGUUGGAAGUGGCACAAGAAGCUCUCACAUCUGAAUUUCAACUCCAUAAAUGAGCUUAUAAAGAAAAAGCUUGUGAGAGGACUCCCUGAAUCACUACUCACAUCUGAUGGAUUAUGUGAUUCAUGUCAAAAGGCCAAGCAGAGAAAGACAUCCUUCAAGAGUAAGACUGAAUUCUCAAUAAAGAAACCAUAUCAUCUUCUACAUGUUGAUCUAUUUGGACCAGUUAAUGUACCAUCCAUUGCAAGGAAGAAAUAUGCUCUUGUCAUUGUUGAUGAGUAUACCAGAUACACUUGGGUAUAUUUUCUUCACUCUAAAGAUGAAACAGCCUUGCAUCUGAUGGAUCAUGUGAAACAACUGGAUCAUGGAUCUGAAGACAAAGUGAAGAUCAUUAGAAGUGAUAAUGGAACUGAGUUCAGAAAUUCAACAAUGGAAGAGUUCUGCAAAGAAAGAGGUGUAGUGCAACAAUUUUCUGCACCUGGUACACCACAGCAAAAUGGUGUAGUUGAAAGGAAAAACAGGACUCUUAUAGAAGCUGCCAGAACUAUGCUUGAUGAGGCUAAAUUGCCUACUUAUUUCUGGGCAGAAGCUGUUCAAACAGCUUGUUUCACUCAAAAUGCAACCUUGAUUAAUAAGCAUGGCAAGACCCCAUAUGAGAUGGUGAAGAAAAAGAAGCCAAAUCUGAAGUACUUUCAUAUAUUUGGGUGCAAAUGCUUUGUAUUGAAGACUCAUCCAGAACAGCUUACCAAGUUUGAUUUAAAAGCUGAUGAAGGCAUUUUUGUAGGUUAUCCUCUGACAACAAAGGCCUUCAGAGUCUAUAAUCUAAGAACCAAGGUGAUCAUGGAAUCCAUACAUGUGUCAUUUGAUGACAAAAGAAUUAUGGGUUUAGCAGAUAUGGAUGAUCAUGAAGAACUGCAUUUUGAAAAUGAAGAAAUAUUCUCUGAUUCAACAAACUCUGAUGAACAGUCAAACUCUGACUGUGAACAAAAUACAGCAAACUCUGGUGAAAAUUUACAAGUUCAUGAUGAUGAAGCAAUUGUUGAGGGGGAGCAUCAGAAUGUUUCAGACUCUACCCAAGACUCAUCAGAGAAUGCUGACUCAAACUCAUCAGAGAAUACUGAUUCAAACUCUGAUAGCACAAAUUUAGGGGGAGCUACAGAGAAUAAUCAACAGAAUCAGGAGAGCAUGGAUCAAGGGGGAGGAUCCAAUGAUGAAAAUGGUCAACUUCCACAUGCUAGGAAGUGGACAAAAUCUCACACACCUGAUUUAAUAAUUGGCAAUCCAGAAGCAGGUGUGCAAACAAGGACAGCUACAGCAAAUGAGUGUUUACAUCAUUGCUUUCUGUCACAAACAGAACCUAAAAAGGUGGAGGAAGCUCUUCAAGAUGCUGACUGGAUUCAAGCAAUGCAAGAAGAGCUAAAUGAGUUUGAGAGAAACAAAGUCUGGACCCUAGUACCAAGACCUAAAGAUAGAUCCAUAGUUGGUACAAAAUGGGUUUUCAGAAACAAAACUGAUAGUGAAGGUGUCAUUACAAGGAAUAAAGCAAGACUUGUGGCAAAAGGGUAUUCACAACAGGAAGGUAUUGAUUAUGAUGAGACAUUUGCUCCAGUUGCAAGAUUGGAGGCAAUUAGAAUCUUUCUGGCCUAUGCUGCUCACAAGAAAUUCAAGGUAUUUCAGAUGGAUGUCAAAAGUGCUUUUCUAAAUGGGAAACUGGAUGAGGAGGUAUAUGUUGAACAACCUCCAGGCUUUGUGGAUCCAAAGCAUCCAGACUAUGUCUAUAGAUUGGACAAGGCACUUUAUGGACUAAAGCAGGCUCCAAGGGCAUGGUAUGAAACUCUGGCUCAAUUUCUUCUUGAAAGUGGAUUUACUAGAGGUACCAUAGAUAAAACCCUGUUUUAUUUGAAUCAUGGUAAUGAUCUGCUUUUAGUUCAAAUCUAUGUUGAUGAUAUUAUUUUUGGCUCCACUAAUGCUAAACUCUGUCAAAGAUUUGCCAAGCUCAUGCAGUCUAGGUACCAAAUGAGCAUGAUGGGGGAACUCAGUUAUUUUCUGGGUUUACAAGUUAAACAGACUGAAGAUGGGAUUUUUAUAAAUCAAGCCAAGUAUACCAGAAAUCUUUUGAAGAAAUUUGGUAUGCAAGACAGUUCAGCUGCAACUACUCCUAUGGCAACAGCAACCAAACUAGACAAAGAUACUGGUGCAUCAGUGGAUAUCACAAACUAUAGAGGAAUGAUUGGAUCUUUGCUUUAUCUGACUGCAAGUAGACCAGACAUCAUGUAUGCCACAUGUCUAUGUGCAAGAUUUCAGGCAGAUCCAAGAGAGCCUCAUCUGAUUGCAGUAAAGAGGAUAUUCAGAUAUCUCAAGGGAACCACAUCAUUGGGAUUAUGGUAUCCUAGAGAAUCAGAUUUUAGUCUAAUUGGAUACUCUGAUGCAGAUUUUGCAGGUUGCAAAAUUGACAGGAAAAGCACAAGUGGGAGUUGUCAAUUUCUGGGUGGAAGACUUGUUUCUUGGUACAGCAAGAAGCAAAAGUCCAUUUCAACAUCAACAGCAGAGUCAGAGUAUAUAGCUGCAGGCAGCUGCUGUGCUCAAAUUCUUUGGAUGAAGAAUCAACUGUUGGACUAUGGGUUAUCCUUUUCUAAAAUUCCUAUUUAUUGUGAUAACCAAAGUGCUAUUGCUAUGACAGGAAACCCAGUUCAACAUUCUCUGACAAAACACAUCAGCAUAAGAUAUCAUUUUAUAAGGGAGCAUGUGGAGGAAGGAACCAUUGAACUUCACUUUGUUCCUACAGAACAGCAGCUAGCAGACAUAUUCACCAAACCACUAAGUGAAGCAACCUUCACUAGGCUGGUGAAUGAGCUAGGAAUGAUAUCAGGAACUGAGUAAACAUACUGGUCAGAUCUUUCAAAUUUCAAUUGUCAAAUUACCAUAUGUAUUGCUCACAAAUUUGCCAUGAUAUACUCUGAUUGUUAAAAUCUGAUGACAUUCUCUGAUGAUAUACUCUGUGUGCUAUACUCUGAUGAUAUUCUCUGAUCGUCAUUCUCUGACGAUAUUCUCUGAUGUUUGUAAACUCUGAAUCUUGAUUAAUGAUUUCAUUUCUAUUUCUCUGAGAAAACAAACCUGUGAAGAUACUAUGAAGCAUGAUAUGAAUUAGUAAUCAUGAAUCUCAGUUCAGUUCUUUAAUCUUGAUCUCCAUUUUGUGCUACUACUUAACACUAUCUGCAUAUUGAAAUCAUUGAGACUCUAUUACUUCACAUAUCUUAAUUAUAAGUGAGACUGACUAAUUUGCAUUUUCUCUCAGUAAAUUAGACAGUGAUUAUAAACUCUGAUGAUAUAUACACUCCUGCAAAUAAGCAUGGUACUCCUUUGAGAUCUUAGAUGUCUAUAUGACAGUGACUGGGAAGACCCAAACCCUUACUGGUAUUAAGUAAUUGCCAAGAUUUUAAAAUCUAUGGUGACCAGUCACAAUCUCUGAUUACUGGAGAACUACUGUGGCAAAAUUAUCCUUAAAAGGUCGUGAUUCAUUUACACUGAAAAGCGUCCUUUUGAAAAAAAAAAAAAAAGGGGGGGUUUAGUUUAUUUUAUCAGAGUAUAUCGUUUGUCUAUGUCUUGAGAGUUUAAAUAAAUUAUUCUUGUCUACCUUAUAAUUACGAAAUUGUGAAAUUCUCUAGUCUCUGAUUUAAUAUGUUAAAUCACACACAUAAAUGUCACAAGCAUAUUAUUGAGCUAUGGAUUCUAUGNNNNNNNNNNNNNNNNNNNNNNNNNNNNNNNNNNNNNNNNNNNNNNNNNNNNNNNNNNNNNNNNNNNNNNNNNNNNNNNNNNNNNNNNNNNNNNNNNNNNNNNNNNNNNNNNNNNNNNNNNNNNNNNNNNNNNNNNNNNNNNNNNNNNNNNNNNNNNNNNNNNNNNNNNNNNNNNNNNNNNNNNNNNNNNNNNNNNNNNNNNNNNNNNNNNNNNNNNNNNNNNNNNNNNNNNNNNNNNNNNNNNNNNNNNNNNNNNNNNNNNNNNNNNNNNNNNNNNNNNNNNNNNNNNNNNNNNNNNNNNNNNNNNNNNNNNNNNNNNNNNNNNNNNNNNNNNNNNNNNNNNNNNNNNNNNNNNNNNNNNNNNNNNNNNNNNNNNNNNNNNNNNNNNNNNNNNNNNNNNNNNNNNNNNNNNNNNNNNNNNNNNNNNNNNNNNNNNNNNNNNNNNNNNNNNNNNNNNNNNNNNNNNNNNNNNNNNNNNNNNNNNNNNNNNNNNNNNNNNNNNNNNNNNNNNNNNNNNNNNNNNNNNNNNNNNNNNNNNNNNNNNNNNNNNNNNNNNNNNNNNNNNNNNNNNNNNNNNNNNNNNNNNNNNNNNNNNNNNNNNNNNNNNNNNNNNNNNNNNNNNNNNNNNNNNNNNNNNNNNNNNNNNNNNNNNNNNNNNNNNNNNNNNNNNNNNNNNNNNNNNNNNNNNNNNNNNNNNNNNNNNNNNNNNNNNNNNNNNNNNNNNNNNNNNNNNNNNNNNNNNNNNNNNNCAUGCCGUAAACUCUGAACCUACUCCUACAACAGCCUCUGAACCUGUUCAAGCCAGUCCUCAGAAGCCAGCCAGAUUCAAGAAGAGGGCUCAAAAGCCUGCAAGAGCAAAAGUCCCAGUUACUGAAAUCACAGAUUUCACAGUUGAGGAAGAACAAACACCAUCAACUCCAGUCAUCUCCUACAGCAUCUACUUCAUCCUCUGAAGUAGAUGAAGAAAUAAAGUGUGAUGAACCAGUUACAACUGAAGCUGGAGCAAACAUGUCUGAUCCUCAUCCUCCAUUAUCUGAUCAUGGACCCUCCACUCCAAUUCCUAAUUCUCCAAUGAAAAUUCCAGAGGGUGCCAUAGUUCAUGAUACAGCUCCAGAAAACUACAGGUCUGAUGUAGUUGAUGAAUCUGACAGAGUAGCUAUGGAAGCUCUACAGUCUCUUGCUCAGACUGGUGAAGAGCCUAUCAAAUCACAGUCUGAAGCUCAAGAAAAAUCUGCUCAGGAUACUGUGGAGAAAGUUGCUGAUACUGUUCCUGAUGCUGACAAAGCAAAUUCUGAUGCUGAUACUGAGGAUGAUGACAGUUCAGAUACUGACAAGGAUGAAAAUGAUGGAGUUCCUCUAACACAACAAAAGUGGGAGUCUACUAGCCAGUAUAAUGUCAGGCUACAAACUCUGACUACAGACUCUGAGCCACUUCCCAGGGAUCUUCAAGUUGAUCCACCAAAUGAAGUAUGGGAUAAACUCUGGCUGAGCCAUCAACAUUCUCUGGAGCCAACUAAAGCUGAAGAAUUUCUAUCUAUGGCAGAGAAUAAAAUUUCAAACUCUGAUGUUAUGUCAAGCCUCAAAGGCACAAUUCUUUAUCUGAAGACAUUUCAUCCUGCUCAUGCCCAGACAUCUAAAUCAAUAGAUGGUCUAAGAACAGAGGUGGCUAAUGUCAAGGAGACAAAUGAGUUGGAGAAGAAAAGGACUAUAAUACCUCUGAGAGAUAAUGUUCAGAAGCUGGUGUCUGCACAUGAAUCUCUGGACAAGAGGAUGACUAUCAUUGAAUCAACUCAAGAGAAGAUGUCCAAACAGCUUGAAGCCAUCCAAUCUUCACUUUCUCUGAUCACAUCCAUACUGAUUCCUGAUGAGGAUGAUGUCAAAAAGGGGGAGAGAGUAGCUCAAGUCAAAUGCAAGUCUACUACUCAAACUCUGAAGAGGAAGAAGAAGGAUGAUGAUGAUGAUGCUGAUGAUUUCACAAAGCACAAGAGAUUUCAAGCAGGGACUGGUGGAAGAGUUUCAAACUCUGACAGUCAGAAACAAUCUAAGCAAAGCACAAAGUCUGCUCCAACACAUAACUUCACAUCUGGAUCUAAGCAAAGACCAGUGACUGGAUCAGACAAACCCAUGACUGAUGAAGAGCUUGCUAGAUUGGUUUUUGAACAAGAAAAUCCAGAAGCCAAUUUGGAUUUGGAGUUGAUUGCUGCAGAGGAAGCUGAGCUGAAAAAGGAACAUGUUGAAGCUAUAAACUCUGGAAAGAUCCAAAAGCCUGCAAAGUCAACUACCAAGCCAAAAGAGAAAGGGAUAUUGAUCAAGGAACCUACUGUUGCUGAUCAGAGUUUACCAGUCAAAAAGGUAUACUCUGAAGAUGAAUAUACUUCCAAGGGCAAAAGCAAAGUAGAUGAACAUCUGGAGAAAGGCUGGGAAAAGAAGAAGUCUACAACCUCUGACAAGGAUCAAGUUGUAAAGGAAAAGAAAACAGAAGCUGCAAUCUCUGACAAAGCUCAUGUUGCAGAACCUCAAAAAGAAAGAUUAACCUCUGACAUAGCUCAAGUUAAUAAGGAUGCAAAGAAAGACACAACCUCUGACAAAGCUCAAGCUGUGUUCAAACCAACAACUACUCCACUGGCUGGAUUUGCAAAGCCUACUCUGAUGACUGAGAUAAGCUUUGAAAAGGGCUCAAUUCAACCAAUCUCUCAUCGUAAGGCAGGAAGAGAUAAAGGAGGGCUGGGAUCCAAAUAUGAAAAAUUUGAUCAGAGUAUAGGAUCAAGACCAGAUGACCCCUCAUCUCUCUGUGCUCCCAAGACUGGAGUAUUGCAAGACAAAAUGGACAAACUUGAUUCAGUCCAGUUGGUAAAGAAUGACAGAGGAGAUAAUAUCCUUAUCUACUUCAUGUCUGAUGGAACAGUGUUUAGAGUACUUGAAGCAGAUCUAUAUGCUAAACACUGGGAAGAAUUGAGAUAUGUAUCAUACAUAUUUCAAGUAAAGAACAAGUCAGGACAACACAUCUCCAACCUGCUAAAGGAUCAAAUCAGAAGAAAGAUGGGGAUUACAGGAAACAAAAAUGCUGGACCUUUCAUUCCUAAAUACCUCAAUCAUAAAGGACAGCUGGUGGAGAUGAAGACAAAUUCAGCAAAGAUUGAAACAAUAGGUGGAAUCAGAACUCUUGCAUUUAAUGAAGAGUCUGAUAAAGCUUACAAUAUCAGGCUGGAUAGAGACUUGAAGAAGAACAAGAUUUAUGAUCUCAGAGCUGCAAUUUAUCAAACUGGAGUUUCAGAUCCAGAGCUGAGAGAGAUCAAGAGACAAAUGAUUACAGUGCUUGAAGAAGCUGAAAGAGAACUCCUCAGAAGGUAUCUACAGACAGCAAAUGGUGUCUAUGCAGCUAAGGAGUAAAGUAUCUGUAAGUUUUAAAAGUUUUCUGUUGUAUAGUUAAACUCUGUUGCAUUUGACUUAAAUGUUUUGACAUCAUCAAUUAUCUGUUAACUUGCACAUAACUUAUUUAUGCACAAGUUGGGGGAGAUUGUUAGAUAUAAUUGAUGAUUACUAAUGUUCUUAAAGUUUGUUUUAGAACAGGAAUCAUCAGAGUUUAAGCUGGAAGCUGAUCAGAGUUUAGUAAAGUCUGACAGAGUUUGAUAAAGUCUGACAGAGUUUGAUAAAGUCUGACCAGAGUUUACAUAGUCAAGACUCGUCAGAGUUUACACGUGGAAAGAGCUCAGAAGCGGAUAUACUUCAAGGAAGGAUAGAAGCGGAGGAGUGAUUUACUGGCUAUGGAAACUAAACAGAAAACUGGAGCAAUCUUUGAUUGAUAGAAUUCAUAGCUGAUUUAUAGGAUAUCAAAUCAGAGAUUGAUUUUGUAACUGUGUCUAUAUAAACACAGAUUAGGGUUACUCUAUAUGAGUUGAGUUAUCGAGUACAUUGUUAAGAACCCUAGCAGCUCUUAGUGAUACAAUAUAAAUCACUGAGAGAGUUUUUGUAACCAUUAAAGCUUUGUGAAUAUAAGAGUUUAUUGCUUUCAAUCUCUUAUAUUGUCUUACUGUGUUACAGAUUGUGAUCACUAUAUCAGAUUAUAUAGUGAGUUUAUAGGACCUAACAUAUAUCAGCGUCUUUUACCUUAUAGUCUUAUCUUUUCCUUUACCGCACUUGUUUUAUUUCACUUUACUUUCAGUACCGACCAUAAACUUUUGAGAUAAUAUUGCACCCCUUUCCUUUAUUGUUUUACAUUCUGUAAAGAAGUAUGCAAUUUAUUUAGUUGAAUAAUCUCAAAAAUGUUUUCAGAAAUUUGUAACUCUGUUUUCUUAAAAACCUUUUAUAAAAAGAGAAUUUGAUUUAAAAAGGCUAAGUGAAUUGUUUCUUCUUUACAGAAUGCCUCCAACAAGACAUACUCGUGCCAACAGCAACCCUGAAGGCACAAACAGUACCAAUAAUAACAAUGACAACCAGAAUGUCAACACAGGCACAGUAGAUCCUGCUGUUGCCCAACUAAUUCAAAUUUUGGCCCAACAAACUGCUCAGCUUACCCGACAACAGCAACAUUAAGAGAAUCCUAGGGUAACUUUUAAAACUUUUCAGGCAGUUAAUCCUCCAGAGUUUAAGGGCUCAGCAGAUCUUGUUGCAGCCCAAACAUGGUUAAAAGAAAUGGAAAAGUGUUUUGAGUUAGUUCCAGCAAGUGAGGACCAGAAAACAAAGUUUGCCAGUCAUUACAUGAAAAAUUAAGCGACGUAUUGGUGGGAAUUUGUUAAGAAUUUGGAAGGUACAGUUGAAAUUACUUGGGAAAGGUUUAGAGAAUUGUGCUUAGAAAAGUAUUUUCCUAGGUUUCUUCAGGAUCAGAUGGAAUUGAACUUUUUAGAGUUGAAACAAGGAAAUAUGUCUAUGGUUGAGUAUGAGAAUAAGUUUGCGGAAUUGGCUAGAUUUAUGCCAACUUAUGUAGAGACCGAUAGGCAGAAAGCGAAGAGGUUCCAUCAAGGUCUGAAACCCUGGAUUAGAAGCAAAUUAGCUAUUUUACAAUUGGAUACUUACGCAGCAGUUGUUGAGAAAGCGGUGAUUGCGGAGACUGAAAAUGAGUUGUUCAGAAGUCUAAGGAAGAUAAGAAAAGAAAGCCAGACAAUAGAGAAGGACCAUCUCAUCAAGGGAGGUUCCAGAAGAAAGGGAAAUUUCAAGCAGGAAGGAGUUCCAAUUUUAAGAAACAGAAUGUAGGCAGUGGUGGACAAGGUAGUCGUUUUAUUAUGGGAAAUCAGGCCAAUCAGCAGAGGCCUUCAAUACCAGAAUGUCAGAUAUGUGGCAAGAGACAUGGAGGAAUAUGCAACAAGCUGAACGUGGUGUGUUUUAAAUGCAACCAGAAAGGACAUUAUUCUAGAGAAUGUCAGAAUCAACUAGCAAUAAAAGAUCAAGCCAAUAGAAGCUCAACAAGUAAGACUCUAGUCAUAGGAUAUACAUGUUUUAAAUGUGGAAAGCCAGGACAUAUGGCUAAGGACUGCAAGACAUCAGCCCCUGUUAGUAAUGCACUUAGGAUCAUGGGAACUGUUCCAGAAGUGAAUGAACCUCCUAAGGCAAGAGUCUUUGAUAUGUCAGUGAAGGAUGCUAUUCAGGAUGCCGAUGUGGUGGCAGGUACGCUUAACGUAAACUCUUUAAAUGCUAAGGUGUUAAUUGAUUCCGGAGCCACUAGAUCAUUUAUUUCUCAAGCUUUUGUUGAUAAGUUGAAUUGUCCGGUUGAAUUGUUGAAUGAGGUUAUGAAUGUAGAGCUAGCUAAUCAGGAUCGUAUUCCCGUUAAUCAAGUUUGUCCUGAUUGUGAAAUUGAGAUUUUAGGAAAUAAGUUUUGUGCCGACUUGAUACCUUUCAAGUUGGGGGAAUUUGAUGUAAUCUUAGGGAUGGACUGGCUGUCUAAACAUAGUGCGCAGAUAGAUUGUAAAAAUAAGAAGGUAAUAUUAAAGGCACCAGACGAUAAGGUAAUAACGUUUAGAGGACAAAAGCAAGUAAAGAAGUUCUUAACCAUGAUUCAAGCGAAGAGGAUGUUACGUCAAGGAUGUGAAGCCUAUAUUGCUUAUGUAAUUGAUAAAAGUCAGGAAUCAGUAAAACUUGAUGAUAUUCCUGUAGUAAAUGAAUUUCCAGACGUGUUUCCUGAUGAGUUACCAGGACUUCCUCCAGAUAGAGAAAUAGAAUUUGCAAUUGACUUAGCACCUGGAACGGAGCCGGUAUCCAAAGCCCCGUAUAGGAUGGCACCCGUAGAGAUGAAAGAAUUGGCAAAACAAUUACAAGAGUUACUGGAAAAGGGCGUGAUUAGACCGAGUGUAUCCCCAUGGGGAGCACCAGUGUUAUUUGUAAAGAAGAAAGAUGGAAGUAUGAGGUUAUGCAUAGAUUAUAGAGAGCUUAAUAAGCUUACUAUCAAGAAUAGAUAUCCUUUACCCCGUAUUGACGACUUGUUUGACCAGUUGAAAGGAGCAGAAUAUUUUUCUAAGAUUGACCUUAGGUCAGGAUACCAUCAGCUCAAAAUCAAAUCUGAGCUAAGACAGCUUUCAGAACAAGGUAAGGUCAUUUUGAAUUUUUAGUGAUGGCCUUUGGAUUAACGAAUGCACCAGCUUUUAUGGAUUUAAUGAAUAGAGUCUUUAAGAAGUAUUUGGACAAGUUUGUGAUUGUUUUUAUAGAUGAUAUUCUGAUAUAUUCUAAGACAACUGAGGAGCAUGCAGAACACUUAAAAACAGCCUUAGAGAUACUAAGGAAGAAGAAGUUGUAUGCGAAGUUUUCUAAAUGUGAAUUCUGGUUAGAAGAAGUUCAAUUUCUAGGACACAUAGUGAGUCGUGAAGGAAUCAAGGUAGAUCCAGCAAAGAUUGAAGCUAUAAUGAAUUGGGAAAGACCAAAGACCCCCACAGAAAUCAGGAGAUUCUUAGGGUUAGCAGGUUACUACAGAAGGUUUGUACGGGAUUUCUCAAGAAUUGCAACCCCACUGACUAAGUUAACUAGAAAGAAUGAAAAGUUCAUAUGGAAUGAGAAGUGUGAGGAAAGUUUUCAGGAUUUAAAGAAAAGAUUAGUGUCAGCACCAGUAUUGUCCCUUCCAGAUGAUCAAGGAAAUUUUGUGAUUUAUAGUGAUGCCUCUUAUAAAGGAUUAGGAUGUGUAUUGAUGCAGCAUGAUAAAGUUAUUGCGUAUGCGUCUAGACAACUUAAACCUCAUGAACAGAAGUACCUUACUCAUGACCUGGAGUUAGCAGCUAUUGUAUUUGCACUAAAAAUAUGGAGACACUAUCUGUACGGAGAAAAGUGUGAGAUUUACACAGAUCAUAAAAGUUUGAAGUACAUCUUUACUCAGAAAGAGCUUAACAUGAGACAAAGAAGAUGGUUAGAGUUGAUUAAGGAUUAUGAUUGUACGAUUAAUUAUCAUCCAGGAAAAGCCAACGUAGUAGCGGAUGCUUUAAGUAGAAAGGAGAGGUUAAAUGUAUUGACUGUGCCAGAGGAAUUGUAUAAAGAGUUUCAAAAGUUGGAAAUCGAGGUAAGAAUUCGUGAACCAUCAGAGAUAGCAGUGUAUACCAUGACCUUCCAACCAGAGCUAUUAGAAAAGAUUAAGAAGUGCCAAGAAGAAGUAAUGAAUCAGGAUGUAAACAAAUUAGUAGGAGAAGAGUUAUGUACACAGAAAGAUGACCAGGGUAUUCUUAGAUUUUCUUCCCGGAUAUGGAUUCCACCGGAGACAGAGUUAAAGAAUGACAUCUUGCAGGAAGCACAAAAUUCUAAGUAUUCAAUUCAUCCAGGCAGCACUAAGAUGUAUAGAGAUUUAAAGGAGAACUAUUGGUGGCCAGACAUGAAAAGAGAGAUUGCGGAAUGGGUAAGUAAAUGUUAUACGUGUCAAAAAGUGAAAGCAGAACACCAAAGACCAAGUGGACUAUUGCAACCUUUAGAGAUUCCAGAAUGGAAAUGGGAACAUAUUGCUAUGGAUUUUAUUGUAGGAUUACCGAAGACAAAAGCAAAUCAUGAUGCCAUCUGGGUUAUAGUGGAUAGAUUAGCCAAAUCAGCUCAUUUUCUUCCGAUUAAUGAGAGGUUUUCUUUGGAUAAACUGGUUCAUAUGUACUUGAAAGAGAUUGUAGUUCAUCAUGGAGUCCCCGUAUCCAUUGUAUCAGAUAGAGAUCCACGAUUUAAUUUGAGAUUCUGGAAAAGUUUUCAAGAAUGCUUGGGCACUAAAUUGAAUAUGAGUACGGCAUAUCAUCCACAGACAGACGGCCAAAGUGAGAGAACUAUUCAGACAAUCGAGGAUAUGUUACGUGUUUGUGCAAUCGAUUUCAAAGGCAAUUGGGACGAACAUCUACCUUUAGUGGAAUUUGCAUAUAAUAAUAGUUAUCACGCGAGUAUUGGAAUGCCUCCAUAUGAAGCCCUUUACGGACGCAAAUGUCGAUCACCAGUAUAUUGGGAUGAAGUCGGAGAACGCAAAAUACUUGGACCAGAACUAGUGCAGCAAACCAAGGAAGUCAUCGAAAUUAUUCAGAAGCGACUAAUUGCAGCGCAAAGUCGUCAACGGAACUACGCAGAUCAAUCCCGGAGAGACGUAGAAUUUGAAGACGGAGAAGCAGUACUGCUAAAGGUAUCACCAUGGAAAGGGCUAUCCAGAUUCGGAAAGAAAGGCAAGCUAAGUCCCCGAUAUGUCGGGCCAUUCGAAAUCUUGAGGCGUAUUGGCAAAGUAGCGUAUGAAUUGGCAUUACCCCCACAAAUGGAGCAUAUUCAUAACGUCUUUCAUGUAUCGAUGCUUAAAAAGUAUAAUCCAGAUUCGAAGCAUGUGAUAGAGUAUGAGCCGAUAGAACUGGAGGCAGAUUUAUCUUAUGUAGAAAAGCCAGUAGAAAUCCUAGAUAGAAAAGAGAAGGUGUUAAGGAACAAGGUAGUUAACUUAGUGAGAGUACUGUGGAGAAACCCAAAGGUUGAAGAGUCAACCUGGGAAUUAGAAAGUGAUAUGCUUGAAAAGUACCCUCAUUUGUUUACCUAAGCGAUUCUGAGGACAGAAUCCUUUUAAGGGGGGAAGGAUGUAACAUCUGGGAUUAUCCGUGUAAUUAUUUUGAUGAUUAAUGAAUAUUAUAUGAAUAUUAUGUGAAUAUUAUAUGAAUUUCUGUGAAUUAAUUGUUUCUUGUCCUAUUAAUAUGGCUGCUUGUUUACGAUCAAAUUUGAGGAAUAUCAAUUUUUAUAUGCUCAGUACAAAAUAUAGUUUAUUUAGAUAUUUUUAUAUUGAUUUAUGUAUUGUUGUAUGAUUUUAUAUUUGGUUUAUGGAUUUAAUUACGUAUAUUAUAUUUAAUUAUUAAUUAUUUUGAUUUUUCGAAAACCGUCAACCCGUAACGGUACCGAGAUUUUACUUCCCGAAAAUUUCGACAAAACUCACCAUAACCUACAAAAAUGCCUUCAUCAGCUUUUAAAUUAAGCUGUUCUGGAUGAGUCUUCAAGACAAAGCAUUUGCACCCAAAUAUAUGAAAGUACUUCAGAUUUGGCUUCUUUUUCUUCACCAUCUCAUAUGGGGUCUUGCCAUGCUUAUUAAUCAGUGUUGCAUUUUGAGUGAAACAAGCUGUUUGAACAGCUUCUGCCCGGUUGUCUAGAUAUACGUGAAAACAAGAUAUUUUGAUUAUUAUAUUAUUUCUUUUAUCGUAAUACGUGCAAACGGGACCCGCAUACUAAUGAUUGAUUGAAAAGCCCCGUUUUAAUAUAUAAUUAUCUCGAAAACCGGUACCGAUUGGACCCGCUUUAUUAAUAUAAAGCUAUUAAACAUUGUAUUUUCGUGUCAUAUAUGAUCCAGAGGGGUAUUAAUUAUUCGUAAAUAUAAAUAGUCUUAACCGUACUUUAUUUCACUCGGGAAAUCAUAAUAUCAGUUAAAUACGAGUUUAUCGAGAGAGUGUUCUUCGCGUUCUUGAGAUUCAAACGAAGAUUUGGAAGCGUUAUCGGACUCGGAUUUUGGCGUUCAAGUACUCAAAUCGAAGGUUUUGCUGAGUAGAAUCCAUAUCUAGCAUCAGAAUCAGUGCAGCAACAAUAGGUGGGCACGGAUUUUUGAGUUUUAAUUCGAAUUAAAUAAGCUUAAAUUAGGGCUUUUUGAUUUUGAAGUCGUUUGUGUGAUUUGAUGAUUUCAUGUUGUAGAUUAGUUUCUCCUGAUCAUUUUGGUUUAUUAUAUGUGUGAUUUCAAGUUCAAUAACAUAGUUAAAAGUGGGUUUGAUUCUGCUGUGUUCAAGAACUAGGGUUCUUCGUAGCUUUGAAUAUUUCUAAUUGAAAUUUGGGCUUUUCUUAUUUGUUAAUUGCAUGCUUAAUUGGUUUAUAUGGUUGGAUUGGUCGUGAGGAGAGGAAUUCAAACAUGUGAUUGGAAUUGACGGACGACCUCGGAAUCGGUCGCCGUGUUCUGAAAAACAACUCGCCGGCGGCGAGUUUGUUUCGAUCUUUUCCGGCCAAACGGCCUAUCUCCUGCAAAAUCUGAGGCCACCAAUCGAUUCCUGGUGGCUGAUAUAGCUAAUCUGGAAGUUUUGGUAGAUGUUUAAGGCCGGGAGACCAACCUCCGGUGACACAGACGGUGGCCGGCGGCAUUUAUGCUGUUUGGUCACUGUAGUUUUGAAGAUGGUGACGUUUAGUCACCGUCGUUUCUACACUUUCACAGAUCGCAUCAUAUUUUUAAAACCUGACAGUUUGCACCCCUGUGUAAACUUUUGAUUAUUUACAAAAUAAACCUUUUCAAUUUAUUUUCAAAAAUCAUUUUUAAAUUACUUAUUUUAAUUUCAAAAAUAGUUUUUAAUUAUUUAUUAGUUCAAAAAUAAAUCUGAUUUAAUUUAUUAAUUAAUUUCAAUUUGUAAUUAAUUAUUAUAAUUGGUCAAUUAAUUUAAAUAUUAAUUGAUUAAUUGUUUUAAUUAAUUAUUAAUUGAUUUUAAUUGAUUUAUUAAUUAGAUUUAAUUAUUUUAAAUAAUUUUAAAAUUCCGAAAAAUAGUUUCGAGCUUUGAAAUAUUUUUCUAAAAUAUGUUUGAAGUCCGUUAAUUGAUUUCAAAUGAUUUCGGACUUGAUUUCAAGUAUUCAAAAUUGAUUAUUUAUUUAUAAAAUGAUUCUCUUAUUCGUUUUAAUUCCGAAAAAUGUUCAAAAAUUCAUAAUAAAUGCCAGGAAAAUCCUUUUGACUUCAAACAUUCGUUGAAAAAUAAAUUUUAGUGAAUACCUUAUGUGAUACGUGUUAUGUGCUAUCUGAUCGAUGUGCUAUAUGCCUAUGUGAACGUUAUAUGGCUGUUUCUGGCAUAUUUUUCAAUCCGUAAAUCGGAUUUGGGUAAAACGAAGGGUAGAUUGAAGCUCGUUUCGAAUGUGCGAUAAUAAGAAUAGUAUGAGAUCAUAUAUUGAUAGAUAAUUGUUGUGAUUAGCAGAAGAAGAGAGACGUAGAAAAGGAAAGCAAGUGGUAAUAGAAUAGUAUAUCGAGCAAGUACAAUCAAAGCUUGAGAUCAGCUAUAUAAGGCAAGUUUCCCUAAUACUUUCUUUCAAAUAUAUAUGAUAAUUGAUGUGAUUACUUCGUGAGAUUUCUAAUUAAGCCCUGUUAUUUCUUGAGCUAUAGCAUGAAUUGGUUAUUCUAUUAAUUCAUGAACCUUCAACCAGAUUCUUUGAAUUACAACUUGGACUAUUCACUUCAUUGAUUCUUGAGCCUCCAACCAGAUUCUUGGGUAUUUGUUACGAAACCUGUUUCAAUUGCGAACCUCAUGUUCUUGAAACUUUUAAAGAAAUACCAUACGAACCUUAUUUCAUUUCAAUGACAAAUCCUUGACCCCUAAACCAAUUGAUUUAUAUCCAGUAAUACCUGAAAUGACAUAUACCUUACAAUUGUUCAUUUUCUUCCGAUAAACUAAUUUCUUUGGUCUUGAAGAUACCCAUUUAUAUUCGAAUCAUUUUGUAAAAGAAACUAGAAACCUUCUUUCCUAUAAACAGUGGCCUUUGAUAUACCUUACAAUCCAAUCAUGCUUUAUCUGAUUCCUUGAAUCAUAAAGUAUUCCUUAUUCCUAUUCUGAAGUAUCUUGAAGAUACUCUUGAAUUGCAUUCUACUUCUGCUUCAAAGUUAAAUCAUGAUAUUGAUGACUCUGUUUUAUUGAAUUAUAUUGUUGAUCAUCUUGAAUUAUGAUAGAAUUGGAUAGUUUUUCUUAAAUGGACCAAAUGAAUGGUCAGACCAGAUGAGUGGUCGCUUUAGGCCAAUGUGUGCCUUGGUCUUAAAUGGACCAAAUGAAUGGUCAGACCAGAUGAGUGGUCACUUUAGGCCAAUGUGUGCCUUGGAUCCAGUAAACGAGCAUGGCCGGGCCUGCUCGGGGUUAGUGUCUGACUGAUCAGCAGCCUAACCUUUGGUUUUAAAAAAUAAAUUUAAUAUCCAAUUCUAAUUGAUACUCUAAAAACAAAUCUUGAUAUUGAGAUUGAUUCCAUUAGACACUGGUUUCCCUCAGCUUAUGAUUAAUGUUUUAAAUUGAUAUUGCUAUACUUGCUGAGCUUGUUAGCUCACUCUUGCAAUACUUUAUGUUCUUUCCAGUGAAGAUAGAGAAGGUUGGUAAUGAUGACCCUCAGGCUAGUGGUAAGGCCAGGAUUCCAGGCUGAGAGACGGAGGGAGCUAUCAGCAGCACUUGGCUUUUUAUAUAUAAACUAGUUUGAGUAGCGGAAAACAUUUGAGGUGUAAGCUUUGUAAGAUUUAAGUCUAUAUUUUGGGAUUUGGGUUUGUAAUAAUUAAAGUUAUGUUGUGGCUUGUUUUAUACUUUAACCUGUUGCGAUCCAUGGAUAGUGAAGGGUCACCGCAUAUAUUAUAUUAAUUACAGGUUUAUAUUAUGUUGUGGACCCCAAACUUCUGACCCGGGUUUGGAGGGCGCCACAAUGUAAAUAGGGAAAAGUAGUCAAAAUAUUGAUUUUUAAUGAUUUUGGCAUUUAUUCCUUUUGUAUAAUAUGUAAAUGUUUCCCUAUUCACUAUAUUCAAUUCAAUUUUCAAAUCUAGACUUUUUGUUAUAAUUUCAAAUUAAUGGAGUCUUUUUUCACUCCACAAUUUUAGCACUUGAUAAGGAAGUUUUUAUAUAUUAGAUUUUUUAAUAUUCAGAUACAUGGAUCUCGACUGUUAUAGCUCAUAUGCAAAUAGGGAAGUCAGACUUUAUUUGAUUUCCACUAAUUUUGACAUUAAUUACUAAAAUACUUUUCUAUUUAAUUUUAACAGUUUUCAUGUUCAUUAUAUUCAAUUUUCAAAUCAAGACUUUUUGUUAUAAUUUCAAAUAAAUAUCCCACUCCAUAAUUUUAACUCUUGAUAAGGAAGGUUUUAUAUAUUUUGACUUUUUUAAUUUUUUGAUACAUGGGUCUAGCCUGCUAUAACCCAUAUGUAAAUAAGGAAAAAUAGUCAAAAUUUAUUUGAUUUAACUGAUUUUGGCCUUUAUUAUUACAAUACUUUUUUGUAUAAUAUAUACUGGUUUCCAUAUUCAAUACAUUUAAUUUCCAAAUCAAGACUUUUGUUAUACUUCCUAAUCAAUGGAACACUUUUUAACACCACAAUUUAGCUCUUGAUAAUGAAAUUUUUAUAUAUUAAUUUUUUUAUAUUUUUCCGAUACAUGGAUAUAGACUGCUAUAAUUCAUAGCAAAAAGGAUUUAAAAUUUAAAUUUAUUUAAAAUAUUUUCAAACGAUAAUUCAAAGCAUUGUUUCUAGCACAAUCCCACAAGUUAUGCAUUCAUUCUAGCUUUUGUUUUUAACUGUCUUAACUAAUACGUAAGCAUUAAUUCGAUAAGUGCUAUAAUUCACAGCGUUUGAAAUUUAAAUUUAUUUAAAAUAUUUUCAAACGAUAAUCUAUUAAAAUGGUUGAAGAAACGAAGACCACAUAAGGAUACUAAACCACCUGGUUGUGAAAUAGUUUCUUCAAGUACCUCCAGACUCGGAGCUUACGGUGUAACUUGACUUGCUCAAAAUAAGAAUUGCAAGACUAACACAAAUAUGAUGCAUGAAGAAACGAUAGGUGGUAAGUCUGAUGUUUUCAUAUCAUGGACGAAGUAUAUUCAUCUGGUUUCUUUGAAUGAAGUUUGCUAAUCCAUGUGUACUCUUCCAUUUUAGUAUAUCACAAUAUUUGCAUAUUAUACUCCUGUGAAAUAUAUUGAUGAAUUACUGCAUCAACAUUUAGAUAUCAAGUUAUAUCUGCGACUAGUAAUUUUGCCCGCUUCGCAUGGGCGUUAAUUUCAAAAAAUUCAUAUCUCAUUUUAGAAUAAAAAUUUUGUGAAUAAUUUAUUUACAAAUUAUCUUGUCACAACGUCGGCUUGCUUCGUUUUAUCUUUAAACUAUUUUAUCUCAUUUUAUUUUGUUUAUAAUAUGUUAAACCAGUGAUAUAUUAUACAAAAUUUAAAAUUAAAAAAAUAAUUUAUAAAUUAUAAUAAUGUCAGUUCAAUUAAUUUAAGAUAAUUAUUAAAUAGUUAAAUUUCUAUGUGAGUAUAAUGUAAAGAAUGAGCUAAUAAAUGAAAAAAGUUUUGUAUCAAAACUUUGUAUGUAAGUAUGAUGUAAAGAAUGGGAUAAUCUAAAUUUUUAUGUAUCAAAACUUACCAGAAAAGGUGAAUUAUAUAAACUUGAAAUAUCUACCAAAAAUAAGAAAAUUGGGAGAACUUGAAAGUAAAUAUUUACUUCAACAAAUUCAAAAAAGAUGUGAUAUAAACUUUUAUUAUUAUAUUUUAGUUUUUGAAAAAUGAGGUUCUAUUUUAUGAGAAAAUGAGAAACAUAAGAAAUAUUCACUCCAUAAUUGUUGAAAUAUCAGCAACAGUGAACUUGAAAUAUCAGCAACAGUGAACUGACUGGCAUGGACGAUUCACUAUUGAAAAUUUAAAGCCAAAAUAACAUUAUGAAGUUGUGGCUUGAUUUUUUUAUAUUUCUUUUAUCAAGAAAGUUGUGCCUUGUGAAAUUGAUUGAUAAAUCACAUAAUAACAAUCAUCUUUAGAGUUUUUUUUUUAAUCUAUUGGUGCACUCAGCUUAUUCUAUUCUUCAUAUGAACUGUGACUGCAUUGAAUGUUAAUACAUUCAAGCUAUGGCUUCAGCAUAUGAAGAAAACACCUUCUCCUCAUGGAUGGUAUCUCCCACUUGAAGUAUCAUCCCUCCAAAUUCAUCAAAUGAGUCCUUGUUGCAGAGACCUUGUCCGAAGUAGACCUGUAGAAAAUUAUUUCACAAUUCGUAUCCGGAAAAAGAUUCGAUGUAAAGGAAAUGAGUGGUUCUAGAGCUUAACCUUUCCAUGGUGCCUCGUACUCAGUUGCAAGAUUUUAUCAGAUUGAAACUUCAUCAGUGUUUCAUUCGGCUCUGGCCCAGGAAUUCCAUUCUCUUGGUUAAGUAAGGGUACCUGAAAAGUAUAAUAAAGUCCACAAAAAUUAAAUGAAACUCUGCAGCAAGAAUGUGUCAAAUGAAAUGAUAUUAAACAAAGGAAAACAAAAGAAUCUAUAAUCAAGCUCAACGUUAAUAAGGAUGCUAAACUUGCACAAACAAUUUGUUAGAUGGAGAGCAUUUAAGGUAAAUUUUAACCUUGCAUCGAGGGCAUAACUGAAUGCUUAUGAAAGUUAUGUUGUUGAGGUCCUCAGCAAAUCGUUCACCCCCAUCAAUAAAUAUGUUGUAAAAAUCAAGUGUUUUUUUAUACUAUAGAUUACAGCUUAUAUAUGAGACAAAAAGUCCAAAGAUAAUAAGGCAAUAUUAAGAAAUCAGAUUAGGAUAUACAUAGCCCUAAAAAAAAGUUAGACCUGGGGCGGAAAUGAUUAACAGGUAAAGGCUCCUCCAGCUGGCUAUUAAGUUCAUCUAAAGAUCCCUGCAUAUGAUACAUACUCAUAUUAGGCACCAGUUCUGCACUUAUAUACAAAGAUUAUAUAAAUCAUAAAUGUUUAAAUAACAUGGGAAAGCAUUAGAAACUGAUACUGGUCGGUAAACACAAGAUUGUAUCCGGUUGUAGGAGCAUAAUCCGGGAGAGGCCUGGAGUCAGACUUUGUAUGAGCAGGAAUCUUUAUUUCUCUUUCCUUCAAACAGAUGAAAUAGUUUACUUUGUGCCUAUAACAGGAGAAGCAUUACCAUAUCGUGCAGAUGGAUAGAUGCUGAGACUCAAAGGGCGAUAAAGUGCGCCGGCUUAGCCGAUCAAAAGGAGCACCCACUAUGUUGAUUCUAAUUACAGUUUUGGAACUGAUUAACAUCUAUAUAUGCAGCUCAAUGAACAUGUAUGUGCAAUAACUACGGAGGGAUUUGUGGGGGCGUAAUUACAGUAAAAGCAAUUAAAUAUUCAUAUAUGUACUACUACAACUAUUACAUCCACAUUUUGUCAAAAAAAAAAAACUAUUACAUCCACAUUAACAUCAAUAAAGCCUCUUCAUCAAUUUCAACACAACUCCAAAGAUAGCAGAUGACCAUGAUUGUCCAAAACCGGUUCAAUGACAUAAAGACACAGAAAGCAAAAAAAAAAAUGUCACUCUAUAAACUACUGGCUUGAGUUAUAUUACUAUGUUAUUUUAUUAAAGAAACCAGGAAGUUCUGCUACAAUUUACAAAAACAAAACUAUUAACUUGACCAAAACCCCUGCUUUACAAUAAAAAGUUCAAAUCCCCUGCUUUAUAUAAACAAAAAUAUUCAAAACCCCUGCUUUACAAUAAAAAGUUCAAAGCCUACUCUUAUAUUAAACUAAAAUAUUCAAAACCAAAAGGAAAAUACACCAAAUAUUCUACUUGAUAACAAACAUUCGGAACGUAGUUGAAACCCAGCUUUUUAUUAUUGUAUUUCCUAGCAAAGGAAUAUAACAAAUAAUGACAGUAGGGCUCGUAAAAACAUAAACAUAAAACUUUUACAUACCAGUGUGUAAUAUUAUGAUCAGGUGAAAGCUUGUAUAUAACUUUUCUUGUAUGGAAACAAUUUGUUCCAGUAGGCCAGUACAUUGGUCCUUGAAUUCCUGCCAGUCCAUGCCCUAUAAACUAUACAGUUUAUGCAAUAAUAACUCAUAAUUUAAGUCCAGGUGAAGGCAUGUGUAUAUGAGAGAGAGCUUAUAUUCUUGUAAUUGACCAUAAUGCAAAUAAUGCAAAAAGUAAUAUAAGAAUGCUGGCUUCAUAUGUAUAGACAUAAUAAAUGGUUUACGAAAGUUAUGAAUGCCAUUGCUUUACCUACCUUAGUUGGUUACGAUUGCAGGCUGUGAAGAAUGCAACAAAAUCGUUUAAGAUGCUCUGAACAGCUCGAGAGACCUAGAACAGAAACAAUUUAGAUGCAAUUAGAACCAGUUUUUUAAAUGCUCACAAUAAAUAACAAAAAGGUUAAGACUAUAACCUGAGAAAAAAGGUGAUUCCAUAAAGUGUGCCACAAGGAAACCUCUGCGUUCACCGUAGCAUCUGCAGUUGAAGCUAACUGGAAGAUGCUACAGAUAAAGAACCAUAUAUCUCCAAUAAUAGCAUAUACUUUGCUAUAUAUGAACACAAUAAGAUUGCAUAUCCCGAGAAAAAGGCGAAGGGGAGCGUAUAAUAUUUCCCAAAGAAUCCAGAAUAUAGGGUACAAAAAGGAAGCCACUGCAAUCCAUUCAGAUCAGUUAAUAAUUAUUCUUUUCAGUAAUUAAUUUCAUAAAAUCCUUAAACUGAAACAUUCAGAUAUUAAUAAAGUGUUUAUAAGUAUACUGGAAGAAUUACGCACCAAUAUUCCAUAAAAGUGACAGUAAAAACCAGAGGCAACAAUACAGUCUCAAAUUAGCAAAAACCCAGUUCAAUAUAUACUAAACUCAACAACGGGUGACUAAAAAUGAUAUAAAGAUCGAAUUACGGAUCAGGAAGGAAGGCAGAGAAGCUAAUGAGCAAGCAAACUUACAGAUAUAUUAUCACUUUCCAGCUCCAUAUCAACAUGAUCUUCGUCCUUGGGCUUGUAUGAAGACUUUCCUAAUACUCCAGAUUUAAGAUAGCGGUUACAAUCAUUCAAGGAGAGAAAUAUGUAUCCAUCAAUAGGAUCAGCGUAAUACUGCAGAAAACAUAUAUCAGUGAAACCGUGCUGUAAAGCUUACAAUUCAGAUUUUUACUACAUCAUAUAUCAAAUAAGGGAGUGAGCAAAAUCGCAUCCAACAAAUAUACAGAGUGUGUAUAAUAUGUGACAAUAAUGCGGGAAUAUAGUGAACCAUACCUGGGGGCUUUGUAUCCGAGAACCGCAAAAGGAAUUGAUGUGAGAAUAUUAUCAACUGUUUCUGCAGAGUUCUUGUCACCUGCAACAAUGGUGAAGAACCUGUUAGCCAGCGCGUUAAAUUUUUAUAGGAGCUCUGAACGACUUCCAAUUACAUUUAGGACAUAAAUUUAGUGCCAUCGUUUUGCAGUACUAAAGUGUAACAUAGAUGAUUAGUUUUAGCAUGCCUAAACCAUCUUUCUCUUUAGCUACACAAUCAUCACCACUCCCAUCUUUCUGUUCAAACGCCAUCCACAUUAGAUACACCACUCCCCCUUCCCGGCGGCAUCCUUACCACUAUAACAACCAAAUCAAACCUAAUUAACCCCACAACAAACCCUCACACAUAUAAAUACACAUAUUGUUAGGUCCUAUUAACUCACUAUAUAAGAUGAUAUAGUGACCACAAUCUGUAACACAGUAUGACAAUAUAAGAGAUUGAAAACAAUAAACUCUUAUUCACAAAGCUUGAAUGGUUACAAAAACUCUCUCAGUGAUUUAUAUAUUAUCACUAAGAGCUGCUAGGGUUCUUAAGAAUAUACUCGAUAACUCAACUCAUAUAGAGUAACCCUAUUCUGUGUUUAUAUAGACACAGUUACAAAAUCAAUCUCUGAUUUGAUAUCCUAUAAAUCAGCUAUGUAUUCUAUCAAUCAAAGAUUGCUCCAGUUUUCUGUUUAGUUUCCAUAGUCAGCAAAUCACUCCUCCGCUUCUAUCCUUCCUUGAAGUAUAUCCGCUUCUGAGCUCUUUCCACGUGUAAACUCUGACAAGUCUUGACUAUGUAAACCCUGAUCAGACUUUAUCAAACUCUGAUCAGCUUCCAGCUUAAACUCUGAUCACUCCUGUUCUAAAACAAACUUUAAGAACAUUAGUAAUCAUCAAUUAUAUCUAACAAUCUCCCCCAACUUGUGCAUAAAUAUGUUAUGUGCAAGUUAACAGAUAAUUGAUGAUGUCAAAACAUUUAAGUCAAAUGCAACAGAGUUUAACUAUAUAACAGAAAACUUUUUAAAACUUACAGAUACUUUACUCCCUAGCUUCAUAGACACCAUAAGCUGUCUUUAGAUAUCCUUUGAGGAGUUCUCUUUCAGCUUCUUCAAGUACUGUAAUCAUUUGUCUCUUGAUCUCUCUCAGCUCUGGAUCUGAAACUCCAGUUUGGUAAAUUGCAUCUCUGAGAUCAUAUAUCUUGUUUCUCUUCAAGUCUCUAUCCAGCCUGAUAUUGUAAGCUUUAUCAGACUCUUCAUUGAAUGCAAGAGUCCUGAUUCCAGUUAUUGUUACUAUUUUUGCUGAAUUUUUCUUCAUCUCAACCAGCUUUCCUUGAUGAUUAAAGUAUUUAGGAAUGAAAGGUCCGUCGCCUAUGACACAAGAAAUUGUAGGACAACCGGGGUCCUUAUAUUUCACGGGAAUUUGAUUUGAAAGAAUCGAGCUAACUUGUGAGGUCAAAAAGGCUUUCUUUGGAACAUGUGUGGUUUUCUUAUGGGUACACAAAUCUUUUAGACACUUAGCAUAAGAAACUCUGUCAUUCUUCACCAGUUGGACUGAAUCCAGUUUGUCCAUUCUUUCUUGCAAUGCUCCAGUCUUGGGAGCACAGAGAGAUGAGGGGUCUGUUGACAUUGAUCCUAUACUCUGAUCAAAUUUUUCAUAUUUAGAUCCCAGCCCUCCUUUAUCUCUUCCUGCUUUUCGACGAGAGAUUGGUUGAAUUGAGCCCUUUUCAAAGUUUAUCUCAGUCAUCAGACUUGGCUUUGCAAAUCCUGGCAAUGGAGUAGUUGUUGGUUUGAACACAGCUUGAGCCUUGUCAGAGGUUGUGUCUUUCUUUGCUUCCGUAUUAACUUGAGCUGUGUCAGAGGUUAAUUUUCCUUUUUGUGAUUCUGCAACAUGAGCUUUGUCAGAGAUUGCAGCUUCUGAUUUCUUUUCCUUUACAACUUGAGCCUUGUCAGAGGUUGUAGACUUCUUCUUAUCCCAGGUCUUUGAUUGAGAGAAAACUUUGGGUUGACCUCGGGUUGACUUGGAAACUUGUUUUUCUCGCGCUCACACAACGUGCUAGCUAAUUGACUUAAUUGAGCCUCUAACUUAGAAACGGCUUGCACAUUAGAAUGCAAGAUUUGCCUAUCUUGGAUUAGGGUUGUCAUGAAAGUUUGCUGUGACUGGGUCAAAUUAGUUUGAGAUUUUACUAAGGCUUCCAAACUCUUUUCCAAAGAAUUAAGACGCUUAUCUGAAUCAUUAAAACCGGGAGGAUUCAAAGGUGUUUGAAUUGGUUUAGGAAAUGAGUUCGGAAUUUGGGUUGGGCAAGAGUUUGGGUUGGGCCUUUGAAAAGUUGUUUGAGGAGUUUGAAAAGAAGUUGGGCCUUGAUUUUGAAAAAUUUGACCUUGGGUCCAUGAGAAAUUUGGGUGAUUCCUCCACCCGGGAUUAUAAGUGGGUGCAAACGCAUCAUUCCUAGGAUUUUGAAACAUUGCGUUUACUUGUUCAAACUCGUGCGCGGGUUGGGUUCCGGGAUUUCGAAAAUUGUAAUUAGGGAACAUGGACAUUUGGAGCAGUCUUUGAACUUUGCUUAGACUUUGAACUGUCAGAGUUUAAACCUCUUCCACCAGUUGCAGCUUGGAAUCUUUUGUUCUUUGUAAAGUCAUCCACAUCAUCAUCAUAGCAGACACCAGCUUCUUAUCCCCCUUUUUGACAUCAUCCUCAUCAGGAAUCAGUAUAGAAGUUAUCAGAGAAAGUGAGGAUUGGAUGACUUCAAGCUGUUUGGACAUUUUCUCUUGAGUAGACUCAAUGGUGGACAUCCUCUGUUCCAAAGAUUGAUUUGCAGACACCAGCUUCUUCAUGUCUUCUUUUAGAGGUAACAGGUGCCUUUUCUUGUCCAUGUUUUGAGUUUCCUUGAAACUGGAUACCUCUGUUCGAAGACCCUCUAUAGACUUAGAUGUCUGAGCAUGAGCAGGAUGAAAUGUCUUCAGAUAAAGAACUGUAGCCUUGAGGCUUGACAUGACAUCAGAGUUUGUGAUUUUAUUCUCUGCCAUUGAUAGGAAAUCUUUAGCUUUUGCUGGCUCCAGAGAAUGCUGGUGACUCAGCCAGAGUUUAUCCCAUACCUCAUUUGGUGGAUCAACCUGAAGAUCCCUGGGAAGUGGCUCAGAGUUUGUGUUCAGAGUUUGCAGCCUGGCAUUAUAUUGGCUGGUAGACUCCCACUUUUGUUGUUGAUGAGACAGAGGGACUUCAUCAUCAUUUUCAUCAUCUGAACUGUCAUCAUCCUCAUCAUCAUCAGAUGCAGAAUCUUCAACAUUCUUAGCAGAGUCUGGAACAAAUUUUUCUUGAACAUCAUAUUUUGAUUUGCUAGGCUCUUCACCAGCCUUAGCAAGGGACUGCAGUGCUUCCAAUGCUACCUUGUCAGAUUCAUCAACUACAGCAUCUGACUUGUAAUUCUCUGGUGCUGUAUCAUGAAUAAUGGCACCCUCAGGAAAUUUAAGUGGAGAUUGAGGAAUUUGAAUGGAGGGUCCAUGAUCAGAGAUUGGAGUUUGAGGAUCAGACAUUGUUGUCCCAGCUUCAGUUGUAACUGGUUCCUCACACCUUAUUUCUUCAUCUACUUCAGAGGAUGUAGUAGAUGCUGUAGCAGUUGAGAUUGGAACAGCCUGAAGAGGAUGUACCAUCAGAGAUUGAGAAGAUUCUGGAAGUGUAGUAGAUGGUGCCUGCUCUUCCUCAAGAGGAAAAUCUGUGAUCUCUGUUAUGAGUACCUUUGCCCUCUUAGGCUUGUUAGCCCUUCUUUUGAAUCUAGCUGUCUUUGGCUGAGGACUGGACUGAACAGGUUCAGAGUUUGUUGUAGGAGAAGGUUCAGAGUUUACAGCAUGUGCAGGUUCAAGAUCAUCAUAAUCAUAGGCUGCAACCAGUCUCCUUCUUUUCUGUUUUUGAGGAGAAGCAGCUUCAGGGUUUACAGGAUCAGUGCUUACAGCAUCAGAGUUUACAGCAUCAGAGUUUGCUGUUUUAUCAGACUGUCUUCAGAACUUGUGUAGCAACAGAGGUUCUGGUCUUCUUAGUAGAAGGGGCAUCGGACGGUGGCUGGAGUGACAGCAUACUGCGCUCCGUCAUACUCAAAUACAAUGGAUGGUGACCCAGCUUCACCACCAUUGUCAUAAUGCCCUGUUCUCCAGAAAGUAAUUUGGCUUCCUGAUAGUCUGGCAGGAGCGGUAAGGGCGUUAGCUAGGGCACUCUGUGCCAAAAAUUGCUGGAUGGGAUGAUAAUCCCUUGGAGCGUCGGCAGUAUUGAGAAUGGCAGCAUGGUUGUUGGGAACGAAUUCCACACCUGCAAAGGUAAAAGUUGUAGUGGCUAUUAGAACAGAGUUUGUGAAGGAAGGUGUUUGAGAAAGUGUGUUAGAGAAGAUUUGAAAUUCAGAGAGAAGAGCGUAAGAGUUUGUUGAGAGAGUGAGUGUAAAGAUUAAGUGUAUAAGUGAAUAAUAAGCAAUAAAAUCUGAUGUGAUAAACUCUUCAGAUUUUGUUUAGCUGUACACGCUUGGGCUCUUUGUUCACUUGGACACCUGUCAGAUUUUAACUGGUAGAUGAAUGUUAGUGGGAUGAAGAAACGAGAUUAAUAAUCAUGAGUGCAGUAAAACAUGUGCAGUUAUAAAUGCUGAUUACACGUUCUCCUAUUAAAAUGUUUUUCAUGUAAACCCACUAACAAUACAUCCGUUUGGAACACUCUCUUCACAUUCUCUGAAUAUUUGAACUCCUGAAAUGUACAUGAUUUUAAAAAAUCAAGAUUAGGUCUCUCGAAUUUUAAACUCUGAGAUUUAAAUCAAAGAAAAUAAAUUUCGAAAUACCUCAGAAUAAAGACAUAAUUUUCAGAAUAUUCAUCAAUAAAUCAGAGUUUGUUAUAAAAUCCAUAGCUCAAUAAUGUGCUUGUGAAAUAAUGUGUGUGAUUUAACAUAUGAAAUCAGAGACUAAAGAAUUUCUCAAUUUCGUAAUUAUAAUGUAGACAAGAAUAAUUUAUUUAAACUCUCAAGACAUAGACAAUAGGCAUACUCUGAUGGAGAAAUAUAUAAACUAAACUAACCCCUUUUUUUUUUUUUUUCAGGACGCUUUUCAGUGUAAGUGAAUCACGACCUUUAAGUAUAAUUUUGCAACAGUAUUUCUCCAGUAAUCAGAGAUUGUGACUGGUCACCAUAGGUUAUAAAAUCUUGGCAAUUACGUAAUACCAGUAAUUGUUUGGGUCUUCCCAGUCACUGUCAUAUAGACAUCUAAGAUCUCAAAGGAGUACCAUGCUUAUUUUCAGGGGUGUGAAUAGUAUCAGAGUUUAUAGUCACUGUCUAAUUUACUGAGAGAAAAUGCAAAUUAAUCAGUCUCACUUAUAAUUAAGAUAUGUGAAGUGCUGGAGUCUCAAUGAUAUCAACAUGCAUAUAGUGUAAAACAGUAGCACAAAAUUGAGAUCAAGAUUAAGGAACUUAACUGAGAUUCAUGAUUACUAAUUCAAAUCAUGCUUCAUAGUAUCUUCACAGGUUAUAUGUCUCAGAGAAAUAAAAAUGAGAUUAUUUAUCAAGAUUCAGAGUUUACAAAUAUCAGAGAAUAUCGUCAGAGAAUGACGUCAGAGAAUGACAAUCAGAGUAUAUCAUCAGAGAAUGUCAUCAGAGUUUAACAAUCAGAGUAUAUCAUUGCAAAUGUGUGAGCAAUACAUAUGGUAAGUUGACAAUUCAAAUUUGAAAGAUCUAACCAGUAUGUUUACUCAGUUCCUGAUAUCAUUCCUACCUCAUUCACCAGCCUAGUAAAAGUUGCUUCACUUAAUGGUUUGGUGAAAAUGUCUGCUAGCUGCUGUUCAGUAGGAACAAAGUGAAGUUCAAUGGUUCCUUCCUCCACAUGCUCCCUUAUAAAAUGAUAUCUUAUACUGAUGUGCUUUGUCAGAGAAUGUUGAACUGGGUUUCCUGUCAUAGCAAUAGCACUUUGGUUAUCACAAUAAAUAGGAAUUUUAGAAAAGGAUAACCCAUAGUCUAACAAUUGAUUCUUCAUCCAAAGAAUUUGAGCACAGCAGCUGCCUGCAGCUAUAUACUCUGACUCUGCUGUUGAUGUUGAUAUUGACUUUUGCUUCUUGCUGUACCAAGAAACAAGUCUUCCACCCAGAAAUUGACAACUCCCACUUGUGCUUUUCCUGUCAAUUUUGCAACCUGCAAAAUCUGCAUCAGAGUAUCCAAUUAGACUAAAAUCUGAUUCUCUAGGAUACCAUUAUCCCAAUGAUGUGGUUCCCUUGAGAUAUCUGAAUAUCCUCUUUACUGCAAUCAGAUGAGGCUCUCUUGGAUCUGCCUGAAAUCUUGCACAUAGACAUGUGGCAUACAUGAUGUCUGGUCUACUUGCAGUCAGAUAAAGCAAAGAUCCAAUCAUUCCUCUAUAGUUUGUGAUAUCCACUGAUGCACCAGUAUCUUUGUCUAGUUUGGUUGCUGUUGCCAUAGGAGUAGUUGCAGCUGAACUGUCUUGCAUACCAAAUUUCUUCAAAAGAUUUCUGGUAUACUUGGCUUGAUUUAUAAAAAUCCCAUCUUCAGUCUGUUUAACUUGUAAACCCAGAAAAUAACUGAGUUCCCCCAUCAUGCUCAUUUGGUACCUAGACUGCAUGAGCUUGGCAAAUCUUUGACAGAGUUUAGCAUUAGUGGAGCCAAAAAUAAUGUCAUCAACAUAGAUUUGAACUAAAAGCAGAUCAUUACCAUGAUUCAAAUAAAACAGGGUUUUAUCUAUGGUACCUCUAGUAAAUCCAUUUUCAAGAAGAAAUUGAGCCAGAGUUUCAUACCAUGCCCUUGGAGCCUGCUUUAGUCCAUAAAGUGCCUUGUCCAAUCUAUAGACAUAGUCUGGAUGCUUUGGAUCCACAAAGCCUGGAGGUUGUUCAACAUAUACCUCUUCAUCCAGUUUCCCAUUUAGAAAAGCACUUUUGACAUCCAUCUGAAAUACCUUGAAUUUCUUGUGAGCAACAUAGGCCAGAAAGAUUCUGAUUGCCUCCAAUCUUGCAACUGGAGCAAAUGUCUCAUCAUAAUCAAUACCUUCCUGUUGUGAAUACCCUUUUGCCAUAAGCCUUGCUUUAUUCCUUGUAAUGACACCCUCACUGUCAGUUUUGUUUCUGAACACCCAUUUUGUACCAACUAUGGAUCUGUCUUUAGGUCUUGGUACUAGGGUCCAUACUUUGUUUCUCUCAAACUCAUUUAGCUCCUCUUGCAUGGCUUGAAUCCAGUCAGCAUCUUGAAGAGCUUCCUCCACCUUUUUAGGUUCUGUUUGUGACAGAAAGCAAUGAUGUAAACACUCAUUUGCUGUAGCUGUCCUUGUUUGCACACCUGCUUCUGGAUUGCCAAUUAUUAAAUCAGGUGUGUGAGAUUUUGUCCACUUCCUAGCAUGUGGAAGUUGACCAUUUUCAUCAUUGGAUCCUCCCCCUUGAUCCAUGCUCUCCUGAUUCUGUUGAUUAUUCUCUGUAGCUCCCCCUAAAUUUGUGCUAUCAGAGUUUGAAUCAGUAUUCUCUGAUGAGUUUGAGUCAGCAUUCUCUGAGGAAUCUUGGGUAGAGUCUGAAACAUUCUGAUGCUCCCCCUCAGCAAGUGCUUCAUCAUCAUGAACUUGUAAAUUUUCAUCAGAGUUUGCUGUAUUUUGUUCACAGUCAGAGUUUGACUGUUCAUCAGAGUUUAUUGAAUCAGAGAAUAUUUCUUCAUUUUCAAAAUGCAGUUUUUCAUGAUCAUCCAUAUCUGUUAAGCCAAUAAUUUUCUUGUCAUCAAAUGACACAUGUAUGGAUUCCAUGAUCACCUUGGUUCUUAGAUUAUAGACUCUGAAGGCCUUUGUUAUCAGAGGAUAACCUACAAAAAUGCCUUCAUCAGCUUUUAAAUCAAACUUGGUAAGCUGUUCUGGAUGAGUCUUCAAUACAAAGCAUUUGCACCCAAAUAUAUGAAAAUACUUCAGAUUUGGCUUCUUUUUCUUCACCAUCUCAUAUGGGGUCUUGCCAUGCUUAUUAAUCAAGGUUGCAUUUUGAGUGAAACAAGCUGUUUGAACAGCUUCUGCCCAGAAAUAAGUAGGCAAUUUAGCCUCAUCAAGCAUAGUUCUGGCAGCUUCUAUAAGAGUCCUGUUUUUCCUUUCAACUACACCAUUUUGCUGUGGUGUACCAGGUGCAGAGAAUUGUUGCACUACACCUCUUUCUUUGCAGAACCAUUUUGCUGUGGUGUACCAUUUUGCUGUGGUGUACCUUGGUUGAUUUCCAAUAGCUGGACGGUUACCUUGUCCACUACCACCUACAUCUGGCUUCUUAAAAGUGGGAUUUCUCCCCUGCUGAAAUUUCCCUUUCUUCGGGUUGUUAAAAUUCUGAAACCUUCCCUGCUGAAACUGUCCCUCGUGAUGCUCUGACUUACGCUUCUUUCCCUCUUUCUCUUUCUGAGACAUUUCGCUCUCCGUUUCUGCUAUCAUUGCCUUCUGAACAACAGCCGCAUAAGUAUCUAAUUCCAAUAUGGCUAGCUUUCCCCUGAUCCAUGCCUUUAAACCCUGUUGGAAUCUCUUAGCUCUCUUCCUAUCAGUAUCUACAUAGGUUGGAACAAACCUAGCCAACUCAGCAAACUUUUUCUCAUACUCAGCCACUGACAUAUCCCCUUGCUUCAAUUCUAAAAACUGUAACUCCAUUCGAUCCUGGAGAAAUUGAGGAAAGUAUUUCUCCAAAAACAACUCCUUAAACCUAUCCCAAGUAACAUCCUCUGUCCCUUCCAUUGCUCUCACAGACUCCCACCAAUAGGUGGCCUCCUCCUUCAGAUAAUAACUAGCAAACUCAGUCUUCUGCUCAUCUCUCACUUUAACUAACAUAAAUGCCUUUUCAAUUUCCUUCAACCAUAUCCUAGCCUCAAUAGGGUCCGCUGAACCCUUAAACUCUGGGGGAUUAACAGACUGAAAGUUUUUGAAAGUAACCUGGGGAUUAGCCUGCCUUUCCUGCUGCUGAGUCAGGUUGGCAGUCUGUUGGGCCAAGAUCUGAAGAAUCUGGGCCAUUGUAGGUUCUGGAUUAUUGUUAUUGUUGUUGUCAUCAGGGUUGGUUGCACGGGUUUGUCUUCUAGGAGGCAUAGCUCUGUAAAGAAACAAGCAGUUUAUUUAACCUUCAAAACUUUUAGCAAUUGUUUUUAGAAAAACAGAAUAUUUCUUUUUGAAAACAUUUUUGAUCAUUGAAUUAAAUAAAUCGCAUGCUUCUUCACAGAACAGAGCAAUAAUGAAAGAAACAGGGUAUAAUGAUAUCACAGGGUUUAUAUGAAGUGCAGUAUGUAAAACAAGUGUAAUAUGUAAAGUAAGUAAAACGGGUGCAAUAAAGUAAAAGGACAGUAUGAAAAAGAAAAGUUCUAAUAUAUAUAAAGAGCUGGGGGUACAUCAGCGCAAGCGCUUGUCAAAAGUAAAACACAACAGCAACCUACACACUGGUCAGCACAUCUUAGUCUAUAUCAGGUCAAAAUCGGCUGACACUACCCUACCACCACACACUACACACUACACACUAAUAUACAUGGUACCUCCACUCUGUAACUACCACCGUCUAACUCCAAGGAAAAGUAGGACCUCCAAGCUUAUCCAACUCCUUCAUCAUCCAUAUGGCCCACUCCACUAAAUCACUGUAGGUACUCUGAUCUUCAGCUAUGGCACCAAGCUUCGCCCUCGCCAUCAUCCUAACAUCUACAAUCUCAUACCUCAGCGCUCGCUCAGCUCUCCCAGUGUCCGUCAUCUGUAUGAUACGCUCCAGCUCUCUAACCUGUCCGAGUAGAUACUGACACUCCAUACUCAUCGCCUCAAACUCAUGAUAAGGAACAAGGGGUGGUGCAGAAGAAGUCGAGGGUAUAUCCCUGGGAGGAACCACUGCUGCUGCAGCCAACACAUCCUCUAAAGGGGGUGAAACAGGAGGGUGAGGCUCAAGUCUCUGAGAGGGUGGGGGUCCGUUAACUGUAGUCUCUGAAUACUGGGGAUAUGGAGGAAUGAUAGGGUCUGACAUCGUGAAUAUCUGAAAGUCAUGAGAUAACGCAUACAUAAGAAUCUCUGAUAAUAAGAAUACCUGUUAGUCACCAUUACUCACCUCUCAACGUUCUAUCUACCUAUCACUCAUUUCUAAUCUUAAUCCCUCUACCCAAACCCGACAAUCUAGGCUUGUUUCAUUGACUCAUAACCUGUAGCUCUGAUACCAACCUGUGACACCCUCCAAAUCCGGGUCAUAGACUUGGGGGUCACACAUAACAAUAUAAACCUGUAAACCAUGAUAAUAUAUGCAUUGACCCUAAACAUCCAUGGAUCGCUCCAGGUUAUAGUAUGAAACAAGCCACUACUUAAGUUAUAUUACAAUACGUCAAAUCCCAAUCCAUAUCUUACAACUUACAAACAUAAAACGCAGUGCUUACACAUAAAAGAUACUCAAAAGUUCAUAAUAUCAGCAACUCCUAGCAAGGCUUCCCAACACUCAUCCUGAUACCUUAGCUUGAUGGCUAGCCUGUGGGUCUUCGCUAACAGUAGUCUCUUUCUUCACUGGAAAAGAACAUGAGACAUCGCAAGAGUGAGCUUACAGCUCAGCAAGUAAUAUAAACAAUAAACUGAAGUUCAACAUUUAUCAAUAAGAAUGAAUCAAGGCAUCAAGUCCUCUUUUUAAACAAUGAUUAGAAUUGGAUAUUCACAUUUUUAUUUUAAAAACCAAGGUUAGGCUGCUGAUCAGUCACGCACUAACCCCGAGCCAGGUACAUACCAAGCUCUAUCACUGGAUCCAAGGCACACAUUGGCCUAAUGACCACGAAUCUGGUCUGACCACGAAUCUGGUCCACAUUUAUAAAACCAUCCAAUUCUUUAACAAUAUAAUGAAAUCAACAAUAUCUUAACAAAUCAGAAUCAAUACCAUUGGAACAGAAGUAAUAUUACCAAAACAGAAUCAUAAUCGACAAAUCAGAACCAUGAUAAUUAGUGGUGCAAUACAUAUCAGGAUCAAAGGACAAUUCAGAAGUGGGUUCAAGUAUCCUCACAAUAUGUUUGAAGAAUGUCUUGAGGUUGAAAGGAAGAUCAAGUAUACAGUGAAGCUAAUCUGAGGUUUUGUAUAGAGAACAAUGUCAGUGAGAAUAGCUUGAGGUUUCAAAUAUGUUUAACUUGUAGGAAUUUCAAGUGUUAGGGUGUAUAUGUGUGAACAUUCUUCAAAAGAGUAAUAUAGGUAUUUGGUAAGACAUUGUAUAAUUUGGUGAAGUAUUGUAGCAUAUAGGCUUGUACUGUGUGGUCAUUCAAGGAUGGAAGAGUAUCAGAGCAAAUGAUUUGUGUUGUCCAGUCUCAAAGAAAUGGGUAUAAGUUUAAUUGAAAUCAAAAUCAAGGUUCAGCUUGCAAUUCAGGUGUUGAAAGGAUUGAAUAAGGUUUAUCAAUAAUCAGGAUCAAUAGCACAAUAUAUCAACAGAAGUACUUUCAAAUCUAUCCAGAACAAUGACACUAUAUGCAGAAGAGUAACUCAAGGAGUUUACAAAAGUAUAAGUUGAGAAUAGAGCACUUGCCUUAUUCUGAAGCUUUACUUCUCUCUAUCGCUUUCACUAGACAGAAUCACUCCAACACUACCUGCUUUCCUUUUCUAAGCCUGUCCUUCUCUGACAAUCAUAAUAUUCAUCUAUCAAUAUUCAUUCUCAUGUCAUCCUAUUUGUUUCAUAAUCGAAACAAGCUUCUAUCUACCCUUCGUUUCACUUGAAUCCGAUAUACGGUUCAAAAGAUACGCAUAAAACAGUCAUACAAGGUUCAUAUAAGCAUUUCACAUAUCAAUCAAGUAACACAUAGCACAUAACACAUAAGUUAAUCAAUAAAAUAGUCUUUCAGAAAAGGUUUGGGGUUAAAAUGAUUUUUCUGGCAUUUAUUAUGAAUUUUUAAACAUUUUUCGGAAUAAAAACGGGUAAAAGAAUCAAUUUAUAACUGAAUAAACAAGUCCGAAUACUCGAAAUAAGGUUCGAGAACAGCUUGGGGUUUCAAAUAUGUUUAACUUGUAGGAAUUUCAAGUGUUAGGGUGUAUAUGUGUGAACAUUCUUCAAAAGAGUAGUAUAGGUAUUUGGUAAGACAUUGUAUAAUUUGGUGAAGUAUUGUAGCAUAUCGGCUUGUACUGUGUGGUCAUUCAAGGAUGGAAGAGUAUCAGAGCAAAUGAUUUGUGUUGUCCAGUCUCAAAGAAAUGGGUAUAAGUUUAAUUGAAAUCAAAAUCAAGGUUCAGCUUGUAAUUCAGGUGUUGAAAGGAUUGAAUAAGGUUUAUCAAUAAUCAGGAUCAAUAGCACAAUAUAUCAACAGAAGUACUUUCAAAUCUAUCCAGAACAAUGACAUUAUAUGCAGAAGAGUAACUCAAGGAGUUUACAGAAGUAUAAGUUGAGAAUAGAGCACUUGCCUUAUUCAGAAGCUUUACUUCUCUCUAUAGCUUUCACUAAACAGAAUCACUCCAACACUACCUGCUUUCCUUUUCUAAGCCUGUCCUUCUCUGAUAAUCAUAAUAUUCAUCUAUCAAUAUUCAUUCUCAUGUCAUCCUAUUUGUUUCAUAAUCGAAACAAGCUUCUAUCUACCCUUCGUUUCACUUAAAUCCGAUAUACGGUUCAAAAGAUACUAAUAAAACAGUCAUACAAUGUUCAUAUAAGCAUUUCACAUAUCAAUCAAGUAACACAUAGCACAUAACACAUAAAUUAAUCAAUAAAAUAGUCUUUCAGAAAAGGUUUGGGGUUAAAAUGAUUUUUCUGGCAUUUAUUAUGAAUUUUUAAACAUUUUUCGGAAUAAAAACGGGUAAAAGUUUCAAUUUAUAACUGAAUAAACAAGUCCGAAUACUCGAAAUAAGGUUCGAAAUCAUUUGAAAUCAAUUAACGAACCUUCAACAUAUUUUAGAAUAAUUUUCUAAAGCUUGAAACUAUUUUUCUGGAUUUUUAAAACAAUUAAAACAAUUAAAUCUAAUUAACAAAUCAAUUAAAAUCAAUUAAUAAAUAAUUAAAACAAUUAAUCAAUUAAUAUUUAAAUUAAUUGACUAAUUAUAAUAAUUAAUUACUAAUUAAAAUUAAUUAAUAAAUUAAAUUAGAUUUGUUUUUGAAUAAGAAAUAAUUAAAAACUAUUUUUAAAAAUAAAUAAAUGAUUUUCGAAAUUAAAAUAAAUGAAAAUAAAUCAGUUUUGAAAGUUUUUAAAACUUCAGGGUUUAAACUGCAAGGUUUUGAAACUUAAAGGUUUGAAUUGCUAAAAACCAAACCGCAGUACUGAAUCUUUAUCCCCCCCAAAAGUUGGGGGGUCUAACUGCAUUUUUUCCCCGCCGCCACCGUUCCCGGUUGCGACGUCGCCGGAGAAGCCGUUUACGGCCUCCAUUCGGCUCCAAACUCUCCAGAAUUAUCCCUUGACUCAUUUACAACUCAUACAUAACUUCAAUUCGAUCCGUAGAGCCCUGGUUUGGCCGGAAAAAGGUGAAGAAACUCGCCGUCGCCGGCGAGUCUUCUCUCCUUCGAUUCCGGCCAUACGAACACCUCACAUACAAUUUAAACACAUGUACAGAUUCCUGGGAACUAGAUGAACAUGAUGGUGCCUUCCAAUUUCACUUCUACCUCCAGGAUUAAAAAGCCCUAAUUUCCAAUUGAAAACAUUCAUCGUGCAUAAACCCUAAUUCUUAAUUCGAACAAUUAAACUCAAUUUUGAACAUGUUAUUGAACUCCAAAUCAUGCAUAUGAUAUACCAAAAUGAUCAGGAGAAGAUUAUCUACAACAUGGAAGCAUAAAAUCACAUAAAACACAUCAAAAUCAAAAAGCCCUAAUUUAACCCUAAUUAAUUCGAAUUUAAAAACCCUAAUUACUUCUAACCUGUGAAUCUAGAGUGGUUUUUGAUGCUUGAUAUGGAUUCUACGCUUCGAUAUCUUCGAUUUGACUGCUUGCACGCUCGAUUCUGAGUCCGAUAACGUCUUCAAAUCUUCGAUUGAACUCCAAGAACACGAAGAACGAUAACCCGGUUUCUCUCGAUUCCCGUGUAUUGAAAUGAUAAUUAUGAAAAAUAAACUAAUAAUUAUCCUAUUUAUAAUUACGAAUAACUGGCCCCCAUUUGGAUCAUACCGGAUAUAAAAUACACUUCUUAAUCAUUAAGUAUUAAUAAAACUGAUCCGUUCGGGACCGACUUUAAAGAUAAUUAUCAAAUACACACAUUACGAGAAACUUAUGGGGCUCCGAGCUUUGUCUGGCACGAAGUACGAAAAUAUAAUGCUUUAGCCAAAAUGAUUUGGGGUUAAAAAUAUCCGGCGUACACGUUUAUCGAUAAUAAUAAAAUAUUCAUAAAAUCGUUCCGAAAUCUUUCACGUAAAUCCGUACACCGGAUGGAAAAAGUUAAAACACGAAAGUUGUUCAGAAUAUCUUGAAUAAUAAAUCGGCGAAACUUUCCCGGAAGCCCCCCGGGGUUUAAUUAUCAAGUAAACGGGUUUAAAAUCAAUUUAAUAAUAAUAUUUUAUAAUAUACUUAAUUAAAUCCUUAAAUCCAAUAUCAAAUCAUAUAUUAAUCCAUAAUUUAUCAAGUAAGUGCCAAAAUUCUCCAUAUUUUGAUCUGAUCAUAUAAAAAUUAUCAACUUACAAGUCCUACCACACAUAGACGAUCAUACAGCAAGUCACUUAACAUAUAAUUCUCGAUUAAUUCACAUAAAAUUCACAAAAUAUUCACAUACUGACAUAAAUAAAUACAUGCCGAAAUCCCGGAUAUUACAAGCUUGGCAAAUCUUUGACAGAGUUUAGCAUUAGUGGAGCCAAAAAUAAUGUCAUCAACAUAGAUUUGAACUAAAAGCAGAUCAUUACCAUGAUUCAAAUAAAACAGGGUUUUAUCUAUGGUACCUCUAGUAAAUCCACUUUCAAGAAGAAAUUGAGCUAGAGUUUCAUACCAUGCCUUGGAGCCUGUUUUAGUCCAUAGAGUGCUUUGUCCAACAUGUAGACAUAGUCUGGAUGUUUUGGAUCCACAAAUCCUGGAGGUUGUUCAACAUAUACCUCCUCUUCCAGUUUCCCAUUUAGAAAAGGACUUUUGACAUCCAUCUGCAAUACCUUGAAUUUCUUGUGAGCAGCAUAGGCCAGAAAGAUUCUAAUUGCCUCCAAUCUUGCAACUGGAGCAAAUGUCUCAUCAUAAUCAAUACCUUCCUGUUGUGAAUACCCUUUUGCCACAAGCCUUGCUUUAUUCCUUGUAAUGACACCCUCACUGUCAGUUUUGUUUCUGAACACCCAUUUUGCACCAACUAUGGAUCUGUCUUUAGGUCUUGGUACUAGGGUCCAUACUUUGUUUCUCUCAAACUCAUUUAGCUCCUCUUGCAUUGCUUGAAUCCAGUCAGCAUCUUGAAGAGCUUCCUCCACCUUUUUAGGUUCUGUUUGUGACAGAAAGCAAUGAUGUAAACACUCAUUUGCUGUAGCUGUCCUUGUUUGCACACCUGCUUCUGGAUUGCCAAUUAUUAAAUCAGGUGUGUGAGAUUUUGUCCACUUCCUAGCAUGUGGAAGUUGACCAUUUUCAUCAUUGGAUCCUCCCCCUUGAUCCAUGCUCUCUUGAUUCUGUUGUUCAUUCUCUGUAGCUCCCCCUAAAUUUGUGCUAUCAGAGUUUGAAUCAGUAUUCUCUGAUGAGUUUGAGUCAGCAUUCUCUGAUGAGUUUGAGUCUUGGGUAGAGUCUGAAACAUUCUGAUUCUCCCCCUCAACAUUUGCUUCAUCAUCAUGAACUUGUAAAUUUUCACCAGAGUUUGCUGUAUUUUGUUCACAGUCAGAGUUUGACUGUUCAUCAGAGUUUGUCGAAUCAGAGAAUAUUUCUUCAUUUUCAAAAUGCAGUGCUUCAUGAUCAUCCAUGUCUGCUAAACCCAUAAUUCUUUUGUCAUCAAAUGACACAUGUAUGGAUUCCAUGAUCACCUUGGUUCUUAGAUUAUAGACUCUGAAGGCCUUUGUUGUCAGAGGAUAACCUACAAAAAUGCCUUCAUCAGCUUUUAAAUCAAACUUGGUAAGCUGUUCUGGAUGAGUCUUCAAUACAAAGCAUUUGCACCCAAAUAUAUGAAAGUACUUCAGAUUUGGCUUCUUUUUCUUCACCAUCUCAUAUGGGGUCUUGCCAUGCUUAUUAAUCAGUGUUGCAUUUUGAGUGAAACAAGCUGUUUGAACAGCUUCUGCCCAGAAAUAAGUAGGUAAUUUAGCCUCAUCAAGCAUAGUUCUGGCAGCUUCUAUAAGAGUCCUGUUUUUCCUUUCAACUACACCAUUUUGCUGUGGUGUACCAGGUGCAGAAAAUUGUUGCACUACACCUCUUUCUUUGCAGAACUCUUCCAUUGUUGAAUUUCUGAACUCAGUUCCAUUAUCACUUCUAAUGAUCUUUACUUUGUCUUCAGAUCCAUGGUCCAGUUGCUUCACAUGAUCCAUCAGAUGCAAAGCUGUUUCAUCUUUAGAGUGAAGAAAAUAUACCCAAGUGUAUCUAGUAUACUCAUCAACAAUGACAAGAGCAUAUUUCUUCCUUGCAAUGGAUGGUACAUUAACUGGUCCAAAUAGAUCAACAUGUAGAAGAUGAUAUGGCUUCUUUAUUGAGAAUUCAGUCUUACUCUUGAAGGAUGUCUUUCUCUGCUUGGCCUUUUGACAUGAAUCACAUAGACCAUCUGAAGUGAGUAGUGAUUCAGGGAGUCCUCUCACAAGCUUUUUCUUUAUAAGCUCAUUUAUGGAGUUGAAAUUGAGAUGUGAGAGCUUCUUAUGCCACUUCCAACUUUCUUCUGCAGAGAUUCUUGUAGAUAAGCAAAUUGCUUUUCCUUCAGAGUUUGUAGGCAAGUUGAUUUCAUAAAUAUUUCCAUGUCUGUGAGCAAUCACUGCCACCUUGCCUGUUGACUUGCUUACUAUCUCACUGUGUUCUUCAUAGAAAUCAACAUGAUAUCCUCUGUCACAGAUCUGACUGACAGAGAGUAAAUUGUGUUUUAGCCCUUGAACAAGAGCUACAUUUGAUAUGAUGACAUUUCCAAGAUUGAUGUUGCCAUAUCCCAGAGUCCUUCCUAUGUUGCCAUCUCCAUAAGAAACACUUGGGCCAGCCUUCUCCACAAACUCUGACAGCAGGGCCUUAUUUCCAGUCAUGUGUCCUGAACAUCCACUGUCCAAGACUAGGAUAUUCUUCCUGUUGCCCUGCAAUCACAAAGACCACUAAUUGUUAGUUUUAAGGACCCAGACUUGCUUGGAUCCCUUGGCCUUAUUAAGUUUGUUAGCUUUUGCAGCGGAAUCUUUAUUAUUAUCAGAGUUUGAGCUAACAGACUUUGUAACAGAGUUUGAACUAGAAACAGAGUUUGUACUUGCAGAGUUUUUAUUAACCUUUAAAGAAGGUUUCAAUUGAUAAUAAUCAUAAUACAAACUAUGAUAUUCUUUGCAAGUAUAAAUAGAAUGCCAUAAACUACCACAAUGAAAACAUGGAUCUUGUGGUUUAUAUCUAAUACUACUUUUUCUAACUCCAGACUUUGUAGGUAAGGAGUUAAUGUCCUUGUUCUUCCUGCAAAAAUUAGCAAGAUGAUUAGUAUUUCCACAGUUAUGGCAUGUCUUCCUAGGUGCAUUUGGAAUAGGCAUGUAGUUAUUACUCUUGUCUAUUCCAACCUUGCCAUUUCUAUUUUUCCUAGGCUCCUUGUCUUUGUUAUCAGACUUUACCUCUUUAAGCUUAUGCUUAAGCUGUUUCUGAGUCAUCAGUCCUAUGUUAACCUGUUUGGGCUUAUCAGAUUUUAAAUUGUUGUUAAUCUCUGAUUCUGGUCUACUCUGUUUAGACUUAGAGGAUUCAGCAACAAAUUUAACAGGUUUAACCUUAGGUUUUUGAGUUUUAACAAACUCUGUUUUUGAUGACUCAGCUUCUGAGUUAUCAGUGUAACCUAGUCCCUUCUUCCAGUUUCCACUACCUAAGAUAUCCUGAGUAGUUUUGCCUGAAUUAGUCCAUGUCUUAAUAAUAUCCCUUUCCUUAGCAAGUUCUGAUUGAAGAGAUGCAUACCUCUUUAAUAAUUCAUCUUUGACAAUGACAGCAUCAUCUCUUUCUUUCUGAACUUCCAACAUCUGAACUAAUUCUUUUUCUAGAUAAUCAUUCCUUUUCUUUACACUUAGAGUUUCAGAUUUUAAUCUUUCAUUUUCUAAAGUCUGAUCUCUAAAGCUGAUAUGCAAAGUUUUAAGAAACAAUCUUAACUCAGUUAUAUCUUCAGUAUCAAAGGCAAGAGUAGAAUGAGGUACCUUAGCAGUAGAUUCAGAGUUGUUGUCAGUGUUUGCCAUCAGAGCAUAAUUGACUUCUUCUUCUGAAUCAGAUGUAUCUGUCCAGUUUCCUUUCUUGGUGAUAAAGGCUUUUUCUUUUUCCUUCUUGGCUUUCUUGCAUUCAGAUGCAAAGUGACCCUUUUCACCACAGUUGAAACAGGUAUACUUGUCAGCUUUUCCAGCUUUCCCUUCCUUGCCCUCAUUCUUCUUGAAGUUCUUCUUAUCAUAAACUCUGUCAGAGUUUCUGUCUUUCCUUGAAAAACUUUUGCCUUUGUUGAACUUUUUGUAGGCCAACUUCUUGAAGCUUUUCACCAUCAAUGCUGCUAACUAUAUCAUUUCACCAUCACUGUCAUCAGAGUCUGAGACAUCAGAGUUUGAGUCAUCAGAGUUUGAUGACUCAAUGUCAGACUUUGUGACAUGAGCUUUUCCUUUGCUCUUAGCAGCUUCCUCUUGAACUUUCAGAGCAACAGACUUUGAUUUGCCUCCAUGACGUUUGCUCCUUUGCUCCAUCUCAAGUUCAUGAGUCUUCAGUCUUCCAAAAACAUCAUCAAGAGACAUUUCUCCAAGAUCAAGAUUGUCUCUUAUUGUAGUGACUUUCAAAUCCCAUUUUUCAGGAAGAGCCAGAAGGAAUUUGAGGUUUGAGUCUUCAAGAUCAUAUUCCUUGUUCACCAGAGAUAAGUCAUUCAACAGUUUGACAAAUCUGUCAUACAGAUCUGUCAAGGACUCACCAGAUUUUGAGUCAAAGUGCUCAUACUCCUGUGUAAGGAUUGUUUUUCUGUUUUUCUUUAUGGCCUGAGUUCCCUGACAUCUGGUUUCCAGAGCAUCCCAGAUUUGUUUAGCAGUUUUGCACCCAAUCACCCUAUUAGACAUUGCAUUAUCAAGGGCACUGUGCAGAAGGUGUUUCACCUUAGAGUCUUUACCAAUUGACAAGAUGUCCUCAGGGGUAUAAUCUUUCUUUUCUUUUGGAACCAUCUUCUGAGGUUCAUCUGCAAGCCCAACAGAGAGCUUGGUGGGCAUAUGUGGUCCAUUAGGAGCUCUGAACGACUUCCAAUUACAUUUAGGACAUAAAUUUAGUGCCAUCGUCUUGCAGUACUAAAGUGUAACAUAGAUGAUUAGUUUUAGCAUGCCUAAACCAUCUUUCUCUUUAGCUACACAAUCAUCACCACUCCCAUCUUUCUGUUCAAACGCCAUCCACAUUAGAUACACCACUCCCCCUUCCCGGCGGCAUCCUUACCACUAUAACAACCAAAUCAAACCUAAUUAACCCCACAACAAACCCUCACACAUAUAAAUACACAUAUACAUAACCAAAUUAACUCUUAAUAACUUCAAAACACAAUAUAAAGCCCUAAUUAAAAGCUUUCAACAAAUCCUUGUACACAAACAGAAAUCAUAAGUAUCUAACCUCAAUUUGUAGCAAAUUAACACUUAAUAAGCAUAAUAAUAAGAAAUACAGUGAAAUAAAAUGUGAAGUGAAUUGUGCAUACCAAAUUGAGGUUAGAAUGUUAGAUACUUAAUGAUAAUCAUCUAUCAAACUGAAGGUGGAUUGUGAAUCAUACCUAAUGAUAAUCGUUCAUCAAAUUGAAUGGCAUCUUUGGAAGCUUCGAAGUUUUAGGGAAAGCUCGACUUGACUGUGUUUAGGACCCCUUCUGUUUACAGCCCAAGCCCUGCCACGUUUCAACACAAAAACAUAAAUGUACACUUGCAAAUAUACAUGAUCAAUAACAAUUAGAGAGUAUCGUUGAACAUAAAAUAAAAUUCUCCAAAUUCAAUUAUCUUAUACCUCUCCUGCUCUCAUCCACAACUUUCAUCAUUCCUUCAACAUUCAUUGGCCUCUACUGCUGUAAAUGCAAUUCAAAAGUGAUAACAAACUCUCUUCGAGCUUUUAUCAAACAGUAGGAAUGCAAUAACUUAAAAUCAUCCCGAAACAAAAAAACAGCACAACAAUAACUUAAAAUCAUCACGAAACACAAAUAGCACAAACACAAACAACUUAAGUUGUAUUUCAUACCUGAUUUUGUCUAAAAAACAUGAAAAAAACAGAAAGAGAGAUAUGUAGACAAUAGGAGAGAGGGAUUCAGGGAGAAAGAGAGGGAGGCAGAUAUAGAGACAGCCGGAGAGAGGGAGAAAGAGAGAGAAAGAGCUUCACGAAGGGAGACGGGGGACUUACGUGGAGAAUACGGAGGGUCAAGCGAUGAGAUCUGAAUACGUUUGAAUCCAAUCACACGCGAAUUUGAAAUUUGAAAUUGAAAUCAGAACAAAAGCAGAUUGUACUGGGCUAUAGAAACAGACUGUAUUUUCGUUUGUUUCCGAAAAAGAGAAUAAAUGUGAAUUUGCACGGGACAUGGGGAAAAGUAGUUCUGGUUACAUUACACAUAAGGAAAGUGUAUAUACAUACACAUCUGUGUGCAAGAGCUUUUCAAAAUCUAUUGUUGACUGUAGUGGCAAAAAGUGUAAAUAGGUAUGAAGAUUUGGGGUAGCUCCGGAUAGAAAGUGGCAAAAAGAGCCCAGAAUACAGGAUGUGGAAUGGCAUGAGUGUAAUUAAGCAUCAACUCUUGGGGUAGGGGGUGUAAAAAAGACUUCCAAAAGGCAACAGGAUUUAUAAUUUAAAGGAUUCAUAUUUAUCAAGACGACUUAGAAACACCGGUGAUCUUGGUUCUAGCAAGUAUAUAUGAAGGUUCAAAUGUGUGAAGGUUAGAUCAAAAUUUUCACUCGGCUCAAUCAUAUACACAUCUAAAUACAUUUAAUUUUUAAAUCUAUUUGGAAACAAUUUAUAAAACUACAGGAGAUAUCAGAUUUAUCAACACAACAGCAUCGAAAGUCUAUGUUAACCAAGUUUGAAUGUAGUAUAUAGCAUGAGACAUAGAUUCUUAUUUAAUUUGCUCAUCAUUCACACGUAAUCAUAUAACUGUAUAUUUGAUUUCAAAACAGUACGAGACUAAUUUUAAAAAUAAUUAUGUCGUUCUAGGCUUAAUCGUGAUAUAUAUGUAUCACUGCUAUAUCUCUGAUUAUAACAUCUCCAAGAUAGUUGAAUAAACGUACUACAAUAUUUAGAUUUUUAUGAAACAAUAAUGUAAUAAAGUAUUUCAAAUUAUGCUCACAUCCUUUAUAGACUAGGAGCUUUUCAUCCGGGCUAUGUUGAUUUUAAAUGAUAUUUUAUUUUAUUAAGUUUAAUUUUUAAUUUGGGAUUAUUUGAUGGUUUGAUUUUAUGUUCUUAAUCAUAAAAAUUAUUUCACAACGCCAAAAAAAGAACAACUACAAUAUCAGGACACCCGUGCGCGGAGCGCGGGCAAGAAAAUCUAGUCAUGGUAUAAUUUUAAUUAGAAAGGUUAAUUCAAGAAUUGUUAAUUAAUAAAAGAAAGUUGAGUAUUAACUGGCUUUGAUACAAGCCAUAACUUAAAAUUCGUAAGAGCUUUAGGAGUUGUAAUUGAUUUCAUAAUAUUAUAAUAAAUAGCAUAGAUUACUAUUUCUUUAAGAGGGUGAUUACUAAAUUCUUAUUUUAUGUGGUUUAGAAUAUAAAAUAUCUGGAAAAAGGCGGAGUCAAUUGUAUAUUAAAUUUCAGGAAUAAUACCGGCUAAGGACGUCAAGCAAGUUCACUAUCCCUGUCUUGACGUGAAAAUUUUCCAUGCCUAUUUCAUAAUUUUGUGAAAAGUGUUGAUUGUGAAGAUAUUACAUUUUGUACCAUUGUGAAUCGAGAAAAUAUCUCCGUUUCAUUUUGAAGUCUUUAAAGAUAUUGUUCAUAUAUUACUUUUCUAUAAUUCGAGCCCUCCCAUUGUUCAGGAAUGAGCUGAUCUAAUAACGAUAAUAUUUUGAAUCUUCGUGACUUGAUGUGAAUUCAUUGCAGCGAUGAUCUCAAUUUACUCCUUUUGGAGAUCAUCUUAUCCGUUGGAAUCUAAUUCUUUUAAUUAUCUUCCACUUCUGCAUUCGGGUAAUCUUUGUAUGACGAAAGGGUGCAUUGUUCGCACUUCUUUGAUUGAGAUGAGAAGUGUUUGUUUGGGAAAAUUUCCUUGUAUUCGGAGGAAUCUGUUCAAGCUGGUCAACACGAAUUUAUUAAAUUCGUGGUAGAGUUGAAAUUUACUAUCUGGUAAGGCAGAUAGUAGGGUUCCAAUGUUAAACCCUGAUGCUAGCAAAGAGAGUGUUGGUGGGUCUUUAGUGGUUACGAUCAAACCACUAGGACUACACAGGAGAACGGUAUUCAUGAAAUGGUGUUGAUCGAGCCAUGUAGUGUUACCGACAGGUGGAAGACUAGCAUUUUCUUUACUUAAAAUUGUGUUGUCAUUUGAUGGUAACUGUUUUGUUACUUUGACUUGAAUUGUCUUCUAUGUUAUAUUCGCAUAUCAUAUUAAAUUGUUGUUUUGUGCUAUGUGGACUUGCUGAGCAAUUAGUUGCUCAUUCUUGCAUCUACUUUAUUCCUUUUGAGCAGUAAAGAGUGAGUAUGGCACAACUCAAGAGAACCGCCUGGAAACGGGUUUUGGCAAGGAAAACGAGAAGGCACAUCAGAUGAGCUAAAGAUGCUAGGCAAUGUUGUUUGGUGGUACCAAUAAUAGUUAUUUUAAUAGUCUGUAAUCAGACUUGCUAUUAUGUAAUAAAGUUAAACUUGGUAGUAGUGUUAUAGAUGAUCGACCUUGGACUUGUGGGGUAAAAGUUGGUUUGUAUAAUAUUAGAUAGAAUGUAAUGCAAGUGUUGUUUUGAGCUAGAUGUUUAGUGACGAACCAGAUCUGCGGGAUGCGGAUCUAGGGGCGUCACAGUUUUAUAUGUAAUAUAAACUUCUAUUAAGAUAUUUUCACGUCGUUCUCUUAAUUUUUUUUGUUAAUAUGUAUUCGUAUGGCAUGAUUUUAUAUAUAUGUGACACCAACUUCUAUUAGAUUAUAUUUACGAAUGUGUUUUAUAUUAGGACAAUGAUAUCUAAUAUAAUAUAUUUAUUUUUUUAAAUAUUUAUAUCGUUCAAGAAAGAAAAUUGGUAUUCUUAAUUUGUCAUGGAUUAAAAAAAAUUAUAAACUUGCAAACAGAAGGGGGAAUUCGUUUUGGAUUAAGAAAAUGUGUUUUGUGCUCGUUCCCACAUUAGUGCUACACUUGUUACGGGUAAGCUUCCUAAUCAUGUUUCUACCACAAACAGUCUGCAAAGUAAAUCAUUGAAAUACACAAAUUACAGUAAAAUUGUUUGAAUCAAUGACUAGUUUCAUCCAGAAAAUACAGUAUAGAUUUGUUUAACUACAAAUAUAUUUGUUGUAGAACUAAAAACGGGGGUGAGCGAUUCGUGCUUUGGACUGGUCUCGAUGCGAGAUGCCUACGUAUCCUCUGCUAGGAGAAGAAUCAAGUCCAAAACGUAGUUCUAGUUAUGAGGGGUAGAGCCCUUUAUAUAGGCGCUUCGGAGUCAGAAGUCGGAUGGAAGUAAGAUUCCGUGUAUCAGACUUCUUAUCGAAGUAUGCCUCGAGGCAAGAGAUAGGAUAGAACUCUUAUCCUUUCGUUGCUGAUAUUUAUCCGAACUCCGGGAUGUUUAUCUGUUAGAAUCAGAUGUAUUAUAGAAUUUGGACUUGUAACUGGUCCUCUGACUGGGCCUCUAUUAAUUAAUUACGAAAUUAAUUAAUAUUUAAGAGCCUCAGGCCCUAUUUAACUGGGCUUCAGUGUUCUUGGGCUUUUAAUAUCUAAUAAUAAUUAAAUAUUACUUCUGACCCAUAUCAUUUGCCCCCCAACUUUCGACAAGUUUUGUAAAAACUUUUCAAAAGUUGCUGAUAUCCUAUCAGCUUUCUGAGCUUUAAACACCAUGCGAGAAAACUUACUUCUCCUAAUUCUUGUUAUCCAAGGUCUGAAGUUUCAUAAAUAGCGCAAGGAUCUCAUUGACAAUUCGAGAGAUGAUUUGACCAUGUAGUAAAGAUAACUCUGUUUCGUAUCCUUCGGGAUUUUCGACUGGAAUAUCGGAAGACACGAGUCCUUUUUAUGACCUUCCUAGUAGUUUUCGCAUUAUUACGGGUCUUUUGUACAACGAGUAUCCUUCUCGGAUUUAUGCUUGUCACGCUGCUCUCGAGCAUUUUUGUAUUUUUCCCGAGGCUUAAUUCAAUUAAAUCGGAAUUUCUGCAAUUAAAUUCCAAUUUUCUAGAAUUUUUCGAGCCCUUAAAGAAUUUUAAAAAUCUCAAUUCUAUGAUUUUUCCUGAAUUUUCAGGAUUUUUACCAUAUAUAUAUUUUUUUUGUUUUUGGGGAAGGCUCACUAGUCAGGUGGCUCCCUUGGCGUUGGUAAUCCACGCCAAGGAGGUAUCAACGCAUCCACGCCAAGGAGGCUUUGCUUCCUAGGCGCGGCUGGUCUCACAAGAAUCAACAAAGAAAUGCUCCCUUGGCGUUGGUAUACCACGCCAAGGAGACAUAUGUACGAGCACGCCAAGGAGACAAGGCUUCCUAGGCGUGGUCGGUCUAGCAAGACUCAACAAAGAAAUGCUCCCUUGGCGUUGGUGUACCACGCCAAGGAGACAUAUGUACAAGCACGCCAAGGAGACAAGGCUUCCUAGGCGUGGUUGGUCUCACAAGACUCAACAAAGAAAUGCUCCCUUGGCGUUUGUAUACCACGCCAAGGAGACAUAUGUACAAGCACGCCAAGGAAAAUCUUGUUUUCUAGGCGUGGUUGGUCAUUCAUGACUUAACAAGGAAAUGCUUCCUUGGCGUUGGUGAUCCACGCCAAGGAGACAUACACAUAUCCAGGCCAUGGAAAUCCUGCUUCCUAGGCGUGGUUUGUCGCUAACUUGAUUUUGCCGGAUCCUGUGGGCCAAGGUCUAUGUCUGAUAGGCCUAUGUAGCUUAAUUUUCCUUUUCUUUUUACUUAGACAUCUCCAGAUCCUUCCAGAACGAUCGAGGCACAUCUGAAAAGUUUGAAUUUCAUGGGCUUCCCGCUUGGACAAAGCCCAUUCACCGGCUAGGGGCCCAUUUGACCGCAAAUAGACGGUAACCCUAGAGUUUACCGGCUGUUGAACCGGUUAGAGCUCCCUAUAUAUUAGAGUGACUUGGGAGUUCAUUUCCCUCAUUCACCAAAAUUUUCAAAUCUCGGAGCCUAAAUACUCUCCCAAACCCUCUCAACUUUCUAUAGUUUUCAGGCGAGUUUUCAGGCGAGUUUCCCGGCAAUCUUCAAGAAGAUCCCAGUUUUCGGCCGAUAUUCAAGCAAUUUUCCAGUUUCCGAUCAAUCUUCAUCUUUUCUCCAUCAUUUUCUGGAUUUGAAGCAUUCAUCCGAAGAACAUCAAUGGCGGACUCCAGUUCUUCUCAACAAUCUCAACUUUCCCAGCCCUCAACCGCUCAUCCUCGCGCGAACCGAGGUAAAAAGAAAUCCCUAGUCCAUGCUAGUGUUUUUUCACUUAGGGAUUUACUUUCUGAAUUCGGGGAAGCUUUCCCUAAUUUGUUGCAUUUAGAAGCAUAUAAGUUUCCUUCGAAAUAUGAUCAAAAGGCCGUAGAUACUAUAGCUGUAGCCUUUGGGAUAAAUGGGCCAUACAGGGCUGAGGCUCCGGGCCCAAAUGACAGGUCUUGUUAUCCAAAGCCCGGGGCCCUUAGGAUUUAUAAGGAAACUCUUUAUGCUGGUUUUAGGUUUCCUCCGCCCAUGUUCGUUUGUAGGCUCUUAGCUGAGGCCCGUAUUUGUCCUACCCAACUUCAGCCCAACGGGUGGAAGUUUAUUUACUGUUUUCUAGUUCAAUGUAGAAAGCAUAAUUUGGAGCCCAGCGUAGCUGUUUUUAGGUACUUUUUCAAAUUUGUAAAUGCACCCAACGAUGAGGGCUGGGUUAAAAUUCAAAAUAGAAAUGUGGCCCGUAGUAUUUUUGUUCCUGACACGGCCCCUGACUCCCUCCCAAAUUGGAAAAAACAAUGGUUUUAUGUUUAUAUGGAGGGGGCCAGUUGGGAGGAUUGCUUCUUUUCCAACUUUAGUCGGGCCGAAGACGGGCCCGUUAGGUCCCUCAAGUUGGGCUUAGAAGAAGAGGCCGCCAUUCUCAUCUUGAUGGGAGACAACCUUCACCAUUGCUCUCUCCUACUUUCCGAGGCCUCACUUCAAGCACAUGGGCUUAGCGAUUUAGGCCCAAAGGGUAUCCCCUUUAAUCCUUAUUAUUUUUUUUUAUUUUUACGAAAUUGAUUAUGGGUCGUAACUUAUUUGCUCAUUUUUUCUUUUUGCAGCUCUUGCCACUUUGGGCAAUAUUUUCAAGAAAAGGGAGACGGCCGCUUCGAAGACCGUUCCCGUGGAAAAGGUCCGCACUAAGCGGCCCAGGAAGGAGGGCGGUUCUCCUAUUGUGGAGAAGGUUCCGGCCUUUAUGGCCGAGAGGCCCAUUGCCAUCGAUGAGGAUCCAAAUCCUUACGUGGUCCAAUGGGGCCUUUUAAACAAAGACACCAUUGUGGGCGACACUCGGGCCGCCGCAGAGUGGUCGAGGAAUGUUGUGACUCCGAGGGACAAGGCCCACGUGGUCGAGUCCUCGGACGACUUGCAGAUUGAGCUUCUAGGAGCUCAGGCCGUGGCGUCGGUAAGACAUUCUCAGCCUUUUAUGUAUCUUGUAAUACUUUGUCUUUAUUUAUUUCUCUUAACGUCUUUCUUUUCUUGUUUUCACCAUCUUGUAGGUCAAUACCUACCUUCAGGCUGCCCUCCACAACCUGAGGGAGGUGAGGACCGAGAAGACGAUCGCCGAGCGGGAUCGUGAUAGGUACCUCGAGUCUUCCACAACCAACUUCGAACGCUUUCGCGAGGUGGAAAAGGAGUUGGCGGCCGAGAAGGAGAGGGUUCGAACCCUGGAAGCCGAGCUGGCUCGAGUCCGAACGGAGGCAAUCGAGGACUUCAAGAAGUCCAAGGAGUACGAGGAUCUGAUGGCGGCCGAGUACGACGCCGCCUUCCCGGAGACCUUCAAGAACUGCUGGGAGGCCAUCAUCGGAGAGCUCAGCUCUAAGAUCGAGGGGGUUACCCUGGAGAAGUUCCCUGUUCCCUCGAUUCCGGGGAAAACCUCAGAAUCCUCAGAGGACCUCGAGGAGACGGAGUUCGGGGAUUCCCACCCAGUCGAGACCCAGGAUGAGGAGGCUCAGGAUGGGGUCGAUUCUCCUAUGGCUGAGGAUACCGAGAAGGAAGAGGAGAUCCCUGAGGAGGAGGAGGACGAGGAGGUCCCCGUGAAAGCGGCUGAGGCGAAAGGGGGGAACGACAUCUUUGAUGAUGGUCUGCCUUAGAUUAGGUGGCUUUAGUUUGUAUAUAUUUAUUCGAAUAUUUAUGUCAACCCUUCGGGGUUUAACUCUUUUAUUAAUUUGUCAACUUUAUCUAUCAAGUUAACUUCUUUUGCAUAUCAUGCUUUUAGCUUCGUAGUAUUUUUCCACUUCGAGCUUUUUAUCCAGGUUGAUUCAUACCUAGAAUUUCUAUCUUUAAUCAUGUGAGUUCAACUUAGAACUUGUGAACUUUUCAUCAAAGAAAGCACAAGUACAGGUAAAAAUGACUUGGACAAACGAGCUAGAUAAUCCUCAGGACUUUAUUAAUAUAUUAGUAAAAGAGAUAAACUACUUUCGGAAAUCAACUACAUGGCAGUGGUCAACAUGACCUUAUUCUUGUGGUAACUACUACUUCCACUAUCAUAGGAUAAGCAUCAGAUAUAAUAUAUCUUCAAGUUGGUCGCAUGCCAACUUCUGGGGACUUCAACUCCUUCCAAGGUUUGAAGCUUGUAUGAGCCAUGGCCUGUGACAGUUUUAAUUUGGUAGGGGCCUUCCCAAUUUGGAGCCAUCUUGCCUUUGGGACCUACCCCAGAAGCUUCAAUUUUUCUAAGUACCAGAUCUCCUUCCCGGAAGUAUCGCUCCUUAACCCGUAGGUUAUAGUAAUAGGAAGCUCGUUUCUGGUUUACCACAAUCUUAGCAUGAGCUUCGUCACGAACCUCAUCAAUCAUAUCAAGCGCAAGUCUCAUACCUUCUUCAUUGGCUUCUGGCUCAUACUGCUGGACCCUGUAGGAUGUAUGAGUGAUUUCAAGUGGCACCACUGCCUCGGCUCCAUAAGCCAGCUGAAAGGGGGUUGCCCCAGUUGAAACCUUGCAAGUGGUUCGAUACGCCCAUAGUAUAGGAAGUAUGUCAUCGGGCCAUGACCCCUGGGCCUUCUCAACUCUUUUCUUCAGUCCAUCGAGGAUUAUUAUAUUGGCCACCUCAGCUUGUCCAUUAGCUUGAGGGUGAGCAACUGAAGUAAAGCGUAACUCAAUCGAGUAAUCCUCACAAUAACUUUUAAACUUAGCGUUAUUGAACUGAGUCCCAUUGUCUGUAACCAUGACUCGAGGUAUUCCGUAUCUGCAAAUGAUAUUUUCCCACACAAACUGAGCAACCUGCUUGGUGGUUAUCUUGGCCAGUGGUUUGGCCUCAAUCCACUUAGUAAAAUAGUCAAUAGCUACCAAUAGAAACUUCCUUUGCGCGCUAGCAAGUGGAAAAGGUCCAAGAAUAUCCAUCCCCCACAUUGCGAAGGGGAUAGGAGUAUUGAUAGAUGUCAGCAUCUCAGGUGGCUGUCGUACAACAGGUGCAAACCUUUGACAACGAUCACACCUUUUCACAUAGUCUUGAGCGUGCUUUAGCAUAUCUGGCCAAUAGAAUCCAAGGCGAGUCACUUUAUGAGCCAAUGCUCUUCCACCAAGGUGUUGGCCACAUACCCCUUCAUGAACUUCUCUAAGGGCUUCUCGAGCCUCAUCCGGCCUCAAACAUCUUAAAUAAGGGAUCACAAACGAUUUUCUAUAUAAGACCCCCUCAAUGAGUACAUACUUAAGGGCCCUUACCUGUAAUUUUCGUGCUUCAUCAGCAUUAGGCGGCAGAUGACCGCUUUGUAAAUACAACUUAAUCUCAUCCAUCCAAGUGGCCCCUGUGUCAAUGGGGGCAAUUAACUUUGCUUCGAUGCUAGGGGUUCUUAAAACCUGAUAAUAAACGCUUCCUGAGCAUACCUCAUCAUCGGAGGAUGCAAAUUGCGAUAAGGCAUCAGCCUUGGUGUUCUCCUCCCUUGGCACAUAUUCUACCAGGCAUUCUUCGAAUAGUGCCAUCUGGGUCUUUACAAUCCUUAGAUAUUUCAGCAUAGUCUCCUCACGGGCUUCAAACUCACCAUUCACUUGGAAGACUACAAGCUUUGAGUCACCAUAGACCUUCAAAUUCUUAACCCUCAAGGUUCUAGCUAGACCAAGUCCAGCUAUCAAUGCUUCUGAUAAGUGGUAUUUAUACACACUUAUAGGCCUUCAUUUCCACUUAAAUUGGUUGGUUGUACUUAAGUGUUUAGUGUCUUUUGAUGUGUUUUUAUUGUUUUUCUGUGCAGGUCACGAGUUGAGGUGAUGAAGUGAUUUUCUAUCAUUUUAGGUUGUUUUUGGUGCAUUAUUUGCAAGAAUAGAGAAUUGUGGAUUCAUCACGACUUGGGAUUUUGUGGGUACAUCUUCUACAAACCCUCACGAGAACACACUCGUCCACUAGAGCUAUCUAGGGGUUUAAAGGGCUUGUUGCAUGUGCUAAAUGCAACCGUGAUCACCUACGGAAGUGGUACUAGAGCGAGGAAGGGCAUGCACGCGAGAACGAGCUAAAAAACGAAGAAACGGGCUGCCAGUGGCAGACAGUAGCGCGCCCGCGCUAGAUCUUAGCGCGCCCGCGCUAGCUACUGUCCCACUAGCGCGCCUGCGCUAGUUUAGCGCGGCCGCGCCCAGCAGAGUUGUUCCGGGCCGAUUUUUGGAGCUUUUCUGAUGGAUUUUAGCAGCGGUCAAGGCCCGGUUGACUUGGUCAAUGUAUCUAAUUUCUCAUGUGUAAAAACCCUAGCCUCACUUGUAUCGUAGAAUAUCGGAAUAUAGUUUUAUCAGUUUUUCUCUUGUAAUAAAACACAUUAGUGAAUUGUAUUGGAUCGUUCUUCGCGAGGAAGUGACAGUUUCGAGCGAGAUCGUGAACAUCAAUUCUGUAACGUUGUGUUCUUAUUUAUUAAUUCAAGCAAUUGUCUUAUGUUUAAUUCUCGUCUUUUAUUUAUCAUGUUUUCAUUAGAACCCAUGAUGUCGAUUAGUUCGAUUAUGAACUAACCGCCUUCAUGGGAUUCUAAUGGAUUUAUCGAUGUAGUCUAGUAACGAAUAUUAAUUACUUGAUUUUGUGACGUACGUUGAUUUCUUUGCAUGAGCCGUGCUUAUUCUUCUUAGGAGCGUAGCUAACUUCUAAGUUGUUUGUUAAUUCUUUCUGAAGCGAGAGUGGAUGAUUGAAUUUAGAACUAUGCCAUGUAAACAUAGGAUUAUGUGAAUGAAACAUAAUUUGUGGUAGACUUGAACUAUUUUUAUCACCCUGUGUAAUCACGAUAGACGACUUGCUAUUAAACCUCUCUGCUUACACUACCGCUAUAGAGAUAUAGGGUCUGAGCUUUGUUGGUGUCCAUGAGAUUUCUGUCUUAAUUGUGGAUUUUGAUUGGUAUGAUAUGUGUGCAACGAGAGUUGGCAUGUAUUGCUUUCGUGUUGUCUGAUUAGGAUCAACAGUCGCAUGAUAAUCAGUAAUUUCAAUUCUAGAUGAAUUCGAUAAUGAAGUUAGAAUCCCAUGUGUUUUCCUAUUCUGAAUUUGAUUAGUAAAUUUAGUUAUUAGUAUAAAAGAACCCAUCCUUGUUAAUUGUCUUGGCAGUGAAAAUUACUCAUACAUUGUUGCAUAGGUGCGUAUUCUUAAUUCACCAGUCUCUGUGGGAUCGAACUUAAUAUAUUACUUGUGAUCACGUGCGCUUGCGUGUAGAUUUUUGCGAACAAGUUUUUGGCGCCGCUGCCGGGGACUCGGUGUUAAUUAAUUAGUUUAUGUACUUGUCAUCAGUGUGCAUUAAAAUUCACUGACUAGGAUUCUAUUCUCUUCUCACUUUUCUUCUUUUCUUUAUUUCAGGUACUUGAGUCGCGUUAUGCUAACACGUUCUAAAGCUCGUAAGGAAGCAAUUGAUUCAUCUUCUUCUUCUGAUUCUGAAACAAUGGAGUAUGCAAAGACAACAGUUGAUGAGGCGUCACAGGAAUUUUCUCGUUUGAAUAUCAAUGAUAACCAAGCUGAGACAAUUGAGCCAGCGAUAUCAGCCAGUGGUAUUCGAAUUAAGCCAUCAAUCAUUCUCAGGCUGCAGGAUACUAUUCAAUUUGGGGGGUCUGUUCAUGAGGACCCAAACCUGCAUCUAAGGAAAUUCGAGGAAUUCAGUAUUGCAUUGGAUUUCAAUAUCGGACCUAAGGAUCUGGUGAAGCUGAGACUCUUUCCAUUCACGCUACGUGAUGUAGCACGAUCGUGGUUUCUCUCUCUCUCGGCAAGCACUACUAAUAGCUGGAACAAGUUGGAGAAAAUAUUCUGUACCAGGUUUUAUCCUCUAAUUAAAGUAUCAGCUAUCAGAAACACCGAAAGUAAAUUCUCUCAAUUCUCAGGAGAAUAUCUUUGUUUAGCUUGGGACCGGUUCAAGAAAAUUCUCGAAAAUCUCAAUGAAGAUGGCAUGCCUCCUGGAAUGGCAAUUCAUUAUUUCUACAGGGGUCUUAAUGGUCAAUGUAGAGCAGAGUUAGACGUGGCAGCUGGAGGAAAUCUGUGGAGCAAGAGCUUCGAUGAAGCUUACGUACUGAUAGAGAACCUGGCUGCUGCCGAGCACAGAGACCUAAAGUGGAAAAUUCCAAGAGAGGAAGAAUCAGAGGAUGAUGAAGCGGUCGAAGUCACUCAGGAACUUCAGAUGACUAAUUGGCACAGAAUUAGAGCUCACUCCGACUCAAUUCCUAAUGCAUGUGGAGACACUUGUCCUCUACUUUCUACCAGUGCGAGUAGCCAAUCUGUAAUUCAAUCACCUGCUGAUUCAACAUUGAAUGAAGCACAGUACCGAAGGAUAAUCCGACGAAUUGACGCGGUUGAAGAACGAAUCGGUCGCUUUGCUGAUAUCUUAACAGACUCUCUUGCUGAAGCAUUCUUAGCACUAGAUGUUAAUGUUACUUGGAAUUCGUUUGGUUAUGGAACGAGGUAUCCUCCACAGGAUACUUCAUCGGAAUCGGAUUAAUUCAGGACUUCACGUCGAGCUAACGACGUUAAACAAGCGCUUCGCGGGAGGCAACCCACGCACUGGAACCAGGUUGUACCGUUGUAAACCUCAAAAACACUAAAAACGAGAAAAAUCAGCCCUGAGUGUCAGACACUAGCGCGCCCGCGCUAGUGUCCAGCGCGCCCGCGCUAAAGUGCACAGCGCGCCCGCGCUACACUUAGCGCGGCCGCGCUACUGACUGCCAGAAACUCGAUUUUUCUCCCAAAAAUAUUUUCUUUUCGUUUUUAAAAGCCCACAAUCCUAAUUUUGCAUGCCUAGCCCGAAAUAUAUCCUCCAUAACCCUAACUCAGCUCUCAAAAUCCUAUAUAAACACAAAACCCAUCUCCAAUUCCUAUUCUAAUUCUAUAAACCCUACUUAUAUAUAUACACAUCCAUACACACAACCACCACCAAAUCUCUCAAACCCACUACACACAAAUCUCUUGCAACUCUAAAUCUCUAUCAAUGGCACCCAAAAGAGCCCGAAGAUCACAAGGACCAAGCACCCAAGCCCCUACAUCUAGCGAUUCUUCCUCGAUGGGUGAGGUUGAGUUCACCUCCGAUGGUGCACGAACCGAGUUUCAACGGCUUAUGAAUAAGUCGAUAGUUAAGGAGAGGGGAUUCUUACCCACGGCGGAAGAUGGUGAGCUCUUGAACAUGAUUCAAGAAAGGGGUUGGGAGUCUUUUUGCGAGGCUCCGGAGGCGGUUCCCUUGGCUAUUAUUCGAGAGUUUUAUGCUAAUGCCAAGGAGAAUCGCGAUGGAUUCACGGUGGUGCGAGGAAUCCGUGUGGAUUAUAGUGCGGAGGCGAUCCGUAGAGUGAUUGGGGGGCGUGCCAAGCGCCGUAAUGAAGAAGAUUGGGUUGUUGAGAGGAUCGGGCGUGCCAAACGCCGGUUUGAUGAUGAUCCGGUUGAUCUUGAGCGGUUGGUGUAUGAUAUGUGUGUGCCGGACACGACUUGGAAGAUGACUGCACCUCCUUUGCCGGCACAUGUUUCGUUUCCAGCAGCCGCGUUGAACCGGUAUGCGAAGGCGUGGAACGCCUUCAUCUGUGCUAACAUCAUGCCAUCUUCACAUGGGCAUGAGGUGACAGUGGAUAGAGCUAUUCUGCUCUUUGGGAUUGUCUCGGGCAAGUAUAUUGAUCUGGGACAUGUUAUUCAUCAGGGGAUUCUGAGGUUCUUACAGGGAGGAACCACUGGUGCCAUUCCAUACGGCACAAUUGUUACGAAGCUCUGUCGAUCAAGCGGUGUUCGUUGGCCAGCCAACGAGCAAUUACAGUUGCCAGCAGCACCUAUUGAUCAUUCGGCGAUCAGCCGGAUGACGGAGUGGGAAGGAGCCGUUCCUCACCCUCGAGGACUCGGUUACAUAUAUGAUGAGAUGCCAGGGGGACGUCCAGGGUUUAUUAGGAGAGUGCGGACUAGAGCUUCUGGAGCUGGUACUUCUCAGACGGAGAGGAGCUCCGAGCCUAUGGGAGAUGUUCAUUAUCGCCGACUAGCGAGACGGAUGGACACUAUGCAUGACAUCCACCAGAGGUUUGCAUUUGACUUGACACAAGCUCUUGGUAAUGCUUUCCAGGCACAGGGGGUCACAGUUCAGUGGCCAGUAUUCGGAGCAGGGAUGCAGUAUCCUCCACCUGAUUCACCUCCAGCAGAGGAGGGGGAGGACUCGGACUCCGAGUAGGUAUGUGGGUGCUCUAGCCUUUUUACCGCUUUCAAUGGGGACAUUGUAAUUUAAGUUUGGGGUGGUAAUCUAAGGAAGAGCAUAUUAUUAUGUAGUUUAUUAUUGCAUGUGUUAGUUAGUUCAUGUAGUUCACGUUUUUUUAUUUUGCUUUUUAUUUUUUUUUCUCACGUUUUCUUUCUAUUUUUCUCAAAUUUUUUAUUUUACAUGUUUAGUAGUAAUUGUCGUAGUUAGUAUCACGAGCAUUUGCAUGAAUUAUGAAGUUAAACCAAGUCAAUUGCCUAUGAUGAGUUAUGUGCGUAGUUCUUGAUUAGUAGUUUCAAUUGCAAUGCUAGGUUAGUACUUGGAAAUUGCUUGUGUUGGAAAUUGUAAUUCACAUAUGUUCUUGAGAUAGGAUUUAGACGAAAUUCCAUGAAUUCUAGGAUUGAAUUGAGCACCCUUCAGCUUAGGUCUGUAAAUCUUAAGUUUGGGGGAACUGAGGGGUAGAUAUGCCUUUCUAAAAAAAAAAAAAAAAAAUAUAGAAAAAAAAAAAAAAAAAAAAAAAUAGUAGUAAAUAAAUUCACUAAAAAAAUAAGUGGUAGAAUUAACUAGGUUGAGCUCAUUAGUACUCGAGUAAUUAAGUCUGAGGGGACUUUGUGCCUAACAACCUAAAGCCCUUCGUGGUUUGGGAUUGUUGACCCAACGCUCGCUACAUGGGUACUAGUGCAUAAAUCUUUAGGGAUCUCAACCAUUGCACGGUUAAAUAAACCACUAGAAUAGAGUGAAUAAUUGGUGUGUGAAGUCUUGUGGUGUUCGUAACGCAUUUACACUGCGAAGCGCUCUGACCUUAGACCGAGCAAUUAAUCACCAAAAAAAAAAAAAAAAAAAUAUAGUGAAUACAAUAGAAGGUUGUGGACAUUCUUUGGGACCUUGGCUUUUAGUUGGACUUGAGUGACGGGGUGUUAGUUUUAAACUUUUACGAUUCUUGAUGGGGAUUCUGUGGGAGUAGUAGUUUUUGUCUUGUCUCAAUAAAAGAGCAUGCUUGCACACACUGGCACUCCACACUUGUAAAUAGAAGAGUAAUUGACUUAGUAGCGAGAGAGAUGAAAUUCGAGAACAUUAGCACAAUCUGAGGUAUUAUAAUUGGCAAGGCAAUUACUUCAUAGUUUACUCAUUCCUCACGUAGUUGCAUUCGUGCAUUGCAUUGUAUUAUUGUAUAGUGUCGUUGACGCUUGAGGACAAGCAUCAGUUUAAGUUUGGGGGUGUGAUAAGUGGUAUUUAUACACACUUAUAGGCCUUCAUUUCCACUUAAAUUGGUUGGUUGUACUUAAGUGUUUAGUGUCUUUUGAUGUGUUUUUAGUGUUUUUCUGUGCAGGUCACGAGUUGAGGUGAUGAAGUGAUUUUCUAUCAUUUUAGGUUGUUUUUGGUGCAUUAUUUGCAAGAAUAGAGAAUUGUGGAUUCAUCACGACUUGGGAUUUUGUGGGUACAUCUUCUACAAACCCUCACGAGAACACACUCGUCCACUAGAGCUAUCUAGGGGUUUAAAGGGCUUGUUGCAUGUGCUAAAUGCAACCGUGAUCACCUACGGAAGUGGUACUAGAGCGAGGAAGGACAUGCACGCGAGAACGAGCUGAACACGAAGAAUCAGGGCUGCCAUGACAGACAGUAGCGCGCCCGCGCUACUUGUUAGCGCGCCCGCGCUACCUUCUGCUGCCACUAGCGCGCCUGCGCUAGUUUAGCGCGGCCGCGCCCAGCAGAAGUGCCCCGGGCCGAUUUUUGGAGCUUUUCUGACGGAUUUUCGCAGCGGUCGAGGCCCGGUUGACUUGGUCAAUGUAAUUUAAUUUCUCGUGUGUAAAACCCUAGCCUCGUAGAAGUAGUUUAGUAGAGAACAAUAUCGUAGUUUCAGUUUAAUCAUUCAAGCACAUUAUCAGUUUGUAUUGGAUCGUUCUUCGCGAGGAAGUGACAGUUUCGAGCGAGAUCGUGAACAUCAAAUCUGUAACGUGUGAUCUUUAUUAUUAAUUCAAGCAUUUUUAUUCCGUUUAAUUCUUGUCUUUUAUUUAUCAUGUUUUCAUUAGAACCCAUGAUGUCGAUUAGUUCGAUUAUGAACUAACCGCCUUCAUGGGAUUCUAAUGGAUUUAUCGAUGUAGUCUAGUAACGAAUAUUAAUUACUUGAUUUUGUGACGUACGUUGAUUUCUUUGCAUGAGCCGUGCUUAUUCUUCUUAGGAGCGUAGCUAACUUCUAAGUUGUUUGUUAAUUCUUUCUGAAGCGAGAGUGGAUGAUUGAAUUUAGAACUAUGCCAUGUAAACAUAGGAUUAUGUGAAUGAAACAUAAUUUGUGGUAGACUUGAACUAUUUUUAUCACCCUGUGUAAUCACGAUAGACGACUUGUUAUUAAACCUCUCUGCUUACACUACCGCUAUAGAGAUAUAGGGUCUGAGCUUUGUUGGUGUCCAUGAGAUUUCUGUCUUAAUUGUGGAUUUUGAUUGGUAUGAUAUGUGUGCAACGAGAGUUGGCAUGUAUUACUUUCGUGUUGUCUGAUUAGGAUCAACAGUCGCAUGUUAAUCAGUAAUUUCAAUUCUAGAUGAAUUCGAUAAUGAAGUUAGAAUCCCAUGUGUUUUCCUAUUCUGAAUUUGAUUAGUAAUUUUAGUUAUUAGUAUAAAAGAAACCAUCCUUGUUAAUUGUCUUGGCAGUGAAAAUUGAUCAUACAUUGUUGCAUAGGUGCGUAUUCUUAAUUCACCAGUCUCUGUGGGAUCGAACUUAAUAUAUUACUUGUGAUCACGUGCGCUUGCGUGUAGAUUUUUGCGAACAAGUUUUUGGCGCCGCUGCCGGGGACUCGGUGUUAAUUAAUUAGUUUAUGUACUUGUCAUCAGUGUGCAUUAAAAUUCACUGACUAGGAUUCUAUUCUCUUCUCACUUUUCUUCUUUUCUUUAUUUCAGGUACUUGGGUCGCGUUUAUGCUAACACGUUCUAAAGCUCGUAAGGAAGCAAUGGAUUCAUCUUCUUCUUCUGAUUCUGAAACAAUGGAAUAUGCAAGGACAGCAGUUGGUGAGGCGUCACAUGAAUUUUCUCGUUUGAAAAUCAAUGAUAAUCAGGCUGACACAAUUGAGCCAGCGAUAUCAGCCAGGGGUAUUCGAAUUAAGCCAUCAAUCAUUCUCAGGCUGCAGGAUACUAUUCAAUUUGGGGGGUCUGUUCUUGAGGACCCAAACCUGCAUCUAAGGAAAUUCGAGGAAUUCAGUAUUGCAUUGGAUUUCAAUAUCGGACCUAAGGAUCUGGUGAAGCUGAGACUCUUUCCAUUCACGCUACGUGAUGUAGCACGAUCGUGGUUUCUCUCUCUCUCGGCAAGCACUACUAAUAGCUGGAACAAGUUGGAGAAAAUAUUCUGUACCAGGUUUUAUCCUCUAAUUAAAGUAUCAGCUAUCAGAAACACCGAAAGUAAAUUCUCUCAAUUCUCGGGAGAAUAUCUUUGUUUAGCUUGGGACCGGUUCAAGAAGAUUCUCGAAAAUCUCAAUGAAGAUGGCAUGCCUCCUGGAAUGGCAAUUCAUUAUUUCUACAGGGGUCUUAAUGGUCAAUGUAGAGCAGUGUUAGACGUGGCAGCUGGAGGAAAUCUGUGGAGCAAGAGCUUCGAUGAUGCUUACGAACUGAUAGAGAACCUGGCUGCUGCUGAGCACAGAGACCUAAAGUGGAAAAUUCCAAAAGAGGAAGAAUCAGAGGAUGAUGAAGCGGUCGAAGUCACUCAGGAACUUCAGAUGACUAAUUGGCACAGAAUUAGAGCUCACUCAGACUCAAUUCCUAAUGCAUGUGGAGACACUUGUCCUCUACUUUCUACCAGUGCGAGUAACCAAUCUGUAAUUCAAUCACCUGCUGAUUCAACAUUGAAUGAAGCACAGUACCGAAGGAUAAUCCGGCGUAUUGACGCGGUGGAAGAACGAAUUGGUCGCUUUGCUGAUAUAUUAACGGACUCUCUUGCUGAAGCAUUCUUAGCACUAGAUGUUAAUGUUACUUGGGAUUCGUUUGGUUAUGGAACGAGGUAUCCUCCACAGGAUACUUCAUCGGAAUCGGAUUAAUUCUGGACUUCACGUCGAGCUAACGACGUUAAACAAGCGCUUCGUGGGAGGCAACCCACGCAUUGGAACCAUUUUGUACCAUUGUAAACCUCAAAAACACAAAAAUCGAGAAAUUUCGGCCCUGGGUGUCAGACACUAGCGCGCCCGCGCUAGUGUCCAGCGCGCCCGCGCUAGAGUGUACAGCGCGCCCGCGCUACACUUAGCGCGGCCGCGCUACCGACUGCCAGAAACUCGAUUUUUCUCCCAAAAAUAUUUUCUUUUCGUUUUUAAAAGCCCACAAUCCUAAUUUUGCAUGCCUAGCCCGAAAUAUAUCCUCCAUAACCCUAACUCAGCUCUCAAAUCCUUAUAUAAACACAAAACCCAUCUCCAAUUCCUACUCUAAUUCUAUAAACCCUAAUUAUAUAUAUACACAUCCAUACACACAACUACCAUCAAAUCUCUCAAACCCACUACACACAAAUCUCUUACAACUCUAAUCUCUAUCAAUGGCACCCAAAAGAGCCCGAAGAUCACAAGGACCAAGCACCCAAGCCCCUACAUCUAGCGAUUCUUCCUCGAUGGGUGAGGUUGAAUUCACCUCCGAUGGUGCACGAACCGAGUUUCAACGGCUUAUGAAUAAGUCGAUAGUUAAGGAGAAGGGAUUCCUACCCACAGCGGAAGAUGGUGAGCUCUUGAACAUGAUUCAAGAAAGGGGUUGGGAGUCUUUUUGCGAGGCUCCGGAGGCGGUUCCCUUGGCUAUUAUUCGAGAGUUUUAUGCUAAUGCCAAGGAGAAUCGCGAUGGAUUCACGGUGGUGCGGGGAAUCCGUGUGGAUUAUAGUGCGGAGGCGAUCCGUAGAGUGAUUGGGGGGCGUGCCAAGCGCCGUAAUGAAGAAGAUUGGGUUGUUGAGAGGAUCGGGCGUGCUAAACGCCGGUUUGAUGAUGAUCCGGUUGAUCUUGAGCGGUUGGUGUAUGAUAUGUGUGUGCCGGACACGACUUGAAAGAUGACUGCACCUCCUUUGCCGGCACAUGUUUCUUUUCCAGCAGCCGUGUUGAACCGGUAUGCGAAGGCGUGGAACGCCUUCAUCUGUGCUAACAUCAUGCCAUCUUCACAUGGGCAUGAGGUGACAGUGGAUAGAGCUAUUUUGCUCUUUGGGAUUGUCUCGGGCAAGUAUAUUGAUCUGGGACAUGUUAUUCAUCAGGGGAUUCUGAGGUUCUUACAGGGAGGAACCACUGGUGCCAUUCCAUAUGGCACAAUUGUGACGAAGCUCUGUCGAACGAGCGGUGUUCGUUGGCCAUCCAACGAGCAAUUGCAGUUGCCAGGACACCUAUUGAUCAUUCGGCGAUCAGUCGGAUGACGGAGUGGAUGGAGGACGUUCCCACCCUCGAGGCCUCGGGUACAUAUAUGAUGAGGUGCCAGGGGGACGGUCCAGGGUUCGAUUAGGAGGGAGCGUACUAGAGCUUCUGGAGCUGGUACUUCACAGACGGAGAGGAGCUCCGAGCCUAUGGGAGAUGUUCAUUAUCGCCGACUCGCGAGACGGAUGGACACUAUGCAUGACAUCCACCAGAGGUUUGCAUUUGAUUUGACACAAGCUCUUGGUACUGCUUUCCAGGCACAGGGGGUCACAGUUCAGUGGCCAGUAUUCGGAGCAGGGAUGCAGUAUCCUCCACCUGAUUCACCUCCAGCAGAGGAGGGGGAGGACUCGGACUCCGAGUAGGUAUGUGGGUGCUCUAGCCUUUUUACCGCUUUCAAUGGGGACAUUGUAAUUUAAGUUUGGGGUGGUAAUCUAAGGAAGAGCAUAUUAUUAUGUAGUUUAUUAUUGCAUGUGUUAGUUAGUUCAUGUAGUUCACGUUUUUUUAUUUUGCUUNNNNNNNNNNNNNNNNNNNNNNNNNNNNNNNNNNNNNNNNNNNNNNNNNNNNNNNNNNNNNNNNNNNNNNNNNNNNNNNNNNNNNNNNNNNNNNNNNNNNNNNNNNNNNNNNNNNNNNNNNNNNNNNNNNNNNNNNNNNNNNNNNNNNNNNNNNNNNNNNNNNNNNNNNNNNNNNNNNNNNNNNNNNNNNNNNNNNNNNNNNNNNNNNNNNNNNNNNNNNNNNNNNNNNNNNNNNNNNNNNNNNNNNNNNNNNNNNNNNNNNNNNNNNNNNNNNNNNNNNNNNNNNNNNNNNNNNNNNNNNNNNNNNNNNNNNNNNNNNNNNNNNNNNNNNNNNNNNNNNNNNNNNNNNNNNNNNNNNNNNNNNNNNNNNNNNNNNNNNNNNNNNNNNNNNNNNNNNNNNNNNNNNNNNNNNNNNNNNNNNNNNNNNNNNNNNNNNNNNNNNNNNNNNNNNNNNNNNNNNNNNNNNNNNNNNNNNNNNNNNNNNNNNNNNNNNNNNNNNNNNNNNNNNNNNNNNNNNNNNNNNNNNNNNNNNNNNNNNNNNNNNNNNNNNNNNNNNNNNNNNNNNNNNNNNNNNNNNNNNNNNNNNNNNNNNNNNNNNNNNNNNNNNNNNNNNNNNNNNNNNNNNNNNNNNNNNNNNNNNNNNNNNNNNNNNNNNNNNNNNNNNNNNNNNNNNNNNNNNNNNNNNNNNNNNNNNNNNNNNNNNNNNNNNNNNNNNNNNNNNNNNNNNNNNNNNNNNNNNNNNNNNNNNNNNNNNNNNNNNNNNNNNNNNNNNNNNNNNNNNNNNNNNNNNNNNNNNNNNNNNNNNNNNNNNNNNNNNNNNNNNNNNNNNNNNNNNNNNNNNNNNNNNNNNNNNNNNNNNNNNNNNNNNNNNNNNNNNNNNNNNNNNNNNNNNNNNNNNNNNNNNNNNNNNNNNNNNNNNNNNNNNNNNNNNNNNNNNNNNNNNNNNNNNNNNNNNNNNNNNNNNNNNNNNNNNNNNNNNNNNNNNNNNNNNNNNNNNNNNNNNNNNNNNNNNNNNNNNNNNNNNNNNNNNNNNNNNNNNNNNNNNNNNNNNNNNNNNNNNNNNNNNNNNNNNNNNNNNNNNNNNNNNNNNNNNNNNNNNNNNNNNNNNNNNNNNNNNNNNNNNNNNNNNNNNNNNNNNNNNNNNNNNNNNNNNNNNNNNNNNNNNNNNNNNNNNNNNNNNNNNNNNNNNNNNNNNNNNNNNNNNNNNNNNNNNNNNNNNNNNNNNNNNNNNNNNNNNNNNNNNNNNNNNNNNNNNNNNNNNNNNNNNNNNNNNNNNNNNNNNNNNNNNNNNNNNNNNNNNNNNNNNNNNNNNNNNNNNNNNNNNNNNNNNNNNNNNNNNNNNNNNNNNNNNNNNNNNNNNNNNNNNNNNNNNNNNNNNNNNNNNNNNNNNNNNNNNNNNNNNNNNNNNNNNNNNNNNNNNNNNNNNNNNNNNNNNNNNNNNNNNNNNNNNNNNNNNNNNNNNNNNNNNNNNNNNNNNNNNNNNNNNNNNNNNNNNNNNNNNNNNNNNNNNNNNNNNNNNNNNNNNNNNNNNNNNNNNNNNNNNNNNNNNNNNNNNNNNNNNNNNNNNNNNNNNNNNNNNNNNNNNNNNNNNNNNNNNNNNNNNNNNNNNNNNNNNNNNNNNNNNNNNNNNNNNNNNNNNNNNNNNNNNNNNNNNNNNNNNNNNNNNNNNNNNNNNNNNNNNNNNNNNNNNNNNNNNNNNNNNNNNNNNNNNNNNNNNNNNNNNNNNNNNNNNNNNNNNNNNNNNNNNNNNNNNNNNNNNNNNNNNNNNNNNNNNNNNNNNNNNNNNNNNNNNNNNNNNNNNNNNNNNNNNNNNNNNNNNNNNNNNNNNNNNNNNNNNNNNNNNNNNNNNNNNNNNNNNNNNNNNNNNNNNNNNNNNNNNNNNNNNNNNNNNNNNNNNNNNNNNNNNNNNNNNNNNNNNNNNNNNNNNNNNNNNNNNNNNNNNNNNNNNNNNNNNNNNNNNNNNNNNNNNNNNNNNNNNNNNNNNNNNNNNNNNNNNNNNNNNNNNNNNNNNNNNNNNNNNNNNNNNNNNNNNNNNNNNNNNNNNNNNNNNNNNNNNNNNNNNNNNNNNNNNNNNNNNNNNNNNNNNNNNNNNNNNNNNNNNNNNNNNNNNNNNNNNNNNNNNNNNNNNNNNNNNNNNNNNNNNNNNNNNNNNNNNNNNNNNNNNNNNNNNNNNNNNNNNNNNNNNNNNNNNNNNNNNNNNNNNNNNNNNNNNNNNNNNNNNNNNNNNNNNNNNNNNNNNNNNNNNNNNNNNNNNNNNNNNNNNNNNNNNNNNNNNNNNNNNNNNNNNNNNNNNNNNNNNNNNNNNNNNNNNNNNNNNNNNNNNNNNNNNNNNNNNNNNNNNNNNNNNNNNNNNNNNNNNNNNNNNNNNNNNNNNNNNNNNNNNNNNNNNNNNNNNNNNNNNNNNNNNNNNNNNNNNNNNNNNNNNNNNNNNNNNNNNNNNNNNNNNNNNNNNNNNNNNNNNNNNNNNNNNNNNNNNNNNNNNNNNNNNNNNNNNNNNNNNNNNNNNNNNNNNNNNNNNNNNNNNNNNNNNNNNNNNNNNNNNNNNNNNNNNNNNNNNNNNNNNNNNNNNNNNNNNNNNNNNNNNNNNNNNNNNNNNNNNNNNNNNNNNNNNNNNNNNNNNNNNNNNNNNNNNNNNNNNNNNNNNNNNNNNNNNNNNNNNNNNNNNNNNNNNNNNNNNNNNNNNNNNNNNNNNNNNNNNNNNNNNNNNNNNNNNNNNNNNNNNNNNNNNNNNNNNNNNNNNNNNNNNNNNNNNNNNNNNNNNNNNNNNNNNNNNNNNNNNNNNNNNNNNNNNNNNNNNNNNNNNNNNNNNNNNNNNNNNNNNNNNNNNNNNNNNNNNNNNNNNNNNNNNNNNNNNNNNNNNNNNNNNNNNNNNNNNNNNNNNNNNNNNNNNNNNNNNNNNNNNNNNNNNNNNCUGUUCGAGGUUUGUAUCGGAUAUCAAAUUCUCCGAGCUCAAUGGCCCACUUAAUCAAUCUUCCACUAGCCUUAGGGCUAUGUAUAACAUUUCGGAGAGGUUGGUCUGUCAAGACUUCUAUCUUAUGAGACUGAAAGUAAGGUCUCAACUUCCUCGAGGCCGUAAUCAUGGCCAAAGCAAAUUUUUCGAUCACUGAGUAAUUGAGCUCCGCUCCAUGCAGAACCUUGCUCACAUAGUAUACUGGUUUCUGGGCUUUGGAUUCCUCCCGAACUAGGACGGCGCUUAGCGCUUGUUCCGAGACAGCUAGGUAUACAUACAGGGUUUCGCCCUCUACGGGUUUUGAUAAGAGUGGUGGCUCUGCCAUAUAUUUCUUUAGAUGUUCGAAGGCCACUUGGCUCUCAUCCGUCCAUUCAAAGUUCUUAACCUUCUUUAAUGCUUUGAAGAAAGGCAAGCACUUGUCUCCUGACUUGGAUACAAACCUUCCCAAAGCUGCAAUUCUUCCUGUCAGUUUCUGAACAUCCCUUAUACUUUUUGGGGGUUCCAUAUCUAGGAUAGCUUUUUAUCUUGUCGGGGUUGGCUUCAAUACCACGCUUUGAGACCAUCAAACCCAGGAACUUCCCAGAACCGACCCCAAAGGCACACUUAGCUGGGUUUAACAUCAUCUUAUGCGUCCUCAGGACUUCAAAGGCCUCUCUAAGGUGUUCAAGGUGAUCCGCUUUGUUCAAGCUUUUCACCAACAUAUCGUCUACAUAUACCUCCAUAGUCUUACCAAUCAGAUGUUUAAACAUCUUGUUUGCAAGGCGUUGGUAUGUUGCUCCUGCAUUCUUAAGUCCAAAGGCCAUAACUAAAUAACAAAAUACACCAAAGUCAGUGAUAAACGAUACCUUGGGUACAUCGCCCUUGUCCAUCCGGAUCUGAUUAUAUCCACUGAAGCCAUCCAUGAAACUCAGCAUCUUGUGGCCAGCAGUAGCAUCUAUCAAUGUAUCAAUUCUUGGAAGAGGAAAACAAUCCUUUGGGCAAGCGUCAUUUAGGUCAGUGAAGUCUACACACAUCCUCCACUUCCCGUUAGCUUUCUUGACCAUAACAGGGUUGGCCAACCAUUCUGGAAAUUGUAUCUCUUCGAUAAAACCUGCUUCCAACAACUUAUCGACCUCCUGCUUAAUGGCUUCUUGCCUUUCAGGGGCGAAGUUCCUUUUCUUCUGCUUAAUAGGUUUCCUCUCGGGGUUUACAUUCAACUUAUGGGUCAUGAAUGAGGGAUCGAUACCUGGCAUAUCGGCCGCUGUCCAAGCGAAAACAUCAUGGUUGUUCCUCAAGAACCUCACAAACUCCUGUUUCAAAUCUUCCUGGAGUAACGCUCCAACAUAAGUAACCUUUUCAGGUUCUUCCGUAUACAAUUGGAUUGGAACCAAAUCUUCGGCAGGCUUGCCUCUCCUUUCCUCUUCUUCCCGGACAUCAAGGUCUUCUAUGGGUAAUACUUGCCCCCCACUUCCUCCGGACCUUAAUGCUCCGAUAUAACAGCUUCGGGCCAUUUUCUGGUCUCCCAGUUCUUCUCCGAUUCCGUUCCUAGUCGGGAAUUUAAUUUUCAUGUGGUAGGUGGAUGGGAUUGCUUUAAAAGCAUGUAUUCCAGUCCUCCCAAGGAUGGCAUUAUAGGUUGGUGAGGCUUUAACGACCAAGAAGUUUACCAUACAUGUGGCUUGCCUAGGUUCAGUACCCAUUGUUACGGGAAGCUGGAUCAUGCCUUCAAUCUUGGUUUCCACAUUAUUGAAGCCAUAUAUAGGCAUAUCCGAUGGGGUCAGUUGAGUAUCGGAGUAUCCCAUCUUUUCAUAGGCAUCGUAGAACAGAAUAUCCACCGAGGAUCCAUUAUCAACGAGCACUCUCUUUACAGACGAGUUUCCGAUCACUGGUGUAAUUACUAAGGGGUCAUCGUGGGGGAACUUCACUUUCUCGAGGUCAACGUUAUCGAAUGCCAUUGCAUAAUCAAUUUUUGCCCGCUUCGGGGGUUCUCCAACUAUAUUCAUUACCUCCCUUGCAUAAGCUUUUCUUGAAUUGCUUGAAGUGCCCGCAGCCGUAGGUCCUCCGGAGAUUAUGUUAAUAAUAGGCCCUCGGGGUUGAGUUCUUUUCUCAUCAUGGUCUCUUCCACGACUGUCGUUAUCUCGAUAGUUCUUGUCUCCAUCCUUGGUGAACUUUGACAACUUACCUCUCCGGAUCAAGAACUCGAUUUCAUCCUUUAACUGUCCGCAAUCGUCAGUCUUAUGUCCUAUAUCCUUAUGGAAUCGACAAUACAGGUCUUUAUUUCGUUUCUCCGGGUCGGUCCUUAUAGGCUUCGGCCAUCUUACACUUUCAUCCUUUUCGAUCUCCAGUAAGAUUUGACUCCUCGGGGCAUUGAGCCUAGCAUACUCAGUGAAUCUUGGUCCCACCUUCUUCUUAGCAGGAGACUUUUCAUCAUCGUCCCUCUUGGGAUAUUUGUUUUCAGCAUUGUACUCGGCGUCGUUUCCGCGUUUCUUAAAGUUAGUGUUCGGCCCUUGAGUACUCUGGGACUUCCUUAGGCUUUCCUCCGCCUUGAUGUACUUCCCGGCUCUCUCUUGUAAAUCGUUCAUAUUAUCGGGUGCCCUCUUGGCUAGAGACCGGCGAAAGUUGUCGUCAGUGGUACCCUGCUGGAGGGCGAUCAUGGCCACCUUUUGAUCUAGGUCCGGGACCUUCAAGGCUUCUUUAGUAAAACGAUUCAUAUACUUCCGGAGUGAUUCGUUCUUACCUUGAUGCAAAUUCAUUAGAGAGGCAGAGCUCUUAGCAUGUGUUUUGCUUCCAACAAAUUGCCCUAUGAAAGCCCUGCUCAAGUCAGUAAAACAAGAGAUAGAAUUAGGGGGUAGGCGACUAUACCAAUGUUGGGCCAUCCCACUCAAGGUUUGGGGAAAAGCGCGGCACUUGAUUGCUUCAGUGACGGGUUGGAGCAAAAGAGCGUUCAUGAAGGUCCGAACAUGAUUAGCGGGAUCACCCGUGCCAUCGUAAGCUUUAAUGGUUGGGAGCUUGAAUUUUCGGGAAAUCCUUGCACCCAUGAUUUCUUGCGUAAAUGGGGGAACCGGGUUAUCAGGAUCGCCUGCCGGUAGCAAGUGAAUUUGAUUCAUCACGGUUUGUCGAGGGUUUUCAUCCCUAGAUUCUGGGGGUUGCAUCCUUGCCUGAUCUCUUUUUAACCGUGCGAUUUCCUCUUCAUGGGCCCGGAUCCUUUCCUCAUAGGUUAUUGGCCCCCGGGGCUCAUUAGUUUCUUGCCUAUGGCGGCGUCGACGGUGCCGAGUAUGAUCGGUUUCUCUCCUCCUUCGAGGGGGGGUAUCACGCUCUUGCUCCGACUCCGAGGAGUCGUAAUCAGUUACGUGCACAUAGUCAUCACCCGUGCCUCCACGAGUGGUUGUCGUGACGGUUGAGUAAUGCGUGCCGGCGUCGGUGACGGUUGCAAUUACUCGAGUCAGAGGGGGCAGCGAGCCAAAAGUCAGGGGAGUAGUAGUUUGAGCAAUGGUCGUACCAAGCGGGAGGGAGGUAGUUACAGGGGUUGAUUCAGUCGAGACUCCGGUGGUGGUUCGACCGCGUGGAACAUGAAUUUCUGAACGUGGUCCGGUUGGGUUCGUCAUGGUUGUCGUUUCGAUGCCCCACAGUGGGCGCCAAAUGUUGUAGAACUAAAAACGGGGGUGAGCGAUUCGUGCUUUGGACUAGUCUCGAUGCGAGAUGCCUACGUAUCCUCUGCUAGGAGAAGAAUCAAGUCCAAAACGUAGUUCUAGUUAUGAGGGGUAGAGCCCUUUAUAUAGGCGCUUCGGAGUCAGAAGUCGGAUGGAAGUAAGAUUCCGUGUAUCAGACUUCUUAUCGAAGUAUGCCUCGAGGCAAGAGAUAGGAUAGAACUCUUAUCCUUUCGUUGCUGAUAUUUAUCCGAACUCCGGGAUGUUUAUCUGUUAGAAUCAGAUGUAUUAUAGAAUUUGGACUUGUAACUGGACCUCUACUGUUAGAAUCAGAUGUAUUAUAGAAUUUGGACUUGUAACUGGUCCUCUGACUGGGCCUCUAUUAAUUAAUUACGAAAUUAAUUAAUAUUUAAGAGCCUCAGGCCCUAUUUAACUGGGCUUCAGUGUUCUUGGGCUUUUAAUAUCUAAUAAUAAUUAAAUAUUACUUCUGACCCAUAUCAAUAUUUGAUACUCAUAAUUCUUUCUUUAGGAUACAAACUGAAAUAUCUCAGCCAUCGAAUAAAUUCUGAGGUAUAAAAAUGAUUAGAAAUGCGGGUUUUGGUAGAUUUCAAUCUGACUUCUAAUGAAGCUCCUCCAAUUUGGUUGAUGAUAGAAUGCUUUUAAUUUGUACUAUGAAACAGGAACAAAUAACACCUAAACAAAACUUCACACAGGAACAAAUAACACCUAAACAAGAUGUACUCCACUUAUUAUCGAGGUCAUUAAAACUUAUGUAACCAUGUAAAAUGCACAAAUGUAUGAUACUUGAUUUCCGCAACUACUAUAAAAUCUAAUGCCCCUUUCUCCAGAUAAGUAUGCCUUUUAAACUGAAGUCAUGUACAGCACAUCAAAAAAACUGAAUGCAUAUAAACAGAUGAAUAAAAUGACAAGCAACUUCAGUCUUCAUUCCUUUUUACUUGACGGUCAUAUACCAACUUGAUCAGCAGAACAAUGACGAAAAUAAAGAAGAAGGAACCUAUGAGGCAAACAGUUAUUGCAAUGGCUAGAGAGUGAGAUAACACCAAAUAUGUUCCUGUAAUGAAGGUCAACAUCAUCGCCAUAAUGGAAACAAUAUUGAGCCCAACUGAUGCAGCAUUGAGCUUCGACACUUGGUGUGGAUCUUCAUACAUAGAUUCGAGAAAAUAUAGAAACAAAGAGCAUGUUGAUAGUAGCAAAGCUAACGCGUCUGAUACCAUGAAUGCGUUGAAAGCUGUCUUCCGUGUCAGAACCACCAAUCCUUCAUCAACUUCCCCACUUUGAUGGAGACCACCCGGCAUCGUAAAUCCUACCGUGAAAGUCACGGUAGUGAUAAGCGCGGUAACUAUUAUCUGUGUGUUGGUCCUCUUUUUAUAUCUUUCAAGAUCUUUCUUCAUGCGUCCAUGCUUUGCAUCCAUCAAUAAUUUCUUUUCUUCAUUGAAUAUCACAUCUUUUGUCUCCCGUCUACUUGGGCGCACUGAACUCUCAUCAAUAUCCGUUUUCUUCUCCAUAUUUUUUACCCAAAACUUCCAAGACUUAGUAGUCUGGACAUCAUCAAGCGCAAUUUUAAUUUGUACCUAGAAAUAAAGGACCGUCAAUUACUAAUAUUGUAAAUGAUUUUGAAAGGUCCUUUGUGUAUGUCUUUGUUAAGACUUUACUCAUUUAUAGUAAGCAAGGUUAUUCUCACAAUCGACCCUGGUAUUAAGCAUAUAUAAUUUUUCUAUAAGUUUAAUUAGCAUUAUAUUUAUAUUGUUAGUUGACAUAUUCGUUAAGAUGAGAUAUAAAAAACAAAGUUUUCAUAUUUUAGUAAAAACAAACUCGGAAUUUUUAAUUAUGUACCUGAUCAGCAAUGAUUUCUUCUUGAAAAUACAGCAUGUCUCGUGGAGUCCACUUUUUCUUGUUUUUUGCCAUUGUAUCAAGUCCUUUAUGUUUUAUGAGUUCUGGUAUGAAACAGCCAUUGGAGAUGAGCAGAUGAAGAGGUGUAUCGCCAUUGGCAUCUUGCUGUUCCAAAAUCUUGUCCUUGUACUUUUCUGGACAAUACUUUAAAAUACCCUGUAUCAUCUCUUUUUUAUUGUUAGUUGCUGCCAAGUGUAGUAUAUUCUGACCAUUUUUAUUAACAGCUGUGUAGGCAGAAGAUGAAGCUGGCCAUGAUUGCAUGAGUCUUAUCACCGUCGAAGUGUAUUUGCAUUCAGCUGCUAGAUGAAAUGGUGUUGAUACCAUAUCUCCAUACACAAAUUGAUAUUUAACAUCCUUCAGCGCUUUUAUGAUGACAUCAAGUAUUGAAACAAAUUCUUGAUACGCAGCAUAAUGAAGUGGUGUCCACCCUUGAUCAUCGGCAAAAGUUACAAGAUGUUUGGCUUCUCCCAAGAUGCGUAUCACAGAAUCUGAGAACAAAAUAAAAGUAAGGUACAGAAUUUUUUACUGGUCAAAACUUAAAUUUAGUUUGUAUCAAUAUAUUUGUAUGUUAAUGGUAGUAAAUACUAAAGAGGACCAACUUUUUUUAGUAAGCAAGCUUAUAAGCUUUCAAAAGUAUACAUUCUAAUAAAUUUUGGGGUGAGACAUCAAUGUAAUGUAGAAAGAGUGUUGUAAGAUUAAUGGAUAUUAUUAUUUGUUCAUACUUGCUACAUUAACCCACAAGAAUCAACGAGAUCACAUUUAUAUAAUAAGUAUUGAUACGUACCUUCAUCACGCCUGUUAAUAGCAAUAAUCAGGGCAACCACACCUUUAUGACCGGUGGUAAUUCCAGCUUCAUAAGUUUCAGAUAGCAAUCUGACGAUGUCUGUGUACUCCUUAUCGAUGGCUUUAUAGAUUAAACGCAUGAGACUAUUUUUACUUCCACGACCAUGUUGAUAGGCAGGAUUUUCUCGUAAGAUCAGUUCAACAGUAUCCACAUAAUUUCUGUCUACUGCUAAUUCCAAAACAGUGUGUCCGGACAUGUCAGUUUUAUUAAAUAAUGCUUCAAAACUGACAUUUGGUCUGUCCUCUGCAUUACUCCAGCGUUUGGCUGCAUCGAUCAUCAUCCCAAUGACAUCUCUGUCUUCUUCCUUCGCUGCAAGUCAAGUGGAAAUGUCAACUAUACAGAUACUACCUUCAGUGUGUAUACACUUUGCUAGUUUUUUCUAGUGUAUCUCUUCCUAGAGCUAAUAAGAUAUAUAAGUAUUGCAAAAAACGGGUCUCGAAGGCAUUGUGAAAUUGUUGUACAUACAUACCUCGGUGGAUAUUAAGAAUAGCAGCAUGCAAAGCUGUCGUACUACCAGCAGGGCCAUCUAAACACAGAGCUGUGCAAGUAGUACAGAUCACUUUUAUUAUAUCAUAGGACCCUUUAUCCACAGCUAUAUAGAUUGGCAUUUUACCUUCAUCAUUUGGAAAAUGUCUACCACUUGGAUCCGCCUCUACUAAGAGCUUAACAAUAGCCACAUUACCCUUAUUGACUGCUACGUGUAAGGCAGUGUUCCGCUUUUGAGCAGUCACUUGCCUAACAAAAGCAUUUAAGAAACCAACUGGAUCCUCAUUAGCUGAAGAAGAGGACAAAUGUCUGGCUGCAUUGACGAGGACCUCAACCACUUCGGUGUGUCCAUGAUGUGCUGCAAGGUGAAGCGAAGUCUGCUUUAAUCUAUCCAGCUUAACCAAAAGGUUUUUGUUUGCAAACUCUCUCACAAUAUAUCGUACACGUUCUGUAUCUCCCUUUUUUGCUUCAACAUGAAGGAUUGUUUCUCCCUCUUCAUUCAGUAUAUCUGCUUCCAUCUCCAAUGCAGCUCUGGCAUUAGCAUCUCCAGCAAUGGCAUCAGGAAACCAAUGGGCAACGGCAUGAGUAUUUUUGUACCUUUCUAGAUCUUCUUUCAUCCGUGCAUGCUUUUCACGCAUCAUCAAUUUUGUUUGUUUAUUGAAAAUCCUAUCUUUGGUCUCUCGUUUACUUGGGAGCACGGAACUUACCAAAAUAUCCUCUUUCUGAUUAAUCUGGAUUUCAUCUAGUGCAACUUUGAUUUGUACCUAUAUAAGGACGGCCAAUGAUCAACAUUUAUUUUGAUUUGGGAACAUACACUAUUAUCUUAUUUGUGAGUGAAUAUUAUUAUCUUGUUUUUAGAACACUAUUAAUGACUUCAGUUCUGAUAUACUCUUAUGGUUUGAAAUACUAGAAAACGAGUCUUAACUGAUAGACUGGGGUAGAAAGGAAAAUUAGAUUUUAGGUACCUGCUCAUCAAUAAUUUGGUCUUCAAAAUACAACAUGUCCGGAGGAGUCCAUUUCUCUUUGUUUUUCUUCACUAUAUCCAGCCCUUCAUAUUUCAUGAGUUCGGGGACAAAACAACCACGGCGGAUAAGAAUAUGAAGAGGUGUAUUGCCACUGUUAUCCUGCUUAUUCACAAGCUCGUCCUUGUGCUUUUCUGGACAAUAAUUUAGUAUACCUUCUAUCAUCUCUUUUUUACUUUGUAAUGCGGCCAAGUGGAGUAUAUUCUGUCCAUUUUUAUCAACAGCAAUAUAUGCUGAAGAUGAAGAUGGCCAUAACUGCAUAAGAAGUAUUACUGUAGAAGUAUAUCCUUUCUCCGCUGCCACAUGAAACGGUGUUAAUAUCAUAUCUUCAUACAGAAAUUGAUUCUCAACUUCUUUUUGUGCUUUUAUCAAGGGGUAAAUUAUUGCAUCAAAUUCGUGAUAUGCUGCAUGGUGAAGUGCUGUCCAACCCAGAUUGUCAACAAAGGUUACAAGCUCAUCGGCACAAUCAUCCAACAGCCUGAAGACGGAUUCUGAAAAACAAAACACAUGAGACUGUUUAUAUUAAACAGAUCAAGUUUUAGUGAUUUUAUAUUGUCACAAUAGUCAAAUUCUUAAUCCAGAAACAAACCUUUAUAAGUUUAGGAAUUGACAUACUGAUCAUAGAAAGCAUGGUCAAUUACGCAGAAAUAUGAAUUUUCAAAAUUAAUGGACUAUUUGAUGAAUCUGGUGAGUGGAUGACCAAAAGGGUUGACCUUGAAAGGCUAAUCUCUGCAUAUUUAAAAGAUUUAUUUGAAACGAGUUCCAUUUCUGGCUUUUAAGGUGCUAUGAAAGGAAUUAGGUGGGUAGUUUAAAAGAAUGUCGAGCUGGUAUGCAGGCUUUAUUUUUUCAUAAAUAUUUGAAUGCAGUUUGCCUAAGAUUGUGGCUCUUGUUUAAAAAUGGUGGAGAGGUUCUACUGAUUCAUCAUAUCUGAAUAAAACAUGGGUUGAUUGAUUCUAAAGUGCAAGGAGCCGAAGGCUACAGGGGAAUUCAGGCCUAAAUAUAAAAUUAUGCCUAAGACGCUAGUGAACAAGAUGAAGCCUUUCUUAAGAGAUAUGAUUCCUUAAAUCAGAGCACUUUAGUACCAAAGAGAUUGAUUACACCCCAAAUACGCUAUGGUGACUUUAAAAGUGUUUUAUGCCUCGGAGAAUGGGGGUGGAGGUUAAGAGCGAGUCCAACAAUGUCCUACUUGUAACCUUAAGUUUAAUAUAAAAAAAUAUGUCCCAAUAAUUUAGGAUAUAUUUAAGUACAAUGUGAUUUAUUCUCAAUAUAUAUUAAAUAUUUUAUUAUUAAAAGUUUACAUUCAUCAUUGAAUGACAAUAUAAAGUAGAGAGAGAAAGGGAGUAUGUGUAAUAAUUUAUUAUAAAAUAUAAGACAGGAAAAGGAGAGAAAUGUCUUAAAAAUAAGGCGGGAAGAGAUUGUGCUGGUGAUAUAAGACAUGACUAAGACAUUGUUGGAUCAACUUUUAUUAUCAAAUGUCUUAAAUUCUAGUUUAGGAUAUCAUAUAAGCCAUCUCUUAAAGAUGGAACAAUAGCCUUAAUUCUAGACAUAAGUAAGCUCACAAUAGGGUCGAAUGGAUUUUAUUAAAAAGAGUGAUGCUAAAAAUGGGUUUUUCUGAUAAAUGGGUUCACCACAUUAUGAGCUGUUUGACAAGUGUUUCUUUGGCAUUCAAGAUAAAUGGGUUUUUCAUGAACAAGACAGAAGUCGCCUUUAGCAAAUAUGAUAAAUGGUUUAUUUCUCUGGAGCGCUGUUCAUAGGAACCUGGGAGAGGCUGUUAUGUAGACAUUGUUAUUGAAAAAUUAUAUUUAAUUGGCAGUACUGAAUAAGAAUCCUUCGUGCAUACCCUGUUUGAGUGUGAUGGAGCAAAGGUUUUUUGGGAGCAUAGUGAGUUUAAAGUGACCAUCCGCUUAUGUGGGAGCAUGGUGAGUUUAAAAAGACCAUCAGGGAUGCACCAUUUGGCUGGUUCACCAAUAAGGCUAGUGAACAAGAGUUUUAUUCCAUUGAUUCUUUAACCCAAUAAGAGUUUUGUUACGACAGGACCAAUAAGGCUUGGUCCUGUUGGAAUAAAAUUAUGUAUGAACAAACUUCUGUUAACCCUGUAAUGGUAGCUGCAGGGCAUACAAACUUGUAUAUGAGUAUUGUGGGUGUGCAAAAAGGGUAUUUUUGCUCCAAUCAAUGUGUGGGGAGUAAAGAGUUCAUCAAGUUGGAUGCUAGCACCUGCUGGAUUGGCAAGAAUUAACUGUGAUGCUAAUGUUCAGGAUGGGUGUCAAGUUGGUCGGGUGUAGUAAUUAGAGAGAUGCCACAGGAAAGCUGAUGAAAAAGGAAGUAGAGGGAAUGGAAGUGUAGCAGAAGCAAAGCCUGGCUUCUUAGGCCUCAGAAAAAAACUGAUGGAUUAAUGUUAGAACUUUGAAUUACAAAACUUGAUUCAGAACUAAUAAAUAUUAGAAAAACUGAAUUUCGUCAAUAAAAAUAAAUAAUAGAAUAAUAAAAUGAAAUCAUCUUAUAAGCAUAAAUUGGACCAAGAACAAUGUUAUAAUGUAAUAGACUAUAUACCUCUUUUGCGGCCUUUAAUAGCAGAAAUCAAAGCCGCCAUAUCGUCGUAUGAAUAAGUAAUAUCAGCUCCUCUUUCGUAGCUGCUCGUGAGUAACUUGACAAUAUCUGUGUACUCUUUGUCCAUGGCUCGGUAAAUUAGAGGCAUUAGAUCAAUAAAAUCGGGAGCAUUCCAAGAUUGAUAUAUUGGGUUUUCUGCUAAUAUUAGCUCAACUAUAUUAGCAUAAUUCCGGUCCACCGCCAGUUCUAAACAAGUGCAUCUAUUCUCGUCAGUUUUUCUAAAUAAUUCGACUGAAUGUUCAUACGUGUCCUCAUCCCAUUCAUCUGAGUCCGAAUCCUCCCCAGAACCCAUCCAUUUCAUUGCUUUGAUGAUCACUCUAAUCACAUCUAUGUCUUCUUUCUUGUCUGCAAAGGAAGUAAAAGUAUGAUGAUCAAAUAUUCAUUAUAAUAUCUUUAAGAUCUAAAUAUUGAAUUUGGCAAUUAAUAAAUAGAAAUAAUCUGGAGAGAUUCAGGAUUGCAUUGAUCCAACUCUGUUCAUAUUGAUACGAGACUUUAAUUGCGUUGUUAAAUGAUUCAUGAUCUUGAAAUGUCUUUAGGCACACAAUCACCUUUUGUACACAUAAAUAAUGUUAUUGUUUCAGUUCUGGAAAUUGUUAGAGACUAAUACUAUCUGCAAAUGUGUUUAACAUCUUUGUGAACAAGGAAUGCAAACAACUUAUUAUGAGGCAGAAAGUGUUAGCAAGAACUGAAAUAAAUUUAGCAACAGGGCAUAUUGAAUUGUGACAUAUGUAUAAACUACAUACCUUGAUCGAGAUUCUUUAUAGCAGCAUGCAGAGCAGUACCACAGGGACCAUCCAAAUUAGAUGGAGAAGUGCAAGUUGUACAGAUCAUCUUCACAAUAUCAGAGUAACCUUUUUCCGCGGCUAUGUACAUUGGCGUUUCACCUUUAUUGUUUGGAAGAUGUGGAUCACUUGGGUCGGCCUCUAAUAAUAUCUUAGUAGUAGCCAAGUUACCUUGCAUCACCGCUAUGUGUAAGGCAGUGUUCAUAUCUUUAUCACCUUGCCUGAGGAAAGCUUGAAAAGAACUUACUGGACUUUGAGAAUCAUCAUCAUCAGAAGAAGAUAAAAGUCUAGCUGCACCAAUGAGGAUCUCAACCACUUCAUUAUCGUGGUCGGGAUCUUUGAUAGCAGCGUGCAAAGCAGUUUUAACACCAGGACCUUUUAAAGAGGGAGCUGUGCAACUUGUACAGAUUAAUUUUACUAUUUCCUUGUACCCUUUUUUCACAGCUAUGUAAAUUGGAGUUUUACCAUCAUUGUUUUGAAUAUGUGUAUCACUUGGAUCAGCCUCUACUAAUAGCUUAACAAUUGCUAUAUGAUUAUUUAUGACGGCUAUAUGCAAGGCAGUGUCCAUAUCUUUGUCACCAAGCCUAAGGAAAGCUUGAAAAGAAGUUACUGGAUUAUCAUCAUCUGAAGGAGGCAAAUUUCUAGCUGCAUCAAUGAGGACCUCAGCGACUUCAGUGUGUCCAAAAUAUGCAGCCCAAGUAAGUGCAGUCUCUUUUUGAUUAUCCAGUUUGACCAAAAGAUUUUUGUGUGCAAACUCCCUCAAAAUGAAUCGCACAUUUUCUAAAUUUCCUUUCUUUGAUUCAACAUGAAGGAUAGUUUCUUCAUCUUUGUUCAGUCUAUCAGCUUCCGUCUCCAAUUUAGCUAUGGCAUCAGCAUCUCCCGCAAUGGCAGCCGCAUACAAAACAGCUUUAAUAUCAUAAAUUUCAUAUAGUGCUCCACCAGGGUUCUUACCUAUAUUUGUGUAUAUAAAGAAGUGUCAAAUGGAGAAUCUAACACAUUUAUGUUGUGUUUGGUUGGUGUCACAACUGUAAACUAAAGCUAAUUAUGAAAGAAAGAAGACUCCAUUAAAGCUCUGUAAAAUGUGUUUGUACAUAGCUUUCUACUUUGUUUUUAUUCUACUUGAAUGAAAUGUAACACACAGAUAUCUAAUAUAUACACACCAACUCUGUAACUAACUUCUAAAACUAACUGCCACUACUUUGUUGAGCUGUCAUUUCGGGACCACAGCUGUCACUCUGUUUUUCCCGCUUCUUCUCUUGAUUCUUCUCACUACUAAUAUACUGAACAUCCCCCCUCAAGUUAGGUGUAUGAAACAGGUUGAACACACCUAACUUGGAGAGUAAAUAACGCAGUUGGUAUGAAGGUAAGGCCUUGGUGAAUAAGUCUGCUGGUUGCUCUGUGGACGGAAGAUGAUGUGUAACCACAAUUCCCUGUUUAAUCUUCUGACGAAUAAGAUGGCAAUCAAUUUCAAUGUGUUUUGUACGUUCAUGAAACACUGAAUUUGAGGCAAUGUGAAGAGCAGACUGGUUGUCACAGUAUAGAGAGACAGGAGUGAGAUUAGGUACAUACAACUCUUUGCAUAGUGAUAACAACCAUGUAACUUCACAGCAUGAAUCUGCCAUUGCUCUGUACUCAGCCUCUGCUGAGGAGCGUGAAACAGUAUGCUGGCGUUUGCAUUUCCAGGAGACUAAUGAAGACCCCAAUGUGACACAGAAGCCAGUGAUAGACUGCCGAGUCUGUUUGCAGCUUCCCCAAUCAGCAUCCGUAAACACUCGCAGAUUGAAUGAGGAGUUGGAUGACAACAGGAUACCCUGGCCACAUGUUUGUUUUAGAUAUUUAACCAACUUAAGAGCAGCCAACCAGUGAAUUUCUUGUGGUUUAUGCAUGAACUGAGCCAGUAUGUGUACAGAAUAGGAUAAGUCUGGGCGAGUAAUAGUCAGAUAAAUCAAACGCCCAAUCAACCUCCUAUAAGCAGAGAUAUCAACAAGCAAGGGAGAGUUGGACUCUGCUGUCAGAUUGUGGUUCUGAUCUAAAGGUACUAAAGAUGUCUUGGCCUCCUCAUAACCAACAUCCUUGAUGAUAUCCAUAGUGUACUUACGUUGAUUCAAAUAGAUUCCAGCAGCUGAACGAGCAAUUUCAAUCCCCAGAAAGUAUUUCAAGGGGCCCAAAUCCUUGAUUUUGAAUUUGGUAGCAAGAAAUUGAGUGACCUGAGUCAUUAAGUCAGGUGCAUUACCUGUUAAUACCAUAUCGUCCACAUACACUAGUAACACAACAAGCUUAUUGUCUUUCUUGAAAACGAAUAAACUUGAGUCACUGAAGGUUUGUGUGAAUCCAAAUUCAAGCAAAGCAUCAGAAAGUAUAGUAAACCAUUCUCGAGGAGCCUGACGCAGCCCAUAUAUUGACUUAAUAAGUUUGCACACUAACUUCUGAUUUGGAAAUUGCUGUAAGACCUCUAGUGGAAUGGGAUACCCUUGAGGAAUUUCCAUAAACACUUCUUCAUGCAAGAAGCCGUGUAAAAAGGCAUUGGUAACAUCAAGCUGUGUGAUGGACCAAUUAUUCAUUGCUGCCAGUGCAAGAACAACACGAAAGGUUGCCAUUUUGGCUACUGGUGCAAACGUAUCAAAGUAGUCCAAACCUUCUGUUUGUGUAAAUCCCUUGGCUACAAGACGUGCCUUGUACCUGUCUAUUUGACCAUCAGGCAAAUACUUCACUUUAAACAGCCAUCGACAGCCAACUGCCUUUUUGUUAGGUGGGAGAGGUACAAUUUGCCAGGUCUGGUUAGCUUCCAUAGCAGCUAACUCAGUAUUCAUUGCAGUGCACCACUCACUUGAUUUACUGGCUUGAUUGAAUGUCUGAGGCUCUUGAAUUUUUGAAAUAUUAGCCAAAAAAUGCUGAUAUGACUUGUCAAAUGCAGAAUAUGAGACACAAUUAGUCAAGUUUUGAGUUACAGUAUUCUGCAGUUGUGGUGGCAGAUUGGUGUAAUCUUUAAACUUGACAGGAGCUUGCCUUUGUCUUUGAGGUCUUACUACAUGAGUAGUAGCUUCACUGAUAGGUAUUGUAGACUCAGAAUUAUCUGUAUUAACAGAUACUGUAGGUGAAGAUUGCAUAUUCUGCUCACUAGUAUCAGUAUUGAUACUGCUGGGAGUUGGAUAGCAUGUGAUGGGAUCUGACUCCCAUUCAACAGUAGAGUUGUUCACAAACAGUGGAGUGGUUUUCAAGGCAAUGUCAGAAGUAAUUUGUUGAAACGGAAACUGACUUUCAUCAAAAUACACAUCUCUGGACACAAAGACUUGUCUGGUCUGCAGAUUUAGAACUUUAUAUCCCUUUUUAGCAUAGGGAUACCGCAAGAAAACUCCUUUAAUUCCUCUUGCUGCAAAUUUGUCACUUGGUUGAGGAACUGUAGUUGCAUAACACAGGCAGCCAAAUAUUCUAAGGCGAGAAUAAUCUGGCUUAGAAUGAAACAGCACCUCAUAUGGUGACUUGCCUUGAAGUACAGGUGUGGGUGUUCGAUUAAUAAGAUAGCAAGCAGUUAACACACAGUCUCCCCAUAAAGUAAGAGGAACAUUGGAUUGAAACCGUAAGGCUCGUGCAACAUUUAGAAGAUGUCUGUGUCUUCUCUCCACAAUUCCAUUCUGUUGUGGAGAGUAAGGACACGUGGUUUGAUGCACCACACCAUUUUGUGCAAACAAGUUAGUCACAGUUUGAUUAACAAACUCAGUACCAUUAUCUGAACGCACAACUUUAACAGAUGUCUUGAACUGAUUUAUAACAUAACUGAGAAAAUCAGAUAUAAUACGACUAACACCAAUUUUAUCUGGUAGCAGAAAAACCCAUGCAGCACGAGACAUGUCAUCAACAAUUGUUAAAAAAUAAGAACAACUGCCAUGAGUCUUAAUUCGAUAUGGUCCCCAUAAGUCCAUAUGGACAAGAUCAAACACAUUUGAACUACAAGACUCACUAUUAGCAAAAGGAUUUCUAACUUGUUUUGACAGAUGACAAAUAUCACAAGUGUGAUUGACAGAAGAUUUACACUGAAAAGGAAACAAUUUCAGAACAGACAUAGGCACAUGGCCAGUUCUUGCAUGCCAGAGAUUAGUAUCUGCAGAAUGAGAGGCAACAGCUGAACAAGAGGAUGUAGAAGAUAGUUUGCAAGCAUUUAGAAUGUAGAGACCAUGGACAGCUUUACCAAUCUCUAGGUCCCUCAUCAAGGUAGGGGCCUGAAGAAAGCAACAAUCAUUCUUAAACACAAUAGAAGACACUGAAUCAGUCACAAAUUUGGAGACUGAAAACAAGUUAUAAUGAAACUGAGGCACACACAGUACAUUGUGAAGUGUAAUAUGAGAGUUAAUAGAGAUAGAUCCCAUAUGAGUGACAGGUGCAGUGUGACCAUUAGGAAGGUAUAAUAGAGACUGACAUGUCACAAUAUCAGACAAUAGAUGUAGAUGAGGUGUUACAUGAUCAGUGGCACCUGUGUCAACAAUCCACUCAAAAUCCUUGUAGGAAUUAUUGUGCACAUGACUAGCAAAAUGCAGAAAUGUACCUGCAAACUGAGUACUAUUGACAGUAGCAUAUGGAUUUGUCUCAGCAGCUGGUUGAACAGAGGUAUGAUUUAGUAGCUGUAGAAGUUGCUUGUACUGACUUUCAGAAAAUUGAAAGUUGCAAGUUGAUGCAUCAGACUGAGAUAUAGUAGAUUUUGUCUGAGAAUUAUCAGCACUCUGAGAGACUUGAGCAGCUACAGCAUUCCUGUUGGACAGAUGUUUUGGCUUAGGCUUGGGUUUACCAUACAUUUUGUGCCACUCAGGAUAACCAUGCAGACAAAAGCAUUUAUCCUUGGCAUGUCCUUGCAUGUGGCAGUAGUCACAGUAGAUAAGCACAUCAGACUGAGCCUUCUUGACUCCUUUCACAAAUGUAGUCUUGGACUUGACUGCUAAGGCUACACUGUCAGCAGAUGGAUGAGAACUACUAGCAAUCCCUCUCUGAUUUUCCUCUUGCAACAGUAUGGAAUAGCAUUUGCUAAGAGAAGGUAAUGGAUUCAUUAAAAGAAUCUGUCCACGAAUAGAAGUGAACGUGUCAUUUAGUCCCAUCAAGAACUGCUCUAACUGUAAAGACUGUUCAUGAGCAUCCAGUUGAGCAUUGAUUGUACAGGUACACUUGCCACAGCAUCUAGGAGAAGUAGUCAUAGAAGACAAUUCUUCUUGCAAUGUCCUGUAUUUAGUAAAGUAGGCAGAAAUAGACAAACUAUCCUGAGAGAGAUGAGACAGUUCUUUCCUGAGGGCAAACAAUUUAGGCACAUUAGUCUGAGCAUAACGAAUACGUAAUUCAUCCCAAAUUGCCUUUGCAGAUUUCAUAUACUGAAUGCUAUUGCGAAUAGAUUCAGUCACAGAAUUAAGGAGCCAGGAUGUCACCAUAUUGUUACACCUGUUCCAAUGUCCAUACAAAUUGGAUGUAGAUGGAGGUGAAGUAUAAGUUCCAUCCACAAAACCGAUCUUAAACUUGGAAGAAAGAGCAAUAUCCAUGGCACGUUGCCACUGACUAUAAUUGUGUUCAUCAAGAAGCACAGUAGUAAGUAUCAAGCCUGGAUUAUCCGAAGGAUGAAUGUAGUAUGGAUGAUUAACAUCAAUUGCAGUUAUAGAACCUAUCGUAGCAGAUGAAUAGGACGCAACUGUAGACAUGACUAAAAACACAGAAUCACAGCAGAUUCAAGCAAGAUUUGGAGAGAAUCGUGUUGAUUAACACAAAUCACAGCACAAACAAGCAGUAAAUCACAACAACAAGUACCAGAAGAGCAAUUAAACCACGAAUUACACCUCUGAUCAAAGAACGAAAAACCAGAUCUGAAACAGCAGAAAAACCUAAAAAAAACACCAGAUGUGAGAUCAGAAAGAACGGCUUAUCUGAAGUCACAAAGGAGAUGCGGAAUGAUUAGACGCGAUCGAGACGCUCUGAUACCAUGUCACAACUGUAAACUAAAGCUAAUUAUGAAAGAAAGAAGACUCCAUUAAAGCUCUGUAAAAUGUGUUUGUACAUAGCUUUCUACUUUGUUUUUAUUCUACUUGAAUGAAAUGUAACACACAGAUAUCUAAUAUAUACACACCAACUCUGUAACUAACUUCUAAAACUAACUGCCACUACUUUGUUGAGCUGUCAUUUCGGGACCACAGCUGUCACUCUGUUUUUCCCGCUUCUUCUCUUGAUUCUUCUCACUACUAAUAUACUGAACAGUUGGGGUGAAUGAUUCCGGAAGGAUUGGAAUGAAAAAUGAACUAUGUUAUGGACAAUUGUUAAGAAAUUUCAUUCCUCCCUCCAUUCCAUUCCUUACAUCAUAUGUUAGAGAUCACAUCUUCAAUUUGAGAUGGAAUGCUUCAUUCUCUCCUACCCCCAAUUUCUUCUCAAAUCUCAUCAUAACAAUAUUACAUUCACUUAAUUUUUUUUAAAACUUCCCUCCUAUCACUAUUAGCUUCAAGUAAUUUUACUCAUUCUAUUCCAUUCCAUUCUUCGUAUCAACUACAUACUAGGGGUCGGACUAAAUACUCUGAGGAAUCAUCAUGACAUUGAAUAGUGAAGAAGAUUAUAACAGAAAAGAAACUGGAUUUAUAUAGCUUAAAAACACAAAAAGGGGCAUACCUUGAUCGAGAUUCUUUAUACGCAGAGCCGUAUUACCAUCAGGUCCGUCCAAAGAUUGAGCUGGGCAUGUUGUAGAGAUUAUCUCUACUAUAUCGUUGUACCCCUUUUCCACAGCUAUGUACAAUGGUGUUUUACCUUUAUGGUUUUGAACAUGUGUAUCACCUGGAUCGGCCUCUAGUAAUAGCUUAACAAUUGCAAUAUGAUUAUUGAUGACUGCUAUAUGUAAGGCAGUAUCCAUAUCUUUGUCACCGAGCCUAAGGAAAGCUUGAAAAGAAGUUACUGGAUUAUCAUUAGCUGAAGGAGGCAAAUAUCUAGCUGCAUCAAUUAGGGUCUCAGCCACUUCAGUGUGUACUUUAGACAAAGCCAAGUGAAGUGCAGUCUGUUUAAAUUUGUUAAGCUUGACCAGAAGGUUUUUUUCUGCAAACUCCCUCAAUAUAAACCGCACGUGUUCUGUAUUUCCGUUUUCGGACUCUGUGUGAAGGAUAGUUUCUUCGUAUCCGUUCAGUUUAUCAGCAUGCAUUUCCAACGCAGCUAUAGCAUCAGCAUCUCCAGCAAUGGCAGCGGCAUACAGAGCAUCUUUAUCCAUAAUCUUGUAGAGGCUUCCACCAGGGCUCUUAGCUAUAAAAAUAAAAAAGUGUCAAAUUAAACAGCGAAGAAGAUUUUAACAAAUGCAAAAUAGGUUUUAGCUUACAUAACAAAAAGAAGUAUAUAUCCCUAUAGAUAGUAUAUUAUUAUCUUUACAGAAAAGAGUGUUUAAAGAGCAUACCUUGAUCCAGAUUUUGAAUACGCACAACAGUACUACCAUGAGGUCCAAGCAAAGAUGGAGCAGUGCAAGUUGUAGAGAUGAUCUCUGCUAUAUCAUUGAGCCCUUCUUCCACAGCUAUGUACAUUGGUGUUUUAUCAUCAUCGUUUUGAAUAUGUGUAUCAGUCGGGUCGGCCUCUACUAGUAGCUUAACAAUAUCCAGGUGACCAUACUUGACUGCUGCGUGUAAGGCGGUGUCCAUGUCUUUAUCACCUUGCCUGAGAAAAGCUUGAAAAGAAGUCACUGAAUUAUCAUCACCAUCUGAAGGAGGAGGCGGCAAAUGGCGAGCUGCAUCAAUGAGGAUCUCAGCCACUUGUUUGUGUCCUCCUCGAUAUAUAGCUAAGUGUAGUGCUGAAUGCUUAUAUCUAGUAAGCUUAGUCAAAAGAUUUUUGUGUGGAAAUUCCCUCAAAAUGAAUCUCACACGUUCUGUAUUUCCCUUCUGGGAUUGCAGGUGAAGGAUAGUUUCUUCAUCUUGGAACAGUGUAUCAGCUUCCAUCUCCAAUUGAGCAAUGGCAGCAGCAUCUGCGGCCAUGGCAGCAUCGAAGAGAGUAUCCAGAUCCAUAACUAUAUCUUUACUCUACCACGGCUCCUGCCUGCUGGACUUUCUCGGAUUAUGAAAAUGCUAGUUAUGUAAUUGGAAGCUUGGUGUUGGCUUUAUAUCAACAAGAUGUUGACCAACCAAAAUGCUAAGUCGUGCUCAUGUAAAUUGGUUGUUGGGUUUGUUAACGAAGAUGCAUCAUAAUUUUGCAUCUCCGGCAAUGGCAGCGUCAUACAAAGCAUUCGUAGCCAUAGUUCUAUAUCACUGAUUGAAUCAGUCGAUUAAUGGAAGAAAAACUACAGGGGUGCUAAGUUAUGCAGAAUUACUUAUGGAAGCUGCAGCUUGGGCUGUGCUCUAAAAUAAGAUAUUAACUAACAAAUACUAUUAGCAAUCCGUUUCAUACGGCAUUGUAUAAUGGAACCGUUUGGGCAAAAUUAAAAAAAGUGACUUCUUGCUUAAACUAGAGAAGUGGAGCAGAAGUAAGAAGUAAAUAAGUGAAUAAAGUGUUUGGAAAAGAAGCAGAAGCUGUGAGAGAGAAGCUAUGAUUCUCAGCUUCUUAAAAGUGCUUCUUUACACGGGUCAACGAAAGCCGAAGCCAGAAGCAGCUUCUACUUCUGGCAAACAAACAGGCCCAAUAUCUACAAUCCCUGCUGCUGCAUGUGGCCAGGUAUGUAGUAGACUUUUCAGAUGAUUGGGUUGGAGGUAAAUAAACAAGUCCCCCACAUGUGAUAAGAACGAUACGAGUCUACCAUUACAUAACACAGGCUUGUCACCGAAAGUUCUGUACGAGCCCCGAGCUAACUAAUAUAAUCAAUAUCAUCGAAAAAUAAUAUCUUGUUGGUUGCAAAUUUAGCCUAUAAUUAUAACUAAUCCCGUCAAAGAUAGCUAUAAUAUAUCACUAUUCUAAUAUGUUUUUAAUUUGCAUGUCAUCCCAAAAAUGUCAACUGUAUAAAAAUUUAAUAAUGAUACGAUUCCCUAAUUAUUUACUUUCUGCAAAAGUCUCCUUGACUGAGUAUGCAAUUAUUGUGUCUAAACAGCUGCGUGCUUACUGAAAGUUUCAGAUUAAUUAACUUAUAAUCAAGAUUGAUUAUUACUUUCGACCUGUAACUACCUUUUUUUGUUUAAAAAUGUCGUUGCAUUGUGCAUAGCUACAACCGAGUCAAAUAAUUCAUUAACUAGCUCGGGAUGAAAUAGAGAGAGAAUGAAAAAAAUGUACUCUAAUAACAUCAUGUUAGAUUAGAAAAAUAUAUUUGAUUUUCAUUCUUUCAAUUAUUUCAUUGUUGCUAUUUUAAUUAAAAUUUUAACAUAUUUCAGAAGAAUUUUUAAGUAGUAUGAUAGACUCGGCCUAACUUCUGUCAAAUAUGUAUUACGACAUUAAUUAAGUUAAAGUAUAUAGCUAACUGGGUUGUUUGUGCUUGCAUAUAUGCCAAAAUAUGUAUAUAUUGCAAACCUAAUUUUACAAACUAAAAAUUAAACUCAACUGAAGGUAAGAUAUGUGGCAUUUUUUUGAUAGUAUGAUGAUAUAUGUGCUAGCAUUUGCAUUAGUACCCCUGCUUUGAGCUUCUACAUUGGCACCGCCACUGCUUCUUUUAAUCGGAUCAAUCACGUCAAUUUGUAGCACCGCCACUGCUCCUGAGUUUUUUCGUGCUUAGGGUUUUAGAGAAUCGAGCAGGAAGGGUAAGAUGGGUUUAUAGUAUAAUAACCCCACGUUUUGGUAUUAUUUGCUAACGCGGUAAGACAGAUUUACCGGAAGUUAGCAAGAACACCCAUAAUGCUUAAAAAUUAUAUUCACAGUGCAUUAUAUGGCUACUUUUAUUUUGUGGACAUUAAAGUGCAAAAAAAUUAUUUUAUAAGCCAACAAACUGCAAUUUACUCUAAUAUUUAUCACAAAAAAAUUAAACUCAUUCAUAUCUAGCGACUAUUAUCUCAUAAUUUCUUUUUGGGAAUUUAUCAAAUAUACUACUUUUUAGGAUCUUAUUUGCAAAAAUACCAUCUUCCUAAAUUAAUUGCAUAUUUACUAAACUAAGUUUCUAAAUUGCAAAAAUACUACCCCCUCCCCCCUGCAACUAAAUGCAACCUCAAAUACAACUGAAUGCCUGAUUUCAAGUUCCACUUUUCAAAUGUCAUUUUCGACCUCAUCCUUGGAAUCCAUAUAUAUAUAUAUAUAUAUAUAUAUAUAUAUAUAUAUAUAUGGAUUUCAAGGAUGAGGUCGAAAAUGACAUUUGAAAAGUGGAACUUGAAAUCAGGCAUUCAGUUGCAUAUGAGGUUGCAUUUAGUUGCAGGGGAGGGGGUAGUAUUUUUGCAAUUUAGAAACUUAGUUUAGUAAAUAUGCAAUUAAUUUAAACGUUUAAAUAUCAAAGUUUUAUUUAAAAAAAUUAAAAAAAUAUAUUAUGAAACCAUUAUUUAAAGGGAGUUUUUUCAUAAAUAUAUAGGAAAAAGUAAAUUUUUGCAAAUUUACUUUUCUCAAGAAUAGCUAUUUGCAGUUUUACUACACUAAAUUUCUAAAUUGCAAAAAUACUACCCCCCUCCCUUCUGCAACUGAAUGCAACCACGUGCAACUGAAUGCCUGAUUUCAAGUUCCAGUUUUCGUAAUGUCAUUUUCGACCUCAUCCUUGGAAUCCACACAUAUAUAUGUAUGGAUUCCAAGGAUGAGGUCGAAAAUGACAUUUGAGAACUGGAACUUGAAAUCAGGAGUUGCAGUUGCAUGUGGUUGCAUUCAGUUGCAGAAGGGAGGGGUAGUAUUUUUGCAAUUUAGAAACUUAGUGUAGUAAAACUGCAAAUAGCUAUUCUUGAGAAAAGUAAAUUUGCAAAAAUUUACUUUUUCCUAUAUAUUUAUGAAAAAACCCCUUUUUCCUACACAAAUUUUUAUAUAAUUUUUCAUUUCAUUGUCUACUCGUUCCAUUCUAUCCGGGUGAACACAACCUAAAAAUUUGAAUUUGGACAAAAUUUGUUCAAUAAAACUUUAUUUAACAAUGUUUGAUUGCUUUAAAUUUUGUUCAAAUUCAUUAAUAUAUCUUAACACCAUCCAAAACCAUACAUGUUUGUUAUCCUUCGAGGCCCCAUUCAUGUAAAGAGACUUUUGGAGCUAGUUGACAAUUGACAUGCAAAACAACCGGUUUCAUACGUCUAUCUGUCAUCUACUCACCACAAUAAUUGAUGUAAUUAUACCUAAGAGAUAAUCAAUCAUACUUGAGCAAAUUCGAAAAAAGUAAAAACAUAAAUUUUAUUUAUCAUUCCAUCCUCUUUAUAAAAGUCUCCUUUCGAAAUAAAAUUGGAUUAGUAGAGAAAAAUUUAUAUAUAAUCUUUCAAAUAUAUCGGUGUAUUUAUUAUUAUGUUAUUAUUUUUAAGAUAAUAACUAGGAGAAUUCAGAAUUGUUUGAUUUCUUCCCAUCUGUGUCCACUCCAUCUCCAAUUCAGCAUCAGGGACAACGCAGUCAUCGAAAGUCUGCCAGUUGAACAAGCUACACCAACUGUUGUAAACUCUUAAAUUUAAGUGAAAAAUUUCACAAGAAACUUUUUUGGGAGGACAUGAUGCUCCUAAUCCAACAUUACUUAAACAGAGGCUUGAUGAGUUGAUGUAUAGUUGUAUACUAAACCCGUUUACUGCGGCAAUUUCUAUUCUGGAGUCCACUGCUACAUGUGGCCACUAUCAUUUCUCACAACCUCAUUAGUUCCUAUUUAAUUAACUUAAACCAACUCUCUUGAUGGAUUUAAAAAGAGUAAAUUUCAAAGAUGUGGCUACAUUUUGUUGGAAAUAUUAAACUAUUAGCGCAACAAUGAGGCAGUUAUAUAUCAGGAAUUAAAAAGAACAGGCAAGGCACCAAAUAACGAAACAAUACACGAAGGCAAAACAGAAAUAUAAUCAGUACCUUAAAUCGACAAGAAAAGACAGAAAUCACUUAGCUUGCGAAGCUUUAUCAAAUACUGAUCAAAAUCAGAAUAACAGCUGAGUCGCCUAGCCCUUGAAAAGCCUAGACUAUUCUUGACACGAUAAUUGCCCCACUUACGCUGUGUUGGGUUGCAGCAAUAUCGCCUCCAGGAUAAAACAGAUCAGAUCAACUUGUUCACGGACACGCAAUUGAUCAACAGUGACCUGACCUCAGUUCGCCCAGAAAACCUAUGCAAUCUGUUCUGUAUGUAUUUUUGCAGAGAGAAAAUAGAGAAGAGUAGCAGCUAGGGUUUUUUAUCUUUUUGUUAUCAGUAUCUCUCACAAAACGUUUUGAUUCUGUAUAUAAUACAAAAUAAAACGUAACUGAAGAUAUGGCAUUAAUUACAAUAAAUAUUCUGACUUCAAUUGUUUUAUUUUAAUUGAAUAUAUAUCAGUACAUUCACCACUCAGGGGCACGUACAUUCACCACUCAGGGGCACGUACAUUCAUAUUAAAAUAAUAUUAUAAGUCAGGAUUUAUUUAAUUAAAACAGUGGUAAAAUUCCUCGCCCAGGUCGCCUCGUGUACGCGAGACGCCGAGACAUUCGCCCUUCGACCCGACCCGAGUCGAGGCGUGGCGGGGAGGCGGCGGCGGCGCGCGCGUGUGUGCGCGCGCGAGGCGCUCACUACAACCUUGCACACCCACAUGCCUUGGUAGUUGAACACUACACUUGCACAUGUACUAUAUAAAGCCACCAACCUCACUUUCCAAUAUCAAUGUGGGACUAACCCACAUACCAUAUUUUACCACUUUCAAGCUACUAACUUCAACUCAAUUUAUUUAUGGAUUACACUAAGAAAAUGUCUUAGAUCCAAACAUGAAAGUUUAAGUCCUCAUUACAAGGAACAACACCUCCAACAAUUAGAUUAAGGUAAUUCCAUCAAGAACCCAUAUAAAAUGAGUCUUAAAAUUUACCAUUUUCUAACAAUCCCCCACUAAUCCAUACAGAAAUGCAUAUCAGAUUUUAUCAUGACUUGUUUUUCAGAGUAGGUACCCUUCCGGGUUUGAACCCUCCUAAGUCCUCUACUUCGAUGGCUACCGGAUAUAGAUGGAAUAUUUCACCUUGAAUCUUUAUCCGUUUGGUGUAACCACACUCCAUAGACGACGACAAGUCAAAGGCUAUGGUACAGAUCUACGGCUUUGAGACGUUAAUGGUCGUGUCUCGAUCCUGUUCGACAAAUGUUUCAAGGAAUAACCCAUUCCUCUAAUUGCGACCACACAAUUACAUUCGCUUAGCUGGGCAUCUCCAAAGAUGUACUGCUAACUUCUCGUCAAAUGACUUGACCCCAUUCAGAGUUUUAAAAACUCUUGCUAUACAUGCAGUAACAGUACCUUUUAAGGUUUCCAGGGGAUAGACUCAAAUACAUAAGUAUCUAGCUAUAUGUAGUAAAGGUACUACCGAUCCAUCCUUACAACUUGUUAUUACCCCAUUGAAUACACUUCAAGGGAUCUCCUCUCAGGUGUAUUGGGUUCCCGCUGUAGAUGAACCAUGAUGGGUUACCAGUCCCAUCCCCAACCUCGACUUAAGGACUACAGCAUGCUCAAGCCCCUUAGUCAACGGGUCAGCUAUAUUAUCCUGAGUUCCAAUGAACUCUAUAGCUAUAACCCUAUCAGAAACAAGACCCCUUAUAGACUUAAGUCUAACUUGGAUGUGUCUCUUUGUCUUAGCGUUAUACUUUACACUUCUGAUCUUGUCAAUAGUUGUACGGCUAUCACAAUGAACAGAAAUGGCAGGAAGCGGUUUGCUUACUACAGGUAACAUUGACAUCAGUCCAUGUAACCAUUCAGCCUCCGUCCCCGUGGCAUCCAAUGCACACAACUCAGCCUCAAAAGUAGACCGAGUAAUCAAAGUCUGUCUAGAAGACUUCCAGGACACAGCUCCACCCGCUAGGGUAAACACAUAUCCAGUCACUCCAUUGGAACCGGAUUUCUUAGCUAUCCAACUUGCAUCACUGUACCCCUCGAGUACCCCCGGAAAUCUCCGGUAAUGCAAGCCAAGAGAAAUAGUUCCCUUGAGAUAUCUAAGAACUCUAUCCAGAGCCUCCCAAUGAGUCUUGUUCGGACAGCUUGUAUAUCUAGCUAACUUAGACACAGAAUAAGAAAUAUCUGGUCUAGUCACGUUAGCAAGAUAUUGCAAACUACCAAUAAUCUGAGACUACCUUAACUGAGACACAGGUACACCUGAACUAUUCUUGACAAGGGCCACUUUAGGAUCAUAGGGACAAUUUGAAUAACCAUACUUCUCAAGUAUAGAUUUCUCUACAUAAUGAGGCUGUGACAAGGUUAUUCCAUCAGUUGACCGUGUUAACUUAAUCCCAAGAAUCAUACUAGCCUCACCCAUAUCCUUCAUCUCAAAGUGCCUUUUCAAGAAACUCUUUGUCUCGUUAAUAAUCGCAAUAUUGGUUCCAAACAACAAAAUAUCAUCAACAUAUAAGCAUACAAUCACACAUUCAUUUCCUAUAACCUUAUAGUAGACGCACUUAUCACUUUCAUUAACUAAAAACUCGAAUGCUAAAACAGUUUCAUCAAACUUUUUAUGCCAGUCGAUAGGUGCUUGUUUAAGGCCAUAGAUGGACUUGACUAGUUUACAUACUUUCCUCUCGUUACCAGAAGCAAUAAAUCCUUCAGGCUGAUCCAUGUAAAUCUCUUCUUCAAGGUCACCAUGAAGAAAAGCUGUCUUUACAUCCAUUUGAUGGAUGAUAAGACCAUGCACAGAAGCCAAUGCUAUAAGCAGUCGGAUUGUUGUCAUUCUAGCAACAGGAGAGUAUGUAUCAAAAUAGUCUAUACCUUCUCUUUGCCUAAAACCCUUAGCAACUAGCCUCGCCUUGUACUUAUCUAUUGAGCCAUCUGGGUUCAACUUCCUCUUGAAGAUCCACUUACAUCCUAUAGUAGAACAACCAGGAGAGAGAUCGACUAACUCCCAUGUUCCAUUAGAAACAAUAGAGUCCAUCUCACUCUUUACAGCGCCUUUCCAAUGCCUUGACUCCGAAGAGUCCAUGGCUUGACGGAAAGUUAAAGGUUCAUCCUCGACAUUGUAAGUGAGAAAGUCACUUCCAAAGUCCUUGACUACCUUUGCACGCUUACUCCUUCUAGGUUCCUCUACUUCGUUAGGAGUAGAGCUACUACUAGGAUUCGCCCCCACAUUUGUCAUCUUUUCCACAUGAUCGGGAAUAGAACUCGAUGUGAGAGUCGGAUCAUCCUCAGAAUUACCCUGAGGUAUACCAGUCUUCAUAGGGAACACGUCCUCAAAGAACGUUGCAUCACGAAACUCAACUAUCGUAUUAGCCACAAUGCCGUCUAUGUCAGAUUUUAUAACUAAAAAUCUCAUAGCGGUUGUGGUCUCUAGAUAGCCCAAAAAGAUACAAUCAACAGUCUUAGGCCCUAGUUUCUUUCUCUUGUGUUCAGGUACAAGUAUCUUUGCAAGGCACCCUCACACACGAAGAUAAUUCAAACUAGUUUUACGUUUUCUCCAUAAUUCAUAUGGUGUCUUAUCCAUGUGUUUCAAAGGGACCCUAUUCAGAAUAUGGCAAGCCGUAUUCAGAGCCUCUCCCCACAUGUAUUUAGGCAACCCCGAAUUAAUCAACAUGCUGUUAAUCAUAUCUUUAAAAGUUCUGUUCUUUCGCUCUGCCACCCCAUUAGACUCAGGUGUGUAUGGUGGAGUAACCUCAUGAACUAUACCAUUGCUUGCGCAAAAUUCAUUAAACAAGUUACUUGUAUACUCACCACCUCUAUCAGAUCUCAAACGUUUAAGUACUUUGCUCGUUUGUGUUUCAGCUUCAUUUUUAAACAUAAUGAAUUUUUCUAGUGCUUCAUCCUUAUGUUUAAGCAGAUAAACAUAACAAUAUCUACUAUAAUCAUCUAUAAAGGUAAUGAAAUAUCUAUAAUGAUCCAUAGUCAAAACACCACCAAAUUCACAUAUGUCUGUGUGCACUAAAUCUAACAAUUCAGAAUCCCUAACAACAUUAUGAAAAGGUUUCUUUGUUUGUUUAGCAGUCACACAUACUUGACACUUAGAUUUCUUAUCAAUGGAAUGCUUUGGAAUCAACUCUAAAUUCAUCAUAUUCUUUAGAGCACCAAAAUUUAAAUGACCAAGUCGUGAGUGCCAUAAAUCAGAUGAUUCAACACAAUUAACAGAAGGAACAUUAAUAAAACCACCCAAAACGGGUUCCACAUUUAUCACAAAUAAACCAUCCGACAAGUAACCCUUGUCAACAAAUGUACCAGUCUGAGUAAUCACAACUUUAUUACAUUUAAAAGAAAGUUCAAAGCCAUUUUUAACUAAAUAGCUUCCACUUAUAAUAUUUCUAUGAAUAGAAAGAACAUGAUGCACUCUAGUGAGGGUCAGAACACGCCCAGAAGCAAACUUCAGGUCCACAUUUCCAAUUCCUAGCACUUGAGCAGCACUUGCAUUCCCCAUCCUCACUGUCACUCCAUGACACUGUUGAUAAGAUACAAAGAGAGUAAUAUCAGCACAAAUAUGCACAUUAGCUCCUGUAUCAAUCAACCAUUCAUGAGACAGAUAAGCGGAAAACAGUUCAGGGUUGUAGGCAACAUACCCGUCAUUGGUUUCAGAGGCAACAAUCUCACCAACAACCAUGUUAUCCACAGGCCCACUCGUGGUUCCAAGCACAGUAUUAGCCUGAGCUACCACACCAGCUUUCUUAGCUUUCUUCAUGGGACAGUACUUGCUCCAAUGACCAACCUGUCCACAAGACCAACAUGGCUUGUUUGCCUUUGGUUUCUUAGCCUUGUUCUUGUCAUUCUUAGGUUUAUCCUUCUUAGUGACAGAUUUCCUUUUCUGUCCUACAGUUACUACGUUCACCUUUGAACUACUCCCAUGCUCAGCAGGCAUCACAUGUCCUUGUUUGGACUUGUGCUGCUCCUGCACAGAGAUGUCCAACAUCAGAUUAGUCCAAGUGAUCUCUCCUUUCUGUCUUUUCAGGGAGAGAGCAAAUUCUUCCCAAGACUUUGGGAGUUUUUCAAUCACGGACAUAACCUGAAACUUUUCAGGCAGGUCCAUUCCGGACUCCUUCAAAGCAUGCACCAACAUCUCAAAUUCAUGCACCUGUUCCGUCAUGGAUUUUCCAUCCACCAGCUUGAAAUCAAGAAACCUCGCCACACUAUACUUCUCAAGACCUUGAGAAUCAGUAUUGUGGGUUUGGUCCAGCUUCUCCCACAAAAGCUUAGCAGUAUAGGCAUCCGAUGAAUAUACAUCGAAUAGAGUGUUCGCUAACGCUGCCAAAAUAGCAGCCCUAGCCACCCCAUCCUUUUCAGCCCACAAAGCAUAAACCUUUGCAGAAUCAGCCUUCUCUUGAUCCACAACAGGAGGAUCAUACUGCACCACUGGCCAUAAGCCCUUAACCGUUAACCAGAGCUUCAUCUUUUUCUGCCAACGAGAAAAGGAAGCCCCCCCGUUGAAUUUAUUAGGCAUGCCCGAUAAAUCAAUAGGCUGAGGGAAACGGUACGUAGCCCAAUCAAUGGCAGCAAUACCACCAGAACCAGAACUAGAAGCACCAAGAACAGUCACAGGAGUUCCAGUUUCGUUAACCAUCUUGCUAAUAACUAUAUAACACAAAUUAUCGUUUCAAGAUUGUUGGAAAUAUUAAACUAUUAGCGCAACAAUGAGGCAGUUAUAUAUCAGGAAUUAACAAGAACAGGCAAGGCACCAAAUAACGAAACAAUACACGAAGGCAAAACAGAAAUAUAAUCAGUACCUUAAAUCGACAAGAAAAGACAGAAAUCACUUAGCUUGCGAAGCUUUAUCAAAUACUGAUCAAAAUCAGAAUAACAGCUGAGUCGCCUAGCCCUUGAAAAGCCUAGACUGUUCUUGAAACGAUAAUUGCCCCACUUACGCUGUGUUGGGUUGCAGCAAUAUCGCCUCCAGGAUAAAACAGCUCAGAUCAACUCGUUCACAGACACGCAAUUGAUCAACAGCGACCUGACCUCAGUUCGCCCAGAAAACCUAUGCAAUCUGUUCUGUAUGUAUUUUUGCAGAGAGAAAAUAGAGAAGAGUAGCAGCUAGGGUUUUUAUCUUUUUGUUAUCAGUAUCUCUCACAAAACGUUUUGAUUCUGUAUAUAAUACAAAAUAAAACGUAACUGAAGAUAUGGCAUUAAUUACAAUAAAUAUUCUGACUUCAAUUGUUUUAUUUUAAUUGAAUAUAUAUCAGUACAUUCACCACUCAGGGGCACGUACAUUCACCACUCAGGGGCACGUACAUUCAUAUUAAAAUAAUAUUAUAAGUCAGGAUUUAUUUAAUUAAAACAGCGGUAAAAUUCCUCGCCCAGGUCGCCUCGCGUACGCGAGACGCCGAGACAUUCGCCCUUCGACCCGACCCGAGUCGAGGCGUGGCGUGGCGGCGGCGGCGGGCGCGUGUGUGCGCGCGCGAGGCGCUCCCUACAACCUUGCACACCCACAUGCCUUGGUAGUUGAACACUACACUUGCACAUGUAUUAUAUAAAGCCACCAACCUCACUUUCCAAUAUCAAUGUGGGACUAACCCACAUACCAUAUUUUACCACUUUCAAGCUACUAACUUCAACUCAAUUUAUUUAUGGAUUACACUAAGAAAAUGUCUUAGAUCCAAACAUGAAAGUUUAAGUCCUCAUUAAAAGAACAACCUCCAACAAUUAGAUUAAGGUAAUUCCAUCAAGAACCCAUAUAAAAUGAGUCUUAAACUUACCAUUUUCUAACAAUCCCCCACUAAUCCAUACAGAAAUGCAUAUCAGAUUUUAUCAUGACUUGUUUUUCAGAGUAGGUACCCUUCCGGGUUUGAACCCUCCUAAGUCCUCUACUUCGAUGGCUGGAUAUAGAUGGAAUAUUUAACCUUGAAUCUUUAUCCGUUUGGUGUAACCACACUCCAUAGACGACGACAAGUCAAAGGCUAUGGUACAGAUCUACGGCUUUGAGACGUUAAUGGUCGUGUCUCGAUCCUGUUCGACGAAUGUUUCAAGGAAUAACCCAUUCCUCUAAUUGCGACCACACAAUUACAUUCGCUUAGCUGGGCAUCUCCAAAGAUGUACUGCUAACAUCUCGUCAAAUGACUUGACCCCAUUCAGAGUUUUAAAAACUCUUGCUAUACAUGCAGUAACAGUACCUUUUAAGGUUUCCAGGGGAUAGACUCAGAUACAUAAGUAUCUAGCUAUAUGUAGUAAAGGUACUACCGAUCCAUCCUUACAACUUCUUAUUACCCCAUUGAAUACACUUUGAGGGAUCUCCUCUCAGGUGUAUUGGGUUCCCGCUGUAGAUGAACCAUGAUGGGUUACUAGUCCCAUCCCCAACCUCGACUUAAGGACUACAGCAUGCUCAAGCCCCUUAGUCAACGGGUCAGCUAUAUUAUCCUGAGUUCCAAUGAACUCUAUAGCUAUAACCCUAUCAUAAACAAGACCCCUUAUAGACUUAAGUCUAACUUGGAUGUGUCUCUUUGUCUUAGCGUUAUACUUUACACUUCUGAUCUUGUCAAUAGUUGUACGGCUAUCACAAUGAACAGAAAUGGCAGGAAGCGGUUUGCUUACUACAGGUAACAUUGACAUCAGUCCAUGUAACCAUUCAGCCUCCGUCCCCGUGGCAUCCAAUGCACACAACUCAGCCUCAAAAGUAGACCGAGUAAUCAAAGUCUGUCUAGAAGACUUCCAGGACACAGCUCCACCCGCUAGGGUAAACACAUAUCCAGUCACUCCAUUGGAACCGGAUUUCUUAGCUAUCCAACUUGCAUCACUGUACCCCUCGAGUACCCAUAGAAAUCUCCGAUAAUGCAAGCCAAGAGAAAUAGUUCCCUUGAGAUAUCUAAGAACUCUAUCCAGAGCCUCCCAAUGAGUCUUGUUCGGACAGCUUGUAUAUCUAGCUAACUUAGACACAGAAUAAGAAAUAUCUGGUCUAGUCACGUUAGCAAGAUAUUGCAAACUACCAAUAAUCUGAGAAUACCUUAACUGAGACACAGGUACACCUGAACUAUUCUUGACAAGGGCCACUUUAGGAUCAUAGGGUGUACUUGCGAUUCUAUAAUUUGAGUAACCAUACUUCUCAAGUAUAGAUUUCUCUAUAUAAUGAGGCUGUGACAAGGUUAUUCCAUCAGUUGACCGUGUUAACUUGAUCCCAAGAAUCAUACUAGCCUCACCCAUAUCCUUCAUCUCAAAGUGCCUUUUCAAGAAACUCUUUGUCUCGUUAAUAAUCGCAAUAUUGGUUCCAAACAACAAAAUAUCAUCAACAUAUAGGCAUACAAUCACACAUUCACUUCCUCUAACCUUAUAGUAGACACACUUAUCACUUUCAUUAACUAAAAACUCGAAUGCUAAAACAGUUUCAUCAAACUUUUUAUGCCAGUCGAUAGGUGCUUGUUUAAGGCCAUAGAUGGACUUGACUAGUUUACAUACUUUCCUCUCGUUACCGGAAGCAAUAAAUCCUUCAGGCUGAUCCAUGUAAAUCUCUUCUUCAAGGUCACCAUGAAGAAAAGCAGUCUUUACAUCCAUUUGAUGGACGAUAAGACCAUGCACAGAAGCCAAUGCUAUAAGCAUUCGGAUGGUUGUCAUUCUAGCAACAGGAGAGUAUGUAUCAAAAUAGUCUAUACCUUCUCUUUGCCUAAAACCCUUAGCAACUAGCCUCGCCUUGUACUUAUCUAUUGAGCCAUCCGGGUUCAACUUCCUCUUGAAGAUCCACUUACAUCCUAUAGUAGAACACCCAGGAGGGAGAUCGACUAACUCCCAUGUUCCAUUAGAAACAAUAGAGUCCAUCUCACUCUUUACAGCGCCUUUCCAAUGCCUUGACUCCGAAGAGUCCAUGGCUUGACGGAAAGUUAAAGGUUCAUCCUCGACAUUGUAAGUGAGAAAGUCACUUCCAAAGUCCUUGACUACCUUUGCACGCUUACUCCUUCUAGGUUCCUCUACUUCGUUAGGAGUAGAGCUACUACUAGGAUUCGCCCCCACAUUUGUCAUCUUUUCCACAUGAUCGGGAAUAGAACUCGAUGUGAGAGUCGGAUCAUCCUCAGAAUUACCCUGAGGUAUACCAGUCUUCAUAGAGAACACGUCCUCAAAGAACGUUGCAUCACGAAACUCAACUAUCGUAUUAGCCACAAUGCCGUCUAUGUCAGAUUUUAAAACUACAAAUCUCAUAGUGGUUGUGGUCUCUAGAUAGCCCAAAAAGAUAUAAUCAACAGUCUUAGGCCCUAGUUUCUUUCUCUUGUGUUCAGGUACAAGUACCUUUGCAAGGCACCCCCACACACGAAGAUAAUUCAAACUAGUUUUACGUUUUCUCCAUAAUUCAUAUGGUGUCUUAUCCAUGUGUUUCAAAGGGACCCUAUUCAAAAUAUGGCAAGUCGUAUUCAGAGCCUCUCCCCACAUGUAUUUAGGCAACCCCGAAUUAAUCAACAUGCUGUUAAUCAACAUGCUGUUAGAAAAUUUACCAUUUUCUAAUGGAUUUUACACCAAUUCACAUUUUUGUGGCUGUACUUUAAAAAUAGCAAAAAUGUAGCCAAAAUUCUUCUCUGCCUUUCAAAAAUGUGGCUGCCGUCAAGUCCACUCUAACAAAUUUAACGGACGGUGGGAUAUUUCUGUUUUUUUUUAAUUUUCUGCAACGAUCAAAACAGUAUCAUCAGAACUCAAAUACUGAACAACCAAAGCAAGUUGGUGCAUAAUUUCAUCAUUCAAUCAACAUAUUUCUUGUUGAGUAACUUCGAUUCAUAAAUAAUAAAAUCAGACACUCUAUCUGAAAAGUCACUGCACAACCAACAAACCCCAAUCUUUUUGCGUGAAUUUAUAAAUACACACAUAAUACAUACAAUCACGGCGGCGACGGCGAUAAUGAGCCAGCACGGUCUCGUUGAAAGCCUCUCGCACAUUCACAUCACUGUACUCUCUUCUUUUCUCACCCUCUAAUUUCACUUUGAUUAACUGUAUAUACAACUAUGUGUUUUUCCUGUGUGUAUAUACGUUUGUAGGUUGGUAAAACUAUCAUCUUCAUUUGAUAAGGUUGUGAUUGAGGCCUAAUUAUCGAGCUAUAGAGGUUCUGAAUGUUGGAAUUUGUUCGUGAUUACCGUAACUCAGCAUGUUCGUGAUUACUGUAACUCAGCAUUUUAGUUUUUUAUUCUAAAUUUCUUUUUAUCUCAUAAAUACCCCUCCUAUUAGAUCCGUUAGUGUGGACUUGACAGCAGCCAUAUUUUUUCUAUUUUUAAAAUUCAGCCACAAAAAUACGAAUUGGUGUAAAAUGUAGCCACACCCUUGAAUUUUGCUUAUUUAAAAAUAAUAAUCAUACUAAUCAUUUUUACUCCAGGAAGAGCCAAUUUGACCUGACCUUGAAUAAAGAGUAAACCUCAAGGGUGUGGCUGAAGUUUACACCGAUUUUCAAGUUUGUGGCCGAAUUUUAAAAAUUACAAAAGCGUGGUUGGAGUUCGCCUCCGCCUUUUAAAACUAUGGCUUCCGUUAAAUGCCCUCUAACGGAGCUAACGGAAUUGAGGGUAUUUUUGGAUUUUUCGAAAUUCUUCUCUUCUCCCCUUUAUUUUCUCAACCGAUGCGCCGCUGUCCUCUCUUCCCCUUCUAAACUUCUCAUUUCUCUCUUUUUCCUCCCUCUCCACAAGUAGUUACUGCAACUACACAUCUCGAAAUUCAAACUCUCUGAAAAUCAACAGGAGAUACAUAAAUAUUAACAUAGAAAGUGAUUAGCAAUUCGCAGACAUAUAUACAAGUAAAUAAAAAAAGAGAAUGAGAGAGAGAGGGAGAGGGAGGGAGGGAGAGAGAUGACCUGUAUUCCCAAGUUUGAAAGCCAGAUUUGUAAAUAAGAAAGUGAAGCGGCUCCCAGCAAUUGAAGACUUCAUCGGAAUCGUGAAUGAUAUUGGUAGUAGCGCUCAUAUAUCUAAGCAUGCCUAGGGCAAGUACAGGUAACAGAAACCCUAGCCCCUUGUCCUCCUCGCCGUCAUAAACUCUCCCUGGGUCAUCUAGGCUAAACUCCGGCACCGCCACCACCAUCGAAUUCACCCUUCACCACUCUAUUCUUGCCAUCGUGUUCACGGUCUCCAACCCCGACUCCCUGCUCAGCCCCCUUCCUUGUAUCUUUCUCACGCAGCAGUGACGCUACAACACAACCGGUGGUUGUUCACGGCAAACACCUCUGCAACCCACCAUACCAACGACCACUUGAUAGCCCUCAAUCUCAUCUCAAAUUCAAGCGUGGAUUUUGAAUCCCAAUCGCCAACCCUAGUUCUCGAUCCUCCGUUUUUCACCGCCGCUCGUGCCGCCCCCUUUGUUUCUUCCUCUUUUCCCCAAACAAUUUUAUUUAUAUAUUUUUACAUAUCCACCCCUUUAUUUAUUUAAUUUUAAGUGAGUUAACGGCUAAAAUCUAACGGACUUAACGGCAGCCAAAGUUUUAAAAGACGGAGGCGAACUCGAGCCACGCUUUUGUAAUUUUUAAAAUUCAGCCACAAACUUGCAAAUCAGUGUAAAUUUCAGCCACACCCUAGAAAUUUACUCUUGAAUAAAUUCAGUUGUAUGAAUGCAUCGAUCACAAAUUACAAUUAUAUUACAUGAAAAUACAACUAUCACGUCUCACAACUAGGGCUGUAAAUGAGUUGAUACGCUCGAUAACCGCUCGGUGUUCGGUACACUAGAGUUCGACUCGAUAGUUCACGAGCCAAGUUCACGAACUCAUAAACAUGGCUCGUGGAUGUGGGAGUUUCAUUAAUGAAUGAUUUGUUCUGAAUUUAUGAUUUCUUAUAGAAUAAAUUAAAAUAUUGUUGGGAUUUUAAUUUAUUUUUUUUUAAUUAGAUUAAAUAACAAACAAGCUCGUAAAUAAAUUUACGAGUAUAAGCUAGCUCGUUAGCAAAGUUUAUUGAACAAGCUCGUGAACAAAAUUAAUGAACGGUUGGUAAGCAAAAAUUCGUGGGAUAUGUCCGUGAGCGUAAGUUAAUGAGCGGUUCGUGAGCAAAAGCUCAUGAGACAAGCUCGUGAGACAUGUUCGCAAGCGGUUCGCGAGCCGUCCGUGAACAUAGUUAUUCCUUAAUGAGUCGAUACUCAAACAAUAUUUUUGGCUCGAUCCAAGCUCGAGCACGAGUUCGCUAAUUUUUUAACAAACGAUACACGAGCACUCUAGAGUUCGGCUCGGCUCGGCUCAUUUACACCCCUACUCACAACCUGCAAGUUGUCUUAACUUAAACUAAGAAGGUGUUUUGUAGUGACUGGAAUAAAAUGAAAUUCGUAAUCUGAAAUGAGGUGAUUAAACAAAGUGUUUAAAAUUUUAACUUUACUAAUUGUUUCAUUCAAAAUUAUUGAAUUUUAAAUUUAACCGAAUGUUUUGAAAAAAAUUAGUCAUUUCACUUGUUUUUCAUGUUUCUCUCAUGUUUCUAUGCGGUCUAUAUUAUAAAUAGAGUUGGGCUCUGUGGAGACUCAAUUUUAUUGGAGACUUGGAGACCACAUCUCUCACCACUAAUUUAUAUAUCUAUUCAAUGGACACGAUUAAAGAUACAGUAAUUUGCUUUUAUAUCAAUGAUCACAUCACGUGCAUUUAAUAUACGUAUUUAUAGUCAACAUUAUCAUCAAGGGGAAAGCAGUAAACUAAAUUACGAGAGAAGGGAAGAUGAGAAAUAUAUAUCACGGAUAUCCAAAAUCCCGCGCUUCCGUCAACACAAUGAAAAAUUGUAAGUUAUUACAAACUUAUUAAACAAUAAAGUAAAAGAGAAAUAAAAUGAGAAGAUGAUUAUGGAACAUAUUUAUACUCCCGAUGAGUGCAGGAUGAAGUUAAAAUUAGAUGAGAAGAGUGAAUAACAUCAAUUUGGGAGACAAUGUGAAUUUAAAUUAGGAGGGGAAAAAAUACAGGACAACCAAAGGCAAAUUAGAAGGUGGACAGGACAACCACAACUAAAUUAGAAGGUGGAAGAAUAGAAUUUUGCAUUCAACAAAAAGGUUGCAGAACAAAGAGAUGAUACAGUGUUUGUUUGUGGAACAUAUAUAUAGUUUCAAUUGGUGCAAGAUGGAGAUAAAAUUAGAUGAGAAGGGUGAACAAUAUUAUAAUGGGAGACAAUAUGAAUUUAAUUCAGGAGACAAGAUAAAAAAUGCAGGACAACGAGGACAACGAGUUUCUAGAGAAGAUAAUAUUAAUUUUGAAUUAUCUAAAAAGAGGGAUGAUAGACAAGCAGUGCGGCUAACUUAACUGGCAAUUCACAACAAGGUAGAAGGAUAACAUUUUAAAUUCAACAGAAAAGUUGCAGAACAAAGAGAUGGUAUAAUAUUCUAACAAACAAAAGACGUAGUUAUACGAUUUCUAUGAUAAGAAAACUGGUCAAUGCAUGAUGAUCAUCUGUUUCGAAAUCCUGUAAUAUUUUUGGUACUAAUUGCCACCAUUAGAUAUGCCAUAUAUACAUUUUGUUGUAUUUAAUUGAAUGUUAUUAAAAUAAUUAUUGUUUUGAUUGUAGACCGCUAGAUUAAAGAUUGUUGGACGGUUUAGAUGAUGGUCUCCAAUACUCCAAAAAAAGAGUACUCCAAGGAACUUUACUCAUUAUAAAUAAUUUAAAUUUAUUCAUACUUAAUCACUACUUUUUUCAUUCCUUCUUUUUUAUAUAAUUUUUUUAGUUCAUGCUCUCCGCGUUACAUUGUGAACACAACUUAAUUGUUAUGUCGUAAUGUCGACCUAUUCUUUUUUGAAAAAUCUGAUUAAAUAAUUAACUAGAAUUAAUUAUUAAUUAACAAAAUUUAAUCAAUCAAUUAAUACAUAAUUUAAUUGACCAACUAAAAUAAUUAAUUAAUAAUUUAAAUUAAUAAAAUAAAAAAUUAGCAUUUGUUUUUGAAUUUAUAAAACAUGAAAAGUAUUUUUGAAAUUAAAACAAAUAAUCAAACAUCAAUUCUUUUUUUUUUUUGAAACAAAGGUGUUAAUCUAAUAAUAGAAAGUCAUACGGCAUCUACACCAAUGAUCGAGUCGAACAAACUGGAAAUUGCAAUCGCCUGUUCUCAUGGAGAGACAGUUAAACGAUAUUUUGAAGAUAAAGCAUAUACAAAUACAAAUACCCGCUUCAUGCAUCCUGGUUGAAUCACCGAUACCCUCUUCAUCAUGCCCUAAUAGAGCUAUCGUUUGAGCUAUCGACCAGAAUUGCGAUUUCAUACAAACUUUCAUCAUCAAAUCAACACACCCGCUUACAAUGAAGAAGCGAAAACAAAACUCUCACAAGGGAGAGAAAACAAUCUAGAUCUGGAGCGAAACAACAAAAACAAGAGAAAUCAGACUGAAAAUCCACCCGAUUGAAACAGAUAGGAAAGACGACGAAAUCUCCGAUGGUUUUAGAUCUAAGAAUCUUCCCGAGAAUAGAUCUGGAACAGAACCACAAAAACAAGAGAAAUCGGACUAAAAACCCACCCACUUGGAAGAGAGACAGCAAAAUCUCCGAUGGUUUUAGAUCUAAGUUUUCGGAGAAGAAGUAUUAUUCGAAAACUAGGAAGAAAACAAAGUAAUUAACUGAUUUGGGGCUUUCCACCGGUGAAAACCGAUGGAAGCCCCAGGCGGCUACGACAAAAGAGAGGCUAGACUAUAAAGAGAAUUAGGGUGAUGAUAUUGACGUGGGUAAUGUCAGAGACAAAAAUGCAAAUAUUACUCCAAUCAAAUAUCAAUUUUAAAAAUUAAAUUGAAAAGAUUUAAAUUGUAAGAUUGUAAAAGUAUUAACGGAGGGUACAUGUUCUUUACGUUAUUUUUUUCCCGUGUUUUGAGACUCUAAUAAAAUGUAGUUUCAUAAUAUAUUUUUUAAUUUUAUUUCUCUUGGAAAAAUAUUGACGUUUAAACUUUUAUUCAAUAUAUAAAAAAACCUUAUAGAACUUUACUCAAUGGGACCGAGGAAGUAAGAUACAGGGUAUCAAUGGCCCUGUUUGGGCAACGGAAGUUGCUCCUGAAAUUAAACACCUAGAGGGGGGGUGAAUAGGUGUUAUGGCUAAUAUGACCGAUUUUUAAUGUUACCGAAUAUUUAUACUGUCACAGACAGCUUGCUGUUAAUUUCAGAGUAAACAGUCAGCUAGCUAACAAUGCAGAUGCAAUGCAAAACAGAUAUAAUCAGUAAGCUAGCAACACAGAGAAUUUUAGCCAGGUUCGACCCCUAACCCUAAUGGUCUACGUCCUGGUCCCCUACCAACUGGUAAGAGAUUAUAUUAUUAAUCAAUAAUGUUAACGAUUACAAUGAUUCAAUAAUAUAACUCCCUUUAUCCCUUGUUCCUGUUAUCAGCUUGCUGAAACCCCUGAACCACGAACCAAAAGCUCUCCAAGACCUAUACUUCCCAAGUAUACUCUUCUAGCUAACUAGUCCCCUUGUUCCCUUGUUUCACAAGCUCGAUACACAGCAACAAACCUUUACACUUUGAACAAUACAAUGUAUGAGUGUAAUACAACCGAAACUAUGAACUCAAUAUAGAUAUAUAAUCAAAUAUAAGUACUAGAGCUCAAGUAAAGAUUUUGCAAUGUAAGUGUGUUGUAUUUCAGAAGCUUGAAGUGUGUUCUUGUUUUCUACCAAAACGGAAACCACACUCAAGUUUAUAUACCAUCAUUCCAAACGGUCAUAACUCAACAAACUAUCCAACGUUCUUGGCCCAACAACCUCACGUUUAAUUUGCUUGAAUAAUGAACGUUUGAACGAUGUAUUUUUACUGAGUAAAAGCAUAAAGACGUUUGAAACAACUCAGUAAACGUUUGUUUAUAAAACAAAACAGUUUGAAUAGAAGUAGGAGUCUAAAAGGAUAAACAAGGUUUGAAAUCAACUCCUAUAUUUUAGGAAAACGAUUUUGAAUAAAACUCUUUGAUAAAAGAUGAGCUCUAAUAUUUAUAUACUGUAUAUAUAUGUAUUAGAGUCCUCACAAAACGUUCCCUAACAAAUCUCCUUGAAAAUAGGACUUGAUCUUUAUCCGAUAAGCAUCCUGUCAGUACGCUGUGAGCUUGCUGAUAGUCUGUCAAUAUUCCUGUAAGCUUGCUGACAGAACAAUGAUAACUUCAAAAGACAUUAGCUGUUAGCACAGUUAUAAUCUAGUUCUCAGCUAGCUACCAGAGUACAGUUUUAUGUUAUCAAGUUGCUGUUAGUGUGAUCAUCAAAAUCUCGAGAGUAUCAAUCUCCCCCUUUUUGAUGAUUACACUAUAUUUAGGAAAGUAAUAAUACUCCCCCUGAAUAUAGCAAUCUUAUAACAUUAAACUAUACAACAAAUAUAACAUUCACAACACAAACCAAGUUCCUAAAUUUUCUCCCCCUUAAUCAUCAAAAGGGUAGAAAAUCAAGCAUCGUCAUCGAGAUCACAAAAAUUAUCCAAAUCAGCACAUAAUNNNNNNNNNNNNNNNNNNNNNNNNNNNNNNNNNNNNNNNAAUUUAUGAAGUAAAAUUAACACGAAACUCUUGAAAUGACCAGCAUGCAAAAAUAAUUAACAAUAUGUAAAGUACAGAGAGUAAGCUGAUAGUACCCGGACCAAGCUUAUUAGCUUGCUGACUGCACAUCACACAUACCCAAUUCCCUUCUCAGCACAACAUAUCUUUGUUCAGGAAGAGGUUUUGUGAAAAUGUCAGCUAGCUGAUCUGCUGUAGCCACAAAAAUCAGCUUGACAGCACCUUUUGCAACAUUGUCUCUCAGAAAAUGAUGUCGAACAUCAAUAUGCUUUGUCCUUGAAUGAUUGACUGGAUUUUCUGAAAUGUUGAUUGUACUUGUGUUGUCACAAAAGAUAGGAGUUUGCUUGCAUUUGAUUCCAAAGUCCUUCAAUUGUUGUCUCAUCCAUAGCAUUUGAGAGCAACAGCUACCAGCUGCUAAAUACUCCCCCUCAGCCGUAAAUAGAGCAACUGAAGUUUGCUUCUUGCUUAACCAAGAAACUAAGCUUUGACCCAAAAAUGCACAAACACCACUUGUACUUUUUCUAUCAGUUUGACUACCUGCAUAAUCUGCAUCACUAUAUCCAACAAGAUCAAAAGCAUUUGUGAUAGGAUAGAAUAAACCCAAACUAAUGGUUCCACUUAAAUAUUUAAAUAUUCUUUUAACAGCUUGUAAGUGAGAAUCCUUUGGUUUUGCUUGAAAUCUAGCACAAACACAAACACUAUACAUAAUAUCAGGUCUAGAGGCUGUAAGAUAAAGUAAACUACCAAUCAUACCUCUAUACAUUCGAAUAUCAACAUCUUUACCAUUUUCAUCUGCUGUCAGCUUGCUGACAACGCUCAUUGGUGUUGAUUUCGCCUUGAUAUUCUCAUAUCCAAAUCUUUUGAGUAGAUUCCUGAUAUACUUAGAUUGAUGCACAUAAAUUCCUUCUGGAGUUUGCUUAAUUUGGAGCCCCAAGAAAUAAUUGAGCUCUCCCAUCAUGCUCAUGUCAAACUCACUAUGCAUGCACUUUGAAAACCACUUACACAAAGAAUCAUUAGUAGAUCCAAAUAUAAUAUCAUCCACAUAUAUUUGAACAACUAAUAUAUCUUGACCUUUAAAGAUAGUAAACAAAGUAGGAUCAAUUUUACCUCUAAUGAAACCAUUUUUGAUCAAAAAUUCACUUAACCUUUCAUACCAUGAUCGAGGUGCUUGCCUUAAUCCAUAUAGUGCCUUCUUGAGCUUGUAGACACGGUUGGGAUAUUUUUCAUCCUCGAAUCCUGGUGGUUGCUUGACAUAGACUUCUUCCUUUAGAUAUCCAUUUAAGAAUGCACUUUUGACGUCCAUUUGAUGUAGCUUGAACUUCUUGUAGCAUGCAAAUGAUAAUAGCAUCCUAAUAGAUUCCAAUCUUGCAACCGGAGCAUAUGUUUGAUCAAAAUCAAUUCCUUCUUGCUGAUUGUAUCCUUGUGCAACAAGUCUAGCUUUAUUCCGAGUGAUAGUACCAAAUUCAUCAACUUUAUUCUUGAAUACCCAUUUGGUUCCAACAAUUGAAGCAUCCUCUGGUAGAUUUACAAGUUCCCAAACAUCACAUCUUUCGAAUUGGUUGAGUUCUUCUUGCAUUGCCAUGAUCCAAUUUUCAUCUUGUAAAGCUUCUUGAACAUUCUUUGGUUCCUCUUGAGCUAUGAAGGCAGCAUAAGCACAAAUGUUGGCUUGAGCUUUCCUUGUCUUGAUUCCAGCUGAUUUAUCUCCAAUGAUCAACUGAGGAGGAUGAUUCUUCACUGUUCUAGUUGAUUUUGGUAGAUUAUGUUGAGCUAUGACCUCUUCAUUCCUUGUAGUCUGCCUAGGAGGAGUCUGAUCAACAACAUUUUGGCUUGCUGAUGAAGUUUGACCUCUGGAUUCGUCCAAUGUGAGCUUUGACAUCUUAUCCAAAGUUUCUUCAAGAGAUGGAGUGGAUUCAGUAGCUUUAUUGCCUUCUGAAGUUGUGGCAGUUGACUUGUCAGCUUGCUGAUUUCCAGUUUCCUUCACUGUCAGCUUGCUGCUAGUACCUGUACCUGCACAUUCUUCCUCAUCCCUUGCAAGAUCAUCAGUAGACUCUUGAAAUGAAACAUCAAUAGACUCUUCAACAGUAUGUUUAGCAAGAUUAUACACUCUAUAAGCACGACUUGUUAAAGAAUAGCCCAAAAAUAUAGCUUCAUAAGAUUUAGAAUCGAAUUUACCAUCCCUAUCAAUGGUUUUGAGUACGAAGCACUUAGAUCCAAAAACCUUGAAAUAGCUGAUAUUAGGCUUCUUUUUCCUUAGCAAUUCAUAAGGAGUCUUGUUGAGAAUUGGCCUGAUAAGCACUCUGUUAAGAACAUAGCUUGCUGUGUUGACAGCUUCUGCCCAAAAGCUUCUUGGCAGCUUGCUCUCCUGCAGCAAUGUCCUAGCUGUUUCUUGUAAGGACCUGUUCUUACGCUCUACAACUCCAUUUUGCUGAGGUGUACGAGGUGCUGAGAACUCAUGUGAGAUUCCUCUUUCUUCACAAUAAGUAAUGAAGUCCUUUUGAAAUUCCCCACCAUGAUCACUUCGAAUACCAUUUUCUUUGCCUUAUGUGGAGUCCUUGUUUGCUUUCCCAAUUGACAAGCAGAACAUGUCUCCAUCUUGACAUACUUAAGCUUUGGUAAUCCUUGAACAAGCUUCUUUGCUGACAGCUUGCUGAGAUGAUCCAUAUGAGCAUGUCCAAGCCUUCUAUGCCAAAUUUCUGGAUUAUUAUCCACAGCUGCUAAACAAACGCCUGCCUCCUGUUCUUCAAAGUUCAAAACAUAUAUAUUUCCUUCUCGUUUUGCAACUAGAGGAGUUUUGUUAGCACCAACAAGUAUAGUACAUUCAUCCUUACCAAAGUUAACAAUAUGACCAUCAUCAAAUAACUGACUUAUACUAAGCAAGUUAUAAGUAAGACCUUUAACAUAUUGUACCUUGUUGAUAGAAAUGAUACUAUUACCUAUAGUUCCUUUGCCAAGAAUAGGAAGAGUUUUGCUAUCACCAAUUGUGACACGUCCACCCUUCUUCAUCUUCAAGCUUAGAAACUGUGAUUUGUCUCCACUCAUGUGCCUAGUGCAUCCACUAUCCAAUAUCCAUUGAUUUGGCUUUACUUUAGACACGAGACAAACCUACAAAACAAACACAAAACACUCAACUCAGCAAAUAUAGCCAGGUGAUCCAUAGUAUCAAUGCUGAGAGCUGACUCCAAUGCUGUGACCUUGGCACCAUAUUCGAAUGGAACAGCAUUUAGAAUAUUCAUGUUGAUUUCCGAUUGAGGAAUCUUUUUGCCAAGUCUUUCAAGACUGUUGAGAGUGACUUGGAAUCUAGCUUGGCUUUCUCGAAUGGAUUCUCCCUUCUUGAUAGCAAAGCUUCCAAAUUCUUUCAUAAGCUUCCCGAGCUUGACUUUCUUUAAUGCCUUUGAGCCUUCGUGAUAUGUCUCCAAUGCAUCCCAAAUUUCUUUUGCAGAUUUGAGAGAAGAGACCUUGUCAUAUUCAGCUUGAUUCAGCCCAUUGAUUAAUGUACUCCUUGCUUUUCCAUUGGCAGCAACCUUUGAUAGCUCGUCCGCUGUGAGAACAUCAACGUCCUUGACUUUGCCAUCGCUAUCAAGAUAUUCAUAAGGACCUCUUUGCACAACUCUUUGCAUUAGGGGAUCUCUGGAUAGAUGAGCCUCCAUUUGGCCUUUCCACCAAUUGUAGUUGUCAGAACCCGUGAGGAGAGGAGCUCUAAAAUCGGACUUUCCCUGAAAGUUAUCAGCCAUAUCGAUCGAUACUAUUCCUGUUACAGAAGUAUUAGUACAAACACAGCUCUGAUACCAAUUGAAAUUACACACCUAGAGGGGGGGUGAAUAGGUGUUAUGGCUAAUAUGACCGAUUUUUAAUGUUACCGAAUAGUUAUACUGUCACAGACAGCUUGCUGUUAAUUUCAGAGUAAACAGUCAGCUAGCUAACAAUGCAGAUGCAAUGCAAAACAGAUAUAAUCAGUAAGCUAGCAACACAGAGAAUUUUAGCCAGGUUCGACCCCUAACCCUAAUGGUCUACGUCCUGGUCCCCUACCAACUGGUAAGAGAUUAUAUUAUUAAUCAAUAAUGUUAACGAUUACAAUGAUUCAAUAAUAUAACUCCCUUUAUCCCUUGUUCCUGUUAUCAGCUUGCUGAAACCCCUGAACCACGAACCAAAAGCUCUCCAAGACCUAUACUUCCCAAGUAUACUCUUCUAGCUAACUAGUCCCCUUGUUCCCUUGUUUCACAAGCUCGAUACACAGCAACAAACCUUUACACUUUGAACAAUACAAUGUAUGAGUGUAAUACAACCGAAACUAUGAACUCAAUAUAGAUAUAUAAUCAAAUAUAAGUACUAGAGCUCAAGUAAAGAUUUUGCAAUGUAAGUGUGUUGUAUUUCAGAAGCUUGAAGUGUGUUCUUGUUGCUCUACCAAAACGGAAACCACACUCAAGUUUAUAUACCAUCAUUCCAAACGGUCAUAACUCAACAAACUAUCCAACGUUCUUGGCCCAACAACCUCACGUUUAAUUUGCUUGAAUAAUGAACGUUUGAACGAUGUAUUUUUACUGAGUAAAAGCAUAAAGACGUUUGAAACAACUCAGUAAACGUUUGUUUAUAAAACAAAACAGUUUGAAUAGAAGUAGGAGUCUAAAAGGAUAAACAAGGUUUGAAAUCAACUCCUAUAUUUUAGGAAAACGAUUUUGAAUAAAACUCUUUGAUAAAAGAUGAGCUCUAAUAUUUAUAUACUGUAUAUAUAUGUAUUAGAGUCCUCACAAAACGUUCCCUAACAAAUCUCCUUGAAAAUAGGACUUGAUCUUUAUCCGAUAAGCAUCCUGUCAGUACGCUGUGAGCUUGCUGAUAGUCUGUCAAUAUUCCUGUAAGCUUGCUGACAGAACAAUGAUAACUUCAAAAGACAUUAGCUGUUAGCACAGUUAUAAUCUAGUUCUCAGCUAGCUACCAGAGUACAGUUUUAUGUUAUCAAGUUGCUGUUAGUGUGAUCAUCAAAAUCUCGAGAGUAUCAGCUCCAACUUUUUACUUGAGUUUUUCUUAACCUGUUUGUAUAAAAAAGUAAGAAGUACUUAAGCCAGGUGAUAAAGAAGUUAGAAGUAGAAAAUACCAACUUUUCUUUACAACUUAUACUUUUUUUCCAAACACUUUAAGUACUCAUAAUUAUUAAUUUGCUUCUCAAUUCUACUUCACUUGUUUACUUUAAUCAAGAAGUCAUUAAUUUUAAAUUAACCCAAACGGUCCCAAAAAUUGAUGGGCAAUGCUUGGUACCAAAAAUUAUUUUCUCAAAAGGAAAAUGUUAGGUACCCCAAAAUAUUAUCCCAAAUAUUUUUCCCAAAUGAUGUGUCGAAGUUUGAUUGGCUAUUUACUUCGAUAAUAAUGAGACUCCCCGUGUAUAUGCAUCAAUCACCCAGUUACAAUGUUCCACUUGUCUGACACAUUAUUCGUUAAAAAAUUUUGGGGAAAGUUUUUGAGGUAUGUAGCAUUACCUUUCCCAAAAAAAUUCCCAAAUAGCUGAUGGAGGGUCUAUAUGUAUUUAAUGGCUCGAUAAGAUAAAAUGUGAAAUUUGUGAAAUUUUUAGAAAAACUUUUGAGUACAUGGCAUUUUCCAUGGUUUGACAUGUAGGGUAUAAAUAAUGGACUCCAUUAUUUUAUUGUCACUCUGCAAACAUAUUUGCCUGUCCGGGAGUAUUCAUCACUACUCAGUAUUUACAGUGAAGUGGCUAGGCACACUUUAAUGCAAAGGUUACAUGAUUAAGGUACGUACGAGCACGAGGAGUGUCUGUCAACAAUGUAACCAAUUGUAUCAACCACUUCUUAUAUGUUGUAGUGUAGCAUUUCAAUGUAGGUCCUUACGCGGGGACUUCAUGUAAAUUGGUUGUUGGGUUUACCAUCGAUAAUGCAUUUACAAUUUUAAAAUUCUUAACGAAACAAAGGUUAAAUUUGCCACAAGCAAUGAGUUAACUACUUCGGUAGGAUGUAUAAAAAGAGAUUUCAAACUUGAGGCUAUAAUACUUUUCCAAUUUCUUUUAUUACAUUUGUCAACACAUAUUUUUUAUUGUUAAUAUUUUUGAUUUUAUAUUAGUAUUAAAUAUAAAAAUUUCAUUAUAGAUUAACAUCUGCGAGGGCCUCAGCCUUAUGAUACUAAAACUGCCACGGCCGAAACUAUUAAAAUCUUCCACUCCACUCAUCUUGUUUUUCAUAUGAACACAGGCCAGACAAGAAUGGGCUUCCAAUCCAAUGUACAAAUAACACAUUCUAAAACGGAGUGGACACUUUACAUAUUGCUAACUUCACAUGUGUCAAUUUUAUAACAAAUGGGCUGCGGUGAAUUUUGAUAUUUUCUGCCACACUACUUGUCUGCUUUCGCCAGUUUUACCUCAGAAUAUCAGAUGAAUACGCGUAUUUAAUAUUAGUGGUAACAAGUUUUUAAAGGAUGCUAGACAAUUUAAUCAGUUUUAAGGGACCUGGUUUUUAAUUAGAGAAAAUUAAUUCUAAAAUCCCUGAAUUAUAGACACUUUUUUUUAGGUCCCUGAACUAUAAAUGUCAAUUCAUAAGUAAUUCAACUCUUGAUUUUUUCCUAUCUGGGUCCUUCCGUUAGAUCUGGUUUGACGCCGUUAGUUCAUCUUAAGUUCAUGAGAAUCAAAGAUAAUUUUGGAUGUGAUUCUGGUAUCCAAAUUUGAAACUUGAGUAAUCAAAUUGCUCGUUUUUCAAUCCCCUAUCCAUCUAUACCAUCAAAAUUUAGUUUGGUAAUUUCCGAAUUUUGAGUUGAAUAUUAGUUUUCAUUUUAAUAGCUUUUAUACGAAUUAUAAUGAUGUAGAUUGAUAUAUCGUGUAAUGAUGAGCAUAUUCAUAUAUUCGUGAUUUUUAAUGUUCAAAUUAGUCUCGUUGGAAAAUUCGAGCUUACCGGAUUUGAGUUUUUUCGACCAAAUUCGCCGGAAAAACUAACGACGUCAAACCAGAUCUAACGGAAGGACCAUGUAGGAAAAAAUCAAGAGUUGAAUUACUUAUGAAUUGACAUUUAUAGUUCAUAGACCAAGAAAAAAAGUGCCUAUAGUUCAGGGACUUUAGAAUAAUUUUCCCUUUUUAAUUAACCUGUUGCAGUAGCACUGAAACAACAUAUUGCUCUCCAUUUCCUACUAUGUAAAGUGAGUCGAAGUUAUAAGCUAUUAGAUGAAAUUAUAAGAUAACAAACUGAUCAAAAACUAGAGGUCGUCGGGAGUAGGCAGAGUUAAAGUCCCGAAAGAAUUUGCAAAGCAGAAACAACACAGUUUUUUUAGAGGUAAUUGCAUAUCGCACCCCUUAACUAUGGUUAAAAAACGAUAUUGUACUCAUACUUUGAGAAACUCAACUCGCACCCCCUAUCUUUACAUUUCAAGAACGAUACGCAUCCCCUCUGUUGAAUUCCGUUAACUUCCGUUAAAAUACUCCAUCAAUCUCAAUUUACAUGUCCCUUUUGCUUUUCGAGGAGUCAAAUUGACUAAUUUCUGACCAACUAUUAGAAAAUUUUUAAAUAUACACUAUUUUAAAUAUAAAAAAUAAAUAUUAUGUGAUAUUUAUUAUAAAUAUAUACACUUUUAUUAAACAAAAAUUUGAAAUGUAAAAUCAUUUUGACUUAGGAAUAGCUUAAUUAAACAAAAAUUUUUAAAAAAAAUCAUCAAAAAAGUAAAUCUAGUCUAUUUUAAUAUGUAACUUUCUAUUUCCUAAAAUAAUAAAUAAAUAUUUUUUAAUAGUUGGUCAAAAAUUAAUCAAUUUGACUCCUCGCAAAGCAAAAGGGACAUGUAAAUUGAGACGAAGGGAGGAUUUUAACGGAAGUUAACGGUUUUUAACGGAAUUUAAUGGAGGAGGGUGCGUAUCGUUCUUGAAAUGUAAAGAUAGGGGGUGCGAGUUGAGUUUCUCAAAGUAUGGGUAUAAUAUCGUUUUUGAAUCAAUUUGACUCCUCGCAAAGCAAAAGGGACAUGUAAAUUGAGACGAAGGGAGUAUUUUAACGGAAGUUAACGGUUUUUAACGGAAUUUAAUGGAGGAGGGUGCGUAUCGUUCUUGAAAUGUAAAGAUAGGGGGUGCGAGUUGAGUUUCUCAAAGUAUGGGUAUAAUAUCGUUUUUGAACGAUAGUUAGGGGGUGCGAUAUGCAAUUACCUCGCUUUUUUAUAGGUGCGAAAGUCCUCGAGUCUGUGGAACUUGUUAUUUGUUUUGGCAAGUUUCCAUCAAGUAUAUACAUGUAUAUAAGUUUAAAUGAUAACUAAAAAUGAAUUGGGGGGAUACAGGGUGAUCAGGAGUGCAGAUGCUACACUUCAUGAUAGCAAUAGAGUAUCGUCCUUGAAAAUCCCUCCAACAGUAAAGAAUUUUAUGUGGAGAUCUCUAACAGGGUGUUUACCUACUAAGGAAAAUUAUUUACUAUGUAAAAGAGUUGCAGUUUUAAGUGUUUGUCCUGUGUUCAUACCCUUGUUACAUGUCAGUUUGCAGGGAUGUGUUGGAAUCAUGCUGGGAUAGUAGUAAAUGAUCGAGAUUGUACUAACUUAUCACAGUGGCUAUAUUUGGUAAUGGAGGUAUAUGAGAGCAAGGAUGUCCAGAUAGCAUGUAUUUAUGCUAGGAAGUGUGGGAAAAUAGAAAUGCUUCGGUGUGGCACCAAAAAGGAAAAGACUUUGAUAGGGUUGUAGUUUCAGCAAAGCUUACUCUAAGUCAUUGGUGGAGUGCUCAAGACAGGUCAUUCGAUAAUUUCCUAGGGUUCAUGACUCAAGCAGAUUGUAAGGAGCAUUGGGAAUGUCCAUUACAGUAAUUAGGAAGCAUGAAUAGGUUCAUGAUGUUAGGAUCUAGUAAUGUUAAGUGGCUUGUUUCACUUAUCUUUCUAGUAGUUGUUAUACCAAGCUGUACUCUCUGAUAAUCUAUCAAUUAUUAAGCUUUAACACACUCUACAUGGUAUUAGAGCCUGCUCCAUUUUUUUUUUUACAAAAGAACAUUACUUCCUGCUCAUCUAAUCCAAUUUCAAUGAACUAGGCAAUUUUAACAACAAACAGAACUUGCUCUGCCAUAGGCAUUUUGAUCAAUUUUAAGAGAGGACAUUUGCAUUUUUAACUCUCUGUAGUACUAGUGUACUCUUGAAAACAUAUUGUUACUCUAAUUCCUACUACAAUUUAAUGUUAGUCGAAGUCAUUAGCGACAAGAAUCAAAAUAUAAGAUAAUAAACCUGAAUGAACCAAAGGUUUACUGGGAGGCAGACUUUUAAAAUUCUUGGAAGGACUAGCAAAACGAAAACAAAAUAGCUUGAUGACAAUAGAAAGUUGUGCAACUCUACUUAACCUAGCUAAAAUUGUGAAACUGACCUAUAGACAGUUUUUCUAUUCGACUUGAUCUUGCUUUAACUACAACACAAUUUAUCUUUAUUCAUCUAAUAUUCUUCACAAUUCUUGAUUGAACUUUAUCAUGAUUUCACAUGUGCUCAUUCUAAUUACUAGAGCUAGAGUAGGACUACUUUAAUUAUAAGAGAAAAAGGAUAAGGAACCAGAAAAAUUUACAUAUUAACAUAAUAAUAAGAGGAUUACGAUGAAUAUUAAAAAAAAGGAUUACCAUGAAGACUUGCACAACCCGCAAGGAACAGAGACAUAUAGUUUCUGGAGAGUUUAGUAAGCAACAUCACCGAUCUGAUACAUGUUAUAUACACUUGCACAUGCACAUGCACACGACCAUCAUAUAUAUCAUUUUACAAUGAAAACAUACAGAAACCGGAUCAAUAUUACACGUUAAUUGUAUAAUCUGUAGUGCAUCUUAUGUAAGAAUACCAAGGUAGAAAGCACCACAACAAAAAACAAUAUGUAUUCUAUUCUAUCAUAUUUCUUUUGAUAUCUUUGGCUUUUCCUAUACAAAUCAUCCUAUGAAGAUUCUAGACUUACCUAUAUGGUUAGGAAGAUUAUCUAUACUAAUUACGAAUUUGAGAAAGCUAGGGAUGAUCAACUCACCAAAUUCAUGUAGUUAAGGGACAGUUGACAAACACUGUACUAGUGGUAAGUCGUGUGUAUGUGUGGGUUAGCUAUCAUAUACAUGAACUAAGCUAGCUAGUAAGUGAAAUUUAAACGAUUUAAUAUCACAACAAAACAAAUAUAUAUUUUUUGGAGGUAUUUUAAAUUGUCUUGCAACCCUGUGCUGUCCAAUAUCUCUAAUUUGGCAGCUUACAGUUAAAACAUCUAAUUUUUCACAGUAUUUUUAGUUUGUAAUGUUUACUUUCAAACGCUUAACAUACACUACAGGAAAACAGGUCAAAACCGACCGCACAAAACCGACCGCCGCAUAUAAAACCGACCGACGGUCGCGUGGUCAGUUUUAACCCGUCGAAAUCACAAAACGACGUCGACCUGGGUGACGUGGCAACAAAUAAAACCGACCGUCGGUAACGGUCGGUUAUAUGUAUGACAUGGCACUGUUAUAACCGACCGUUCUCUGUGGUCGGUUUUGUUUUCCGCGGAAAAAUAAUUAAAAAUCAAUUUAAAUAAAAAUAUCUGUGCGUCAACCCCUCAAAACAACGUCAUUUUUUUGUUUGGUACUAAAACCGACCGAUUGGUCGGUCGGUUUUAACCUGCAGCUUUUAUAUCACUUUUUAGCUAGUAAUGAGCUCACAUUCACUUGAAAUAAAAAUCAAAGGAGAAGAAAGGAGCUAAAGUGGGGAAGAAUUAUUGCUUGCAAACAUUUCAAGUAAGUGAUUUUCAUUUAUUUGCAUUAAAUGUGUGUGUGGUGGGUGUGUUAAAUGUUUUUGUUAUAUUAAAUGUGUGUGUAUGUAAUUACAUUGAAUGCUUGUAUUGCAUUAAAUGUAUGAAAUUCAUGUGAAAUUAUUUGUUAAAUGUAUGUGUGUAUUGAAUGUAUGUGUUGUUAAAUGUAUGUGUGUGUUAAAUGUGUGUUAAAUGUGUGUGUAGAUGACAAACUUGGAUCGAAGUUGGAUUAGUAAUCAAGUGCAAAGUGAUAAAAUUUCGUUAACUCCAGAAUAUAGGAAUGGUGUAGAAACUUUUUUAAAAUUUGCAAGUGAAAAUGGAAUGGGAGAAGAUGGUACAAUGAAGUGUCCUUGUAAACGUUGUAGGAAUUUGAAUUGGUUAAGUAUCGACGAUGUUAGAUUCCAUUUACUUGCUAAGGGGAUGCUUGAGGGUUAUACCGUUUGGACAUCACAUGGUGAAGAAAGAGGAAGAAAACGUAGUCGAACAUCGCAUAAUCGUUAUUGUGUUCGGGAACCUACGAGGGUAGAACAACCGGUAGAUUUGAAUGCGAUGCUACAUGAUUUUGCCGGUGAAAAUUCCGAAUUUUAUAACAACGUGGAUACGGGAACUAGGAAUGUAGAAGAAGUUCCAAAUGAUAGUGCAAGAAAAUUGUAUGAGGUGAUUGUUGAAAAUGGAGCACCUAUUUAUCCCGGUAAUACGAAGUAUACAAGAUUAAGCUUUACCACAAAAUUGUUAGAAUUCAAGAAUAUCUCACAUUGUAGUAAUAAGGCUUUUGAUAGUUUGCUUACACUUUUUGCGGAUGUAUUACCAAAAAAACCCACGUUGCCCCAAACUUAUUAUGAAAUGAAGAAGAUAAUGAAGGGUUUGAGGGUUUAAUAUCAAAAGAUUGAUUUAUGUGAGAAUGAUUGUAUGUUAUUUUAUGGAGAUGACAAGGAUAAAGUUGUGUGUGAUAUAUGUGGUAAAGAUCGUUAUCGGGAUGUUUUGAGGAAAGAUGGUAAAAAAAUACCAAAAAAAAUAUUGAGACAUUUUCCUUUGAUUCCUCGACUACAACGCUUGUAUAUGUCAAAACAUACAUCCGACCAUAUGAGAUGGUACAAGAAUCGAGAUGUCAAAGAUGGAGAAAUUAGUCAUCCCGCGGACGGAGAAGAGUGGAAAAAUUUUGAUCGUCGAUAUCCAUCAUUUGCUCAAGAAAUUUGUAAUAUAAGGCUUGGCCUUGCAACCGACGGUUUCAACCCAUUUGGCCCUACCGGGAAAAAAACAUAUAGUGUGUGGCCCAUAGUAGUAGUUGUCUACAAUCUUCCGCCAUCAAUGUGUAUGAAAAAACCCUAUAUGUUUAUGACCGAUAUAGUGCCGGGUCCGAAUAGCAUUGGCAAAGAUAUUAACGUUUGUCUAAGGCCUCUCAUUGAUGAAUUGAAGAUAUUGUGGAAUACAGGAAUUGAAACAUAUGAUCAAUCUUCGAAACAAAAUUUUACAAUGAGAGCGGCUCUUAUGUGGACAAUUAGUGAUUAUCCCGCUAUGAGUAUGAUAAGUGGAUGGUCGGGUAAAGGAAAAUUAGGAUGUCAAGUGUGUCUUGGAAGUGUGCAAGGGUUUUAAUUAAAACAUUAUGGUAAAUGUAGUUUCUAUGGCACAAACCGAAUAUUCCUUGAACCGAAUGAUCCACUACGUCGAAAAAGUGAUUUGUUUGAUAAUGCGGAAAGAAGAGUGUUUCGUGGUCGUUUGUCCGGGGAGGGUGUAAAGGAGUUGCUUGACGGUUUAGUUUUUCCACCACCCGGAAAGACUAAUACAAAGGCGAGGAGUAUCGGAUAUGGGGAAGAGCAUCAUUGGACUCAUGUUCCAAUUUUUUAUGAACUCCCUUAUUGGUCUUCACAUAGUUUACGAUAUUCAAUUGAUAUCAUGCAUACGGAAAAAAAUGUUUUUGAGAACCUAUUUUUUACUAUUGUGAAUGCGAAAAAGUCAAAGGAUCACAAAAAAGCAAGAGCGGAUUGCAAGCACUUUGGUGUGUUACCUCAUUUGUGGAUCGAUGAAAAUGGCAAGUCACCCAAAGCACCUUUUUCCAUUACAAGAAAACAACGUAAACUUUUGUGUGAAUGGAUUAGUUCACUGAAACUUCCAGACGGUUAUUCCUCAAAUAUAUCUCGUUGUUGUAAUGUUGAGGAGUGUACAUUUUAUGGAUUCAAAUCGCAUGAUUGUCAUAUAUUUCUUCAAAAAUUAUUGCCUCUUGCAAUUCGUGAGCUUUUACCGGCGCCUAUUGCGGAUGCCAUCACAGCAAUUGCAAAUUUUUUUCGAGAUUUGUGCUCAUCCACGGUUACAAAAACCGAUUUGGAAAUAAUGGAAAAAUCAGUUGUGAAGGCAUUGUGUUUGUUGGAAACAAUUUUUCCUCAAAGUUGGUUUGAUUCGAUGGAACACUUGGUUGUGCAUUUGGCGGAAGAAAUUAGACUUGCUGGACCUGCUUACUGGCAUUGGAUGUAUCCAAUUGAGCGUUUAUUGGGGAAACUAAAACAAAAAGUCGGCAAUAAAGCAAGAGUUGAGGGUUCCAUUGCCGAACGAUAUAUGGAGGAGGAGAUUGUCAAUAUUUGUGCUUUUUACUUUGCAUCCGACUCGAUUCACAAUAAAUUAAGUCGUAACGAAGUUUUGUUUGAUGUACAAAAGACCGACAAAUUAGAAGUUUUUAAAUAUCCAUGUGAUUCUCUUGGAAAAGAACGAAGUCGAUAUUUGAAUGAUGAUGAGCAAUUAUUAGCUGAUGAAUAUGUUCUUCUAAACUCUCCUGAAGUUCAACCUUAUCUAAGGUAUGGUAAAUACAUUUUAUGAUAAAUUUUUGUGAAGAUGUCAAUACAUUUUAUGAUAAAUUCAUGUUAUUGACAUUUAUGCAUUAUUGUAGGAGGUACCAAGAUCGAGUUAUGAGACAACGUCCUGAGACAACGCCACAACAAUUAGAUCAUAUUGUGAAAACUCGAUUCAAAGCUUGGUUUAAGAAAAAGGUUGAGAAAGACGAGAUAGACGGACCUCGUUUCAUGGACUUGCUAGAAGGACCAGCAUUAAAGGUCAUGACUUUUGAAAAUUGUCAAGUUAAUGGAUAUAAAUUUUCAACAUCAUCCGCAUCCGGUUCCGGUGUUGUAGUUAAAGGAACUUUGCACGAAAAUAAUCUUGAUUAUUAUGGUCAACUAAUAGAAAUUAUAAGACUUAUUUAUCAAGGAUGCAAUCACGUAUAUUUGUUCAAAUGUAUUUGGUUUGAUAGUCUCGGAAAUGGUGUGAGGAUCGAUAAGAAUCGAGUGGUGACGGUUGAUAUAACUUCAAGAUUGAGAUCUAACGAAGUUUUUAUUUUAGCUAGUCAAGCCUCUCAAGUAUAUUACGCUCCUAGCGUAUUGGAUCCACGAAGCAAAAUAUAUACGGUGGUCAAAUCUAAAAGUCGUCCGAUUGAUGAAUCAAUUAUUGUGCAAAAUGAUAUAGAGGACGCUUUUCAAGAAGAUAGAUCUAAUGCCGCUAGCUCAUUUUCACUAUUUGUUGAUUUUGCACAAUAUGGACAAAUACCAUUUAUUCGGCAUGAAAAUCAAGAUGAUGAUGAUGAAGAAGACGAAUUGCGAGAUGAUGAAAAUCAAGAUGAUGAUGAUGAUGUUGAACACAAUGAAGAAGAGGAAGAUGAUAAUGAAGAUGAUGAUGAAGAUAAUGAUGAUGAUAAUGAAGAUGAUGAUGAAGAUGAUGACGGUUUUGAUGACUUUCAAUGAUGUGUAAAUAAUAUACAAUGGUGUAAUCAUAUACAAUGUUGUUUAGGCUGCUUAGUAAUUUGGUUAUGUAUUGGUAUUUGAUGUUGGUACAGGAUUUGGCAAUUGAAACUGCAAAAGAAUCUGUUUUUUUUUCAAUUUUUGCCCAGAAAACCGACCGUCAAACAACAUAACCGACCGGUUUUGACCAUUAAACUACCAGAAAACCGACCGCAUUCAUAUAAAACCGACCCCCAUUUUCCAGAAAACCGACCGCAUUCAUAUAGGCGCGGUCGGUUAUAAGCCGGUCGGUUAUAAAAUCCAGGAUAGCGUACUGCCACAAAACCGACCGUGUCAAAACCGACCACAUAUAACCGACCGUUGCAGGAUUUGACAUCGGUCGGUUUUACUUAAAAGUCAGUCAAAGCCUCUGUAUAUUAUUUGUUAUAUAUAUAUAAAUUAUAAUAAUAUAACUUUACCAGAAAACCGACCGUGUUCAAGUAAAACCGACCAAUUUUUUCCAGAAAACCGACCGGAUUCAAUUAAAACCGACCGUCUGCCCAGAAAACCGACCGCUGGCCCCUUUGACUUCGGUCGGUUUUAACUAAAAGUCAGUCAAAGUCUACAUAUUAUUUAUUAUAUAGACAUAUAAAUUAUAAUAUAUAAACAAAUAUAUAUAUUAUAUAAAUAUGUAUAUAUAUAUAUAUUAUUUUACAUAAUAUUUUACAUGUAAUAUUUAUAUAAAAUAUAUUCGUAAUAUAAAUAUAUAUACAGUCAUAGCUAUCUCUUCAAUCUUACAUACACGGAUGGUUACAAGUGAAGUGUCCGGAGAGGAAGGUGUGAAACCUAACUCUUGUUUCCUCCUUUGCUCACGGUGAUAAGUAAACGUCGUUCAUCCCGUCCCCUUUGACGGUAUUCAAAGCAGAUCGUAGGCUGACUCAGUACUAGUCACUAUCCUGUGUCUAUAUAUUAUUGGCUCAUUUUUAAUAUAUAUUAUUUUAACUUUUUUUUCCUAACUUCACGUGCCAAAAAUUUAAGAUUAUUCCGAUCAUUGCAUGUACAUUCUUAUAACUGAUAUAUGUCAUAAGCAGUGUUCUAAUUAAUAAUCGCCGAUUUAACUGAGUAAUCCCCGAUUACUCCACUGCAAGGUCGGACAUUGAUUCGAUUUUUGAAAUACGAUUAAUCCUUAUAUAUAUUUCUUAAUCGAAGUAUAUACGAUAAAUAUACCAAUUAAAAUAUUAUAUUACCUUAAAUAUGAAUAAUUAUAGAGUUUAUGAAUAUAAUAAAUAUAUUAGUUGCUAAUAUAGUAAUAUUACUUUUGAUUUAAAAUUAAAAUAUUAUUAAAUAAUACUAGCUAUUAAUAUAAUAUUAUCUAACUAUUUUUAAUAUUAAAAUAUUAAAAGGUAUGGUUUUUAUUUAAUUAAAUAAUAUAAUUUGGCCAUUUUUUCAAUUUAGGGUUCCUUAAAACCGACCGACGUACUAUAAAACCGACCGAUCUUUUUUUGCGCCUAAUUUUUCACGAAAAAUUAAAACACGCGCCUUAGUGAAACGACGUCGUUUCACCGGACCCAACGUCAUAACCGACCGCUCCGUCGGUCGGUUUUAAGCUCUGUAUAUAUAAAAAAACAGCCAUUUUAUUUCUUUUCCUUUUAUCUUCCUCUCAACUCUCAUCUCUCUCGCCUCUCUGAACUCAAAUCUCUCUCGCUCUCAAAUCUCUCUCACUGUCUAAUCUCUCUUGCUGUAAACUCCUUCUCUCAAAUGGCAAUUCAAUCUUUCAUCUCUCUCGCUGAUCUCAACUCCCUCUUUCUCAACUUGCUCGUGAUUAUGGUUGCGCUCGAUUCUCUAUGCGAAUUUGUACUCGGUUCACAGAGGAGGGUUCGGUUUCCUCGGAAGAAGAAAGCCCCUUCGCUUUUCGGUUUGGGUUCGGAUGAUUCGGUAUGCUCGAUUCGUUUAGUUUGGGCUCUAUUUCAUUUUUUCAAUUUAGUUUAGUUUAGUUUGUAUGUGUAUAUGUUGGUGUGUAUGUGUAUCUGCAUAUAUUUGUUUGUAUUUGUGUUAAUUUCUGGGAAUUUCAUCUAUGGGUAUGUAUUUGUGUAUGUUUGUAAGAGUAUAAGUUUGUGUUAAUUAGUAUAUACGUGUAUGAAAAAUUUUGCAUGCAAUUUGUCCGUCGGUUAUAUGCAAUUUGUCCGUCGGUUAUAAGUGGGGUGAAAUUUUUCUUAAAUUUUCAAUUUGUAUAGUUUUUGUUUUCUUAGGCCCAUCAUUUGUAUGUUUGUAUGUGUUUGUAUAUGUUUGGUUGAGCAAAACACAUACUAAUUGUAUAAUUAUACAAAUUAGUAUGUAUAUUUUGUAUAUGUAUAGUUUGUAUAUUACUUUAAAUAUGAAUAAAGUAAGCGUGUAUGUGUUUGUGUUUGUGUUAAGGGGAUAAGUGUUUAAGUGUGUUUGUGUUUGUGUUAAGGGGAUAAGUGUUCAAGUGUGUAUGUUUUUGAGUUUUGGAUUUAACUUGAUUUUAAUUUUAAUGAAUUGUAUUGUAGGGGCUCUUUGGUUGGGUGAUGAUUAUCGUCAUGAUUUCAAUGACGAUAUAUAUCAUGGCAAGAAAAAGGAAAGCAACGGACAAGGACACCGACAAAGGCAAGGGAAAGAGUGUCGGUAGUAGUACAAACAAAAGGCGCGCGAAGGGAAAAGGCAAGGUGAAAGAAAAGACGGUGUUGCGUGACGAGCCAACGGAUUCGGAUACCGAAUCGGACCAAAACCCAAGGGAGGCGGAGGCGGAGGCGGAGGAGGAACCGGUGAGAAGAGUGAGGAUGCCGCGGUCACAUUCAUGCGGCAUUUUUGGAGCUAAGAUACCAACAAGACCUCGACGGAUCAAUAUCUCCGAUGGACAGUAAGUAUAUUUUUUUAUAUGUAGUGUUUUGUAGUGAUUUGUAAUGAUUAAUAUAUAUAGUGUGCGUUAGGUAUUAAUAAUUUGUUCACGAGUUUAUAUUUAUAAUGUUCUUAUAUAGUAUUGAAGAUAAUGAGGCAAAAAAGACUUUGCUUGCGAUUAUUCGGGCAAGAUGGCCUUUGGGUAAAUACACGUUUAGUGACAUAGACGCGGCUUACCCAAAGUGGCUCGGUCUAAGGGUUGAGGAGUUUCUAGUAAGUAGAUUUUUUUUAAAUAUAAUAUGUUUUUGAUUUUGUUGGUAAUUGGUGUGAUUAUUCAAUUUUAAUCCUUGUACUUGUUGAUAUUAUGUAGAAAUAUUAUAGGCAAUUGAAAGGUCAAAGCCGUUCAAAAGCCAAAGCUAUCAUUGAAGAUCACAUAAAGGUCACAAUCAAAAGGACCAUGAAUGAAUUGAAGAGGAGGAUCGAGAGGAAGUCAAGGGAGGAAGGGGUUUCGAAGUUGGCUUUGAAACCGGAAUAUUAGAAUAUCAUUUUUUGGAAAGAUCUUCUCAAGUAUUGGGACACGGAUGAAGGCCAUUUGCAUAGGUCGGAAGUUGGAGCUGCUAAUCGGCAACGCGUGGAAAGGUUGCAUAGCGCGGGUGCUCGCUCCUUCAACCGUGUGCGCGAGGUAGUACUAUUUUUAAUAUGCAAACACACACACACACUUUUUGUUUUUACCUUAUAAUUAUAUAAGAUAUAAUAUAAUAAUGCAAAUGCUAAUAUAAGUUAUUUUGUGGUAUAAUUCAAGAACAUGAAAAAGAAAUUGUCUAAAAGUCCGACGAAGCUUGAGGUGUGGGUUGAAUGCCACACUAGGAUCGGCUCCAGUCCCGAGAGCCGAAUAUAUACUACCCCCGCCGCUAUGCGCAUUGCGGUAAUCUUCUAAUUUUAGCAUUUUAAUUAAUUGUGAUAACCAUGAAUACGUCAAUAUGUUUAUAUGUUUAAUUAAUGCUUAUAUCUUCUAAUUUUAGCACUUUAAUUAAUUGUUUAUAUCAUAACCAUGAAUGCUAAUUAAUUGUGAUAAAUGUGUAGGAACGAUAUGCCUCCAUUCUUGAUCGUAUGCCGGUGGAGGUUACUCAAACGGGGGAGCGGGAUGAGCCUUGGGAUUGGUGGAUGGAAGCAAUGGAGGUUCCCCAAGGCGAGAGGCCAAAAAAGAAUUACGUUGUGGGGUUCCCUAAAGCUCGAGCUAGUGAUUUGAUCCCAACACUAGCCACUCGCUAUAACCCGUGGUGGCGCCGGCUCAUUCUCAUCCGCUCCAACACAAAAUCCGGUGGUUCCCGAUUCCAUCUUCCUCCCGAUUGUCCGCAAUGUGCUCAAUGAAACCCGUGCCAAUCCUCUCCAAUUUGCUCGUCGCCUAUCGGAUGAGGAGAUAACAACCUUUGCACGCACAGCCCUCGAGGCAUCCGAUCCAGCCGCUGACCCGGCUCGGAGGGCUGAAUGGAAUAGCCUUCUCGGCGGCGAGAUUGUGCACAUUGUAGGGACAUUGCUCGAGGAUGUCCUCCAAAAAAUGGAUGCUCGUGCUCAAAUGGUAAUAUACUUAUGCUUUGUUUUUUGUUUUUGGUUGAUAUGUAAAAAUGAAUGGAUUUCUAAUUGUUUGACAUGUUUUUGUAGGCAACUGCGCAAGAGGGAGAGAAAGAUUACACGGAUGUGGACGAGGAGACGGAUGAAAACACGGAUGAUGAGGGUGAAGGCGAAGCCGGUGGCGAAGGCGGUGGGGAAGGCGGUGGUGAAGGCGGUGGCGAAGAUGGUGGCGACGGCGGUGGUGAAUCAUCCGAUGUUUCAUUGACCGAUUAGUGUAAUUUAUAUUUUAAUUUUAACGGAUGGUAUAUAUUAAGACAGUGGUUGGAUUUGGAUUGUGAAUGUUUGGGUUUUGAAUUGUUUGAAUGUUUGGAUUUGAAUUUGUAAUUAGUAUGUUUGGAUUUUGAAUUGUUUGGAUUUGGAUUUGUAAUUAGAAUGUUUGGAUUUGGUUUAAUUAGAAUUGUUUCGUUUAAUUUUGUUGUUGGUAUUUUGUGAUGUUUGGUUGUUUAGGAUGCUUGGUUUGAUUGUUUGGUUGGUAUGGUUUUGGUACAGGGAAUUGAUUGGAAACUGCAGAUUCUGCUGCAAUUUUUUUAAAAAUUCACCCAGUAAAACCGACCGAAUGGUCCCAAAACCGACCACUUUUUACCAUAUUGAUGCCAGAAAACCGACCGCAUUCAACUAUAACCGACCGUGCUCAUCACAUAAAACCCAGAAAACCGACCGCAUUCAUCAAGAGUCGGUCGGUUAUGAAAGUGGACGAGGAGACGGAUGAAAACACGGAUGAUGAGGGUGAAGGCGAAGCCGGUGGCGAAGAUGGUGGCGACGGCGGUGGUGAAUCAUCCGAUGUUUCAAUGACCGAUUAGUGUAAUUUAUAUUUUAAUUUUAACGGAUGGUAUAUAUUAAGACAGUGGUUGGAUUUGGAUUGUGAACGUUUGGGUUUUGAAUUGUUUGAAUGUUUGGAUUUGAAUUUGUAAUUAGUAUGUUUGGAUUUUGAAUUGUUUGGAUUUGGAUUUGUAAUUAGGAUGUUUGGAUUUGGUUUAAUUAGAAUUGUUUCGUUUAAUUUUGUUGUUGGUAUUUUGUGAUGUUUGGUUGUUUAGGAUGCUUGGUUUGAUCUUUUGGUUAGUACGGUUUCGGUACAGGGAAUUGAUUGGAAACUGCAGAUUCUGCUGCAAUUUUUUUAAAAAUUCACCUAGUAAAACCGACCGAAUGGUCCCAAAACCGACCACUUUUUACCAUAUUGAUGCCAGAAAACCGACCGCAUUCAACUAUAACCGACCGUGCUCAUCACAUAAAACCCAGAAAACCGACCGCAUUCAUCAAGAGUCGGUCGGUUAUGAGACGGUCGGUUAUGUGAAUCAGGGUGGCCUUCUGCCACAAACCCGACCGACUCAUAACCGACCGCACAUAACCGACCGUGGCAGAAGGUUGACGGCGGUCGGUUUUGUGUCAGAGUCAAUUCAGAUAAAAGGCACAUAACCGACCACUGAAAUCGGUCGGUUUUACCAGUCGCUUCUGACGUGGUGUGACACCUGUUGCCACGUGGUGACAGGUGGCAUCAAGUGGGGCCACUUUUCUGGGAACAAAACAGCACAUAACCGACCACUUACUUGGUCGGUUUUAAGGGUUAAAGCCGACCAAUUCGCGUAACCGACCAGGGUUUAACCGACCAGCCAUAUCGGUUGGUUUUAUGCUUAUAACCGACCGAUAUUGUUCAUAACCGACCGAUGCUGGCGGUCGGUUAUGUCCUGUUUUCCCGUAGUGAUAUUAACCAUCCCAGAACAUUGCUGUAAAUCUCAUUUUAAAUCAGGUAAGGCAGUGAGAUUACACAGAACUUACCAACUCAGAAUCGAGCUGCUACCUCAAUUGGAAAGUGACAAAUGCUCAACUUAAAUUUCUAUAUAAAGCACAAGGAUGGCUGCCCUAUUUUGGAUCUAAGAUUAUUUUCACGGGGCACCAGCACCACAUUAUAUAUGGAGAGAUAACCUUUCUUUAAAAAAUAAAUCAUGGGGGCACCUCUUUAUUCUAUUGAUAAAGUCAACAACGAAAUUUAUUUGGGGGACACUGCUGUUCAUACUGAAGCAGACCCAAGCAGUGUAUGUUGUUAUCUGAAAUAUCUAAUAAUUUCGAAACUAGUAUAUAUAGACCAGCAGGUUCUACAAAAAAAAUCAGAUGGAUACCUGUUUUAGCAGCCUCCCUGCAACUCCUGCACCUUCUAUUCAUCUUGUGCUAAUCUUUAUAUAUUUGUGAAUUUCAAUAUUUAAAUAAAUUAUUUAGAUUUACCAUACUUCUGGUGUAAUUGAAAGUUCUGAAAAUGUGCAUCAGAGUUUGAGAAUCUGUGACAACCUUAUUGGCAUAGUUAUAUAAGAGUAGUUCAUCAUCAAAAGUUCAUCCAACAAAUUUACUUGAGUUAGACAUCAUAUCACACUUCUGAUUAGUAAACUCAUGGCUGUGAACUUGAUCUAACAAUCUUGUCGUCUUUUCUCUAGGUGCUGAUGUCUUGAUACUCUUGAUUUGCUGUAAUGGCAACAGAUUUCAAAAAAUUGAAAUAUUUCAUAAUGAAUUAUGGUGAUUAAUAACUCCAGGCAAUGAAAUUAAGCAAAAACUCUUAUUUAACAUUAAAAAAAUCAAAUUCACACCAUGGUGGUGACAGAAAUGUCUUUCACUUAAAAACAUCAUUCUUUUACUUGGGUUGUCAUGUACAAUACAUCAAGAAAACAUGAAAUACCUAAAAUAGAUUUAAAUAGUGACGAACAUGCUCAAUCUUCAUUCCCUUUUACUUUGCGGGCAUAUACUAUCUAGACUGAUUAAACAAUGAUGAGAAGAAAAAAGAGGGAACCAAUAACACAAACAGUGAAAGCGGGACUGGUGAAUGGGAUAUACCAAAUAUGUUCAUGUAAUAAUUGUCAACAUAAUUGCCAUAACCGAAACAAUGUUUAGCACACUUGAUGCAGCAUUGAGUUGAUUGCUGAGCAGGUACAACUAAUUAUAUGUAUUAGAGUUGACGAAGGAGAAGAUGAUGCCAAUAUGGCAGGGCAAAAAAAUUGACCUCUUUUUAAAAGGGGAGUNUCAAAAAAAUUGACCUCUUUUUAAAAGGGGAGUCAACUUUAUCCCUUCACUUUCUUCCCAAACUAUUUUCUAUACCCCGCAACAACUCCUCAAUAUCUUCCCCUGAUAAAGUUGAAGGACUCUUGGCCAUUUCAAUUUGGCCAUUGAAUCUUCUUUUAUCCGGCCUCCAUUUAUGUGUAGGACAAAGAAAUUUCCAAUGGUUCAUAUAACACAUUUUUCUACUAUGUUUUAAAUAACUUGAAGAAGUCUCGUAAUGGCAUACGGGACAUGCAAGUUUUCCCUUGGUGCUCCACCCCGACAACAUGGCAUAUCCCGGGAAGUCGCUUAUCGUCCACAAUACACUUGCACGUAAGUUGAAAUUCCCACCAGAAAAUGCAUCAUACGUUUCGAUGCCAACAUCCCAUAAUUCUUUUAGCUCCGCAAUCAAAGGUUGCAUGAACACAUCAAUAGAGUUCCCCGGAGAAUUAGGGCCAGAUAUUAACGUGGAAAGAAUUAAAUUUUCUUGUUUCAUGCAUAAUAAAAGUGGGAGGUUGUAAUUAACCAAUAUAAUUGGCCAUGUACUAUGGCUUAGAGUCAUCGAACGAUAGGGGCAAAAGCCGUCCGCUGAUACACCCAACCUAACAUUUCGCAAUUCUGAUGCGAAAUCAGGAUACUUCGAAUCCAUUAUCUUCCAAGCUUUGGCAUCAGCUGGAUGCCUUAGUUUCCCAUCUUUUUUCCGUCCCGUUGCAUGCCACGUCAUUAGUUUAGCAUAAUCCUUGCACAUAAACAACCUCUGCAACCUUGGUUUUAGUGGAAAGUACCUCAACACCUUUGCUGACACUUUGUGUAUCAAUUUCUCGGGAUCAUUAUUAGCUUCAUUGCCAUUUUUUUCACAUACAACCCACCUCGAAGCACCACAAUUAUCACAGACAUCUUUAUCUUUGUUAUUUUCCCAAAACAACAUGCAAUUGUUUGGGCAGCAGUGUAUUUUGUGGUAGUCGAGACCUAAAUCCUUAAUAAUACUUUUUGCCGCAUUGAAGGAAGAAGGUAAGUGGGCAGUAGGAAAAGCCUCUUUAAUAAGGUUUAGUAAUUCCCCAAAGGCAGAUUCUGUAAUUCCAUGCGCACACUUUAAGUGAUAAAGCCUAAUUAUGAAACUCAAUCGCGAAAAGUUGGUGCAUCCGGGAUAUAAUUGUUGUCUCCCCUCUGUCGCAUGGUGAUAGAACUUUGUGGCCUCUGCAUUUGGCACAUCAUUGUUCUCCUCCACAUUAUCAAAUCUUUUACCGGUACAUCUGAACAUCUCUUCCAGAUUGUCUUCAAAAUCCAUCCCCGUACCACAGUCCAUGUAGUCAUCAUUAGCACGGCUUAAUUUACUUUGUGAAACCUCACAAAUCCAUUUCAGAUGUAAAGGGGAAGGCCCGCUGCAAAUUAGAUGGUCAAAGAUAAUCUCUCGAUUAUGCCACGUUCGAUUGGCACAAUUUUUGCACGGGCACUUCAUUUCGUCCCCUUUGCAAAAAUUGGGGAAGGCAUUUUCCAGAAAAGCUUUUACCCCAUUCACAUACUCCUGACUACAUCUUGGAAAUCCAAUCCAAGCUGUAUACUCGUCAACGUCCAUUGCAACAUUCUAGCGUGUCCUACGGAUAAAAGAAUAAUAUAUACACAUAUAUUUUUAUUUCAGGCCCCUUACAAACAUAAAAUACAUAAAUUACAAAUAAGCAUAUAAAAUACAAAUAUUAUAAAUAAAAAAAAUGAAAUACAUAUAUUACAAGUAAGCAUUUAAAAUUCAGAAGUCACAAUUAUAUAUAUAUAUAUAUAUAUAUAUAUAUAUAUAUAUAUAUAUUAUUAUUUAUUUAUUUUAUCAUAUAAAUCAAGGAACAUUUUAACUGCAAAAUUGGUGUUUUCAAUAUUGAUUUGGAGUACAUCACAAAUAUAUAUAUAUAUAUAUAUAUAUAUAUAUAUAUAUAUAUAUAUUGCUAGACACAUAAUUCAAAGGGAAUUAGGAGUUCACAUUAUCUAACCAAGUUACUAGAUAAAAGUUGAACUCAUUAAAAAGUAAGGACAUAGGACGACUAUUCCCUACUAAGCCUCUGAUCCUCUAUCCAUCCAAGUCAUCUAAUAGUCUUGUAUCCAAUUCAUUAAUCGUAAUUCGAUAUUUCCGAUGUCAUCACAACUCGAGACUCUCCACAUCAAAUCAAAACCAUGAAAUGACAAACAAACUUCAAUUACGAACUCGAAGCAUGAAUUAGCAUAACAAACAAAACUACUCGAAAUCAUUUAUAAUCAAAGAACAGAUUACACGUAAAAACAACAAUCAGAACAUAAUUGAAUACGUAUACACACGCAUCUGAUAUAGAGCAAUAUGCUACCAGAAAGAAACUAAUGCACCAUAAAAUAAACACAAAAACACAAGCAUACAUAAUCAGUAGGUAACACAGUUAUAUAUAACAUAAAAAUGAAGCAUUUAAAUUACCUCAACUAUUGAAGCCCCGAAUUCAAGCCUCGAUGAGCCCUAAUUUUCAGCCUUUAUGAAAAGCCCUAAUUUUCAGCCUCGAUGAAAAGCCCUAAUCCCCUGCAAUAUGAAAACCCAAGUCAGUAAAAACCCUAAUUAGCUCGACUGAAGCACUAAUCAGCAGGAAACUAAACUAUAACACAGCAAAACCAACUUGACCACAGCCAUACAAACAACUCGCCUAACUAUCAAAAAAACUAAACCAAAAACUAACAGUGAAACUCGUAAUGAUUUAAACUAAACUAAACUACUCGACUCACUGUGACUCGACAAGAACCCAGCCAUAUACAAGACCCAGCUCAGACAACUUAUAAAACGAAAACUAACUACCGAGACUAACGAUUCAGCGACUCGGAAUUGGGAACACAAACCAGCAAAUGAACUACAACCAUGACUAGAAAACUGACUCGGUUGCAACACAAAACAAUCGGAAACAAAAAACUCAGUGAAAAACCUCUUCACAGCAACACAACUAGCAAAAUAAACUCAACUAUGAUGCAGACUAUACUCAGACGCAGCAUUUAAAACCCAACAGCAAGCGAUUCAAACGACUUCAUCAAAACUACAGAAACUCGAAAGUGAAACAGAGGAAAUCACUUAGCAAUAUAGCAAACAGAGAAAAUCACUUAGCAAUUGAAAAUUUAUUCGAAAAUCCAGAAACACAAACACCAAACAUAAGAACCAAAGAUAAAUAAAAAACGAAACAUAAGAACAAAAGAUAAACACAAAACAUAAAAACAAAAUAUAAAAAACAAAACAUAAAAACCAAACAUAAAAAAUGGAACAUAUAAAUGGAACAUAUAUUCCACGGAAAUUACCUGAAUAUUGAAGCCCCCAAUUCAAAUCCACCUAAAAGGCCUAAUUUCAAGCCAUAGUGAAUACCCUAAUUUCGAUUUACCUCGAUAAUGAGAUGAGUGUUAAGCUGAGAUGUAGUGAGAGAUGUGGGUGAGAGCGGUGAGAGACGGAGAGUUGAGAGCUGGUGAGAGUGGAGAGGUGAGUGAGAGUGUUAGUGAAUGGGGAAAUGAAAAUGUGAGUGUUUUCAAAACGGGGGAAAAAGCCCGCUUGCAUUUUCACCUCGAUAAUGGUGCUGUCUUUUUCCUUUUAAUUUUUUUUAUUAUUUUGAUAUAUACUUUACUAAUUUAAAAUAUUUCUGUAAAUAUUGUUUAUAAUGUAAAUAUAAUAUUAUUAUAUUAUGUAAUAUAUUAUAUAAUAUAUAAUAAAUACUAAAAUAAAAAUUGUCACGAAUUUGUAAAUAAUUGAUUAUAUUUCAUUUAUAUAUGAGAUGAGUUAAUUAGUGUAAGUAAAUUUAAAGUAAAUUAAAGUAGUUAAUUAUAAUAUUGUAACGUUUUUGAAUAAGUGUUUCAAGUUGCAACACUUCAACUUUAAAGUAACAUCGAUUUUGUAUAAACAUAAUACUUAUUAAGAAGUGUUGCACUAGUCUCAAGAAGUAUGUCUAUUGUAACUAAAUAAAGGUAACGCCCAUAAAAGAAUGUUACAAAUGAGCACUUAUGGUGUAGUGCUAGUUGAUAGUAUAGUGCUAGAUCUUCUUUUGUUCUCUCAUUUUCAUACUACAUUUGUAAACACUUUUUAUUUAAUGCAAAUCUUCUUUUAGCUUGAUCUUGUAUUGUCUCUAUUUUCUUGCUCCUAGUGGCAUAUUCUUCUUAGCACCACCAUAUGCCUAAGGGCUUUUGGGAAUGGGAGAAGCUUUCUAAUUAGUGUAGAUUUUAUGAUUGCUUAAAUUAGUCGUUAAAGCUCUUUUAAAUCCUAACACAAAAAUAAUUUGUGUAAGGGGCUUAAUGUUUUAGAUUUAAAUUCGGCAGGUCAUUAUUUUAAUUAUCAUUUAGCAGCCAAUAUAGUUUUCGUUUUGUUUGCUUUUAAAACUCACUACAACCCAUCAUCAAAUUAGAACUCAUCUAUCUUUAGUGAAAGGGAAUUUGGUGGCUGCAAUGUGGUUGAAAAUUGUAUUUCGACUCUGCUAUUCUCUCCUCCGAUUCGCACCUGCUCUAUCGCCGCUGUUUCGGCACGGCACCGCCGACGGUGGCGGUGUUUAUCGACAAGGGUAUCACCGGAAAAACGGUACUGUACUUGCGCCUCUCUUUCAUUUGCCUAGAUCUGUCUUCUCUGUGUUUUUUCACCUUUCAGUUCUUUUUUAUUUGUAUAUAAUUGUUUUACUUUUUCUUUAUGUACCAUAUGUAUUGGAUCAUACGUCAAUUUUGCGCUGAUUGGUCGAGGUUGUGUUUAUGUUUUGUUUCCAAGUUGUAGUCCUUGUCUCGUUUUUAGUUUUUUUUUGGUUUUGCAUUUUCAGAGUUACAGCACGGUGUUGAAGUAUGUGAUGCUGAGUUUUGAGUUUUGAUGCAUAGUUUGGUCUGAGUCGCCAUCCCGAGUAUUUUGUUUAGCACCGAGUUGAGUGAAACCGUGUUUGCGUCGUUUGAUUUGCUAGUUUUGUGCGCUUCUGCUGAUUUCACUAGCUUAAAUGAUUGCCUGGAUUUAGUUCUGAGUAUUGUUUCCUGUUAGUUCUUUUUUCAGCCAAGUAACGCCCGAGUCGCAUGAUCCUAGUUUUAAUGUUGCAUUAUUUUGUUUAUUAUUGUCUGAGCUGCUUUUUGAUUUUUUGUCGCUACUGAGUCAAUUAAUCCAAGAGUUGAUACGGGUGUCAUGUUGAAUUAGUAGUGGUCACUUAAUUAGUGUUAUUCUGAUUGAAUUAUUUUAUGGCAUGAUUUUAGUUUUAGAAUUGUAAAUUUGAAUAUUAUUUGGAAUUGUAAAUUUGAAUAUUAUUUGAUUUUGAUAGUAGUAAUUGUAGAUCUUGAUUUGUUACGUUUUAAAUUGUGAUUGGAUAAAUAUUCUUUUUGAAUAUUUAGUACCAUUUAUAAGGUCAUUAUUGAUGACAUUUUAUGCCUUUAAUGGCUUUUAGUGCCAUUUUUAUGGCUUCCGUUACCAUUUUGAUAGUCAUUACAUUUAAUAUAUGAAUUAGAUUUUAAACUUAAUUUUUAUUCUUCAGUUAAAAUUUUAAAUUUUUAUGUGUCUAACCAAAGGAUUUUCCUUUAGUUAGAUAUUUAUUAAUAAUUCUACAUUAUAUAUAUAUAUUCCUCUUUAUUUUUUGAUAUAUAUACUCUUUACUUUUUGUUUUUAUUAGAUUUUUUUGUAUAUUGAUUUAUGUUUUAUUUGAUUGUUUUUUUCUCAGGAUACUUUGGAAGUGAGCUGUAGUGUAUGGGUAUUCUUUUCUAAUUCAUUUAAGCUUUAUUGUCUAAACGUCCGGAGUUAUGCUCGCAUGACUUUCGGUUAGAUGAUAAACUUUCUUGAAAGAAAGAUAUCCCAGUUGCGGUUUAUUGUAUUUCGAUACAAUUCAUCUACAAUUAUGUAGACCUUUAAAAAAAAAACUCACUACAACCCCACCUCCAUUAUAUACACUCUGUUUUCUUUCCGUUUUCUUUAUCAAAGUCACCUGCUCAGUUUUUGUUCAAAACAUAAACCCCUGCUUUGUUUUUCUCUAAAACCCCAUUCCCCUGUUUUAUUUUUCUUUCGCUGAGUCGCACACCGAGUCAAUCGAGUAGUACGAGUCCGAGUUUUGCUUGCAAUCGCUGUUAAAUUUCCGAGUUGGGGUCUGAGUUUGUGUUUUCGUUACUUAGUUUCUUCGAGUUCAGAAUCAUCAUUGAGUCAUUGCUUGUUUAUUUGCUGCUCGAGUUGAACUUGUUAGAUGGGUUUCUGUUGAAUGCCGAGUUGAAAUACGAGGUCCUGAGUCACCGAGUCCGUUGAUUUCUCUUCCUUCUUUUUGUUUGCCGAGUCGUCUGAGUUGUUUGGUUGCUGGGUCGAGUCGUAGAGUCGUAGCGAUUUCUUUAAGUGUAAAUUUCAUCCUCCUGUUUUCGGCUGCUGUUUGAGUAUUUUGUUUGCGUCAUUCCUGCUGGUUUGAGUCGUUCACCCGAGUCGCUCUACUUUGUUUACGUUGUGUUCUGCUACGUUUGAUGAAGUUCAGUUUCGAGUCAUCGCGUCUGUUUCGAUUUCUGUUGCUGGGUUUGUUGCUAGUUGUUUACUGUUCAGUUUGUUUUUCAGUCGAUGUUUGUGUGUGAGUCGAUUGUGUCGAGUCCAGUGCUGAGUGUUUUUAUUGUUUAUCGUCGAGUUUUUGAGGAGCUGAGUUCAAUGUUAAGUGGCUGAGUUCGAGUUACCGAGUCAUCGAGUCCUGGGAGUUGAGUUCGUAUCACUGGGUUAAAUUUUUGUUUAAGUUGUAUACGAGUGUUGAUUUCUCUAGUGUCCCCAUUUGUCUGUUCAAGCUGGCCGUAUUCUUUAUUGGGUCCAGGUCCCCAGCAAUCGAUUGUUGGGGGACCUUUAACCAACACAUGCUGUUUGAGCCGUCCGAUGGGCCAAUUAAGGGCCACGAUUAAAAAACCGUCCAGCGCUUUUUUGUCGCUGGACGUGUGUCGUCCAGCGCUAAAAAAUCGCUGGACGAGUGUAUGUUUUUUAACCGUCCAGCGCUAAAAAAGCGCUGAAAAGACAGAGACACAUAUAUAAGCGUGAAACAAAGACAUAAUGUAUACAAACAUUUGAAAAAAGGAGCGAGCGAGCAAUUUGAAUCGUGUUUUACCACUGCAAUCACCCAUUCUUCGAUUGAUUCUCGCAUAUCUGUAGAAUCAUGCUUUACCAGUUGAUUAUCGUGCUUUACCAGUUUGUUGGAUUCAAGGCAGUGGAGUCGAAGUUUAUCGGGUAAUCUCACCCCUUCAACCUCGUAGCUAUUUGGUUGCUGUUAGGUUUAGGAUGUAGGUUUAGGAUGUUUGUAUGGCUUCGAUUAUACGUUGCAGUUUGCAAUAAAACCUUGCUUUUUCGUAGUGAAUGCAAAUUGUUUGAUAAAAUGCCUCUUUGAAUAUGCUGGUUUGAAAGUGUUUGUUUAAAUGCAUCUUAGAACAGGUUCAUUGCAAACUCUGAUUUAUGUUAUGCAAUGAUUUGUCGUCAUGAAUUUAUGGUUGAUUGCAAUGUGUUUUAUGCUUUAGUUUCAGUUAGUAUAUACUUGAAUUUGUUAGUGAAUUUGCACUGAUUUUGUACGGUUAUAAUGUAUGAAUUUGUAAGUGAAUUUAGGCUGUUUGAGUGAUGCUGAUUUCUUUGUCGAUAUCUGUUGUGUUGUAUUGUCAUUAAGCGUCACUGAUUUAUUGUCGAUAUAUGUUAUCUGCUUUGUAAUGUAUGAAUUUGUAAGUGAAUUUGUUAGUGAAUUUGCACUGAAUUUGUAAGGGUAAUUUAUGAAUUUGUAAGUGAUUUUUUGUGUUUGGGAUCUGCAGAGAUGGAGGACAUAUUGCCAGGACCGAGCAGCUGGGUGGUUAUCGCUGACAAUGCUUACCAUGUCAGUGAUAGUGUAUGGAGAGGUACAGAUAGGGGGCCUUUAGAGUGCUUUGGUGCGAGCCGUCUACUUCAUGUUUGGGUUCUGUUUGAGGCACAGAAGGAGUUGUUGCACGCCGUGGGAUUUGGAUUGUUUGCUAACCAGGAUGUGGGGGUACAUAAUGACACGGCAUUAGUCUCUGCACUCGUGGAGCGGUGGAGGCUUGAGACCAACACCUUCUUCAUGCGCCAGGGUGAGAUGACUAUUACUCUCCAGGAUGUGAGUUAUAUUCUGGGCCUGCCUAUUCUUGGGCAACCUUUGGGAGGGCCAUCCAUACAGUGCCCGGGGUCGUGGUUUCGAAGAUUUUGGUUAGAGCCACUGAGUGAUGCAGAUUAUGAGGCUGGUUGGAAUAAGUCAGGCAUCAAGUUCACCUGGCUUCAUCAUAGAUAUGGACGGGCAGGUGUGGAGGGUGACCCUGAGCGGAUUGCAAUUCACGCGCAGGCUUACCAAGCGAAACUUGAAUAGACUCGGACCUGUCAUACAAACUAAACUUUGCAAGAAGAAACGGAUUAGGCUUAUCAUCAAGAUUGUCCGUUUGCAAAUUAUGUACGAACCCCUUCACAUAUGCGAUACGAAAUUGAUCUUUUUGGAAACGUGUCUCGCGGGGCCUCAAAUUGUUUAUCUGAGCAAUUCGCUCGACAUUGACAAGUUCGCCUCCAUCCCAAGGACGUAGCACAAAACGCUUGUCUUUGUCCAAAGCGUCUGCUCCCAAAAGCCUAAUGUGAAUGAAAUACGGUGGCGGGCAUCUCCUUGCCUUUGCCUCCAUUUCUCCACUAGCAAUCCAUGUACACGCAUCGCUCCAUCUCCUAUCCCUUUCACUUUCUUCCUCCAUAGGGUACAAGUUGAAAUCCUCUUCUUUAACCACAGGAGCAUUUAUGAAGAACCCGUUUGCAUACGAUGGGCAAUCUAAUGCCUCCAUUUCUCCACUAGCAAUCCAUCCACACGCUUCAAUUUCUUCCACCAUAGGAUCUAAGUUGGAAUCCUCUUCUUCGACUACGGGAGCAUCAAUCAAGAAUCCAUUUGCAUACGAUGGACCAUCUAACGACAACCGGUCAAUAAUGUCAAGCAUCUCAUUGUCCGACGGGGUGGACCAAGAACGGAACCAACUUUCACUAAGAGCCUCCUUCGAGGGUGAAAGCGAAUCACUAACAUGAGUAAGUGUGUCACUAAUGUCAGAUAGGUGGCCAUUUUCCAUUUUUCACCUACAAAUAAAAAUCACAUAAAAUCAUAUAAAAUCACUUUAUAUCACAUAAAAUCAUACGAAAUGACAUUAAAUCACAUAAAAUCAUACAAAGUGACAUAAAAUCCUAAAAAAUCAUAUAAAAGCACAUAAAAUCACAUAAAAUCCUAUAAAAAUCAUAUGUGACAAGAUCACAUAAAAUCAUAUAAAAUCACAUAAAAUCAUAUAAAAUCACAUAAAAUCACAUAAAAUCCUAUAAAAUCACCUAAAAAAGUUACAUCUCAGCACUCUUAUUUUGGUCUCCAAAUUUUUUGCAAGUCCUUAUGUCAUGGCCAUCUUAAUGACAUUGCUUGCAUUUUCUCUUUUUCUUACUAAGGCCUUCAAUUGGAUUUUUGAAACGUUGUGGCUUCUUCCUACCCUUCGUUUGAGACACUAUAGGAUCAAGUACCGGCUCGUUCAAGUCGUCACCAAUAUUCUCUUCAAUGGGAUUCUCAGUAUUUGUAUUGAGAGCAGUAUCAUCAUCAUCAACAGCCAUUUUCUCAAGAUUUGCAAUUUCUCGAUUCAUCACCUCUAGGGCAUACUCAUAUCUUUCUUUCGAAACCAUUCUACUAUGACAAAAACUCAUUGUUAACAAAAUCAUAUGGUUGAAUCUUUGACUUGGUGUCAAUUCUGUAGAUGUUGGAUCAUCGCAACCCAUAGCAUAAGGUAGCAUACCAUCUACCCUAUUAGCAUCUCUAGUCCAACGACGUUGAAUAAAUGUUACUGGAAUUUGGGCAACAUUUUUCUUGUUUAAAACGGCAAUGAUGUGUCGACACGGGAUUCCUAAAUGUUCAUACAUCCGACACACACAUCUUCCUGUUAGGGCCACUUUGUUGAACUUCACUUCAUACAGUGUUCUUUUGUCGACUUCGGUCAGGGGUCUAAAACACCUAUAAUGUGUGACUUCAUCCCCUAACGUCAACUGAUCUUUAUCCUUCUCCACAAAGUAUUUAGAGGCUUCUAGCAAUUGAACUUGAAAUUGGCGAAACAUCUCCUUGGUAUACAUGGAAGCCCCGUCUUGUUCCAAAGCCGUCUUCAACCUCAUGUAACGGGUUUUAUUCUUUGUGUCAUUGUCCUCCUCCUUCUCCCGCAUAAAUUGUCUUUCAAUUGCUUUCUGUGCAUUCUCAACAAAUUCCUUCAAUCCUGUACUAGAACUGACAUAGCUAUCAAAGAAUGCAUUCAUCCCCUCGCUCCUCGAUGUCGUGUUCUGACCCGCAGAGAAUGUACUCUUACUGUAGGCCGAGAUCCAUUUCUCCUUCAACAAAUACAAUCCUUGCAACCAUGAAUGAUCUUUCAAAUCAUACUUCACCACUAAAUUUUUCCACCUCUCCUCAAAAAUAUCCUCCGUCAAUGAAUGGUAUAUGCAUUUGUUGAAAUCUACUUUGAAUGUUCCCGGAUGCUUAAUAUAAAGGGUGUUCAAUUUUUCGGGGAACUUCUGGCUUAUAUGCCAAGAACACAACAAAUGUCGGGUUUGGGGUAGUAUGGAUGCAAUUGCCCCCGCCAUAGCUUGAUCUGCUUUAUCUUGGUCCGUGAUUAUAGUGUUCGGGUGUUUAUCGCCAACCGCUUCAAGCCAUGUUCUUAGCACCCAUUCGAAACUACUUUUUACUUCAUCCCUCAUGAGUGCAAAUCCAAAAAGAACAGAUUGGUAAUGAUGAUUGACCCCUGUAAAAGGCACAAAUGGCAUGGCAUACCUAUUCGUUCGGUAUGUCGUAUCAAAAGCAACAACAUCUCCAAAAUUACUAUAGGCCAUCAAACAUUUAGGAUCCACCCAUACUAGAUUUUUCAAACGGUUUUCUCCAUCCACUUGAGUUUUCACAAAAAACUUCCCACCGCCUUCCUCUUUAAGACGACUUAACAAAUCCAAACCCGCUUGAGCAUCACUCACUUGUAUCUUUUUCUUCCGCUCAUCCCACACUACAUUCCUAAUAUUUUGGCUACCAAAACCAACAUUACUUACUCCACCUUGCAUAUUGCUAAAAAGACUCAUGGUUUGGCUAGGGCAAAUACCUGACACAUUUAACACAUUUAUAAGAUUUCUUGCCGCACUCGUCAUAUGUCUUUCCCGUUGAAUCAAACUCAUCUUACUAGGAGAUACAAGAUCAUGAUUGUGUUCUAAUUCAACGGUUGUCAACUCCCAAUAAUCUUUUUUCUUCUUUUUCACAACAAACAUCCUAACCUUACAACCACUUCUAGGAAGUUUAUCCCGAGGACGUGUGCCGUUACUACUACCUACACAUACUUCUUCAUCCACAACAUUUUUGUCUUGAUUUUCACCCGCAAGUCUACAAACAAACAUCCGGGCAUAUAUUUUAUCAACUUUUGCCCUUUUCUUUGUUUGUUGUAUUUUCACAGCAAACCCAUCCUUAAGGGCAUAUGACCUGAUAAAUCUAUCCGCGUCAUCUAAAUUAUCAAAUCUCUGAUUCAAAUACGGGACUUCCAUAUUUUUAUUUCUUUCAUUCUCAUCAUUAAAUUUAUUAUCCACUCCUUUAUCAUCACUCUCUACGUUCUCAUCAACCUCAUCAUCACCACUAACAACAUUUCGAUCAUCAAUACAAUCUUCAUCAACACUAACAUAUUCUUUAUCAUCAACAUUUUCAUCAUCUUUUAAAUCAAUAAACACACGAUCUACAACACUAUCAACCUUAACAACAUCAUCUACAUCUACGUAAUCCUUAUUAUCAACUUUUUUUACUCUUUUUCUUGGAACAAAAUCCUCGAACAAAGAAUCCGCCAUAAUAACAACAACACAAACGAAGCAAACAACUAGAUUAGAGUAAGAAAUUACCACAACCUUGAGUAUGCACUUGCUUCUUUAGCUCCAAAGAGUAUGCACUUACCACAAACCCUAGCUCUCCAAUUUUUUAACCUCCUCGAUCUUUUUUCUACCACUAACCUAAAGUGACCUAGUACGUGAGUAUAUGAUCAUUUCUCUGUGUUUCCAGCGCUUUUUUAGCGCUGGACGAGUAAAAAUAUCUAACUCAUCCAGCGCUUUUUUAGCGCUGGACGGUAGACGUCCAGCGGUAAAAAAGCGCUGGAUGGUUUUUAAAUCUCGACCGUUGAUCUCGCCAUCGGACGGCUCGCGAGGGGUGUGUUGGUUAAAGGUCCCCCAGCAACCGAUUGCUGGGGACCUGGACCCUUCUUUAUUUACUAUUAAUUUUAUUAGAUACUGAUUUGAUUGUGUUUGUUGACGGAAUGGCUAGUUGUACAUACGUAAGGGUCAUGUCAAAAUUGUAUGUUUUCUUUUUAAACUCGUUUCCUUAGGAAUUAGUAGUAAUUUUAUUUAAACCACUAAUUAGUUAAAAGUGAUUAAGUGGUAACUAUUUAAGAUUAAUUAGAUCAGAUUCUAAAUCAUAGUUUAUGAUUAUUAAAAUUAGUUUUUAAAAUAUCCACUCUUCACCAUUAAUUGUUCUAAUUUGCCUAGAUGAAAGAUUAAGGUUUCGAAAAUUUUUUUAAUCUCCGUGGAAUCGAAUCUUAAAUACUAAAACGUGAUCGUGCGCUUGCGAUUAAUUUAAAAAUCAUUUUUCUAGCACAUCACAAAGGAGAUAUGGGAUGCAUUGGAAGCUUAUCAUGAAGGUUCAAAGGGUCUAAGGAAAGUAAAGUUGGGACAACUAAUGAAGGAACUUGGUGCUUUCGGUUUGCAAAAGGGAGAAACAAUUAAAGAAGCUCAAGCUAGAUUUCAACUCAUUAUCAAUAACCUAGGGAGACUUGGAAAGAUAAUUCCUCAAUCAGAAUUCAACAUGAACAUUCUCGCUUCUGUUCCAUUCGACUUUCAAGCCAAAGUAACUGCCUUGGAAGCUGCUCACAAUAUUGAUACAAUGGACCAUCUAGCUCUUUUUGCUGAAUUGGAACAAUUUGAAAGAAAGAUGAAUGCCAAGAAGCAUGAUGCUCUAGUUGAGAAAAUGAAGAAUUUAGCUCUUACUGCUGAAAAGAGCAAGCCAAAAUCAGAUGAGGAAUCAGACGAAGAUCUUGCACUCCUUUCCAAGAAGAUUCAACGGAUGAUUAACAAACAUAAUCAGCUGAAAAGGGAGAAAGGCAAGGAUAAGGCUAAGUACUCAAGUAGCAGAAAGCCUUCCAAGGAAUCAAAGGAUCAGAACUGCUUCGAAUGUGGAAAGCCUGGUCACUUCAAGAAGGACUGCUACAAGCUGAAGUCAAAACAGCCUGCUGUUUCCAGAGACAAAAAGAAGAAAUCUAAAGCACUUCUGACUUGGAGUGAUGAUGAUGAAAGAAUCUGCUUCUAGUGAUGAUUGGUGAGGAAAUGAUCAACCUUGCACUUGUUGGCAUCGAGGAUGAUAAUGUUCAAGGACUCACCGAUGAUGGUCUUGUCGAAACUGGCUCCGAGGAUGACAACAGUGAGGUUAGUUCGUUUAGAUUUGAUAUUUCAAAUGAUAAUCUUGUGCUAGAACAACUAACCAUGCAGGCACAAGAUCAUAUUCCAAAUGAGGAAUAUAAUUCUCUCAAGGCAGAAAACAGCAAGCUGAUUGAAAUGAACAACUAUCUUAAGAACAUGGUUCAAGAGCUUAUGCGGAAGAUAGAUAAAUUCUUUGACUCCAAAGAGCCUACUCAAGCCAGAAUGAAGGAACUUCAAGAAAAGCUAGAUCAAGCUGAAGGUUUUCAUAAAGUUUUGAUGAGACGAAAUGAAGUUCGGAAAGAAGAGAUCUCCCAGUUGAAACAAGAAGUAGAAGCCAGAGAUGCAUGCCUAGAGACAUUCAAGCUAAAGGAAUCUACAAAGUUGCAUACAUCUCAGCCUGCUCCCAGUACAUCUCAGCCUGCUGCAAGUACUUCACAGCCCACUACUACAACAAACCAGCAAGCUGAAAAGAUCAAAAUUCUCGAAACAGAAGUAUUGAAGCUCAGAAAAGGAAUGAGAACUUUUGUUCAAGGAGAAGAAGGUCUAAAAUAUAUGAUGAAGAGCAUCAAGGUUCCACUGGAUAAAGAAGGUGUUGGUCAAAACUUCAACAAGAAGGCAAAUGCUCUCAAGUAUGAAGGAAGGCGUGGCAAACCAUACAAAUAUGCUAUGCACUGGAAUAAAUGUGCAAAAUGUGGAGGACAAGGACAUCUAGCUCAGAAUUGCAGAGUCAGGCCUCAAAGACAGAACUUCCAGAAAAGAUCAGAAGGGAAAACACCCUACUGGAACAAGAAAACAGCUUACCAGAAUGGUCUAAACAGAAGCUAUAGAACUCAGCAGCAUACAUAUCCUACUGUGGUCCAAAAGUGGAUCAAGAAAACUGAUUUAAAUGCUUUAUAUGUUCUUGCUUCUAACCAGAAUGGACCCAAACCAAUUUGGGUACCAAAGGGUUGAGUUUCGUUUUCUUUGUUUUGCAGAUGUGUCUUGCUGCUAAGAUCAAGUCUACACAAUGGAUCAUUGAUAGUGGUUGUACAAGGCAUAUGUGUGGAGACAAAACUCAGUUUAAGAGUCUGAAGAUGAAAAGAGGAGGAAGUGUAACUAUUGGUGAUAGUAAAACUCUCCCUAUUCUAGGUAAAGGUAAAGUUGGUAAUGACACUGCCUCUAUUUCUAAUGUUAGAUUUGUUAAAGGCUUAAAAUAUAAUUUGCUUAGUGUAAGUCAAUUGCAUGAUGAUGGUCAUAAAGUUGAAUUCUCUAAGGAUAAAUGUCUUAUUACUGUUGGUACUAACCAGAUUCCUCUAGUUGCUAGAAGGAAAGGAAAUAUAUAUAUCUUAGAUUUUGAGUUGCAGAAAACAGCCUGCUGUUUAGCUGCUGUGGAUGCUGAUCCAACCAUUUGGCAUAGAAGAUUGGGUCAUGCUCACAUGGACUUGCUUAAGAAGUUGUCAAGCAAGGAGCUAGUGAGGGGUCUGCCCAAAUUAAAGUAUGCCAAGACCGAAGUGUGUUCAGCAUGUCAAUUCUAACUGUUACCGUUAACUUUUGCAGGUUACCGUUAACUUUUGCAGGGGAUCUUAGAUUUUGAGUUGCAGAAAAGAGCCUGCUGUUUAGCUGCUGUGGAUGUUGAUCCAACCAUUUGGCAUAGAAGAUUGGGUCAUGCUCACAUGGACUUGCUUAAGAAGUUGUCAAGCAAGGAGCUAGUGAGGGGUCUGCCCAAAUUAAAGUAUGCCAAGACCGAGGUGUGUUCAGCAUGUCAGCUAGGCAAGCAAAUCCGAAGCACUCAUAAGGCUAAGAAUAUGGUAUCAACUUCUCAACCUCUAGAACUCUUACACUUAGACUUGUUUGGUCCUAAGGCUUAUAAAAGCAUUGGAGGUAAGCAAUAUUGUUUGGUUGUUGUUGAUGAUUAUUCUCGAUAUUCAUGGACUUUAUUUCUUCGUACUAAAGAUUGUGCAUUUGAAGAAUUUGAAAUUCUAAUCAAACUUCUUGAGAAUAAGUUGAAAACCAAGCUUAUAGGUAUAAGGAGUGAUCAUGGAGGUGAAUUCCAAAAGGACUUUAUUACAUACUGUGAAGAAAGAGGACUCACUCACCAAUUCUCAGCUCCAAGGACACCUCAACAAAAUGGAGUCGUAGAGCGCAAAAACAGGUCACUUCAGGAAACAGCAAGGACGUUAUUGCAAGAAAGCAAGCUGCCAAGAAGUUUCUGGGCAGAAGCAGUCAAUACAGCCUGCUAUGUUCUGAACAGGGUGAUCAUCAGGCCUAUCUUGAACAAGACUCCAUAUGAGUUGCUGAGAAAUAAGACUCCUAAUAUCGGGUACUUUAAAGUUUUUGGUUCUAAAUGUUUUGUUCUUAAAAAGAUUGAUAGAGUUGGUAAAUUUGAUGCUAAAUCUUUUGAAGCUAUCUUUCUUGGUUAUUCUUCAACUAGUCGUGCAUAUAGAUAUUAUAAUUUAGAUAAACAUACUGUUGAAGAAUCUAUUGAUAUUGUCUUCAAAGAACCUAACAAUGAUCUGCCAAGAGAUGAGGAAGAUGAUGCAGGUAUUGAUCCAAAUGCUCAACCUCAAUCUGAUGAGAAGAAGUCAGAGGAAGCUGCUACUCCAACAUCUAAGCUAGCUGAAACUCCAUCUUCACAAACUGUCACUCCAUCACAGCAAGCUGGAACAUCAUCUCAGCCUACUGGAAUGACAUCUCAACAAGCUGGAUCUUCAUCUCAGCAAGGUGGAACAGAAUCUCAGCAAGCUGGACUCUCCUCUGCAGUCAGGAAUCUCUCCAACAUUCUGUCUCAAAUGAAGCUUGAUGGAUCUUAUGAUGAUGAUGUACCACCAACAAAGCGGAUUCGAACAUCUCAUGAAGAAAUAUCUUAAAAAACUCUGCCCAAGGCUACAAGGACAGUAAAGAAUCAUCCUCCCGAGUUAGUGAUUGGUGACAUUUCAAAAGGAAUCAAGACAAGAAAAGGAAAAGCAAACUUCUGUUCUUAUGCUGCUUUUCUAGCUCAAGAAGAACCAAAAUCUGUUCAAGAAGCUCUCAAAGAUGAAAAUUGGAUCAUGGCUAUGCAAGAAGAACUCAACCAAUUCGAAAGAUGUGAUGUUUGGGAAUUGGUAAAGCGUCCAGAGAAUGCAUCAGUUGUUGGCACUAGAUGGGUAUUUAAGAACAAGCUUGAUGAAGAAGGUACUAUCACUCGCAACAAAGCAAGGCUUGUGGCUCAAGGAUACAACCAGCAAGAAGGAAUCGAUUUUGAUCAAACAUAUGCUCCGGUUGCUCGCUUGGAAUCAAUCAGAAUGCUCUUGGCUUAUGCAUGCUACAAAAAGAUCAAGCUGUUUCAGAUGGAUGUGAAGAGUGCUUUCCUAAACGGCCUGCUGGAAGAGGAAGUUUAUGUAAAACAGCCGCCUGGUUUUGAACAUGAACAAUAUCCAGACUACGUCUACAAGUUGAAGAAAGCUCUUUAUGGAUUGAAACAAGCACCUAGAUCAUGGUACAAGAGCCUCAGUAAGCUCUUAAUUAAGAAUGGUUUUGUACGAGGCAAGAUUGAUCCUACUCUAUUUACAAAAUCUCUUAAUGGUGAAAUCUUAGUAGUCCAAGUUUAUGUUGAUGAUAUUAUCUUUGGGUCUACUAAUAAUGAACUUUGUGAGUGGUUUUCGAAGUGUAUGCAUAGUGAAUUUGACAUGAGCAUGAUGGGUGAGCUCAACUAUUUCUUGGGUCUUCAAAUCAAGCAAACUUCUGAUGGUAUCUAUGUGCACCAAGGAAAAUAUGUGAAAGAGUUGCUGAAGAGAUUUGGAUUUGAAAAUGUCAAGUCAAAACCCACUCCAAUGUCUCAAACCAGCAAGCUGUUUUCAGAUGAAUCAGGUAAAAGUGUUGAUAUAACACGAUAUCGAGGUAUGAUUGGAUCUCUAUUAUAUCUAACAGCCUCUAGACCUGAUAUCAUGUAUAGUGUAUGUGUUUGUGCACGGUUUCAAGCUAAUCCAAAGGAGUCCCACUUAAAUGCUAUUAAGAGGAUCUUUCGAUACUUAAGUGGUACUAUUAAUCUUGGACUUUUCUAUCCUAUAUCAAAUACUUUUGAUCUCGUGGGGUAUAGUGAUGCAGAUUAUGCCGGUUCUCAAACGGACAGGAAAACCACAAGUGGUGUUUGCAAUUUUCUUUGUUCUAGCUUGGUGUGUUGGCAAAGUAAGAAGCAAAAAUCUAUAGCUCUCUCUACAACUAAAGGUGAAUAUCUAGCUGCAGGGAGCUGUUUUUCUCAAAUGCUUUGGAUGAUGCAAACUCUCAAGUAUUUUGGAAUCAAAUGUGACAAAGUCCCAAUAUAUUAUGACAACACUAGCACAAUAAAUAUCUCAGAAAAUCCGGUUCUUCACUCCCGCACAAAGCAUAUCGACGUUCAACAUCAUUUCUUGCGUGAUAAUGUGGCCAAUGGAAAGAUCAGUCUAGUAUAUGUUCCUACGGAGUAUCAGCUCGCUGACGUUUUUACCAAGCCUCUGCCCGAAGAACGAUUCUUAAUCAUCCGCAGGGAAUUGGGUAUGUGUUCAGUCUAAAUCAGCAAGCUGGUUCUGGUAUGUAGCCUAUUACUUUAAAUCUUCCAUUAUAGUAGCUAGCUGUUGUGUAUGUGUCGUUUAAUCUAUUUGGUUGGUGGUAGUCAACACUUAUCUCUGUGCACAUUCAAUGCUGUUGUAGUUAUCUGUGCUCUGUAUUAUGUGCUACAUUUUAAAAUUUUAAAAUUCUUGUUAUAUAUCUUCUUAUCUGCUACCUGAUAUAUGUUCUUUAAAAUAUGUUUUAUCUAAUUAAAUGGGGUUUUAGUUAUUUUAAGUCAAGUAUUUCAAGGAUAUCUCCUCAAUUCUCGGUAAAAAGGUUUAUCUCGGAGAUAUAUUAUUCAAAUAUUUGGGAACUCCUACAGCCUCGCAUCUCUCCACAACAAAAGUCUACCAAGGGUUUUAUUUUCAAAAUUACACUAGCGCUCGUCUCUCUCUACACUCUCAACCGAGCUCUCUCCAAAACCCUACCAAUGGCGAAAACCAGAAACACCACCACUCCGGCCUCUAGUUCUAAGAAACGCCCUCGUCCCUCCACCUCUGACUGCAUCAUCAUCGACACCACUGUCGAAACACAGGAGUCCUCAAACCCUACAACGGACGAUGUUCUGAGUUCCGAUGAAGACUCCGCAGUGGUUCCAAUUCUUAAGAAAUCUCGGUAUGCUAUCAAAUUCAUGAACAAAGACCUCGAAAUCAGGUAUCGCGAUUAUAACCUUGCUAGUCGUAAGAUUAUUUAUAGAAAGUCUAUUGUUGGAUCGGAAUUUGCUGAUUGUGGUUUAAUUGAGAUUUUUGACACUAUUGGGAUGAAGUCGUUAAUUGAUUUACCUGAUGUUUGCUAUCCCUUCCUUGUUCAAGAAUUUUAUGCUAAUUUGCAUACACCAACUAAGGGCCGUUUUAUCAGUCGGGUACGGGAUCAGGGUAUUUGUCUGAAUGCUACAAUAUUGAAUGGUAUGUUAGAAUUUAAGAAUAUCACUGAUGACUUGAUUGUGCCUCUCACUAAAAAGGGGAUUUGUGACUUGUUUGAGGAUUUAUCUGAAUUAGAACAACACAGUCUAGUUCGUGGUGAUGUUGAUAAUAUUGAUGUGUCUUCACCCACCACUGCCCAACUUGACCUGAUGACACAUUUGUUGUUCAAGAUUUGUCGCACAAAUAUCUACCCUCGCAUUGGUAGUCGAUCUGGGUUAACUUGUCAGGAUCUUAUUCUUGUGUCCUUACUGUUGAAAAAGAAGAAAUUUAAUAUAUCUGGAUUGAUCUUGCACAAUAUGAUGGAUUGUUUGAAGAAGAAAACCCGUGCUUUUCCAUAUGCUCUUUUACUUUCUCAGGUGUUUGAGUUUUCGGGUGUGAAAUUGGAAGAGAAGGAAGCAGUGGAUGCUACUGAAUUUAUUGAUUGCUCCAGUCUCACUUAGUCCAGUCUUCAGAUCAAUGAGCUCGGAUUUUAGAAAAGAUUCCCCCACCGAUUGUGCCUUCACAUGUGUCUACGUCCAGUCUGCCAGAUUCUUCCUCUGUUGCUUCAAGUAUUCAAGCUCUCUUCGCCAAAUUGGAAGACAAGUUUGCUGAUAUUCAGAGGGAAUUUGCAAAGUAUAAGCAGGCAGUUAGUGAGGUGAAAGCCCAGAACACUGAGAUCAAGGGUAUGGCAACUGAAUUGCUUGGCUACUUUCAGAAAGCUAAAUCUGUUGUUAGAGCUGCCAGGACUGCUACAGAGGCUGAUAAGGAAGCUUAUCAGAAUGCUGCAAAGGACCUCUCCAAUGCUCAGAUUUCCUCUCCUGCCAUUGCUUCGGGUUCAGUCAAUCAGGAUUAGGUUGUUGUGGACGACCUUUUUGCUGAUUAAGGGGGAGAAAUCAGGAGGAGUACUUGGCUUGGGGCUGGGAAUUUUUAAUUUACUGCUUUUAUUAUGAAUUUCUAUCAGACUUGUGGUGCCAUGCUACUUUAUGUGUUUUAAGACUUAAUUUGCUUUUGAUGUGCUGAAAUAUCAGCAAGACAUGUUAUGUGGUUUAUGUGUGGAUUAUGCUGUGAUAACAGCUUAUUGACUUGGUUGUUUAAUUGUUGGAUUUCGUUAAGUCAGUUUAUGAUAUGUUAAGCUAUUAUUGUGUUAAAUUGUUUAGGUAGCUAAUUUCUUUGAUAAUCUAUGCUAGAAUUCCAUUGCUUCUAACUUGUGUGUAGGUUUAUCAUAUUCAGGGGGAGUAUUACUCCUGAUAUUUGUGUAAUCAUCAAAAAGGGGGAGAUUGUAAAUCCCAAGUUUUGAUGAUGACACAAUUUAGCAAGCUACUAUCAUUUCCAUCUUAACAUAACGUAUUUACUCUGUUGUAGCCUGCUAUAUUAUUAUCUAAUCAUUUCUGCAGGUUUUAUAUAGACAACAGAACUAUAGCAAGCUAUUUCAUAUGUUAGCUUGACAUGCUUAAGUUAUAGUGUUAUAGCCUGCUGUGUUGCUUUUCUAAUACUGUUGCAGGAAUUUUACUGUAACAGAUUUAUAGCGAGGUGUUUUAUAAUAGCAAGCUAUAAAAGAGUCCUACCAGAAGUAGAACACUUCACAGAAUUGAAGCUGUUGACUUCUACAAAUAUUAGGACUUACAGUGUACGUUUUCUAAUCUGAAUAUGAGUUAAAUAUACAGAUUAUAAGCUCAGAUUAUGUAAAUGAAAACAAUUCCUAAAAUCAAGGAAGUUGUUACACUUUAAACUUAUCUUUUCAAAACACACUUCCUUAUCCCAUUUUAAUAGGAACUGUUGCUUCAAACGUCUUUCUAAAACUCAGCCCUCUAUUUCUGUGGAGUAUAGUAUUGAACUAACAACCUGCAACGUUCACAUAGUGCAACGUUUAUGGAGGUUUGUUUCAAUAUAGCCGUUAUAGCUUUUAGUAUAUAUACAGCUUGCUGUUUUCAAGAAAUAGUUAACAACUCACGAUCUUGAAAACAUUCUCAAUCUCUUAUGAGCUUAUAUUGUGUAUUCGAUUCAUAUCUUAUUAGAGAGCAUAGUUUGAGUUGUAAUCUCUCAUUUUUUAUUCAAAGUUUGUAUUUGAUUAGUCACUAAAGCUAGCGGGGUUCUAAGUAUAGAACAAAGGGGGAGUUAGAUAGAAUUAGUCUUCACAAGGUCUGAGGUGCUAAGGUUCGAGGAAUAAGGUGAAUUCAAGGAGGGAAGCUCAAGGAAUUCAGAGGUUCAAGAACAGGUGCACAGGGGGCUAAGUGUCGAGCUGUUUUCUGUCUGCUCAAGGUUUCAGCAAGCUGCUUUAGUUGACUGGGUAAAGGGAGAUAUAUUAUUAUUCUGUAAUUGUUGGAACUUUCAGUAAUAAUAUAUUCUCUUACCAAGUUGGUAAGGGACCAGGACGUAGACCAUUAGACAUAGGGGUCGAACCUGGCUAAAAUUGCUUGUGUCUGAUUUACAUUUCCGCACUUUACUGUUUUGCAUAAUAGCCUGCUAUAAUCACUUUUGAUCUGAAAACAGUAAGCUGAAAUAUUCGGUAAAAGUUUAAAAUUGACAUAGUUAGCCAUAUACACCUAUUCACCCCCCCCCUCUCGGUCUACUUACAGGGUUUGGGCACGGAGGUUAAGAAAUAUUAUAAAGUAGUGGAAAAGAGGAAGAAAAGUGGGUGAAGUGGUGGGCCAUUGAUUUUUAAUAUAUAAAAUAAAGAUAGUGGAGUAAAAGUAGUGUGAAAAAGGAGGAAAAAGUGGGAAAGUGAUGGGACCCAUUAACUAUUUUAGGAAAGUUAUGUAAUGAGAAAUGGAUGGGACAUCCAAAAAGGAAACUGUAAAGAAUCUGGUGAGACAGAGAGAGUAGUAUAUAUACCUUCUUGACGGCGGCUAAUAGCAGAUAUCAACUGCGGCAUUCUGCAUAUAGCCACAUCAGCUGCCAUCAGUUUGGCCCAUCUUUCGUAUGUUUCAUAUGUUCUUGUGAGUAAGUUGAACAUAUUAGUGUAUUCUUUAUCCAUGACUUUGUACAUUAAAGGCUUGAUACUCAUCAAACAAGAAGGCAUUGAUCGAUAGGAGGCUGACCUCAAUCCAAACGUAUUCCACUGGUUUAUAUCCACAUAUAGCGGUGCUAAUAUCAAUUCAACUGUGUCCGAAUAAUUUCUCUCCACGGCCAACUCUAAAAUGAUGCAACUUUUCUCAUCAGUUCUUUCCAAGAACAACUGAAUCAUGUUCCUCAACUGCUCAUCCCGGUAAUUAUUUAUAACAGUUUCCGUGAUUUGCCUAAUAGUAUCUCUUCUAUCUUCUUCUUAUUCUAGGAGGGACAAAAAAAAGUAUUAAUAAAAGCCCUUUUUUGUAGAUUUGAAAUAUCACAUUUUCAAAGUAUAGUAAAAUAAAAUUUAUUAGUGACUAAAUAAAUAAUAAAAUGUAGUGAAGAGGUUAGGGUUUAUAAACUGAAACUAUACCUGGGUCGGCAUUGUUGAUAAGAAGAUGUAAAACAGUGGUACUACCAUCACGAGCAUCCAUCGUAUCAUCAGCUUGCCUAAGGAAAGUUUACUAUUAAAAUUAAAAUUAUACCUGGGUCAGCAUUGUUGAUAAGGAAGGUAUAAUAAAAUAAAAUUUAUUGUUGACUGUUCCGUGUAUGUGAAUCACUUGGAUCGGCCUUUACUAUUAGCUUAACAAGGCCCACAUUACCCAUUGUUAGGUCCUGGAACGAUUGUAGAAGGGGGGGGGGUUGAGUACAAUCGUCACUUAAAAAUAAUCGCGGCGGAAUAAUCUAAUUGAAUAUAAAUUUGUUAAUCAGAUUUUAAUUAAUUAAUAUAACAAUGUUUAAGUCGUUAUAUAAUUAAUAUGGUUCAUUUUAAUGUCCACUAGUUCGUAGAAUAAGUUUGAUAGAAAGUAUUCUAACUCAGUGGAACAAAACAACCGAAUGAUCAAAGCACAGUAAACUGUGGAUUUAACGACUAGCAAGUUUAGCACAACUUUGAACACUUUGCAAAUGAAGUGGAAGAGCCAUAUUUAUAGGCAAAAUCCAAGAACAAGGCAAGACAAUGCAAAGAUGGCAAAGACAAUUUGGCACUUUGUCUUGCUGAAAAACACAAGGCAAGACAAUCUUAAGCAUUGUCUAUAGCCUAGUAAGACAAUCUGGAGUGGUAAGACAAUUAUCUAGGCACGGUAAGACAAUUGGGACAUGGUAAGACAAUCUUCAAAAUUGUCUUACAAGCCAUUCGGCAAGAGAAUCUUAAAGAUUGUUUUGGAAGCCACAGCAGGCAAGACAAUGAGGGACGCGGUAAGACAAUUACUGAGAUUGUCUUACCGUGUGUUGGAUGAGGUAAAUAACACUGUAAGACAAUCUCUUUGAUUGUCUUACCUUGUUGUUUCUUAAGACAAUCACUGAAAUUGUCUUUCCUUUUGAUCCAACAAGACAAACCCUUAUUCCCUUCAAUUAAUUAACCAAUUAAUAUUCACUUAAUUAUAUUAAAUGCAUAAAUUCAUAAAUUAAAUUAAUUCGAGAUAGAAUUAAUUUAAUAAAUAAAUUACACAUCAUAUAUAAUUAUUUUGAGAAGUGAAAUAAAUAAUUAGAUAAUCAAUUAUCCAUUUUCUUCUUCAGUAGAGUCUUCAGUCUUCUGUAAACAAUUAAGAUCUUCGACUUGAUUGAACGGCCACCUUGUUUUGACGUAGAAUAUUUAAUCUGAUAAGCUGAUACACAAAUGUACUGUCUGGUUCAUCUAUAACUAGCUCAAUUAAAUAUUCCUUAUCAUUUAAACAAUUAAGUUGUGGCUUGUUCGUCGAUUCUUCGUCUUCUGAGUUCUUCUUCAUUUGUAGACAUAAUAAUGGAAAUAUGGAAUCUUCUGAAUAAAUAAAGUAUUGAAACUUUAUACCUUCUGAUCUUCUGGAUGUGCUACAAAAGGUUAUUUGUACACUGAGGCUUGAACAUAUUAAUGAACUUCUUCCAGUGGUUUGUAGCAGCAUCUUGAAAUUCUUCUGACAUAAAAUCUUCAAUAAAUCAUUUGACGUUCUUCGUACGGAUUCCGGAUAACAGUACUUGCUAUUUACUUACUUUCUUAUUAGAGUUGAGUUGAUACUCUUAAAUACAAAUAGGCUUAACAUAUGCCUUUCAAUCUGCCCCUAUUUGUUUGUUAACAUAACAUGCAAAUUAUCGAGAGGAUAACUCAACUAACUGAUAAGACAAAGGAUUAAACAUUGAAAGAUAAAUAGCAAAAGUUUCUGGUAUUCAUUAGACAUUCACCAGAUUCAAACAUUAAAGAUAGAUUACAAAAGGGGUGUUCAUUUAGAACAAAUAUUACAAUACCCUAUAUAAUCUAAGUAUCAACUUCUCCUUCUUCAGUAUCAGAACUGUGAAGAAUCAUUAGACAUUCACCAGAUUCAAACAUUAAAGAUAGAUUACAAAAGGGGUGUUCAUUUAGAACAAAUAUUACAAUACCCUAUAUAAUCUAAGUAUCAACUUCUCCUUCUUCAGUAUCAGAACUGUGAAGAAUAGGAGUUGAAGGUUCAUUUCUGGUUGGCUGUUCUGCAGUAGUGGCUUCACCACGUUUCUUCCUUUCAUUAGCCAGAGCCAGUUGGUGCAUUACUUCCAAAUCCACCGGGUCCUCCUGAAAGUCAGCAGGCUGAGUCUUUGUGACUUGCUUCAUCUUCCUUGUAUAUUUAGAAAUACCAUUCCGAAGACAGUAGUCAGCUAUAACACUAUCAGCAUCAGCCUUCUCUUUAGAAGUGAAUCCCUUGGUUCUCAGGAGAGUAGAUGCAAGGAUCAGUUGGUUCACAUGGUACUUUGGGAAGGACUCAUCAUUCAGAUACACAGUAUUUAUGACAUCAUCAUUGAUGAACUUCAGACAAUAGGGUUUCUUGACAAUUUGAGGACUAUUGAAUUCAGCAUGUUCCACCAGCUUGUCUCGAAAGAGUUCAUUCAAAUUAGAUCUUCUCUUGACUUUGUUACGAAGCACCCAGAGCUUAGUUAUCGUGAAUGACUUUAAAUAUUCAACUGAGAUUCUGAAUGUUCCGUUUCUCCUUGUGUAUAUAAUGAGCUCCCAUUCAUCUAGCAGAUUCCUGACUGCAACUAUAGUGUACCACAACUCAAGAGAAAGGGCAUGCAUAGACAAAUCCUCAUCAGGGUUUACCUCCUUCAGAUCAUAAAUCAGAGACAUGAACUUCUUGUCAUCGAAGGGUUCCCUCUGAGGUCCAUUGAAAAUUCUGCGUGCAAUGUCCCAACUUUUACCAACUUUAUGCUUAAUAUCAAGAUUCUUCUGCACACAGGCAACAUCAUAGAUCUUCUGUUUUUCUUUCUUGAUUUCCUCUUCAGUUAUCAGCUUGUCCUCCAGAAGCUUUUGAAAGUCUCUGAGCUUUCUCUUUCUAGCUUCAUUCUCCAGCUUAAACUUUCUCACAAGCUCCUCAUGUUCAAGAUCUACAGCCUCCUCCUCAGUCUGGAACAGAUAGGCUUCAUCAAAUGCACCAUCUUCGUGAUUCUGGCAGUAAGUGGCAUCAAACACAUCAUCAUCAUCCAUUUCCUUAGGAAAGGCAUCAUAAUUGUCUUCCUGUUGAUGCAUGGGUUGCUUGCCUUUAGACUUUUCAGUUUCUCUGCCAGGUGCAGAAUCAGAAGUAUUGGUGUUUGUGUUCCCCUUGUUACUUUGGUUGGAGCUGUUUCCUUUGUCUUCUCCUCCCUUGUCUCUAUUCUCCCCCUUAGUUGAGGGAUCCUCUCUGGAGGUUGGAUCAUCGGACUUGGAGUUCCUGAGAAGUUGAUCCAGUUUGUUGUCGAUUUCAUCACAUUUAGCCAUAUAAAGCUCAUGAUUGGAUCUCAUCUCGACAGUCAAACCAUGCAUAUCAGCUUUGAGCUCAUCCCUGUAAGAACUGGAUGGCUCUUCCUCUACUUUCUUCUCUAAAGUGACCAGUUGUGCACCUUUCAAUCUUUCAUUUCUACGCAAUCAUCCGGGUAAGUUCAGCUUGUAACUUAGCAAUUUGUUCCUUAAAAAGAGCUGGGUUAGUGUGUUCACUCACCUCACGUACACUCAAAGCUGUUUCACUAGCCUCACGUGCAUGUGUAUCGCUCGGUGUUUGCCUUUCAUCACUCGAUCCACUCAUAGCUCCAACUGUACCAAUGUUCCCUGAUAUGGGUUCAAAGGUAGUGGAGGAACAAAUUGUCCUCCGGAAGCCAGUGACGGCAAAUCUACUUGCACAUUGCCAAGCAGUUCCUGAUCAUGAAAGAAAGAGUGAUCAGCAAAGUUUUCAUACAUAGUAACUUUAUUUUGAAAAACUGUGCUCUCAGAAAGUGUAGUAACCUGUGUAUUGGGUUGAUUUUGCACUAGCGUGAGUGCUAGAGCAGUGCUAGACUCUGUACAGGAUACCGUGGCUGGACGGUCAACUUCAAUGGCUUCAUUCUGUUGAGAGAAUGAAUCCAGAAACUGUAUUGCCAUAUCAGAAUCCAAGCCCUUUUGGGAAGGCAAGGAUGUGGCUGCAGUUGUCUCCGAGGCUUCUAUUCUUUGUUUCUUUUGAGAAGACAGAGCUGCGGGUUGACUCAUCAAACUACUCAAACUUCGUUUCCUAGCAACUUUCUUAACAUGUUUUGAAGUAGUGUUGGUUGAAGUGUUUGGAGAAGAGACAGUGUGUUGAAAUGAAUCAUCAGCUUGGUUAUGAACCUAUGUGUUGACAGGUUCAUUGCUGGCAGGCUGGCAAAACAAGUCAAAGUUACAAUCAUAAUCAGAGAUAUCAACAUUAAAGUUAGAUGAGAAGUCAGAAAGUACCUGAGCUACCUGUAGGUCAUCUCUGAAUGCCUAAAGAUCAGGAUUGAUUGCUGAAUCUGCUGGCAGUGGUUGUGAGGUUGAUUGAAUUGGUGGAGAGUAUUGUGGAUGAGUGGUAGGUUGUGUGGGUGCAGAUGAAGAUGGUUGAGCUUCGAAGAAAUCAAAUGGUAGAGGCUCAUCUUCAAAUGGUGGAUAUUGCUGUUGGGGGAUAGGUGAUUGAACAGGUGAUGGUUCAGGUGAUGGUUCAGGGGUGUGAUGUGGUGAUGGUUAUGAUUGAGCUUGAUGUUGAGGUGGUUGUUGAAGUUGUAGUUGUAGAUGCUGGUCUUGUUGCUGUUGUUGCUGAUGUUGUUGUGGUUGAGCCACUUGAACUUGAUAAGGAACACUUUGAGCAUUGAACCUUUCCGACAUAAAUGGAGUGACAAUGAGUGGAACCUCGUUGUACUUGGUGCCUUUGGCAAGCUUGUUGAUCAGCUUGAUGCUUGUCUGUUUGACAUUUACCCUCUCAGCAUUGAAGUAGAAGUUCUUGUCAGUCUCCGUCAUCUUAUCAUUCAAAAGCAACAUAAGGAAUCGUGGAUAAAAACAUUCUGGUUCAUCUGUAACUAGCUCAAUUAAAUAUUCCUUGUCAUUUAAACAAUUAAGCUGUGGCUUGUUCGUCGAUUCUUCAUCUUCUGAGUUCUUCUUCAUUUGUAGACAUAAUAAUGGAAUCUUCUGAAUAAAUAAAGUAUUGAAACUUUAUACCUUCUGAUCUUCUGGACGUGCUACCAGAGAUUAUUUGUACACUGAGGCUUGAUCAUAUUAAUGAACUUCUUCCAGUGGUUUGUAGCAGCAUCCUGAAAUUCUUCUGACAUAAAAUCUUCAAUAAAUCAUUUGACGUUCUUCGUACGGAUUCCGGAUAACAGUACUUGCUAUUUACUUGCUUUCUUAUCACAGUUGAGUUGAUACUCUUAAAUACAAAUAGGCUUAACAUAUGCCUUUCACCCAUCCUAACUGCUAUAUGCAAGACAGUAUCCAUCGAAUCAUCAGCUUGCCUAAGGAAAGUUUGGAAUGAAGUGCCUGGAUUAUCAUCAUCAGUAGGCAGCAAAUGUCUAGCAGCACCAAUGAGAAUUUCAGCCAAUUCUGUGUAUCCUUCAGACAAAGCCAAGUGAAGUGCAGUCUGUUUACGAUUGUUAAGCUUGACCAGAAGCUUUUUCUCCGCAAACUUGUUUAAUAUAAAUCGCACGUGUUCUGUAUUUCCGUUUUCGGACUCUGUGUGAAGGAUAGUUUCUUCCCAGUAUCCGCUCACUUUAUCAGCAUGCAUCCCCAAUGCAGCUGAUAAGGUACCACGCUACAGCGCCCGCUACAGUCACCCACUACAGUGUCCGCCCCCGCUACAGUGCACGGACAUCCCAAAACAAAUCUCAUCAUUACAAAGUACAAGGCAAACAGGAUAAAAAGCAUGCACAAAUCCCUAAAGGACAGAAGAAAGGACAACAAUUGCACCAAAGCAGACAACCAUGCCGGGGAUUAGGUAUGGACCCGCGCCCGCCACUGUAGCUACAGUAGCGGGUGAAGGCCUAUAUAAAGGACUCCCCAGCCAAAAAGGAAAGGUAAGUGAAAAUUCUUUCUCAAUGCCCUCUCUAAAAAAGCAUAUCGCACCAUAUAUUUAAAGUGAAAACUCUCUGAUUUCCCUAACUUGUCAAGCAUAUUCCGAUCACUGAUUAUCACGCCGGAGGCGCUUCACGGGACACACCCCCGUGCUGCGUUGUUUUGCAGGUCAGGUCUUGACCCGAGCUUCCCGGAACAGUGUACUGGACCAACGACGAGAAAUGGAGUUAUCAGCAGCUAUGGCAUCAUCAUAUCCAGCAAUGGCAGCUGAAUACAGGAUAUCUUUGUCCAUAAUUUCAUAGAGGCGUCCACCUGGGCUUUCAGCUAUAUAGAUAAACAUGUGUCAAAUCGUGUGUAUUUACGGAAUCAUCAUGACAUUGAAUAUAGGUCAAAAAAAUUAACAUAAAAGGGUAUGGAUGCAUGUACAUAGGGACGGAUCUAGAAAUCUUGUUAAGUGGGGGCAAAACACACACAAAAGAAAAGCUCUUUUUAGAGAAAAUUUUUCACUAAACCAAGAGUGGUUUGAGUUGAUUGAUUAGAUAAAUACAUAAGUUUAUGAUAAGAAAUACGCAAUAUAUUAAAGUAGAACCACUCGGAUUUGAAUCCAGAAUCAACUGUGUAUGAACGUAAUGCAUUGAUCAUGGGGUCAUUAGAAGUAAAAACAUAAUAUAAAAAUAUAAAAUAUAUUAAAAUUUUGAAAGCAGUGAAAAAAAUAAGGAAAGGGGGAAAGAGACACUGUUUAAAGAGCAUACCUUGGUCCAGAUUUUUAAUACGCACAAGAGUACUACAAUGAGGUCCGAGCAAAGAUGGAGCAGUGCAAGUUGAAGAAAUAAUCUCUGAUAUAUCAUUCAACCCUUUCUCUACUGCUAUGUACAUUGGUGUUUUUCCCUCAUGGUUUUGAAUAUGUGUAUCAGUCGGGUCGGCCUCUACUAGUAGCUUAACAAUAUCCAGGAGUCCUUCCAUGACUGCUGCAUGUAAGGCCGUGUCCAAAUCUUUAUCACCUUGCCUGAGAAAAGCUUGAAAAGAAGUAACUGGAUUAACAUCAUCAUCUAAAAGAGGUGGCAAAUGGCGAGCUGCAUCAAUGAGGACCUCAGCCACUUCAGUCCGUCCUUGAUAAAUUGCCAAGUGAAGUGUUGUAUGCUUAUAUGUACUAAGCUUGGGCAAAAGAUUUUUGUGUGCAAACUUCCUCAAAAUGAAGCGCACAUGUUCUGUAUUUCCUUCUUCGGAUUCAGUGUGAAGGAUAGUUCUGUCAUUUGUGUCCAGCUUAUCAGCAUGCAUCUCCAAUGUAGCUAUGGCAUCAGCAUCUCCGGCAAUGGCAGCUGCAUACAGAGCAUCUCUGCGCAUAAAUUUGUAGAGGGUUCCACCCGGGCUGUUAGCUACAUACAUAAACAUGUGUCUGGAGUCAUCAUCAGUGGCGGAACCAGGAUUAAGUGUUAGGGGGGCUGAACGCAACCAGAAGAUAAACUAAGGAUAAGUAGUGUGUUAUUCUGCGUGUCUUAACCAUCAUGACAGGAAGAUUUUCUAUACUUUGAAGUCCAGUCCAGAUUAAUCUUCAUCCGUUUUCACAUCAUAGAUAAAUUUGUCUAACUGAUUUGAUAACAACUCCAUAUCUAGUAAAGAGAAAUCCUUUGGACAAAAUUGUGUAAAGGCAUACCAGUUUUGAGUUAUUAAAACUUGAAAAUUAAUUCCUAGGAACCAAAGAGCCAAUACAAAAUGGUAGCUCUAUGUUUCCUUCUGUAAAAAGGUUAUCCAUCUCUUGGGAAACGGUUACCAUAGCUCUAUGUCUCCUUAUGUAUGUUUCCUCUGUAAAAUGGUUUCCUUCAAAUAAGUCAAUGUGUGCAUAUGACUUAUGAAAGCAUGUUCAAAAACUUCUUCUUAUGGUCUCUUCAGCCAAAAUUUGAAGAAUAUGGAGAUGAAAUAAACUCCAACAAGCUCCUAGCACCCCUUCAAAAACUUAGGAGCUCUGUUUGCUUCCUCAACAAUGAGGAGCACACUCUCCCUCUUAACUACAUUUUAUUUUAUUUUUCUCAUGUACAAAGUACUCAACAUGCAUGAUACAGUCUAUGGGUAUACAUAUUUUAAUAACAGAUAUAGAUAGGGAGCGUAUGUAGGGAAUAUUGUUUGAGAUAUCGUGUAAUUAAUUUUACUUCUUAAAUAGUGAAGAGUUGAUUGUUUAUAUUAUUUUUAGAGAAAAGUUAAUAUAUAUGUUAAUUAGACUCUCUUUAGACUAAGUGCCUUCUCUUUUCUUUUUCUUUUUUACAAUAAGUCCCUCUCUAUAAUAUUUAUAAUUCAGCAGGGGUUAAAAAAAUUAUAUUAACACCACUAAUUCAUGGAAAAAAAAUAUACACUGUUUUUUCGAGGUUAGGGGGGCUCUAGCAUCCCCUAGCCCCAAUCUGGUUCCGCCACGGGUCAUAAUUACAUCAAACAUAUUUUUUUUAAAAAAAUUAACAUAAAAGGAACAAAAUAUAGUUUAGUUAACAAAAGAGUAUGAAUGCCUGUAUAGUAAAAAAAAAAUUGAAAGGGACAGAGUCUUUAAAAAGCAUACCUUGGACGAAAUUAAAGUCUUGUCAUGCACAACCAUACUACAAUGAUGUCCGAGCAAAGAUGGAGAAAUGCAAGUUGUAGAGAUUACCUCUGCUAUACCAUUCAACCCUUGUUCCACAGCUAUAUACAUCGGUGUUUUGCCUUGAUUAUUUUGGAUAUGUGUAUCACUUGGAUCCGCCUCUACUAAAAGCUUAACAAGGGCCACAUUACCCUUCUCAACUGCUUCAUGUAAGGCAGUCUCCAUAUAGUUAUCAGCUUGCCUAAUGAAAGCUUGGAAUGAAGUAAGUGGAUUAUCAUCAUCAAUAUUAUCAUCAUGUGGACGAGGCAGCAAAUGGGUAGCAGCAUUAAUGAGGACCUCAGCCACUUCUGUGUGUCCUUCAUACGAUGCCAAGUGAAGUGCGGUCUGUUUAAAUUUGUUAAGCUUGACCAGAAGGUUUUUGUCUGCAAACUCCCUCAAUAUAAAUCGCACUUGUUCUGUAUUUCUGGUUUUGGACUCAGUGUGAAGGAUGGUUU